CCUUAUCACGGGACUUAUUGUUCCCCACCACAAAAAUGUUUUCCCUCUUCUCUAGAGUCAUCUUUCUCUCUUUGUCGGGUGUUAACCCCGGGGUAGGCUCAACGAGCCUGUUCUUUAUCUCCGACCGAAAAGGAAUGACAAAGAACAAAUUUACAAGGCCCAAGUCCUCUGGCCGGCUAGGCAACACCUACCGGCUAGGGGACGAGACGGCCAACUCUCUGGCUGGCCAGGCAGCACCUGCCGGCUAGAAGCAAGACGGUUACCUCUUCCUGGCCGCCUAGGCCAAGCCAACCGGCUAGGGACGAGACGGCCGUCCCCAAGCCGGCUAGUCAAGCAGAAUAGCCGGCCGGGGAUCUCAAGUAACAUCAAAUCAUAGGUCAUGACGAGACCCUACGAUUAAAGGUGGUUACGCGUCAGCAAAGGUACUGGAUCGGAGUGCACGGCGGGUACCAGCGUGAGCGGCCACGCCGCUGACCUCCCCCGGCUCUGAUCCAUCACCCAACAUAUUGUCGGUUGUCAAACUCCCACUCCAUUACUGCACUCGGCGUGGGAACAGUGGAGGCGGCCAUACCGUCUGCCCAUGACGAAUCUCGCUGGACGACGUCGGACGUGCCACAUGUGUCCUGCGUCAACCUUACGCGAGAGCCUCAUUGGCUAGCCGACGGGGCCCACAGCCAGACGGGACCUCGCAGCCGGCGAGCCCCUCAAGCGACAAGACAAGACCCCCGUGGGCCCCCUGGCCAGCCGACGAAGCUGCCAGUUGGGACCCACUCUUGUAUCCUUUAUCCAUAUUGUAGGCCGGUGGGUUCAUCUGUAAAACCCCAGGCCCUCCUCCAUGCAGAGGGGCGGUCAACUGAUCACACACAUACACACCAACCACAUAGGAGAGGCAGAGACGAGCCGGCUGCUCCCUCUUCCUCCUCUGCAAUACAGCUCCAGGAGCGACCGUGUAAUCCCAUCCAUACAUAUCAUACACUCCGGCAGGACUAGGGGUAUUAUCUUUACGGAGAGCCCUAAACUUGGGUACAUCGUGCGUUGCAUGCUUGUACCAACCUCUCCCCCAAGGCCCUCGUUGACACUUCGGUUCCUACCUUCUUUAGCCUACCCAUGGCUUAUGUUGUGAGUAUUCCCCGACAUUUGACGCCCACCGUGGGGCCGAUCGCGACAUCGGCUGGCUUUACACGCUAGGCGGGGCCCUGCACCUACACCACCGGAUGCAUCGCGUCCGGACCGAUCUGCAUGCCCGUGGAGCCUGCCUUCGAUGAGGCAACACCGAUGAUGAUCGACGUCCCUGUCCCCCAUGCGGAUUCGGACGAGGAGUCUGAUGACAAGGCGCCUCCCAGCAUCGUCGCCGCUGCUAUGGAGAACCUCAGCGUUCUCUUUAGCGACCUGUGCCUCAACGAUGGUCCUCGCUACUUUGGCGAGGACUUCGAUGUCGAGGCGUUAUGCGCCAGCUUCAGUAGGCUCUCUAUCGCUGAGACGCCUACGCACGACGUGUACCCCAGCAACGUACUCGUCUUCGACGGCCCUCCGCCAUCGGUGGGGUUCUUCACCCCAUACCAUGUCGCCACCGUCUCCAACGUCAUGGAGGUGAUGGUCAUCGACGCCGGCACCAGCACGACUCAGGCCAAAGUGUCAGCAGACGCUGCUGAUCCUGCUGCCGUCACUGCUGAAACUCUUCAGGCUGCGCUUACCGGCUUGAAGACGCCCAUCGCCGCCUCCACAAAUCCUAACGACGCGCGAGCUUCGCUGGAGGAGGCUCGCAGGUAGAUCUUGGAGGAGGGCAUCGCCAUCGCUUCGGUGAAACGUCGGAUGGAGGCCACGCAGCGCGAGUAUAACUCUGCAUACGGCCUCACUCCGGUUUCCGAGGCGCCUAGCCGGCUUGGUCCGGUCCGCGGCCGCAGUUGGGUCAUGGCCGAGAUUCUAGGAGGCAAGCAGCCCAUCUACGAGACUCCCGCAGCUAACUUGCGGGCUGCUCAGGCGGCCAUGGCAGAAAUGCCAUGUUUGGAAGGCGAGGAGCGCGCCUUUCAGGAGAAGCGGGUCAAGGAUCUCCUUGACGCCGCCAACGAGCAGCAAACACGGCUUGACCCCGGUCAAGCUCAAUCAGAGUCUCCGGACAUCAGCACGCUAAGGGAUCUUCCUCACAUCGCACUCACGCCCGAAAGGGUGAGGGAAGCAAAGACAGGCGCUCCCAGCGCCAUAGCGAGCAUACUUCGAGCUGGCGUCGUGGAGAGGACGAGAGCGAUUCGGUGUAUGAGGUUCCUCGUCCGGGGAGGACUCAUUCCACCGGUUCGCAAGGUGCCCUUCCGAUUGCGACUCAGAUUGGCGCUUGCGUCCCCCAGGGCGAUAACGAUGCCCGCGGGAGUCUCAACGCCCUGGCCCAGUCAACCCUUCUGGAGGAAGACGGCCCCAUCGGUCCGGCCUGCUUGGGCCCCCGGAUCCGAUGGGAGCCGUUUCCCUGAGGCUUCACCUUGCCUCGGGAUACUCCCGAGUACAACGGCACCGCCAAGCUAGAGGACUGGCUGAUGGACUACACGACCGCCAUUGGCAGUGCCAGGGGCAACAAAUGCGUAGCAGUCCGCUACGUGCCACUCAUGUUGGCCGGCUCGGCUCGGACAUGGCUUAACAACCUUCCAGCCGGUAGCGUCAACUCAUGGAUGGACUUUGAGGAUGCGUUCGUCCGCAACUUCAUUGGCACCUACAAGCGUCCUGGCCGGCCUCGACAGCUAGCCAUGUGCGUCCAGAGGCCCGACGAACCCCUUCGUGACUACCUCACUCGCUGGACAGAGCUUCGCAACUCCUGCUAGGGAGUGCAUGAGGUGCAGGUCAUCUAGUACUUCAUCGAUGGUUGCCGAGACGGCACUCUCCUCAAGCACAGGCUCAUGUGCUCUGAGCCCACCUCUCUGGCGGUGCUCAUGGCCAAGGCAGACAAGUACGCCAUGGCCGAAUUCAAGAUGGGAGUCAAGGUGACCGCCUCGGACAAGGUUUUCCCCACGACGGCUACUCCUAAGCCGGCUAGGGAUAAUCGAGGCGCCCAGAACAAUAACAAGCGCAAGGCGGAUCAACUAGAUUCGCGCUCCAACAACAAGUUGGUAGCCAGCAUGGAGGGUGAGGUGUCGGCUUCUCAAGCCGGCUCCCAACAAAAGCGGCCCAACAAGGGCAACUGGUUGCCCAGGCAGACUUUUGAGGAGAUGCUUGACGCACCCUGCAAAAUACAUUCUGGGGCACAACCUUCUACCCACACCCUUCGACAGUGCAGCUUUGCACGACGGCUGUCGCAAGGGGAGGGCUUGCCGGCUGCCCCAGGUGCACAGUCUGCGGCUCGAGCCCUGGCUCUUGGUCCUGCUCCGGCUCCACCGUCGCCGCCUCGCGACGACGGCCGCCUCCACGAUGACUACCCCCAUCAAGACGGCCACCUCCACGACGACUACCCCCACCAGUGAAGGCGACGACAAGCAUAGCUUGCGCCAGCGACGGCGUGAGGUGAAUGCCAUGGUCCCCCCGGUUCCUCAAUACAUGCACUGGUCUGAAAAGCCCAUCACAUGGAGCCGGGUCGACCAUCCUGCGGUGAUGCCCAACCCGGGUUCAUACGCGCUUAUAUUCGACCCCUCCUUUGCCUCCAAGAGGCUCACCUGCCGGUUCUCCCGGGUGUUGGUCGACAGCGGCAGCAGCAUCAACAUCCUCUACCUCGACACUGUCCUCUAGCUCGGGCUCAGGGAGACGGACGUCUUGCCGACAAGCACUGUCUUCCACGACAUCGUGCCAGGGCAGUCCUGCUCUCCUAUCGGCAAAAUCCAGCCGACGUCCUCUUCGGUGACAAAGCUCACUUCCGCCGCGAGUCCAUAUGGUUCGACGUAGUGGACCUCAGCAGCCCGUAUCACGCGCUGCUGGGCAGACCGGCUCUGGCCAAGUUCAUGUCUAUCCCCCACUACGCCUAUCUGACGAUGAAGAUGCUGGGUCCAAAGGGCAUCAUCACCAUUGCUGGCGACUACAAGAAGUCGCUCGAGUGUGCACAGGACAGCAGCCGCCUGGUCGACGCCACGGUGAUUGCCGAGGAGAGGAGACAGAUUGACCGGCUCGUUGCUCAGGUUACCGAGCAGCCGGUGAUCACUUCCUCCAUCCCGGUCGGCCGGUGAAGGCACCUUCAAGUCGGCUAAAGAAACCAAGCAGGUGCCACUCGACCCUGCAUACCCCAAGCAGUGUGUCAUCGGGGCUGGCCUCAGCCCCAAAUAGGAAGGCGAGCUCGUCGACUUCCUCCGUGAGAAUUGGGACAUCUUUGCAUGGUCCCCUAAGGACAUGCCUGGUGUUCCGAGGAAGUACGCCGAGCACAAACUUCACGUGCGACCGUAUGCUAAGCCGGUAAAUCAACCUUUGCACCGCUUCCCCAAGGGGAAGCGACGCAUAAUUGGAGAAGAGAUUACCCGGCUCCUUGCAGCCGGCUUCAUCAUGCAGGUUUUCCACCCGGACUGGUUAGCCAAUUCAGUCCUGGUGCUAAAGAAAAACAACACAUGGCGAAUGUGUAUCGACUACACAAGCCUGAAUAAGGCAUGCCCAAAAGACCCUUUUGCGUUGCCUCGGAUAGAUCAAGUGAUCGACUCCACUGCAGGCUGUGAAAUGAUGUCAUUUCUGGAUGCUUAUUCACGCUACCAUCAAAUCAAGAUGGAUCCAGCUGAUCGCCUGAAGCCCUCCUUCAUCACGCCCUUCGGGGCCUACUGCUACACCACCAUGACGUUCGGUCUGAGGAACGCUGGUGCGACAUUCCAACGCUGCAUGCAGCAGUGCCUACUGCCACAGAUCGGGAGAAACAUCCACGUCUAUGUGGAUUACAUUGUCUUCAAGACCAAGCAGCACUUCAGCCUCCUCGACGACCUGCGGGAGACCUUCGCCAACCUGCGCGAGUACAAGAUCCGGCUCAACCCGGAGAAAUGCGUCUUUGGGGUUCCAGGCGGCAACCUCUUGGGGUUCUUCGUGUUUUCUCGUGGCAUCGAGGCGAACCCCGAGAAGAUCGGCACCAUUGAACGGAUGGUAAAGCCGGCUCGGAUCCUAGACGUCCAGAAGUUCGUCGGCUGCCUGCCGUCCCUUAGCAGGUUCGUUAGCCGGCUCGGCGAGAAGGCCCUUCCACUCUACCAGCUCAUGAAGAAGACGACGAAGUUCAAGUGGAACGACCAGGCGGAUGAAGCCUUCGCGACCUCAAGCGGGUCAUCUCGAGCCUGCCAAUCUUGGCAGCACCGGCUGAAAGGGAACCCAUACUCAUAUACAUUGCAGCGACCACUUGCGUGGUUAGUGUAUUGCUGGUAGUUGAACGCAAGGAGGAGGGCAAGGUACUGUUAGUGCAAUGCCCUAUCUACUACCUCAGCGAGGUAUUGUCCGCCUCCAAGCAAAACUAUCCCCACUACCAAAAAAUGUGUUAUGGUGUUUACAUUGCUGCAAAGAAGUUGAAGCUAUACUUCCAAGAGCAUGCCAUCACCGUGGUGAGCACUGCUCCACUUUCAGAAAUUAUGGGCAGCCGUGACGCAACUGGUAGGAUUGCCAAGUGGUCCAUCGCCAUGGCGAACCACGAUAUCCACUACGAGCCAUACACUACCACUACUAGGAAAAGGGCUAUAGAUGAUAUAGAUACUAAUGGUGCACCACACAAGCAGUGCGCCACUACUAUAUAGUAGUGGCGCACCAUGUGAGGUGUGCCAUUAGUGUGAUGGACACUAAUGGCGCACCACACACUCGCUGCGCCACUACUAUAUUUUUUUUAUUUUUUUUGCAAAACUAUUAAUGGCGCACCAGCAGUUGGUGCGCCAUUAGUAACCAGGGUUACUAAUGGCGCAUGUGUUAGUACUGCGCCACUACUAUAAAAAAAAUUUGGUUUUUUUUGCAAACUACUAAUGGCGCACCACACCUAGUGCACCAUUAGUAACCAGUGUUACUAAUGGCGCAUCUGUUGGUGGUGCGCCACUACUAAUUAUUUUUUUGCAGAACUACUAAUAGCGCACCAGAGGAGGUGCGCCAUUAGUAACCAGGGUUACUAAUGGCGCANNNNNNNNNNNNNNNNNNNNNNNNNNNNNNNNNNNNNNNNNNNNNNNNNNNNNNNNNNNNNNNNNNNNNNNNNNNNNNNNNNNNNNNNNNNNNNNNNNNNNNNNNNNNNNNNNNNNNNNNNNNNNNNNNNNNNNNNNNNNNNNNNNNNNNNNNNNNNNNNNNNNNNNNNNNNNNNNNNNNNNNNNNNNNNNNNNNNNNNNNNNNNNNNNNNNNNNNNNNNNNNNNNNNNNNNNNNNNNNNNNNNNNNNNNNNNNNNNNNNNNNNNNNNNNNNNNNNNNNNNNNNNNNNNNNNNNNNNNNNNNNNNNNNNNNNNNNNNNNNNNNNNNNNNNNNNNNNNNNNNNNNNNNNNNNNNNNNNNNNNNNNNNNNNNNNNNNNNNNNNNNNNNNNNNNNNNNNNNNNNNNNNNNNNNNNNNNNNNNNNNNNNNNNNNNNNNNNNNNNNNNNNNNNNNNNNNNNNNNNNNNNNNNNNNNNNNNNNNNNNNNNNNNNNNNNNNNNNNNNNNNNNNNNNNNNNNNNNNNNNNNNNNNNNNNNNNNNNNNNNNNNNNNNNNNNNNNNNNNNNNNNNNNNNNNNNNNNNNNNNNNNNNNNNNNNNNNNNNNNNNNNNNNNNNNNNNNNNNNNNNNNNNNNNNNNNNNNNNNNNNNNNNNNNNNNNNNNNNNNNNNNNNNNNNNNNNNNNNNNNNNNNNNNNNNNNNNNNNNNNNNNNNNNNNNNNNNNNNNNNNNNNNNNNNNNNNNNNNNNNNNNNNNNNNNNNNNNNNNNNNNNNNNNNNNNNNNNNNNNNNNNNNNNNNNNNNNNNNNNNNNNNNNNNNNNNNNNNNNNNNNNNNNNNNNNNNNNNNNNNNNNNNNNNNNNNNNNNNNNNNNNNNNNNNNNNNNNNNNNNNNNNNNNNNNNNNNNNNNNNNNNNNNNNNNNNNNNNNNNNNNNNNNNNNNNNNNNNNNNNNNNNNNNNNNNNNNNNNNNNNNNNNNNNNNNNNNNNNNNNNNNNNNNNNNNNNNNNNNNNNNNNNNNNNNNNNNNNNNNNNNNNNNNNNNNNNGCCUCUCUUCUGCCCUCGCCCUCGUCCACGGAGACGCCGCUCCUCCUCGUCAUUGUACCAGGAUAUUCGUUUACCUCGUUCAUUGUACCAGGAUAUUCGUUUACCUAGUAUUCUAUACGAGUAUAAGUUUUAGGCUCUUAAGAGUUGUAUGAAAGUUGGGUUCAGAUUCCAUGGCUUGUUCCUUGCGGUCACCGGAAGUCUGUUGCUUUAUCAUACAUGAUUUUCUCGUUGUUGUGGAAGGCAGGCCUUCAACCCCCCUGCUUGUUCCUGUUUUAUACAUGUAGUAAAGCCUGAUUAUUGAUUCUCUUGUGCUCCCGUAGGUAACGAAGAUAAAUCGAUUCCACAAACAGAUCAAUGGGAACGACAAGGUUUGUGCUUUUACGCAAAACGAACGGAUGGAGUACUUCUAUUGUAGCACCACUAACAAAUUUAUGAAAACAAAUGUGACACGUGACCUUGACCUUCAGUCUAUGUGCAAAUUUGGAAUCACUUUUCACGUGGAACACAAAGCAGGUGAUAUUUUCAUUCUAGUAGGAUGUGCAAUGCUAAACUAUUCUCUAAAUGUGUAGAUGCCCAGUAAUCGGUAGAGCGCACCACCCACCCCAUCCCUCCCCCAGAGCACCAUUGCUAUCCAAAAAAAUAAAAUAUUACUAAUGGCGCACCUCUCUGGGGUGCGCCAUUGCUAUCCAAAAAAAGAUUACUAAUGGCGCACCUCUCUGGGAUGUGCCAUUGGUAUACAAAAAAAAGAUUACUAAUGGCACACCGUCUGGGAUGCGCCAUCGCUAUAAAAAAAUUACUAAUGGCGCACCGCUCGGGGGUGCGCCAUUGCUAACCCUUCCCCCCCACUAAAAUCCCAAUCCCCUUUCUAUCUGCCCCAAUCCAUCUCUCACCCGCCCACUGCCCCGACCCGUAGUGCGCCGCCGCCGCCCCCGCGCCUCCUUCGCCGCCCCCGUGCCCCCGCGCCUCCCAUCUCGCUUCUCAGUUCUCUCCCGACUCCCCAGAUCAGGCAACCUCGCUCCGGUAUAGAAGGACCCCUCCUCCCACGGCCGCCGGGCCCUCGUCCUCCACCCCAUAGCCACCGCGUCCGACCUCCACCGCGCCGCUGCCUCCCUCCCUCAUCGGCAGAGCCCACCCCCUAGUAGUCUUCCACACACCCAUGGACGACGGCGACAGUGACGCGGCUGCCGCCUCCCUCCUGCACGUCUCUUCUGGUGACGGUACCGCACCCACCUACGACGUCUGCUGCACAAAAAGCGCUAUGGAGGCGGGCGGACCCAAGCUGGCCGCGUGGGGUGGAUCCCCAUCCACCCCAUUCUCUCGCCUCGGCGUGUCUCAUGGGGGAACUCAUGGCCCUCGACGGCGGCGAGCGAGGAGGCUCCCGCUGUAGCUCCGAGCACCUUCUCGACAUGCUGCAUGGCCUAGACGGCCAAGGUAAUCCCUUAUUCCUUCCCCCAUCCUGCCAAGUACGUACAUAGCUUGCAGCAAUGUCAUAUGCUGGUGCCUCCUUGGGCAGACUAGCGCCGCAGAUUUGGAUGUUUGCCACAUACAUUUUUUUCAGAGAGAGGAACAGACACUCGUAUCCGGAAUAGAUACCAUAGUAUGUUUGUUUGCAAGAUAUCCGUGGAACUCAAAUAAAACUCUAAGUAUAGGGAUGAAGUCAUCUAGGAAAUACAUCUGAGGACUAUGGUGAAGUUACAAAAUAAAAAAAAUCACUUGCACAUAUCAAACUGACUUCUGAGCAGGAAUUUGGUUGCUCCAUAAAAGCUGCUGUUUUACAAUUUGUUCUUUUUUGAGUUCCACGGAUGCAUAGCUCCCUGAGUUGUUUGGCUGUUUACAUGCAUGUUUAUGGGCUAUUUUGUGCAACUAAAGAAAUUCAUUUAUGGUUGUCAGAUACUCAUGUCCUUUAUUAGCUUGAUGAGGUACACCUUAUGUUGGACUGAAUUCAAAAUAUUACAUAUCUCGGUGAAAAAUUUAUCUAGCAUAUGCAAUGUUAUGUUCUGUGAGCAGUGUCAAGUUAGAAGAAUAAGUUAUGCAUCUGAAAACAAAUCUCUUCUUUUUUUCAUAUUCAAAGAAAAUAAGUUAGUUGUUGAGUGUUUACUUCCCAAGUGACAACUGAGUAAUCACGUUCAGGUACAAUAAAAAAUGGCAAGCCAGAAUGUGCUAGCUAUUUGCCAAUUUGUCAUAACAUGCAUGUAAAGAGAUGGCAGGAGUUUAUGCACAUUUCUUGACUUCAACAUAUGACUAUCCAAAUUCAAUUGGGACCGCUAAGGUUGGCACCUUUCUCUCUCUUCCUUGGAGCUGCAUGAUUCCGUUCGAGUUGCUUAUCUCCACUUCCCCUGAUGCGAUUUCCCUCCUCACGCAGGUUAGGUAGGAGCACAAAGGUAGAUUGAAAAUUACCAUCGAGUCUAUCUCCUACUUCGACUGCAAUGUACUGCUGAGUCCCACUUGCUUUCUUCCCUCUCUUUUCUCUUCUUAUCAGAGCAAAGAUGCAUUUCAGGCGAUGAACUCAACCAUUGCUUUUAUGUUAUACUCCCUCCGUCCCAAAUUAAUUGACUUACAUUCAUCUAGAUACGGAUGUAUCUAACACUAAAACGUGGUUAGUCAUGUUCGUAUGUAGACAAAUCUGAUUCAACUAAUUCUGGACGGAGGGAGUAUUGUUCAGUGAGCUUUUUAUAGAGGUACAAGUUGGUCUUUGUGUUCAGAGGCUUGAUAUGACUGUUAACUCUAUAUUGUUUGGCUGUGUAUAUUUGCAAAUGAAUAUUGAUGCUAAUCACAUAGAGGAAAUAUGCAGGUCAUGGUCUUAAUCACGUGCGAUGGAUUAACAUAUUUCCUUCUUUUUGCUAUGAUUGCAAUGUGGCUGCUAAUGACUCACUAUCUUCAAAAUGCUUUUUAUUGAUCAAUAAAAGUAUUAACAAGCCCUCUUAAACAAUAACAAGCUCUGAUGCUCUGUUUUCAGUGAGAUUGCGAAGAACUUGCCACUUGCACCAGUAAAGCUCCAUUGCACUAUGCCUGCUGAAGAUGCAGUUAAAAUCAAAGAAGGUGAAUCUGGGAGAUAGCCUUGCAGAGACACCUUUGAAAGGUUCGUUUAUUAUUUCAAACUGCUUAAUUUUGUAGAUCAUGCCCCAAAAUAAAUAGGUCUCAACAUUAUUGCUGCUAGUAAUUGAUAGUCUGUCAAUUGGGUUGAGGCAGUUUAUGUUCAUUUUUCUCAUGUAUACUUCUAUUUCUCUGCAAGAUGUAUGAUACCCGUAUUAGCAAAUCUUAAGUGGUGAAGUCGAUUCAUGACCGUAAUGCUUGCAGUCUUGACCCCCCCCGGGUCACUGGUCAUGAUAAGCAUUUCAUAUUGUACAAACAAAAGUUUUGUUUUUCAUUGAGCUUUUUUGUGUCAAGCAAUAUGUGUAACUCCAUCUUAGCUUGCAGAAUACACAAGAACUGUUAGAUUUUAAUGCUUUUUUGUAUUUUUGUCCUAUUGUUGUAUCGACACAGUUUCAGUUCCUUUAGGUACACUUUACUUACCUUAAGCUCUCAACUAUUUGUUUGUUGUGUUGUUGGCUUAAUAAAACUGAUGUAACUCAGUUUCUUGUAUGUACCCAUGAGGAUCGUCAUGGUAUCCACCCGCACCCUCUUGUUGCCUUUCUAUGCGGUGCAUCAGCCUCCUAUAGAUGACCCAAAGCUUGCAGUAGCAUCAUCAUCAUCUCUGUCUCCUUCCUCACGAGCUUCAUGUCGUAGAUGAGGUCGCAACCGAGGUAUGCCCUCCUCUCCUCCCUUCUCCUGCCUAUCAAGUGCUUGUGUGAAAAGCAAUUUUAACCGAAAACCAAUCUCUGUUUGUUGUGAAGUGUAGUACAUAGUGUUAUUUUUCCUGCUGUUAAAUUUUACAGGUUGAGAAAUAUGUAGGUUAACAUCAUUUGGUUGAUAUUUUGCUUCUUGGUCUUUGUAGGAGUUGAUGUGAGAUUCAAUUCAAUUCUCUUUUACAUAUAUGGUCUUGGUAGGAGUUUUAGUUUUGUAGUGUCUUUUAAUUUGAUAUGAUUUCUAUUCUUCAAAAAUAUAAAUCAUGAGAGUAAAACUAAAUCUUCUUGUUGCAGUUUUGCAGUGCUCUUUUAAUUUGAUAUGAUUUCUAUUCUUCAAAAAUUUAACUUUGGAUACUCAUGUGUGUGCUAUUGAACUUAUAGGUUUGCAUCACGGAUGCCGUCGACGGUGGGCAUACAUGUUGUGGCGGAAGCUCAUUGCAUAUUGUAGGUUGAACUCAUGCUUUUGUUUGUUAACUCUUGUUGCAUAUGUACACAUGUUGUGAACCCUCCUUGAAUAUGUAUGUGUGUUUUUGUGAAACUAUGUUGGAUAUGUAUGCAUGUGUGGACUUUGAACUCAUCAUCUGUUUGUUAUUUUUGUGAACUUGUAAUAUAUUGGAUAUGUAUGCAUGACCAUUUCAUUUGUGAAUUCUUGUUGCAUAUGUACGCAUGCUUUUGUGAAACUAUAUUGUUGUUGUGAUCUAUUGGAUAUGUAAUAUAUUGUUGUUGUUGUUGUGAUCUAUUGGAUAUGUAAUAUAUUGUUGUGAUCUAUAUUGUUGUUGUCGUGAUAUAUUGGAUAUGUAAUAUAUUGUUGUUGCCGUUAUGUAUAAAUCGUGUGCCCGUUGGCAGUCGACUUACAUGGGGACAUUCGGCUUAUAUAUAAGCCGAGUGUUUUCACUAUUGCUCUCGGCUUACCCCGAAUAAGCCGGUCCUUAGUAAGGCGUGUGAUAUAAGCCGAGGAAAACACUCGGCUUAUAUGUAAACCGAGUGUAAACCGUUGUAAGGCGAGUGUUUCGGGCACUCGGCUUAUAUGUUUUUUUCCUGUAGUGUGUGAUCUCUAUAUUCUGUGCAAUAAUAUGUUUUGUAACCUGUGCAAAUAUCAGAAAAAAAUAAAAAAAACCUAAUAUUCAUACUAGUGGCGCACCACUCACCACUUUAGUGGCGCACUGCAAAAAGCACACUAGUGGCGCAUCGUCAACUAGUGCGCCAUUAGUAAGCCAGAGUACGUGGGUAAAUAUGGCCCUGGGAGGCAUACUAAUGGCGCAGCAUGAGCUAUACUAAUGGCGCACUGUCUGGUGCGCCAUUAAUAUACCAGAUACUAAUGGCGCACCAUGAGCUAUACUAAUGGCGCACUGCCUAGUGCGCCAUUAGUAUACCAGAUACUAAUGGCGCACCAUGAGCUAUACUAAUGGCGCACUGCCUGGUGCGCCAUUAGUAUACGAGAUACUAAUGGCGCACCAUGAGCUAUACUAAUGGCGCACUGCCUGGUGCGCCAUUAGUAUACCAGAUACUAAUGGUGCACCAUGAGCUAUACUAAUGGCGCACUGCCUGGUGCGCCAUUAGUAUACCAGAUACUAAUGGCGCACUUGUGGUGCGCCAUUAGUAAAAAAAUCUAAUGGUGUGAUGCUAGUGGCGCACCUAUAGUGCACCAUUAGUAGCCAAAAUAGGUGCGCCAUUAGCAAGCCUUUUCCUAGUAGUGUACCAUCAAAUUUCAGGUGGUGGCCGACUUCCUGGUCGACUGGGCUGAAACCCAGUUCGAGCCACCACCUCCACACUCCACGCAUUGGCGGAUGCACUUCGAUGGCUCAAAGAUGCAGACUGGUCUCGGAGCCGGCAUCGUCUUGACGUCUCCGAAAGGAGACCAUCUCAAGUAUGCUCUCCAGAUCCACUUUGCUGCAUCCAACAACGUCGCUGAGUACGAAGCACUCGCUCACGGCCUCCGGCUCGCCAAGGAGAUUGGCAUCCGGCAGCUCAUCUGCUUUGGCGACUCAGACCUCGUGGUGCAGCAAGUUUCUGGCGAAUGGGACGCUAGGGACGCCAACAUGGCAAGCUACCGCUUCCUCAUCCAGCAGAUCCACGGCCCUUUCGAGGGUUGCGACUUCCACCAUGUUCCCAGGGCGUACAACGAGGCGGCCGAUACAUUGGCUAUGAUUGGCUCCAUGAGACAGGCUAUCCCAGCCGGUGUCUCCCUCGAGCAGCUGCACAAGCCGUCUAUCAGGCCGUCUCCAGAGUCGGCAUUAAUUUUCGUGCCGGCUGAUUCUUCGGUGCAAGCGCCGUCGGCUACACCAGCUACGCCGGCUACAGCUCCUCUGCCGGCUACCUGGCUCUGCCGACUCCAAUUGCGGCACCGGCUACAACUACUUCACCGGCUACGACCACUUCGCCGGCUACAACAACAAAUCCGGCUCCGCCCUGCCUCGAUUCUUGUCGUCCCGACACCUAGUGGGUGGACGUCAUGGAGGUAGACGCGCGAGCCGGCUGCCACGACGGCAUCGGAGACACAAUGUCUCGAGCCCAUGACGGCUUCGUCAAGCGCGGGGGUUGUAGAAGCCCCCGACAAUCAGGUUGAGGCGGAGCCAGCCCUUGUGUCGGCUCCAUCAUUGGCUCAACCCAUCCUGGCCUUCCUCCUUCGUGGCGAACUUCCUCAAGAGGAGGCGGAGGCGAGGCAGAUCCAGCGCAGAUCUGCAACCUACACCAUCAUCAAUCGCGAGCUGGUUCAGCGUAGCGUGAUUGGCGUGUUCCAGCACUGCGUCGAAUUAGAAAAAAGGACAUGAGAUCGUCAGAGACAUUCACCAAGGGGAGUGCGGGCAUCAUGCCGCCUCUAGAACCCUGGUGGCCAAGGCAUUCUGCCAUGGAUUCUACUGGCCCACAGCCCUCGAGGAGGCCGUGGACAUGGUCAACAAAUGCGAGGGCUUCCAACGCUUUGGCGCGCAGAGCCAUGAUACGUCUCCAUCGUAUCUAUAUUUUUUGGUUGUUUCAUGUCAAUAUUCUACAACUUUCAUAUACUUUUGGCAACUUUUUAUACUAUUUUUGGGACUAACAUAUUGAUCCAGUGCCGAGUGCCAGUUCCUGUUUGUUGCAUGUUUUUUGUUUCACAGAAUAUCCAUACCAAACGAAGUCCAAACGUAAUAAAAAACCUACAGGGAUUUUUUUGGAAUAUUUAUGAUUUUUGGGAAGAAAAAUCAAUGCGAAACGAUGCCCGAGGGGGUCACGAGCCCACGAGGAGCGCCUGGCAGGCUCGUGACCAACCCCUAUGGCGGUUGGGGCCCUUCUUUUGCCGCAAGAAAGCUAAUAUCCGGAAGAAAAUCGUGUAGAAGGACACCCCAAUGGGAGUUACGGAUCUCCGGGAAUUUAAGAAACGGUGAAAGUCUAGAAUCGGGGAGCGCAUAAACAGAAGGACACAAAGAGAGAUAUCCAAUCUCGGCGGGGCUCUCGCCUCUCCGCCGCCAUGGAGACCAUGGACCAGAGGGGAAACCCUUCUCCCAUCUAGGGAGGAGGUCAAGGAAGUAGAAGAAGAAGGGGGGCUCUCUCUCCCCCUCUCUCCAAGCGGCACCACAAUGCCGCCCGGGACAUCAUCGUGUGACGGCGAUCUACACCAACACCUCCGUCAUCUCCACCAACACCUCCAUCACCUACCUGUUGGGGAACGUCACAUGGGAAACAAAAAAUUUCCUACGCGCACGAAGAUCUAUCAUGGUGAUGUCCAUCUACGAGAGGGGAUGUGUGAUCUACGUACCCUUGUAGACCAUACAGCAGAAGCGUUAGUGAACGCGGUUGAUGUAGUGGAACGUCCUCAUGCCCCUCGAUCAGCCCCGCGAACUAUCCCGCGAUCAGUCCCACGAUCUAGUGCCGAACGGACGGCACCUCCGCGUUCAGCACACGUACAGCUCGACGAUGAUCUCGGCCUUCUUGAUCCAGCAAGAGAGACGGAGAGGUAGAAGAGUUCUCCGGCAGAGUGACGGCGCUCCGGAGGUUGGUGAUGAUCUUGUCUCAGCAGGGCUCCGCCCGAGCUCCGCAGAAACGCGAUCUAGAGGCAAAACCGUGGAGAUAUGUGGUCGGGCUGCCGUGGCAAAGUCGUCUCAAAUCAUCCCUAAAACCUCCAUAUAUAUAGGUGGGAGAGGGGGAGCCAUGCCUUGGGGUCCAAGGACUCCCAAGGGGGUCGGCCAAGCCAAGGGGGGAAGGUCUCCCCCCCCAAACCGAGUCCUACUUGGUUUGGUGGGUGGAGUCCUUCUUUCCUUUCCCACCUCCUCCUUUUUUUUCCUUUCUCUUUAAUUUUUCUUCCAAUGUGCAUAGGGCUCUUUUGGGCUGUCCCACCAGCCCACUAAGGGCUGGUGCGCCACCCUCAAAGCCUAUGGUCUUCCCCGGGGUGGGUUGCCCCCCCCCUGUGAACUCCCGGAACCCAUUCGUCAUUCCCGGUACAUUCCCGGUAACUCCGAAAACCUUCCAGUAAUCAAAUGAGGUCAUCCUAUAUAUCAAUCUUCGUUUCCGGACCAUUCCGGAAACCCUCGUGACGUCCGUGAUCUCAUCCGGGACUCCCAACAACAUUCGGUAACCAACCAUAUAACUCAAAUACGCAAAAAACAACGUCGAACCUUAAGUGUGCAGACCCUGCGGGUUCGAGAACUAUGUAGACAUGACCCGAGAGACUCCUCGGUCAAUAUCCAAUAGCGGGACCUGGAUGCCCAUAUUGGAUCCUACAUAUUCUAUGAAUAUCUUAUUGUUUGAACCUUAGUGCCAAGGAUUCAUAUAAUCCCGUAUGUCAUUCCCUUUGUCCUUCGGUAUGUUACUUGCCCGAGAUUCGAUCGUCAGUAUCCGCAUACCUAUUUCAAUCUCGUUUACUGGCAAGUCUCUUUACUCGUUCCGUAAUACAAGAUCCCGCAACUUACACUAAGUCACAUUGCUUGUAAGGCUUGUGUGUGAUGUUGUAUUACCGAGUGGGCCCCGAGAUACCUCUCCGUAACACGGAGUGACAAAUCCCAGUCUCAAUCCAUACCAAAUCAACUAACACAUUCGGAGAUACCUGUAGAGCAUCUUUAUAGUCACCCAGUUACAUUGCGACGUUUGAUACACACAAAGCAUUCCUCCGGUGUCAGUGAGUUAUAUGAUCUCAUGGUCAUAGGAACAAAUACUUGACACGCAGAAAACAGUAGCAACAAAAUGACACGAUCAACAUGCUACGUCUAUUAGUUUGGGUCUAGUCCAUCACAUGAUUCUCCUAAUGAUGUUAUCCCGUUAUCAAGUAACAAGACUUGCCUAUGGCCAGGAAAGCUUGGCCAUCUUUGAUCAACGAGCUAGUCAACUAGAGGCUUACUAGGGACAGUGUUUUGUCUAUGUAUCCACACAAGUAUUGUGUUUCCAAUCAAUACAAUUAUAGCAUGGAUAAUAAACGAUUAUCAUGAACAAAGAAAUAUAAUAAUAACUAAUUUAUUAUUGCCUCUAGGGCAUAUUUCCAACAGUCUCCCACUUGCACUAGAGUCAAUAAUCUAGUUCACAUCAUCAUGUGAUUCCAACGAAUCCAACACCCAUAUAGUUAUGGGGUCUGAUCACGUCUUGCUCGUGAAAGAGGUUUUAGUCAACGGUUCUGAAAUUUUCAGAUCCGUGUGUUCUUUACAAAUCUUUAUGUCAUCUUAUAGAUGAUGCUACUAUGUGCUAUUCGGAAAUACUCCAAAUAUCUACUCUACUAUACGAAUCCGUUUCACUACUCAUAGUUAUUUGGAUUAGUGUCAAAGCUUACAUCGAUGUAACCCUUUACGACGAACUCUUUAACCACCUCCAUAAUCGAGAAAAAUUCCUUAGUCCAUCAGUUACUAAGGAUAAAUUUUGACCGUUGCUAGUGAUUCAAUCAUGGAUCACUCUCUGUACCUCUCAACAGACUUGCUGCAAGGCACACAUCAGGUGCGGUACUCAGCAUGACAUACUUUAGAGUCUACGGCUAAGGCAUAGAUGACGACCUUCAUCUAUUGUCUUUAUUCCGCCGUGGUCGGGUUUUGAGUCUUACUCAAAUUCACACCUUACAACGCAACCAAGAACUCCUUCUUUGCUGAUCUAUUUUGAACUCCUUCAAAACUUGUCAAGGCAUGCAUCUUGUUGAAACUUCCAUUAAGCGCUUUGAUCUAUCUCCAUAGAUCUUGAUGCUCAACGUUCAAGUAGCUCAAUCCAGGUAUUCCUUUGAAAAGUCCUUUCAAACAACCUUGUAUGCUUUACAGAAAUUCUACAUUACUUCUGAUCCACAAUAUGUCAACCACAUAUACUUAUCAGAAAUUCUAUAGUGCUCCCACUCACUUCUUUGGAAAUACAAGUUUCUCAUAAACCUUGUACAAACCCAAAAUCCUUGAUCAUCUCAUCAAAGUGUAUAUUCCAACUCCGAGAUGCUUGCACGAGUCCUUUUAAGGAUCGCUGGAGCUUGCAUACUUGCUAGUAUUUUUAGGAUCGACAAAACCUCAUGGUUGUAUCUCAUACAAUGCUUGCUCAAGGAAACCGUCGAGGAAACAAUGUUUUGACAUCCUACAUGCAAUAUUUCUUAAAUAAUGCAGUAACUACUAACAUAAUUCUAACAGACUUUUAGCAUCGCUACGAGUGAGAAAGUCUCAUCAUAGUCAACUGUUUGAUCUUGUCGGAAACAUCUUUGCGACAAGUCGAGCUUUUCUUAAUAGUGACUUAUCACUAUCAUCGUCUGUUUUCCUUUUAAAGAUCCAUCCUUACUCAAUAGUCCUACGACCAUCAAGUAGUUCUUCCAAAGUCUACACUUUGUUUUCAUACAUGGAUCCUCUCUCGGAUUACAUGGCUUCCAGCCAUUUGUCGGAAUCUGGGCCCACCAUUGCUUUCUCCAUAACUCGUAGGUUCACUGUUGCUCAACAACAUGACCUCCAAGACAGGGUUACCGUACCACUCUGUAGUAGUACGCGACCUUGUCAACCUACGAGGCUUGUAGUAACUUGAUCCGAUGCUCGAUGAUCACCAUCAUCAGCCUUCACUUCAAUUGGUGUAGGUGCCACAGGAACAACUUCCUGCGCCCUGCUACACACUGGUUGAAGUGAUGGUUCAAUAACCUCAUCAAGUUCUACCACCCUCCCACUCAAUUCUUUCAAGAGAAACCUUUCCUCGAGAAAGGAUCCGUUUCUAGAAACAAACACUUUGCUUUCGGAUCUGAGAUAGGAGAUGUACCCAACUGUUUUGGAUAUCCUAUGAAGAUGCAUUUAUCCGCUUUGGGUUCGAGCUUAUCAGACUGAAACUUUUUCACAUAAGUGUCGAAACCCCAAACUUUCAAGAAACGACAGUUUAGAUUUCUCUAAACCUCAGUCUAUACAGUGUCAUCUCAACGGAAAUACGUGUUGCCCUAUUUAAAGUGAAUGCGGUUGUCUCUAAUGCUUAACCCAUAAACGAUAGUGGUAAUUCGAUAAGAGACAUCAUAGCAUGCACCAUACCAAAUAGUGUGUGGCUAUGACGUUCAGACACAUCAUCACACUAUGAUGUUCUAGGUGGCAUGAACUGCGAAACAAUUUCCACAUUGUCUUAAGUGCGUACCAAAACUCGUAACUCAGAUAUUCAUUUCUAUGAUCAUAUCGUAGACAGUUUAUCCUCUUGUUACGACGAACUUCACUCUGAAACAGAAUUGAACCUUUCAAUAUUUCAGACUUGUGAUUCAUUAAGUAAAUACUCUUGUAUCUACUCAAAUCGUCAUUGAAGUAAGAACAUAAUGAUAUCCACCGCGUGCCUUAGCACCCAUUGGACUGCAUACAUCAAAAUGUAUCACUUCCAACAAGUUACUAUAUUGUUUCAUCUCAAUGAAAACAAGGCCUUGCUCAUGUGGUAUGAUUUGCAUGUCACUAGUGAUUCAAAAUCAAGUGAGUACAAAGAUCCAUCAGCAUGGAGCCUCUUCAUGCAAUUUAUAACAACAUGACUCAAGCGGCAGUGCCACAAGUAAGUGGUUACUAUCAUCAUUACCUCGUGUCUUUUGGCACCAAUAUCAUGAACAUGUGUAACACUACGAUCGCGAUUCAAUAAACCAUUGAAGGUGAUUAUUCAAGAAAAUAGAGUAACUAUUAUUCUCUUUAAAUGAGUAAUCGUAUUGCAAUAAACACGAUCCAAUCAUGUUCAUGCUUAACGCAAGCACCAAAUAACAAUUAUUUAGGUUUAACACCAAUCCCGAUGGUAAAGGGAGCGUGCGCCGUUCGAUCAUAUCAACCUUGGAAACACUUCCAACACGUAUCGUCACCUCGCCUUCAGCUAGUCUCCGUUUAUUCCGUAGCUUUCAUUUCGUGUUACUAAUCACUUAGCAACCGAACCGGUAUCCAAUACCCUCGUGCUACUAGGAGUACUAGUAAAGUACACAUCAACAUCAUGUAUAUCAAAUAUACUUCUUUCGACUUUUGCCAGCCUUUUUAUCUACCAAGUAUCUAGAGUUGCUCCGUCUCAGUGACCGUUCCCCUCAUUAUAGAAGCACUUAGUCUCGGGUUUGGGUUUAAUCUUGGGUCUCUUCAUUAGUGCAGCAACUGUUUUGCCGUUUCACGAAGUAUCCCUUCUAGCCCUUGCCUUUCUUGAAACAUAGUGGUUUUACUAACCAUCAACUAUUGAUGCUCCUUCUUGAUUUCUACUUUCGCAGUGUCAAACAUCGCGAAUCUCUCAAGGAUCAUUGUAUCUAUCCUUGAUAUGUUAUAAUUCAUCACGAAGCUCUCACAGCUUGGUGGCAGUGACUUUGGAGAACCAUCACUAUCUCAUUUGGGAGAUUAACUCCCACUUGAUUCAAGCGAUUGUCGUACUCAGACAAUCUGAGCACACGCUUAACGAUUGAGCUUUUCUCCUUUAAUUUGUGGACAAAGAAUCUUGUCGGAGGUCUCGUACCUCUCAACAAGGGCACGAGCAUGAAAUCACAAUUUCAUCUCUUUAGAACAUCACUUAUGUUCCGUGACGUUUCAAAACAUCUUCGGUGCCUUGCUUCUAAGCCAUUAAGUAUUUUUAACUGAACUAUCGUGUAGUCAUCAGAAACGUGUAUUUCGGAUGUUCACAGCAUCCACAGACGACGCUCGAGGUGCAGCACACCGAGUGGUGCAUUAAGGACAUAAGCCUUCUGCGCAGAAACGAGGACAAUCCUCUUCAAAGUUUGCUACUAUCAACUUUCAACUAAAUUUUCUCUGGGAACAUAUAAAAACAGUAGAUCUAUAGCGCAAGCUACAUCGUAAUUCGCAAAGACCAUUAGCCUAUGUUCUUGACAACUAGUUCAAUUAAUCAUAUUACUUAAGAACUCCCACUCGAAAAGUACAUCUCUCUAGUCAUUUGAGUGGUACAUGAUCCAAAUCCACUAUCUCAAGUCCAAUCAUCACGUGAGUCGAGAAUAGUUUCAAUGGUAAGCAUCUCUAUGCUAAUCAUAUCAACUAUACCAUUCAUGCUCGACCUUUUGGUCUCAUGUGUUCCGAGGCCAUGUCUGCACAUGCUAGGCUCGUCAAGCUUAACCCGAGUGUUCUGCGUGUGCAACUGUUUUGCACCCGUUGUAUGUGAACGUUGAGUCUAUCACACCCGAUCAUCACGUGGUGUCUCGAAAGAAAGAACUCUCACAACGGUGCACAGUCGGGGAGAACACAAUUUCGUCUUGCAAUUUUAGUGAGAGAUCACCUCAUAAUGCUACCGUCGUUCUAAGCAAGAUAAGGUGCAUAAAGGAUUAACAUCACAUUGAAUUCAUAAGUGACAUGAUAUGGACAUCAUCAUGUGCUUCUUAAUCUUCAUCACCAAAGCACCGGCACGAUCUUCUUGUCACCGGCGUCACACCAUGAUCUCCAUCAUCAUGAUCUCCAUCAACGUGUCGCCAUCGGGGUUGUGGUGCUACUCAUGCUAUUACUACUAAAGCUACGUCCUAGCAAUAUAGUAAACGCAUCUGCAACCACAAACGUUAGUUUAAAGACAACCCUAUGGCUCCUGCCGGUUGCCGUACUAUUACAACAUGAUCAUCUCAUACAUCCAAUAUAUCACAUCACAUCGUUGGCCAUAUCACAUCACAAGCAUACCCUGCAAAAACAAGUUAGACGUCCUCUAAUUGUUGUUGCAUGUUUUACGUGGUGACUAUGGGUAUCUAGUAGGAUCGCAUCUUACUUACGCAAACACCACAACGGAGAUAUACGAAUUGCUAUUUAACCUCAUCCAAGGACCUCCUUGGUCAAAUCCGAUUCAACUAAAGUUGGAGAAACUGACACUUGCCAGUCAUCUUUGAGCAACGGGGUUACUCGUAGCGAUGAAACCAGUCUCUCGCAAGCGUACGAGUAAUGUCGGUCCAAGCCGCUUCAAUCCAACAAUACCGCGGAAUCAAGAAUAGACUAAGGAGGGCAGCAAAACGCACAUCACCGCCCACAAAAACUUUUGUGUUCUACUCGAGAAGACAUCUACGCAUGAACCUAGCUCUGAUACCACUGUUGGGGAACGUCGCAUGGGAAACAAAAAUUUUCCUACGCGCACGAAGACCUAUCAUGGUGAUGUCCAUCUACGAGAGGGGAUGUGUGAUCAACGUACCCUUUUAGACCAUACAGCAGAAGCGUUAGUGAACACGGUUGAUGUAGUGGAACGUCCUCACGUCCCUCGAUCUGCCCCGCAUUGUAUCCCGCGAUCAGUCCCACGAUCUAGUGCCGAACGGACGGCACCUCCGUAUUCAGCACACGUACAGCUCGACGAUGAUCUCGGCCUUCUUGAUCCAGCAAGAGAGACAGAGAGGUAGAAGAGUUCUCGGCAGUGUGACGGUGCUCCGGAGGUUGGUGAUGAUCUUGUCUCAGCAGGGCUCCGCCCGAGCUCCGCAGAAACGCGAUCUAGAGGCAAAACCGUGGAGAUAUGUGGUCGGGCUGCCGUGGGAAAGUCAUCUCAAAUCAGCCCUAAAACCUCCGUAUAUAUAGGUGGGAGAGGGGGAGCCUUGCCUUGGGGUCCAAGGACUCCCAAGGGGGUCGGUCGAGCCAAGGGGGGAAGAUCUCCCUCCCCAAACCGAGUCCUACUUGGUUUGGUGGGUGGAGUCCUUCUUUCCUUUCCCACCUCCUCCUUUUUUUUCUUUUCUCUUUGAUUUUUCUUCCAAUGCGCAUAGGGCUCUUUUGGGCUGUCCCACCAGCCCACUAAGUGCUGGUGCGCCACCCUCAAAGCCUAUGGGCUUCCCCGGGGUGGGUUGCCCCCCCCCCCCGGUGAACUCCCGGAACCCAUUCAUCAUUCCCGGUACAUUCCCGGUAACUCCGAAAACCUUCCGGUAAUGAAAUGAGGUCAUCCUGUAUAUCAAUCUUCGUUUCCGGACCAUUUCGAAAACCCUCGUGACGUCCGUGAUUUCAUCCGGGACUCCGAACAACAUUCGGUAACCAACCAUAUAACUCAAAUACGCAUAAAACAACGUCGAACCUUAAGUGUGCAGACCAUGCGGGUUCGAGAACUGUGUAGACAUGUCCCAAGAGACUCCUUGGUCAAUAUCCAAUAGCGGGACCUGGAUGCCCAUAUUGGAUCCUACAUAUUCUACGAAGAUAUUAUCGUUUGAACCUCAGUGCCAAGGAUUCAUAUAAUCCCGUAUGUCAUUCCCUUUGUCCUUCGGUAUGUUACUUGCCCGAGAUUCGAUCGUCAGUAUCCGCAUACCUAUUUGAAUCUCGUUUACCGGCAAGUCUCUUUACUCGUUCCGUAAUACAAGAUCCCGCAACUUACACUAAGUCACAUUGCUUGCAAGGCUUUUGUGUGAUGUUGCAUUACCGAGUGGGCCCCGAGAUACCUCUCCGUCACAUGGAGUGACAAAUCCCAGUCUCGAUCCAUACUGACUCAACUAACACCUUCGGAGAUACCUGUAGAGCAUCUUUAUAGUCACCCAGUUACGUUGCGACGUUUCAUACACACAAAGCAUUCCUCCGGUGUCAGUGAGUUAUAUGAUCUCAUGGUCAUUGGAACAAAUACUUGACACGCAGAAAACAGUAGCAACAAGAUGACACGAUCAACAUGCUACGUCUAUUAGUUUGGGUAUAGUCCAUCACAUGAUUCUCCUAAUGAUGUGAUCCCGUUAUCAAGUAACAACACUUGCCUAUGGCCAGGAAACUUGGCCAUCUUUGAUCAACGAGCUAGUCAACUAGAGGCUUACUAGGGACGGUGUUUUGUCGAUGUAUCCACACAAGUAUUGUGUUUCCAAUCAAUACAAUUAUAGCAUGGAUAAUAAACGAUUAUCAUGAACAAAGAAAUAUAAUAAUAACUAAUUUAUUAUUGCCUCUAGGGCAUAUUUCCAACACUUCCCCCAUCUAUAUUCAGCGGUCCACUCUCCCGCAACCCGCUGUACCCUCUACUUGAACAUGGUGCUUUAUGCUUCAUAUUAUUCUCCAAUGAUGUGUUGCCAUCCUAUGAUGUUUGAGUAGAUUUUCGUUGUCCUAUCGGUGAAUAAUGAAUUGGUUAUGUUGCUGUCCUUUGGUGCCCAUCAUAUGAGCGCGCGCGUGGAUCACACCACAGGGUUAUUAGUAUGUUCAUAGGACUAUGUAUUGGAGGGCAAGGGUGAUAGAAGCUUCAGCCUAGCAUAGAAAUUGAUGCAUACGGGAUUGAAGGGGGACCAAUAUAUCUUAUUGCUAUGGUUGGGUUUUACCUUAAUGAAUGUUAGUAGUUGCGGAUGCUUGCUAAUAGUUCCAAUCAUAAGUGCAUAGAAUUCCAAGUAAGGGAUGACAUGCUAGCAGUGGCCUCUCCCACAUAAAACUUGCUAUCGGUCUAGUAACGUAGUCAAUUGCUUAGGGACAAUUCCGCAACUCCUACCACCACUUAUCCACACUCGUUAAACUAACAUAAUUGUUUCUUUAUCUAAACAGCCCCUAUUUUUUAUUUACGUGUUCUUUAUUAUCUUGCAAAACUAUCCUAUCACACCUACAAAGUACUUCUAGUUUCAUACUUUUUCUAGGUAAAGCGAACGUAAAGUGUGCCUAGAGUUGUAUCGGUGGUUGAUAGAACUUGAGGGAGUAUUUGUCCUACCUUUAGCUACUCGUUAGGUUUGACACUCUUACUUAUCGAGAAAGGCUACAAUUGAUCCCCUAUACUUGUGGAUUAUCCAGACCUUUUUCUGGUGCCGUUGCCGGGGAGCAAUAGCGUGGGGUGAAUAUUCUCCUGUGUGCUUGUUUGCUUUAUCACCAAGUAGAUUUAUUUGCUGCUCUAAGUUGUUCUUUAUCUUUAGUUAUGUAUAUGGAACAUGAAAUACCGGAAAAAUUAGGUGUACUUGCUACUCAUGGAGAUGGGGAACCUCCUAAAACCCUCGAUGCUCGUUAUGUGGAAAAUAUUAUGCACUUCUUUAAUAAUCUUGAGAAAACCCCAUUCAAUUAUAUAAUGGGAUACACGUUGGAUCAACGUGAAUAGUUUAGGGAUUAUCGCUUGACUCAAAAAGGGAAACUAUUAUGGGAUCAAAUUCAUAUGUUGAAAUGGUAUGCUUGGGAUCUAUGCUUGAGAUAUGAUAUUACUUGUUGCUCUAGGAUAAAGGCUAAAGACCUUCCCUUUUCUUGUAAAUUUAAUGCUAAUGAAACCUUGGCUUCUUAUGCUAAUGGUAUAUAUGAUUACUAUGAUGUGUAACAAAUAGAAGAGUUUGUUGCUUUUAUGGGUGCUUAUGAAAUUCAAGCUCUGUUAACAAAGUGUGAUGAUAAUGAUGAUGUUGUUUACCGAUCUAAACUUUGGUUAUGCUUCGUUAUUGUUAUACUAAUUAUGAAUAUAAUGCCCAUAUUUAUCGAUUUAUGGAGAAAUUCUCCGCUGCCCAAGAAGAGAUAAUAUUUUGCACGAAACUAUGGAAGAAGAAAAUGCUGAAACUGUGAGCUCAUUAGAUGAAAAAGAUGACGAGGAGAGCGAAGAACAAAAGGAGGAAGAGCGGACUAGCUACCCGUGCCCACCUUCUAAUGACAGUAAUUCUUCAACUCAUACAUUGUUUAAUUUCCCUUCGUUCUUACCGAAGGAUGAAUGCUAUGUUGAUUGCUAUGAUCCCUUGGAUUCGUUUGAAAUAUCCCUUUUUGAUGAACUUGAUGCUUGCUAUGCUUGUGGCCAUGAUGCCAAUAUGAAUGAUGCUUAUGAAGAUGAACUUGCUAUAAUUCCUGAUGUUAAACAUGAAAUUGUUGCUAUCGCACCCACUUAUGAUAGUCCUAUUAUCUUUUUGAACUCUCCCAACUACACUAUAUCGUAGAAGUUUGCUCUUAUUAGGAUUACAUAGAUGGGUUGCCUUCUACUAUUACACACAAUGAUUUUUAUGAAUACAAUAUGCAUGUGCUUGCUGCUCCUACUUGCAAUUAUUAUGAGAGAGGAACUACAUCUCCACCACUCUAUGUUUCCAAUACGAUAAAAUUGCAAGAAACUGCUUAUGCUAUGUAUUGGCCUUUACUUGAUAUGCAUGAAUUGUUCUUUUAUGACAUGCCAAUGCAUAGGAAGAGAGUUAGAAUUCGUCAUUGUAUCAUAUAUUUUACCUUGUGCUCACUACUAAAUUACAAAUCAUUGUUAAUUAAAAUUGGCUUUGAUAUACCUUGGGAUCUGGGUGGAUCCAUUACUUGAGCACUUUAUGCCUAGCUUAAUCGCUUUAAAGGAAGCGCUGCCUGGGAGACAACCCGAAAGUUUUAGAGAGUCAUUUAUUUCUGUUGAGUUCUUUUAUAUAGUUUAAAAACAAAAAAAAAUAUAGGGGCAAGGGGGGGGGGGGGGAAAACUUUUUCAAAAAGAGAAGCGAUUGAAAGGUGAUGCAUUGCGGAAGUGAGGGUCGACCUUGAAUACUUGUGUUCAUGCUCAUGGAAACAAUGUAGAAUUUUUCAUGGAAGUUUCUCGCAAAAAUAAUUAUCCCCUUGUACAAUUCCAUUGUAUUAUAAAAAUAAUGUGCCAAGUAAAGCCUUUACGAUUAGUUUGGGUGAUAGUUGUUUGAUCAUGCUGAAAAAGACAGAAACUUUGCACUCACGAAAUCAUUUCUUAUUUAUAUACAGAGAGCGCUAUUGAGUCGAUUCUUUUUUGUUCUUAUUGAUAUACAAAUUUCCUUAGUUAUCAUAAAUUUUUCAGAAUUUUUGGAGUAUCAGAAGCAUGGUAUGUGUUUAGAUUACUACAGAUUGUUCUGUUUUUUGACAGAUUAUGUUUUCUAUGCAUUGUUCUCUUAUUUUGAUGAAUCUAUGGGUAGUAUCUGGGGGUAUGAACCAUGGUGAAGUUGGAUUAUAGUAGAUAUAAUGCUAAUAUGAAUUUGGAAUGAGUUCACAACAGUACUUAAAGUGGUGAUUUACUUUAUUAUACUAACAGAUCUCACGAAGGUUUUGUUGAGUUUUGUGUGAUUGAAGUUUUCAAGUUUUGGGUGAGACCACGAUGGAUGAAGGAAUAAGGAGAGGCAAGAGCCUAAGCUUGGGGAUGCCCGAGGCACCCCAAGGUAAUAUUCAAGGAAGACUCAAGCGUCUAAGCUUGGGGAUGCCCCGGAAGGCAUCCCCUCUUUCGUCUACAAUCUAUCGGUAAUUUUACUCGGAGCUAAAUUUUUAUUCGCCACAUGAUAUGUGCGAAUGCUUGGAGCGCCUUUGGUGUUUAUUUUNUUUUCCUUUUUAUUUUAUGCACCAUGCUGGUAUGAGAUAGUCCUUGGUUGAUUUAUAGAAUGCUCUUUGCACUUCACUUAUAUCUUUUGAGUAUGGCUUUAUAGAAUGCUUCAUGUGCUUCAUUUAUAUCAUUUGAAGUUUGGAUUGCCUGUUUCCCUACACAUAGAAAACCUCCAUUUGUAGAAUGCUAUUUUGCUUCACUUAUAUUUGUUAGAUCAGGGCAUAUCUUUUGUAGAAAGAAUUAAACUCUCAUGCUUCACUUAUACCUAUUUAGAGAGUUAACAGGAGUUGGUCAUUCACAUGGUUAGUCAUAAAAUCCUACAUAAAACUUGUAGAUCACUAAAUAUGAUAUGUUUGAUUCCUUGCAAUAGUUUUGCGACAUGAAGAUGUGAUAUUAGAGUCAUGCUAGUGAGUAAUUGUGUAUUCAUAGAAAUACUUGUGUUAGGGUUUGUGAUUCCCGUAGCAUGCACGUAUGGUUAACCGUUAUGUGACGAGGUCGGAGCAUGCUUUAUUUAUUGAUUGUCAUCCUUUGUGUGGAGGUCGGGAUCAUGCGAUGGUUAACUCCUACCAACCCUUCCCCUAGGAGCAUGCGUGUAGUACCUUGUUUUGAUUACUAAUAGACUUUUGUAAUAAGUAUGUGAGUUCUUUAUGACUAAUGUUGAGUCCAUGGAUUAUACGCACUCUCACCCUUCCACCAUUGCUAGCCUCUCUAGUACCGCGCAACUUUCGCCGGUGCAUUACACCCACCAUAUAACCUUCCUCAAAACAGCCACCAUAACUAAUUAUUAUGGCAUUUCCAUAGCCAUUCCAGGAUAUAUUGCCAUGCAACUUCCAUCGUUCCGUUUAUUAUGACACGCACCAUCAUUGUCAUAUUGCUUUGCAUGAUCGUAAGAUAGCUAGCAUGAUGUUUUCAUGGCUUGUUCAUUUUUUGAUGUCAUUGCUACACUAGAUCAUUGCACAUCCCGGUGCACCGCCGGAGGCAUUCAUAUAGAGUCAUAUUUUGUUCUAAAUAUCGAGUUGUAAGUAAAUAAAAGUGUGAUGCUCAUCAUUAUUAGAGCAUUGUCCCAUGUGAGGAAGUAAUAAAAGAGGCCAAUGAAGCCCAAAUAAAAAAAAAGGCCAAACAAGCCCACCAAAAAAAGGAAGAAUAAUAAAAAAAAAUGAGAGAAAAAAGAGAAGGGACAAUGCUACUAUCCAUUACCACACUUGUUCUUCAAAGGAGCACCAUGAUCUUCAUGAUAGAGAGUCUCCUAUGUUUUCACUUUCAUAUACUAGUGGGAAAUUUUCAUUAUAGAACUUGGCUUAUGUAUUCCAGUGAUGGGCUUCCCCAAAUUGCCCUAGGUCUUUGUGAGCAAGCGAGUUGGAUGCAUACUCACUAGUUUCUUUUUGAGCUUUCAUACACUUAUAGCUCUUGUGCAUCUGUUGCAUGGCAAUCCCUACUCACUCACAUUGAUAUCUAUUGAUGGGCAUCUCCAUAGCCCGUUGAUACGCCUAGUUGAUGUGAGACUAUCUCCUCCUUUUUGGGGGGGGGGGCCAUAUUCUAUUCCACCUAUAGUGCUAUGUCCAUGGCUCACGCUCAUGUAUUGCGUAAAAGUUGAAAAAGUUUGAGAACACUAAAGUAUGAAACAAUUGCUUGGCUAAAAACGGGGUUGUGCAUGAUUUAAAUACGUUGUGUGGGGAAGAUGGAGCAUAGCCAGACUAUAUGAUUUUGUAGGGAUUACUUUCUUUGGCAAUGAUAUUUUGAUAAGUCAUGAUUGCUUUGUUAGUAUGCUUGAAAUAAUAUUGACUUUAUGUCAAAGGCUAGACUAUUGCUUCCAAUCACUCGUGUUUUAGUAUACAUGCCAUGACUAGAUAUAUGAUCAAGAUUAUGCUAGGUAGCAUUCCACAUCAAAAAUUAUCUUUUUUAUCAUUUACCUACUCGAGGACGAGCAGGAAUUAAGCUUGGUGAUGCUGAUACGUCUCCAUCGUAUCUAUAUUUUUUGAUUGUUUCAUGCCAAUAUUCUACAACUUUGAUAUACUUUUCGCGACUUUUUAUACUAUUUUUGGGACUAACAUAUUGAUCUAGUGCCCAGUGCCAGUUCGUGUUUGUUGCAUGUCUUUUGUUUCACAUAAUAUCCAUACCAAACGAAGUCCAAAUGCAAUAAAAAAACAUACGGGGACUUUUGUUGGAAUAUUUAUGAUUUUUGGGAAGAAAAAUCAACGUGAAAUGAUGCCCGAGGUGGUCAUGAGCCCACGAGGCGCGCGCUACCCCCCAGGCGCACCUGGCAGGAUCGUGACCAACCCUAAUGUGGUUGGGCCCUUCUUUCGCACCAAGAAAGCUAAUAUCCGGAAGAAAAUCUUGUUAAAAGGACACCUCAAUCGGAGUUACGGAUCUCUGGGAAUUUAAGAAACGGUGAAAGGCCAGAAUCGGGGAGCGCAGAAACAGAAGGACACAGAGAGAAAUCCAAUCUCGGAGGGGCUCUCGCCUCUCCGCUACCAUGGAGAUUAUGGACCAGAGGGGACCCUUCUUCCAUCUAGGGAGGAGGUAUAGGAGGGGGGGGGGGGGGGCUCUCUCCCCCUCUCUCCCGGCGGCGCCGGAACGCCGCCCGGGACAUCAUUGUGUGAUGGCGAUCUACACCAACACCUCCGUCAUCUUCACCAACACCUCCAUCACCUUCUGUUGGGGAUAUUAUCUGCGGUGUGACCCGCCCUAAUUGGGCCGGGUCACCAAGUGGGCGACUCAUCCUUUGGCGAUUCAAGCUUUGGCCCAGUAGGCCCAGGAGCUGGAUGGCGGUUCAAGAUCCACGUGGAGAAUCAAUUAUCGGGGAGUUCUCCAGUCUUGGAAAGCACGACAAUUUAGAGAUAGAAAGAAUCAUGACUUGUGCUAUGGCAAGGACUCUUGUAAACCCUAAGGGCUCGACCUGUAUAUAUAGGCGAGUCCCUAGAAAGGAGAGGACCUGUUAGAAAUCAUCGAGAGCUAGGUCAGGUGAGUUACGCCCUCCUUGUAAUCGAAACAUCAUCAAUACGACACAAAGCAUGACGUAGGCUUUUACCUCUUCAUGAGGGGCCGAACCUGGGUACAUCUGAGUCCCGCUCCCAUUCAACCCCUUUGAGUCGCCACCAAGGUGAGAUGGCUCCAUCAUUAAGUCCUUUCACUAGGACAUCUGCCAUGACAAAACCACGACAGUAGGCGCCCACCGUGGGGCUAACGCACGGUGGAGUUGAGUUCUCAAAGGGAUCCCUACCAGGGUUAGGGAACUACGCGGAUGGGCUCAUGACCCGGAGCCACCGCGAAAAGUACUACACCGACAACUCGCUGUGGGGGCCCGAGGCCGAUUUAAUCGAAUCCGGCUACAGAGUCCCCUUCGGCAAGGUCAACAUCUUCAUCGGCAUGGUCGGUGCACCCAUGCCUGAGUCGGACAUCUUCACCGACACCGUCGAGACGGCCAGGUAUGUCCGUCCCGUCGCGCUGCCAAGCCUGACGCUCCCAGUCUUCGUCGUCUUCACACAGGGAUCUGAUGAACAAGAGCGAUCGGCAACUCAGGAGACUACGCCGGUCAACACUGACGACGAGUCAUCCAUGGGCGACACAGAUUCAAUCCAAUCCCUGCACGAAGGCUGCCUUGGAGAUCUGUCGCUGGCAAUGGAUCCCGAAGUCCUCGAUCGGACCCGCCGUCAGAUUGCCAUAUAAAUGGCGGGGGCCACACAUUCCCAACAAAACCCUGCAGGCAACAACAAGGCUGGCGAACCAUCCAAAAGCCCAACUGUGGUCCUGGUGGACCUGUCGGCGGAGAUAACGAGUCUUAUGGUGACCCCUGUGACGACAGAAAAUCAAGGAACAAUAAAUGCCGAGUUGGCAAAGCUGCGAGAUGAGAUGGCGAAGGCCCAACGAGAUGCAGAAGCGGAAGCCGCCAGGAUUGAGACUCGGCAAGCCCAGAUCACCAUGGAGACGACCCGCUUGAACACCGAGAACUGGCGACUUGAAAGACAUCAGCGCGCGUCCGGCACUGUCCAUCAGAGGAGGCACCAGGGGCGUUUACACCCUGAUCUGAACCCUACCCGCCUUUUCGACACUCCACGCACCCCCGGGGCAGGAACCGUUCCAGGGGAGGGCCGGCUCAGCCGCCAAACCCGCCGACUCAGCCAUCAGAUGAUCGCGUUCCUCGUUUCCAGACGCCUGAGGGCCACUUUCCAACCGCAUGGACAACGUGCUCGCUGCGACUCGCCACUUAGAAUCCCUUCCGAUUUAUGGCAACACCCCGGCUGAAAUAGAAGCAAGAAACACCAUUGAGAUGUGGAAAACGGCGGUGGUCUAGAACGCGCAAUUCUUUAACAGCCUUGACCGGCUGCACUCCACCCCCCAGGCGAGCCGCACCAGAAGCCGGCCAGAGGACUAACCCGCCAUAACCAGCGGACCGCGACACCUACCUCAGGGUAACCCGCCUGACCAUCGGGACCGUCCCGCCCGCAACACCUUUGGUGCAACAGGCCAGGAUCAUCAGGGCAACAUCCAACCCCACCCAGCACCACUUAGUGGAGGCGACAGGCAAGUCGGGGUGCCGUGCUUGGCCCUUUCCUGCGCAACGAGCGAAUGCCAAAGGACUUUAAAGGACCAAGGAAGGUGCCCAACUACACCCCGGACCUUGAGCCAGCAUCAUGGGCUGAGAGUUACGGACUCGCAAUGGACAUGCUCGACAUGAGUGAAGCAGUCUGUGCCAGGUACUUUACAAUGAUGCUCGAAAGAACGACGCACACUUGGUUGAAAAACCUUCCACCCAACUCCAUCCAGACAUGGGUUGAACUGAAGGAACGUUUCAUCAAAAACUUUCGAGGAACAUGCAAACGCCCAAUGACGAUCGUCGACUUACAGCAUUGCGUUCAGCGCCCGAUGAGUCGGCCCACCACUGGACGCGGCGGGUUGCGGAAACCAUCCACUCGUCAGACGGCAUCACGGCGGCUCAAGCCAUGCUGAUCCUGGAGCAAAACUGCCACUAUGAUCCCUUGGUACAGAAGCUGGGGCGACUCAAGCGCAAGGUCCAGGAUAUGGGCGAAUUAAUGGACACCCUCACUCGGUAUGCCGAAGCAGACGAUACCAAAAAUCCAGGAGAGGGCAGCAGCAAGGCCAACUCGCCGAGGAAAGGCGAGUCAUCCAAGAAUCACUCCCGGUUUCAGGGACGCGCCCACCACAAUCAUGGUGGAAAUGGCAAGAGAAGGCAGCAGGAAGGAUCCACAGACUUCGUGGCCAACACCAAUGCUAUCAAUGGCAACCAGCGCCAGAAGAAGAGGGGUUACAGUGGCAAGAAGCCGCGCAACUAUAACGAGAUAAUUAAGGGCCCCUGCCCACAUCACGCCACGGCGGAAGGACCGACGACCCACUCUUGGGAAGAAUUUCGAGCGGAGACACUCAAGAGAGGCCAAACUGGUGACCAGAGCCAACGGCAGGAACAGUUUGGUGCGCCUAAUCAAUGCCAGAACCCGUUCGGCGGUUUUCCCGAACCAGGGGCCUAGGGCAGCUCGCAACCAAGCAGUGGCCAGUACCCUGUGCAUAACCAGCAACGGUAUAACCCGCCCGGAGCAUUCCAACAACCACCCCCACAGGGGGCUCCCCAGGGGCAAGAUGAUAAUGGCGGAUUCCGCAGCAAUCCCAAACAAUUAAACAUCGGACAAUACCAGGUGUUCACCACUAGUGCAUGUAAGCGAGACAAGAAGGUGAAGCACAAGACGUAUAGCGUGUCCGAGCCGACACUCCCUAGGUACCUCCAUUGGUCUGAGCAGACUAUCUCCUGGAGUAGGGAGGACCACCCGCCCAGAAUCGACAACCCCGGCGACUUGGCAUUGGUCGUGGCCCCCCAAGUCGGGGGAUAUACCCUUUCAAAGGUUCUUAUGGAUGGUGGUAGUAGCAUCAACAUAUUAUAUUUCGACACCUUUCGAAGGAUGAACCUCUUGGAAAAGACCUAAUGCCGUCAACCACGGUAAUCCAUGGUAUCGUUCCGGGUAAGUCAGCAUAUCCAAUUGGGCGGGUCAAACUUAAUGUGGCUUUUGGUAUAGCAUCCAAUCAGAGGAGUCAGUCUCUUAUAUUUGAGGUGGUCAAGCUAAAGAGCCCUUACCAUGCGUUGUUCGGGCGGCCGGCUUACGCCCGAUUCAUGGCUCGCCCCUGCUAUGUCUACCUUAAACUCAAGAUGCCUGCCCCUAAGGGACCCAUCCCGGUCGAUGGUGACAGGAGGAUAGCAAAGGAGUGUGAGGAAGGAGAUGCAGCUUACGCAGAAAUCGCCUGUGCUGCAGAAGAACUCAAGUAUCACCAAGCCAAUGUUAACCCGGAGGACAUGUCGCCCCUCAAGAAGCCAACAACUGAUGCCGAGCCGCUCCUCAAGUUUAAGCCAACGGAUGACACUAAGAUGGUGGACUUUACUCCUGGCGAUUCAUCCAAGCAGUACACUAUCGGGGCGAGUCUGGAUCCUAAAAAGGAAAGCGCACUCAUCGAAUUCAUCCGUGAGACUCGGGACAUCUUCGCAUGGAAACCUUCUGACAUGCCUGCUGUACGAAGAGAAUUCGCUGAGCACCAUCUUAAUGUUGACCCUAAAGCAAAGCCGAUUCAGCAAUAUCUUCGUAGGUUUAAUGAGGAGCGACGCAAGGCGAUCGGAGAAGAAGUCGUCCGUCUUUUGGCCGCCAGAUUUAUCGUUGAGGUCUUCCACCCUAAAUGGUUGGCUAACCCGGUCCUGGUGCUCAAGAAGAACAAGACUUUCUGCAUGUGCAUCGACUACAGCGACCUCAACAGAGCUUGCCCAAAAGAUCCAUUCGCCCUUCCUCGCAUUGAUCAAAUCAUUGAUUCGGUUGCGGGCUACGACCGUUUGUGUUUCUUGGACGCCUACUCCGGAUAUCACCAAAUCAAGAUGGCUGUGGAAGAUCAGGAGAAGACAGCUUUCAUAACCCCGUUUGGGGCGUUUUGCUAUGUAUCCAUGCCGUUUGGGCUCAAGAGCGUUGGGGCGACUUACCAGCGUUGUAUCCAAAACUGUCUCCGCGGCCAAAUCGGACGCAACGUCCACGCUUACGUUGAUGACAUCAUGGUUACAUCUCGCAAGAAGGAGACGCUCUUGGAGGAUCUCAAGGAAACCUUUGACAAUCUGCGGGUGCAUUAGAUGAAGCUUAAUCCCACCAAAUGUGUCUUUGGCGUCCCCGUAGGAAAGCUUUUGGGUUUUCUGGUGUCCGAACACGGCAUUGAAGCCAACCCGGACAAAAUCGAAGCAAUCACUUCGCACGGGAAACCAACGAAUAUUAAUCAAGUUCAACGCAUGGCGGGUCGUAUGGCGGCCUUGAGUCGCUUUAUAAGCCGCCUGGGGGAGAAAGCCAUUCCCCUCUAUCAGUUGCUUAAGAAAACUGAUCGUUUUGAUUGGACAGACGAGGCCAACGAAGCUUUCGAAACUCUAAAGCAGCAGCUGGUCAACUCGUCGGUUCUGGCCGCCCCGACUAAAAAGGAACCUAUGCUUUUAUACAUCGCGGCGAAUACCAAGGCGGUGAGCGUGGCGGUGGUUGUUGAACGGAAGGAAGAAGGAAAGGAAUACCCGGUACAGUGCCCGGUUUAUUUUGUCAGCGAGGUGCUAACCCUCUCCAAACAACGUUAUCCGCAUUGGCAGAAGUUGGUUUAUGGGGUCUUUAAGGCAAGUCAGAAGCUAAAACAUUAUUUCCAAGAACAUCCUAUCACGGUGGUUAGCUCCGCCCCUCUCGGGGACAUCAUCCAUAACCGAGAAGCAAUGGGGCGAAUCGCCAAAUGGGCGAUUGAGCUUGGGCCGCACCACGUGCGGUAUGCGCCUCGCACAGCUAUCAAGUCCUAGGCGUUGGUCGACUUCAUCAAUGAUUGGACCGAGUUGCAGAUUCUGGAAGACAGGCCUGUUCUCAUGUACUGGACUAUUUAUUUUGAUGGGUCUAGGCAAUUGGAAGACUCGGGGGCUGGCGUGGUGUUGAUUUCACCCCAGCGAGACAAGUUAUGUUAUGUUCUCCGACUCAUGUUCCCGUUUACCAAUAACGAUGUGGAGUAUGAAGCCAUGCUUCAUGGUUUGCGACUCGGGAAGGAGAUGAACCUCACACGCGUUAGAUGUUUUGGCGAUUCCGAUCUAGUGGCCCAACAAGCUUCACGUACAUGGGAUUCCCGGGACCCCCUAAUGGCGGCUUACAGAAGGGCUGUGUCUGAUGUGGCGGGUCAUUUCCAUGGUUAUCAAGUCGAUCAUAUCGACCGGUGACUUAACGAAGCAGCUGAUGCCCUCUCGCGUCUCGGCUCAAAACGUAAGCUGGUUCCUCCUAAUGUCUUUCUGGAUAUUCUGCAUAAUCCUUCCGUAAGAUUGCCCUCAGAACAAGAGUUGGCGAUACCAGAUCCUGAGUCCCAGUUUGUGGCGGCUCUCCGUGUUACGCCGGAUUGGUUUGUUCCUUACUUGGUGUACCUCACACGAGGCGAGUUACCUUCAGAUGAGGUAUUGGCCCGUCAAAUCGUUCGACGGAGUAAAUCCAUGGUCAUCAUCAACGGUGAGUUAUAUAAGCGAAGUACUUCUGGACGAAAUCCAUGCCGGAGAUUGCGGCCAUCAUGUCGGGUCACGUUCCUUGGUUUCCAAGGCGUUCCGACAUGGAUUUUUUUGGUUGACGGCUCAUGCGGAUGCAGAAGAGAUAGUUCGUCGAUGUGAUGCCUGUCAACGAUUUGGACAACACGCACAUGUGCCGACUCAAGAACUAAGGAUGAUCCCUAUCACUUGGCCUUUCGCGGUUUUGGGGUUAGAUAUGGUUGGCCCUUUUAAGAUGUAAUCCAAUAAAAAACUCAUCUACUGGUGGCGGUUGAUAAAUUCACCAAGUCGGUCGAAGCAGAGCUUGUUGGCAGCUGUGAUGCAGAAACGACCAUCAAAUUCUUGAAAAAGUUGAUAUUCCGGUUUGGAUACUGCUUAGCAGUCCUCGGCAACGACACCAGAAGAAUGUUGUUGACGAGUCCUUGACUUGAUGCCUUCGCGACAACAAAGCCAGAACUUCUCCCAGUUGCUCAACAAUUAGCAAUUGUCUUGCAAUGGCCCCCCAGCGCGUGGGUUCGCGGCAGUUUUCGAGGAUAGAGUAUUGGACCCAAAUUUGUUGCUACGCCAGUCAGGAGGUGAGAGAAUACUCUCGAGUAUUAGCAGCUGAAUGUGUCAGAUUCAACCACACCUGAAAGAUUAGUAUCUGCAAGCAAAUUAUCAGCAGCAAAGUAGUAUGAUAACAAUGGUGUCAGAAACGACAUGUUGACACGGCGGACUAUUUCUAACGGUCGUAUCAAUGGCGCCAAAAGUUGCCCGUUGACGGAAAUUGUAUUUUCCCGUCAACGCUGAGCAAACCAGAAUUGUAGCAGAUAGCAGCAGUGUAACGAGUAACAGCAGUAGCAAGGAACAACAGUAGUGACAGUGGUAGCAAGUAGCAACAGUAGCAAGUAGCAGCAGUAGCAAGCGACAGUAGUAACAGCAGCAGUGCAGAGCAAGUAACAACAGUAACAACAGUGGGACAAACUCGUAGGCAAUGAGUCGGUGAUUCAUUUGGAUGAUAUUCAUCAUGCAACAGUUAUAACACGGAGAGAUAUGUGGCUAGCUCCCGUUCGUCAAUGUGAUGUAGGCAUGCAUUCCGUGUGUAGUCAUACGUGCUUAGGGAAAAGAACUUGCAUGACAUUUAUUGUCCAUCCCUCCCAUGGCAGCGGGGUCCAAAAGGAUACUACGGGAUAUUAAGGUUCUCUUUUUAAUAAAGAACCAGAACAACGCAUUAGCACUUGGUGAACACAUGAACUCCUCAAACUAUGGUCAUCACCGGGAGUGGUUCUGGUUAUUGUCACUCCGGGGUUGCCGGGUCAUAACACAUAGUAGGUAACUACAACUUGCAAGAUCGGAUCUAAAACACACAUAUAUUGGUGACAACAUAAUAAUUUCAGAUCUGAAAUCAUGGCACUCGGGCCCUAGUGACAAGCAUUAAGCAUGGCAAAGUAGUAGCAACAUCAAUCUCAGAACAUAGUGGAUACUAGUGAUCAAUCCCCAUCAAAACUAACUCGAUUACAUGAUAGAUCUCAUCCUGCUCAUCAACGCCCAGCGAGCCUAUGAAUAGAUUACUCACGAACGAUGAAGAGCUUCAUGGAAUUGGAGAGGGAAGAAGGUUGAUGAUGACGAUGGCGACGAUUUCCCCUCUUCGGAGCCCAAAACGGACUCCAGAUCUGCCCUCCAGAUGAAGAACAGGAUGUGGCGGCGCCUCCGUUUCGCAAACGCGUCGAAAUCUUCUCCAAAACGGACUUCUGAUGUGGGGGCGGCAGAGGCACGUGGGCCCCACAAGCUUGGUUGUCGCGGCCAGGGGGUGGCCGCGGCAACACGGCUUGUGGCCCACUGGCCCAUCCCCUCCGGUGGAUCUUUGCGCAGGUAUUUUUCAUAUUUUCCAGGAAAAUUCUCCGUAAAUUUUCAAGACGUUCCAAGAACUUUCAUUUCUGCACAAAAACAACACCAUGGCAAUUCUGCUGAAAACAACGUCAGUCCGGGUUAGUUCCAUUCAAAUCAUGCAAAUUAGAGUCCAAAACAAGGGCAAAAUAGUUUGGAAAAGUAGAUACGAUGGAGACGUAUCAGAUACCCACACAGCAUUAUCACUCAUAAUGGUACCAAUUUAUCACAAGGGGCGAUGCAGGAGUUUUGCAACCGGAAGCACAUCCGGCUUGAUGUGUCUGCAGCCGCUCAUCCCCAAUCUAAUGCGUAGGCAGAACGGGCGAAUCAGGAAGUACUACGAGGAAUCAAGCCCCGACUUAUGGUUGUGCGCACCCCAGGGUGUUGUAUUGAGGAGUUGCCUCGGUAUUAUGGAUCAUUCGAACCAUCACGAAUCGUUCUACGGGUUUUACUCCUUUCUUCCUGGUGUACGAAGCAGAAGUCGUUCUUCCCAGUGACAUUAGGCAUGACUCGCCCAGAGUCGCCGCUUAUGUGGAACAGGAUAAUGAGUUGGCACGUCAGGAUUCUUUGGAUGCUUUGGAGGAAGCACGCGAUUUGGCUGCGUCCCGAUCGGCUAUCUAUCAGCAAGAUUUGCGGCGUUAUCAUAGCCGCCGGGUCAAGAGCCGAGCUUUUCAGGAGGGCGACUUAGUGCUCCGUUUGAUCCAAGAACGCACUCGCAUGCAUAAGUUGUCACCACCAUGGGAAGGACCGUUUGUCGUCAGCAAAAACCUUCGCAACGAGUCAUACUAUUUGGUCGAUCUUCGGCCUGAUCGGCCAACCACGGAGGCUGAGUCAACUCGCCCCUGGAACAUAGCCCAUCUGCGGCCUUACUACACUUGAGCUAUUGGCUCCCCUUUUUCCUUUCUCUCCCAUCUUUGAAGAUUGUAAUUCUCUCAUUUAUAUAAAGAAAUAAACUUGAUACCCACGAAUUUUGGGUUUUUCCUGCCACUUCAUCUUCUUGAAAGCAUGGAUCUUUAUUGUUCUUCGACAAGUCGCCCAAACAUGGACGCUAUGAAUACCAGAGAGCAUAAGUUGCCAUGUUGCACUUAUUACAACACUGGGUAUCGAUAAGCCAAAGAGGAUCAAGUCGCUACACGCGCACGAUUCAAACAUGGGCGCCUUAUAUGAUUCUGAGGAUUAGGCCGGCUUACUUGGGGGCUAUCGGCCCCCAAGUCGUUUUGUGGUAAGAGCGUAUACGCUUCUACAAUCCAAUGACCGGUCUUUCCCCUAAUCAUAGGUCACUUGGGGGCUUCCUCUCACUGAGAUAAGCCUAAUUACCCAUUUGGCUAGCAAAAAUUACCGCACUACAAAUGGUUAUACUGGACUGUGUGUUGGCCAAAUCGCCAUAUGGACCCAUGAACUCUUGGCGAGUCAAUCCACUAUUUGGACCCUCAACUCACCUUGGUUAAAAUAUGCAUUGUACCGGCUAGCGCCCCACAUGGAAAAUAGGGAAACCAUUGGUUCAUUGAACCUGCUUCACCGAAGCUUGACUCGCGCCUGAUCAGCCGGUCUAAAUACUUGAGCUUUUUUAUACAAAAAGUCUCCCUUGGGUAGCACUAGAGUUUGUGUAACUCGUCCUAUCCUGUCGCGACUUGAACGAGCCGGCGAAAUUCUUACUCUCACCUUCCUCGCACUGCCACAAGGUUUCACAGAUUUAUAAUAUUUGCUGGAUCUUGUUGAGCCGGGUUUUCUUCAUAUAACUCACCAAGACACCUUGAGUCGGUUAUUAUUUAUUAUCGUCAAUUACUCAUUGAGAUGGUUUGAUGUAUGCUUUUGUUAGCCCAACAGGUUGCUGAUCAAAAUCUUUAUUGACACGGCGGGUCAAGCAUCAUAGGAACCCCAAGGGCGGCACAAGGUUUUUUAAGGAUCACAGAAGAGUUCCGCAACAGGCAUAAGCAAGGGAUUGUUUUCUACAAAAACCUAUUACAUGGCUCGGAUGGCCAAAUCAGUAAGAUCUAUUCUGCUAGUGCCUCCGGGUCAACUUGCCCCGAGCUCUGGCCGACUUCAAGUUGUAAAUCGCCCAGUACCCAAUUACACUUGGAUAGAGCGGCAAAUUCGUCUUCAUCAUUCAAAAAUGCCGAGAGAUCAGAUUCCAAAUCAAAAGGGUUCUUGGGCCGACGAGGAGUUAAGCUGGUUGUCACGAACGACGGCGGAUUAACUUUCUUGUUCUUGUCAUCAUAAGCGGCUUGGUACUUUGAUAAAUCCAAGCUCGCUGCUAGCUGAGUCGCCACAGAGCGUGAUUCCUUGACAACAUGCUGAUAAUCAUCUUGAGUAAACUCUGACCCGUCAUCCUUGAGCUAUGGAAAGCCUGCUGCUACCUCUUCGGGCUUCAGUUCUCGAGCAUAUGCCAAACACCGACUCAAGGUAGUCAGCGCCCCCUUCCGGGAGGCUGAUCGGGUUAGCUCACCUAUCUGAGGUGGAAGGGUUGAUAGGCAGCCAAGCAUCUUUUUUAUUGAUGUGAUUGGUUCCUUGGUUCCCAUCACUGCCUUCAUGGUCAGCAUGCUUCCAACAUACAACUGCUCAAUUAGUGUGUAAAUCGCCUUUAACUUCAAGAUGCAGUCGUCUUGAAGGUUGGAGGCUCUCGGGCCGGCGUAAGAAAGACAAUGAUGGUUAGUACUUUGUCUUUUUUACACUACUCUUUUCUCAGAUAUACAAAACCAAGGAUUCCUUACCGAAAAAGGCAUGUGUCAUGUUGGAAAUAUGUUUCUUUAAAUCGGCCAGCUCUUGUUGCACGGCUUCCAGUUUUGUUUCAGCCAUUUCCUCUCGCUUUAGCGCGGUGGCCUGAUCAGCUUGAGCCUUUUUAUUUGCGGCUUUCAGCUUUUCCAUAUCAGCUAAGAUCGCCUGGUAUUUUUCUUAUGCUUGAGCCCGCGCGUCUUGCUGGUUGGCUAAACUUUUCUUUAAGUCGCCCAACGCCGACUCAGCUUGGGCCAGAGAUUCCUGUCAAUAUAUUAUCAAGGGACAAGUCUCAGAAUUAUUGCAAGCAACAUCCCUGACACUUGGGCGCUAAUGUAUAAUUUUUUAGACAAAAUUAUGCCACAAUCAAGACCUGGCUCAUCUUUCAAAAGAUGACCCGGCCCUUGGGGGUUACAGGUCGAAAGUUUUUUCUACAUCAAGACCUGGCUCAUCUUUCAAAAGAUGACCCGACCCUUGGGGGCUAAUGAGGAGGAUAUGCAUUAAGGCGUACCUCAUGUUUAUUCUUCAUCAUAUGGAGUAGGUUCUUCUCCAUUUCAUAACUUGUUUCCAGGCGACUCGCGAAGCCGAAGCAGAGCUCAUCAAACUCAAUUUUUUCAUAUUGAGAAAGUUUUGCUUUGGAAAUCUCAUGUCAAGUGGAAGGAUGGGACGAUGUUGAUUCAUGCUUUGAUAAGAUUGUCGAAGCCGGCUUAGAGAAGCCAGUACCAGUAAUGACCACAGCGCCAGGAUCUUCAGCCGCCUUCAACGGAUUUGACAGGUUGGGCGCUUCCAUGCCUUCCUUGGGAGAACUUGGAAGGUCAACUCGGUCAUCAGAUAUAUCUUUUGCCGGGUCAGCACGAGCCGGUGUUGGGUUUUCUUUAAGUUCUGGAGCCAGAGUGGAAGUUGAGCCGCCAGUUUUUCUCUUCUUCGCUUGCGCUCUAAGGAAAAGAGGGUCAUGCUAAGAGCAAGCAUCAUUAUCAUUAGGAGAGACAUAAGUAUUAUAAGGACUUACCCUUGUACGCGAAUCAUUGGAGGAAGGGCCGACAUCACUGAGUCGCCGACGAAGGGGGAGAAGUCUGCAAAAGUAAUAUCUCAAAAUGUGAGAAAGUUACAAGUGUGAUCCAAAAGAAAACGAAGGUGGAAAUUGAUAAGAGGGUACGUCAUUUUUCCGUUUCUUGGUAGGGGGUUUUACUGGUAACCCGGACACCAAAUCGCUAGAGUGGCUUCGAGUCUUCCGAAAGGAAGCGUGUUGCGUCUUCUUCAAGAGGAAAUUAGGGUCCAGACAAGCAUUCAGGUGAGACAUGGGAACUUUCCCACAAACUCACCUGGCCGGCUUAGGCGAAGGAGAAGAUGAGUCGAAAGAAAUAGAAAUUACAUCUACGGCAUAAUCCUGGAUUUCGUUAUCAUCAUUCUAUACAUAGAAAUGCAGAGAUAUAAGCACAAAUUAGAGCAAAGGGCGUCAAGACAAAGAAGAUAAAAUUUACCUGUGAAGACGCUUCGUUGACUUGGGAUUCGUCCACAUCAGACGAUUCUGUUGGAAAUAUGCCCUAGAGGCAAUAAUAAAUUAGUUAUUAUUAUAUUUCUUUGUUCAUGAUAAUCGUUUAUUAUCCAUGCUAUAAUUGUAUUGAUUGGAAACACAAUACUUGUGUGGAUACAUAGACAAAACACUGUCCCUAGUAAGCCUGUAGUUGACUAGCUCGUUGAUCAAAGAUGGCCAAGGUUUCCUGGCCAUAGGCAAGUGUUGUUACUUGAUAACGGGAUCACAUCAUUAGGAGAAUCAUGUGAUGGACUAGACCCAAACUAAUAGACGUAGCAUGUUGAUGGUGUCAUUUUGUUGCUACUGUUUUCUGCGUGUCAAGUAUUUGUUCCUAUGACCAUGAGAUCAUAUAACUCACUGACACCGGAGGAAUGCUUUGUGUGUAUCAAACGUCGCAACGUAACUGCGUGACUAUAAAGAUGCUAUACAGUUAUCUCCGAAGGUGUUAGUUGAGUUAGUAUGGAUCGAGACUGGGAUUUGUCACUCCGUGUGACGGAGAGGUAUCUCGGGGCCCACUCGGUAAUACAACAUCACACACAAGCCUUGCAAGCAAUGUGACUUAGUGUAAGUUGCGGGAUCUUGUAUUACGGAGUGAGUAAAGAGACUUGCCGGUAAACGAGAUUGAAAUAGGUAUGCGGAUACUGACGAUCGAAUCUCGGGCAAGUAACAUACCGAAGGACAAAGGGAAUGACAUACGGGAUUAUAUGAAUCCUUGGCACUGAGGUUCAAACGAUAAGAUCUUCGUAGAAUAUGUAGGAUCCAAUAUGGGCAUCCAGGUCCCGCUAUUGGAUAUUGACCGAGGAGUCUCUCGGGUCAUGUCUACAUAGUUCUCGAACCCGCAGGGUCUGCACACUUAAGGUUCGACGUUGUUUUAUGCGUAUUUGAGUUAUAUGGUUGGUUACCGAAUGUUGUUCGGAGUCCCGGAUGAGAUCACGGAUGUCACGAGGGUUUCCAGAAUGGUCCGGAAACGAAGGUUGAUAUAUAGGAUGACCUCAUUUGAUUACCAGAAGGUUUUCGGAGUUACCGGGAAUGUACCAGGAAUGACAAAUGGGGUCCAGGAGUUCACCGNGAUUAUAUGAAUCCUUGGCACUGAGGUUCAAACGAUAAGAUCUUUGUAGAAUAUGUAGGAUCCAAUAUGGGCAUCCAGGUCCCGCUAUUGGAUAUUGACCGAGGAGUCUCUCGGGUCAUGUCUACAUAGUUCUCGAACCCGCAGGGUCUGCACACUUAAGGUUCGACGUUGUUUUAUGCGUAUUUGAGUUAUAUGGUUGGUUACCGAAUGUUGUUCGGAGUCCCGGAUGAGAUCACGGACGUCACGAGGGUUUCCGGAAUGGUCCGGAAACGAAGGUUGAUAUAUAGGAUGACCUCAUUUGAUUACCAGAAGGUUUUCGGAGUUACCGGGAAUGUACCAGGAAUGACAAAUGGGGUCCAGGAGUUCACCGGGGGGGGGGGGCAACCCACCCCGGGGAAGCCCAUAGGCAUUGAGGGUGGCACACCAUCCCUUAGUGGGCUGGUGGUACAACCCAAAAGAGCCCUAUGCACAUUGGAAGAAAAAUCAAAGAGAAAAAAAGGAGGAGGUGGGAAAGGAAAGAAGGACUCCACCCACCAAACCAAGUAGGACUCGGUUUGGGGGGAGACCUCCCCCCCUUGGCUCGGCCGACCCCCUUGGGAUUCCUUGGACCCCAAGGCAAGGCUCCCCCUCUCCCACCUAUAUAUACGGAGAUUUUAGGGCUGAUUUGAGACGACUUUGCCAUGGCAGCCCGACCACAUAUCCCCACGGUUUUGCCUCUAGAUCGCGUUUCUGCGGAGCUCGGGCGGAGCCCUGCUGAGACAAGAUCAUCACCAACCUCCGGAGCCCCGUCAACCUGCCGGAGAACUCUUCUACCUCUCCGUCUCUCUUGCUGGAUCAAGAAGGCCGAGAUCAUCGUCGAGCUGUACGUGUGCUGAACGCGGAGGUGCCGUCCGUUCGGCACUAGAUCGUGGGACUGAUCGCGGGAUAGUUCGCGGGGCGGAUCGAGGGACGUGAGGAUGUUCCACUACAUCAACCGUGUUCACUAACGCUUCUGCUGUACGGUCUACAAGGGUACGUAGAUCACACAUCCCCUCUCGUAGAUGGACAUCACCAUGAUAGGUCUUCGUGCGCGUAGGAAAAAUUUUCUUUCCCAUGCGACGUUCCCCAACAGUGGCAUCAUGAGCUAGGUUCAUGCGUAGAUGUCUUCUCGAGUAGAACACAAAAGUUUUUGUGGGCGGUGAUGUGCGUUUUGCUGCCCUCCUUAGUCUUUUCUUGAUUCCGCGGUAUUGUUGGAUUGAAGCGGCUUGGACCGACAUUACUCGUACGCUUACGAGAGACUGGUUUCAUCGCUACGAGUAACCCCGUUGCUCAAAGAUGACAGGCAAGUGUCAGUUUCUCCAACUUUAGAUGAAUCGGAUUUGACCGAGGAGGUCCUUGGAUGAGGUUAAAUAGCAAUUCAUAUAUCUCCGUUGUGGUGUUUGCGUACGUAAGAUGCGAUCCUACUAGAUACCCAUGGUCACCACGUAAAACAUGCAACAACAAUUAGAGGACAUCUAACUUGUUUUUGCAGGGUAUGCUUGUGAUGUGAUAUGGCCAACGAUGUGAUGUGUUAUAUUGGAUGUAUGAGAUGAUCAUGUGGUAAUAGUUAAUAUCGACUUGCACGUCGAUGGUACGGUAACCGGCAGGAGCCAUAGGGUUGUCUUUAAACUAACGUUUGUGCUUGCAGAUGCGUUUACUAUGUUGCUAGGACAUAGCUUUAGUAGUAAUAGCAUGAGUAGCACGACAACCCCGAUGGCGACACGUUGAUGGAGAUCAUGAUGAUGGAGAUCAUGGUGUGACGCCGGUGACAAGAAGAUCAUGCCGGUGCUUUGGUGAUGGAGAUCAAGAAGCACAUGAUGAUGGCCAUAUCAUGUCACUUAUGAAUUGCAUGUGAUGUUAAUCCUUUAUGCACCUUAUCUUGCUUAGAACGACAGUAGCAUUAUGAGGUGAUCUCUCACUAAAAUUUCAAGACGAAAUUGUGUUCUCCCCGACUGUGCACCGUGGCGACAGUUCUUCGUUUCGAGACACCACGUGAUGAUUGGGUGUGAUAGACUCAACGUUCACAUACAACGGGUGCAAAACAGUUGCACACGCAGAACACUCGGGUUAAGCUUGACGAGCCUAGCAUGUGCAGACAUGGCCUCGGAAUACAUGAGACCGAAAGGUCGAGCAUGAAUCGUAUAGUUGAUAUGAUUAGCAUAGAGAUGCUUACCACUGAAACUAUUCUCGACUCACGUGAUGAUCGGACUUGAGAUAGUGGAUUUGGAUCAUGUACCACUCAAAUGACUAGAGAGAUGUACUUUUUGAGUGGGAGUUCUUAAGUAAUAUGAUUAAUUGAACUAAUUGUCAUGAACAUAGUCUAAUGGUCUUUGUGAAUUACGAUGUAGCUUGCGCUAUAGCUCUACUGUUUUUAUAUGUUCCUAGAGAAAAUUUAGUUGAAAGUUGAUAGUAGCAAACUUUGAAGAGGAUUGUCCUCGUUGCUGCACAGAAGGCUUAUGUCCUUAAUGCACCACUCGGUGUGCUGCACCUCGAGCGUCGUCUGUGGAUGCUGUGAACAUCCGACAUACACGUUUCUGAUGACUACACGAUAGUUCAGUGAAAAAUACUUAAUGGCUUAGAAGCAAGGCACCGAAGACGUUUUGAAAUGUCACGGAACAUAAGUGAUGUUCUAAAGAGAUGAAAUUGUGAUUUCAUGCUCAUGCCCUUAUUGAGAGGUAUGAGACCUCCGACAAGAUUCUUUGUCCACAAAGUAAAGGAGAAAAGCUCAAUCGUUGAGCGUGUGCUCAGAUUGUCUGAGUACGACAAUCGCUUGAAUAAAGUGGGAGUUAAUCUUCCAGAUGAGAUAGUGAUGGUUCUCCAAAGUCACUGCCACCAAGGUGUAAGAGCUUCUUGAUGAACUAUAACAUAUCAAGGAUAGAUACAAUGAUCCUUGAGCGAUUCGCGAUGUUUGACACUGCGAAAGUAGAAAUCAAGAAGGAGCAUCAAUAGUUGAUGGUUAGUAAAACCACUAAGUUUCAAGAAAGGCAAGGGCUAGAAGGGAUACUUCGUGAAACGGAAAAACAGUUGCUGCACUAAUGAAGAGACCCAAGAUUAAACCCAAACCCGAGACUAAGUGCUUCUAUAAUGAGGGGAACGGUCACUGAGGCGGAGCAACUCUAGAUACUUGGUAGAUAAAAAGGCUGGCAAAAGUCGAAAGAAGUAUAUUUGAUAUACAUGAUGUUGAUGUGUACUUUACUAGUACUCCUAGUAGCAUGAGGGUAUUGGAUACCGGUUCGGUUGCUAAGUGAUUAGUAACACGAAAUGAAAGCUACGGAAUAAACGGAGACUAGCUGAAGGCGAGGUGACGAUACAUGUUGGAAGUGUUUCCAAGGUUGAUAUGAUCAAACGUCGCACGCUCCCUCUACCAACGGGAUUGGUGUUAAACCUAAAUAAUUGUUAUUUGGUGCUUGCGUUAAGCAUGAACAUGAUUGGAUCGUGUUUAUUGCAAUACGAUUAUUCAUUUAAAGAGAAUAAUAGUUACUCUAUUUUCUUGAAUAAUCACCUUCAAUGGUUUAUUGAAUCUCGAUCGUAGUGUUACACAUGUUCAUGAUAUUGGUGCCAAAAGAAACGAGGUAAUGAUGAUAGUAACCACUUACUUGUGGCACUGCCACUUGAGUCAUGUUGUUAUAAAUUGCAUGAAGAGGCUCCAUGCUGAUGGAUCUUUGUACUCACUUGAUUUUGAAUCACUAGUGACAUGCAAAUCAUACCACAUGAGCAAGGCCUUGUUUUCAUUGAGACGAAACAAUAUAAUAACUUGUUGGAAGUGAUACAUUUUGAUGUAUGCAGUCCAAUGGGUGCUAAGGCACGGAGUGGAUAUCAUUAUGUUCUUACUUCAAUGACGAUUUGAGUAGAUACAAGAGUAUUUACUUAAUGAAUCACAAGUGUGAAAUAUUGAAAGGUUCAAUUCUGUUUCAGAGUGAAGUUCGUCGUAACAAGAGGAUAAACUGUCUACGAUAUGAUCAUAGAAAUGAAUAUCUGAGUUACGAGUCUUGGUACGCAGUUAAGACAAUGUGGAAAUUUUUUCACAGUUCAUGCCACCUAGAACAUCAUAGUGUGAUGAUGUGUCUGAACGUCAUAGCCACACACUAUUUGGUAUGGUGCAUGCAAUGAUGUCUCUUAUCGAAUUACCACUAUCGUUUAUGGGUUAAGCAUUGGAGACAACCGCAUUCACUUUAAAUAGGGCACCAGGUAUUUCCGUUGAGAUGACACAGUAAAGACUAAGGUUUAGAGAAAUCUAAACUGUCGUUUCUUGAUAGUUUGGGGUUUCGACACUUAUGUGAAAAAGUUUCAGUCUGAUAAGCUCGAACCCAAGCGGAUAAAUGCAUCUUCAGAGGAUAUCCAAAACAGUUGGGUACAUCUCCUAUCUCAGAUCCGAAAGCAAAGUGUUUGUUUCUAGAAACGGAUCCUUUCUCGAGGAAAGGUUUCUCUCGAAAGAAUUGAGUGGGAGGGUGGUAGAACUUGAUGAGGUUAUUGAACCAUCACUUUGACCAGUGUGUAGCAGGGCGCAGGAAGUUGUUCCUGUGGCGCCUACACCAAUUGAAGUGAAAGCUGAUGAUGGUGAUCAUCGAGCAUCGGAUCAAGUUACUACAAGCCUCGUAGGUUGACAAGGUCGCGUACUACUACAGAGUGGUACGGUAACCCUGUCUUGGAUGUCAUGUUGUUGAGCGACAGUGAACCCGCGAGUUAUGGAGAAAGCAAUGGUGGGCCCAGAUUCUGACAAAACGCUGGAAGCCAUGAAAUCCUAGAGAGGAUCCAUGUAUGGAAACAAAGUGUAGACUUUGGAAGAACUACUUGAUGGUCAGAUGACUAUUGAGUAAACAUGGAUCUUUAAAAGGAAGACAAACGAUGAUAGUGAUAAGUCAUUAUUAAGAAAAGCUCGACUUGUCGCAAAGAUGUUUCCGACAAGAUCAAACAGUUGACUAUGGUGAGAUUUUCUCACUCGUAGCGAUGCUAAGAGUCUGUUAGAAUUAUGUUAGUAGGGUUAUUUUUGAAAUAUUGCACAUAGGAUGUCAAAACAUUGUUUCCUCGAUGGUUUCCUUGAGCGAACAUUGUAUGUGAUACAAAUAGAAGGUUUUGUCGAUCCUAAAGAUACUAACAAGUAUGCAAGCUCCAGCGAUCCUUCAAUGGACUGGUGCAAGCAUCUCGGAGUUGGAAUAUACACUUUGAUGAGAUGAUCAAAGAUUUUGGGUUUGUACAAAGUUUGUGAGAAACUUGUAUUUCCAAAGAAGUGAGUGGGAGCACUAUAGAAUUUCUGAUAAGUAUAUGUGGUUGACAUAUUGUGGAUCAGGAGUAAUGUAGAAUUUCUGUAAAGCAUACAAGGUAGUUUGAAAGGUGUUUUCAAAGGAAUACCUGGAUUGAGCUACUUGAACGUUGAGCAUCAAAGAUCUAUGGAGAUAGAUCAAAAGCGCUUAAUGGAAGUUUCAACAAGAUGCAUGGCUUGACAAGUUUUUGAAGGAGUUCAAAAUAGAUCAGCAAAGAAGGAGUUCUUGGUUGCGUUGUAAGGUGUGAAUUUGAGUAAGACUCAAAACUCGACCACGGCAGAAUAAAGAGAAUAGACGAAGGUCGUCUUCUAUGCCUUAGUCGUAGACUCUAAAGUAUGCCAUGCUAAGUACCGAACCUGAUGUGUGCCUUGCAGCAAGUCUGUUAAGAGGUACACAGAGUGAUCCAGGAUUGAAUCACUGAUCAGCGGUCAAAGUUAUCCUUAGUAACUAAAUAGACUAAGGAAUUUUUCUCGAUUAUGGAGGUGCUUAAAGAGUUCGUUGUAAAGGAUUACGUCGAUGCAAGCUUUGACACUAAUCCGAAUAACUAUGAGUAGUGAAACGGAUUCGUAUAGUAGAGUAGAUAUUUGGAGUAUUUCCGAAUAGCACAUAGUAGCAGCAUCUAUAAGAUGACAUAAAGAUUUGUAAAGAACACACGGAUCUGAAAAUUUCAGAACCGUUGACUAAAACCUCUCUCAUGAGCAAGACGUGAUCAGACCCCAUAACUAUAUGGGUGUUGGAUUCGUUGGAAUCACAUGGUGAUGUGAACUAGAUUAUUGACUCUAGUGCAAGUGGGAGACUGUUGGAAAUAUGCCCUAGAGGCAAUAAUAAAUUAGUUAUUAUUAUAUUUCUUUGUUCAUGAUAAUCGUUUAUUAUCCAUGCUAUAAUUGUAUUGAUUGGAAACACAAUACUUGUGUGGAUACAUAGACAAAACACUGUCCCUAGUAAGCCUCUAGUUGACUAGCUCGUUGAUCAAAGAUGGCCAAGCUUUCCUGGCCAUAGGCAAGUGUUGUUACUUGAUAACGGGAUCACAUCAUUAGGAGAAUCAUGUGAUGGACUAGACCCAAACUAAUAGACGUAGCAUGUUGAUUGUGUCAUUUUGUUGCUACUGUUUUCUGUGUGUCAAGUAUUUGUUCCUAUGACCAUGAGAUCAUAUAACUCACUGACACCGGAGGAAUUCUUUGUGUGUAUCAAACGUCGCAACGUAACUGCGUGACUAUAAAGAUGCUCAACAGUUAUCUCCGAAGGUGGUAGUUGAGUUAGUAUGGAUCGAGACUGGGAUUUGUCACUCCGUGUGACGGAGAGGUAUCUCGGGGCCCACUCGGUAAUACAACAUCACACACAAGCCUUGCAAGCAAUGUGACUUAGUGUAAGUUGCGGGAUCUUGUAUUAUGGAAUGAGUAAAGAGACUUGCCGGUAAACGAGAUUGAAAUAGGUAUGCGGAUACUGACGAUCGAAUCUCGGGCAAGUAACAUACCGAAGGACAAAGGGAAUGACAUACGGGAUUAUAUGAAUCCUUGGCACUGAGGUUCAAACGAUAAGAUUUUCGUAGAAUAUGUAGGAUCCAAUAUGGGCAUCCAGGUCCCGCUAUUGGAUAUUGACUGAGGAGUCUAUCGGGUCAUGUCUACAUAGUUCUCGAACCCGCAGGAUCUGCACACUUAAGGUUCGACGUUGUUUUAUGCGUAUUUGAGUUAUAUGGUUGGUUACCGAAUGUUGUUCGGAGUCCCAGAUGACAUCACGGACGUCACGAGGGUUUCCGAAAUGGUCUAAAAACGAAGAUUGAUAUAUAGGAUGACCUCAUUUGAUUACCGGAAGGUUUUCGGAGUUACCGGGAAUGUACCGGGAAUGACGAAUGGGUUCCGGGAGUUCAACGGGGGGGGGGGAACCACCCCGGGGAAGCCCAUAGGCUUUGAGGGUGGCGCACCAGCCGUUAGUGGGCAGGUGGGACAGCCCAAAAGAGCCCUAUGCGCACUGGAAGAAAAAUCAAAGAGAAAAGAAAAAAAAGGAGGAGGUGGGAAAGGAAAGAAGGACUCCACCCACCAAACCAAGUAGGACUCGGUUUGGGGGGGAGACCUUCCCCCCUUGGCUCGGCCGACCCCCUUGGGAGUCCUUGGACCCCAAGGCAAGGCUCCCCAUUCUCCCACCUAUAUAUACGGAGGUUUUAGGGCUGAUUUGAGACGACUUUGCCACGGCAGCCCGACCACAUAUCUCCACGGUUUUGCCUCUAGAUCGCGUUUCUACGGAGCUCGGGCGGAGCCCUGCUGAGACAAGAUCAUCACCAACCUCUGGAGCGCUGUCAUGCUGCCGGAGACCUCUUCUACCUCUCCGUCUCUCUUGCUGGAUCAAGAAGGCCGAGAUCAUCGUCAAGCUGUACGUGUGCUGAACGCGGAGGUGCCGUCCGUUCGGCACUAGAUCGUGGGACUGAUCGCGGGAUAGUUCGCGGGGCGGAUCCAGGGACGUGAGGACAUUCCACUACAUCAACCGCGUUCACUAACGCUUCUGCUGUACGGUCUACAAGGGUACGUAGAUCACACAUCCCCUCUCGUAGAUGGACAUCACCAUGAUAGGUCUUCGUGCGCGUAGGAAAUUUUUUGUUUCCCAUGCGACGUUCCCCAAGAGAUUCGGCGAUGGCGGUUUUUUUUUACCCUUGGUUUUCUUCUUUGGAGGCGGUUUGGCUUGCUUCAGGGCAAUCUUUUUCGAUCUUCUUGACCAGAAUCGGUCACCUUCUAUGGUUGAAUUGUCAUUAUGCAAGUCAGAAUCCGAGUAAGUCAGAAAAAGUGAACCAAGGGCGGGUUAAAUUAUUUACCUUAGGAGCCGGAUUAAUCUUGCAGAAUGGCUUAAGCCCCAUCUGGCUGCACUUGGCCAAGGGCUCGUCGGUUAGCUUCUUAUGAUGCUCACAGUGUCUUCCUCUGUGAGUGUGGUGUGGAAGUAGCAUUGGGGAUGGUCCAAAGUACCAUCAAACUCGCACAUCAAGCCAUCUCGGUGACUCAAGGGAAGGAUGCGCCAUUCCACCCAGCAAUGGAUCAGAUCAACUCCAGUAAGACCAUUGUUUGUUAAAGAUCGUAACUCGGAUAGCACUGGAAUGAAAUCUGACUCCUCCUCUUCGGUGAGCUUGUCUGGAAGUUUGAAGUUUGUGAGCAGACGUUCCUUCCUGUAGCUGAGGAGUUUGUUUUCACCCGGAGGGGAAGUGUCCCGGCAAUAAAACCAAGACUCACCCCAGCCUUUGGGGUGGCUAGGCAUGGCGAGUGAUGGGAAUGAGCUGCCCCUGCGGCGUUGAACGUUAACACCUCCAAGUUCUAAGCUAGGGUUGUUGGAGAACUCGGUCUGGCGAUUCAAAUGGAAGAAGUACCAAAACAAAGGGACCGAUGGUUCCAUUCGCAGGUAAGCUUCACAGAAUACUUGGAACGAGGACAUGUUGCUGAUCGAGUUGGGGCCCAGGUCUUGGAGGCGGACGUUCAUGAAGGCCAUCGCAUCUCUAAGGAACUUUGAUCCUGGCGUCUAAAACAACUAUUUCCCCUUCGGCCGGGUUCGGAAUUUUGUCGCCUAGUCCAGAUCGCCAUCCGAUGACUUCCUUCGGAUCAAGGAUCCCAGCUUUUACUCAAUCCUCGAGGAAGGCGUCGUCAACUUAGGUCGGGAGCCAGUAGGCCUUGAAAACGGCACCCAUAGCUACAGAGGAAAAGGUCAUGGGUAAGUUAACCCGCCUAAUACUUGUUGAGUGGCUAGGAAAAUCCUUCAACUCGCGAAACACUUGUUGAGUGGGUAAGAGAAUAUCUCAACUCGCCGAACACUUGCCGAGUGGCUAAGAUAAUCUAGUAGCUCGCCAAUAGGGGACCAUAUUUGGGCACAAGGGCGAUUUAGGAAUUUCCUAUUACUCACAGAAGGCAUCCCAGGGCAUCAAAGACGUGUGGUAAAAUGAUGAAGUCUGAAUCUACAAACAGUUUUCUACAUAGUAAGCAGUACAAUGCGGAUCUACGAGCAAGGUAAAAUAACAGAAAAAGGCUUAGACGAAACAAAACGGGCUAUAACUGAAAAUGAAUAUGGCAGAGAUGAUUUGGCCGAAGCUUUUUUCGGUUUUCAAAUAGGAAACUAUUUAAUCAAGGAUGCGGCUAACACUAUUACAUCAGCUACUACCAUUGACCUAUCAACACGCAAAGGAAAGCUCAAAGUGUUCUAAGAACAUGGCAGGUGGCGAAUGUCGAAAUAUCCGGAUCUGAUUGCAAGUGAUGAAGAACUGACCUACUAAUGGCGUCCGGAAGCGGUUGUGCGGGUCCAUGGCGAGGACAGAAUCCCUCGAGCUGCGACAGAACUUCACAGGCGGCGGCGGUGGAGACCCUCGAGCGGCAACAAAGCUCGGCAGGCGGCGGCAGAGUCCCUUGGACGACGACAGAAACCUUCGGGCGGUGAGGAGUUCUUCGGGCAGCGACGGAGCUCUUCGAGGAGGUGGUCGCGAGGAAGAAGAAGACGAUGGGACGAGUAGGUGAAGAUUCCCUUCGCUCCCGUUCCCGAGCCUAUUUAAUAGGUUGGGUGCGGGGAUCGAGGUGCCUCACGCGGGAACAAAAGGGCAAACUAAAGAUUCGCACUUAUGGCGCCAAGAUUUUCGGGAUAUUUGUGCCACGAGAUCCGGUGGAGAUUGCGUCAUCAUUUUCCGAGGAUAAAGGGAUAAGGUGAUGUCCUCAAGAAACGGUUCGGUGACUUGGAUAUUUCCAUGGAGGAUGGCGGCUUUAGCGUGUGAUGCAUGAAAGGAGUGGAAUGAGUCGCCCCUAAACCAGGUAAGAGUAUUGGCGUUAACAGGUUCAAGUCAAUAUGGGCCCUAAUGUUGGGGAUAUUAUCUGCGAUGUGACCCGCCCUAAUUGGGUCGGGUCACCAAGUGGGCGACUCAACCUUUGGCGAUUCAAGCGUUGGCCCGGUAGGCCCAGGAGCUGGAUGGCGGUUCAAGAUCCACGUGGACAAUCAAUUAUCGGGGAGUUCUCCAGUCUUGUAAAGCACGACAAUUUAGAGAUAGAAAGAAUCAUGACUUGUGCUAUGGCAAGGACUCUUGUAAACCCUAAGGGCUCGACCUUUAUAUAAAGGCGAGUCCGCGGAAAAGAGAGGACAGGUUAGAAAUCAUCGAGAGCUAGGUCAGGAGAGUUACGCCCUCCUUGUAACCGAAACAUCAUCAAUACGACACAAAGCAGGACGUAGGCUUUUACCUCUUCACGAGGGGCCGAACCUGGGUACAUUUGAGUCGCCACCAAGGUGUGAUGGCUCCAUCAUUCAGUCCUUUCACUAGGACAUCUGCCGUAACAAAACCACGACACCUUCCCCCAUCUAUAUUCAGCGGUCCACUGUCCCGCAACCCACUGUACCCUGUACUUGAACAUGGUGCUUUAUGCUUCAUAUUAUUAUCCAAUGAUGUGUUGCCAUCCUAUGAUGUCUGGGUAGAUUUUCAUUGUCCUAUUGGUGAAUAAUGAAUUGCUAUGAUUGGUUUAAUUUGCUUGUGGUUAUGUUGCUGUCCUUUGGUGCCCAUCAUAUGAGCACGUGCAUGGAUCACACCACAGGGUUAGUAGUAUGUUGAUAGGACUAUGUACUGGAUGGCAAGAGUGACAGAAGCUUCAGCCUACAUUGAAAUUGAUGUAUACGGUAUUGAAGGGGGACCAAUAUAUCUUAUUGCUAUGGUUGGGUUUUACCUUAAUGAACGUUAGUAGUUGUGGAUGCUUGCUAAUAGUUCCUAUCAUAAGUGCAUAGAAUUCCAAGUAAGGGGUAACAUGCUAGCAGUGGCCUCUACCACAUAAAACUUGCUAUCGGUCUAGUAACUUAGUCAAUUGCUUAGGGACAAUUCCUCAACUCCUACCACAACUUUUCCGCACUCCUUAAACUAACGUAAUUGUUUCUUUAUCUAUACAGCCCCUAGUUUUUAUUUACGUGUUCUUUAUGAUCUUGCAAAACUAUCCUAUCACACCGACAAAGUACUUCUAGUUUCAUACUUUUUUUGGUAAAGCGAACGUAAAGUGUGCGUAGAGUUGUAUCGGUGGUCGAUAGAACUUGAGGGAAUAUUUGUCCUACCUUUAGCUACUCGUUGGGUUCGACACUCUUACUUAUCGAGAAAGGCUACAAUUGAUCCCCUAUACUUGUGGGUUAUCAAGCCACAUGCCGCCUUCGGCCCUCAAAACCAUCCCCUUGUCAUGGCCUUUCACCGUCUGGGGGUUAGACAUGGUGGGGCCUUUCAAGAUGACUCGCGGUGGCAUGACUCACCUCUUGGUGGCCAUCGAGAAAUUUACCAAGUGGAUCGAGGCUAGGCCCAUCAAGAAGCUUGAUGGCCCCACGGCUGUCAAGUUCAUCACGGACAUCUCUGUCCGAUACGGCGUCCCCCAUAGCAUCAUCACCGACAACGACACUAACUUCGCCAAGGGUGCAUUGGCGAAUUACUGCUCCAAGCUAGGUAUCCGGCUCGACUUGGUGUCAGUGGCACAUCCUCAGUCCAAUGGCCAGGUGGAGAGGGCCAACGGCCUGAUCCUGGCCGGCAUCAAGCCCUGACUGGUGGCACCACUUGUCAGGUCAGCCGGCUCCUGGAUCGAAGAGUUGCUGACAGUACUGUGGAGCCUCCGCACCACGCCCAACCGGUCAACCGGCUUCACCCCGUUCUUUCUAGUAUACGGAUCCGAGGCCAUCAUCCCCAUGGAUAUCGAGUUUGACUCACCUCGGGUCACCCUGUACACUGAAACGGAGGCAAAGGAGGCAAGAGAAGAUGGUGUUGAUCUCCUCGAGGAGGCAAGGGACCUAGCCUUGAGCCGGACGGCAAUCUAUCAACAAAAGCUAAGGUACUACCACAACAAGUAGAUCAAGCCCCUCUCUUUCGAGAGGGGGACUUGGUCCUCAGAAGAUUCCAGCGCACAGCUGGCCAACACAAGCUCUCAUCCCCAUGAGAGGGACCCUUCAUCAUCAGUAGGGUCUUGCACAACAACGGAUACUACUUGAUCAAUGCCAGAAGCCAAGGAAGCGCAAGAGGGACGACUCCGGCCAGGAGAGGGAACGUCCAUGGAACGCGGCGUUGCUUCGCCCGUUCUAUUGUUAGAAGGCAAGUAUCAAACAUGGAAAGAGCAUGCACAUAUGUAUCUUUCUCCCUCUUCAGGGAUUUCUAAUGAAUGCAAUGAAAAGAGCAUGCACAUAUGCUUCUUUUUAGAUUCAUAUAUGGAGUUCUCACUCUGUGAGUCCCUUGCCUGCUCUAAUAAGUUCCGGGCCUCGCUAGCCGCCCCGACGACUUCCUAAUGUUGUAGAAAAACACAUAGUGUACGCCAGACCGAUCCCUGGUCACCUCGUAAUCGCUACAGGCCGGCUCCCGGCUGUCCGGCUAGCGAGGCGACGCUAGGUAUGGCCGGAUACAUGAAUAGUUUGACUAGAAAAAGGUUGAUGGCUCAGGUUGGUUUGAUCUUUUUACGAUCUCAUUCUAUCUGGCCUCUCCUGGUUUAUGUCUAAAUCUUUAAGUCCUGAUGGCUUCCAAAAAUAGAAGUCCUAUAUUCCCAAAGUCUAAAAGCUCGACCCAGUCACAGACCGGAUCACAGCUGUUGUCCUCGCGGGGUGGAAGCUAAGAGAGUAGAAGGGUUGGAGAAAAAGAAGUCAAGCAGGAAUCAAAAGAUGAAGAUAUAAAACAGCACACAUGGCAUUACGAAUAUAAUGCUGAAUCCAUACAUUCAAAAGCAUUGGCCCACGGCCGAAGUUCAUUACAUCCCCCGGUGGGUGGGACUGUUGGACUGACAAAAUAUUGCAGACAACAAAAAGAAAAACAAUAUCGGGUAAGGGGCGGCGACCUCGUCUGUUGCCUCGGCUGCUGCUCCUAAAGUGGUGGCUUCACCAUCGCCGGCUUCUCCCGAGGCGGUGGCGCUGUGUCCUCUGUGAGGGAUUUCGGCUCCGUCCACGACGGAGUCAGCGUAUGCCUCGUCGCUGGAGGCGGCUAUUUCCACCUCACGGGCCGCCUCGUCGGAAAUGCCAUCGGCGUCAAAGGACUGAAGGCCAUGCAGAUCCUUAGGGAUCACAUUGCCGCCUUCACCCCGCUCCAAGUUGAGCUCAUGCCAGGCGGCAUAUGAGGCGAUGUCUCUGGCCCUCACGCGCAACUCCUCCUCCACGGCCUGCAGCUCCCCCUCCUAGUCGUCAUGCUGGCGACGAGCUUGCCCAAGUAUAGGUUUCGGCACCAGGACUUGGCCAAGCGCAGGGCCAUGUAGGCUCCAGCACGCGUGGCCGAGGCACGCCAGGCGUCAAGGCGGUCAUCGCCAGCCGCAAGCCAGCGGGAGAGCCGGCUCAUCGACGCCGGCUCCACGCCAUUAGGCCACAGAGCCUUCACCAUCGACGAGCUUGCAACCUGGAGCCGAGCCAUGGAAUCGCCCACGGCACGCAGGCGAACUCUGAGGCCCACCCCGAUCUCCUCCACGCUCCAGCCGGAGGCAUUGUCUACCUCCUGCCCGGCCACGCGACGCUCCUCGUGGAUCACCUCGACGGCCGUCUCGGCUGCGUCCCAUGUCUCAGGGAAGAGACCUGAGAUAGGGAAAGGGGCGCAAAGAAGAGUAAGAAGAGGAGGCACCAAAGAAGAAAAUUCAAGGCAAAACAAAGAGGACUCACAGUCGAAGUGGCCAUCAGUCUCAUGAGCACUCUCCAGGGCCUCAAGCUCCCGCACCUUGCUCACUUGGGUGAUGCGGGUAACUUCUUCCUGGAGGGUCGCGGUUGCGUCCAGCGCCUUGGCCAGCUGCGCCUGCUUCUGGAUCAGGGCUUCCUCCUUCUCCUUCAAGGUAGCGCCCUUGAGCUUCAUCUCCUCGAGAUGAAUCGUCUCAAGACGCUCCACGUCGGCAGCAUGGGAGGCGUCCUUCUCCUGCAGGGAAGCGCGCAGCUGCUCCUGGUCAGCCUGGCGGGCCGCCUCGAGCUCCUUCUUCUAUGCCUGGAGAAGAGCCAGCUGCUGCUUGAGCCGGCCGUCCGCCUCGCGCAGGGCGUCCCACUCCACGGCAACCUCGCCCAGCCGGGCUGAAGUUCGGCGACCUGGCCAUCAGCCGCCUGGUUCUGAGCCUGCACCGUGUUGUAGGCUUGCACCUGGGCAUCAUAAAGUCCUACAAGCAAUGAAGAAGCAAAAGUAAUAUUUGGCAUGGUUAAUUCAUAACCAGCCCGAUUCUCGGGGGCUACACCCAGUGGGUGCGCUACCACGCCCCCACUAAAAAAGCAAAGUAAGAGAUGAGCUCGAGGAGAUUCGGCCCAGCCAAUGCUUGGCCAGCCCGAUUCUCGGGGGCUACAUCCAGUGGGUGCACUCGCGCGCUCCCACUGAUUCAAGAAGAAGAAGAAAAAAUUGAAGACAAAGACGAGGCACUUACCCUGGUGCGCUCCUCCAAGCGCUCCGGAUCGCUGCCCGCCACGCGGGCGGCCUGCUCCACCUUGUGUCAGUUGUUGGCGAACAGCGACACCAGCUCCGGGACACCUUGGAGUAUGGUGCCUACGGGCAGCUUCGAGCGCUCAAUAUUGGCCGCUCGCCAAGCCUUCAUGGGCCAGCUCCCGGCUCUGGGGCCGGCUCCUGGAGCAACCAGGCCACGGUUGGAGACGACGAUGGUGCCGUUUCCAGGAGUCGGUAUGGCGGCCGACUCCGCCGAUGUCCUAGCCGGCGCUGUCUCCACAGCAGGAGGUGGAUGGUCCGCAUCCAACGCAUCCACGUUGACCUCUAGCUCGUCUAAGGCCACGUCUGGCGCGUCCAGGUUCAGUUUUGGCGCGUUGGCGGCCGCCUUGGCCUCCGGUGACUCACGGAUCUCCUCGAGAUCGACAGGCACAGAGGCGUCCGGCUUGGACAGCUUGGCCUCCUCGAUCCUUUGGGCGCGCCUCAGGGUCGCCUCGCUAGCUGGCUCCUCCACACGAGCACGCGUGGAGGGGUCAUGUCUAGCCUUCGUACGCCUUUCCGCAGGCUUCUCGGCUCGGCUAGGCCGAGACUGGCCCUAGGCCAUAUUCUCCGCGACCGCAUGCUAGCGGCGGGCGUAUUGUUCCUCGAGUUCCUUCUGGGCAGCGUCAGCCGCUGCCCAGCCGGCUCGCUCAGCGGCGGAGGCAGUGUCUUCCUCUACAUCCUCCGCCUCCCUGCCAAGUGCCGCUUUGAGGAACAAAUCCUCACGCAAGACAAAGCAAAAGGAAUGAAAGGGAACCCUUACCACGCGACGAUGGGCAUUUGCCUCCUACCGGCACCAGCACGGCGUUUCUUAGCGCCGCCUGCUCGUGCUCCGGCUGGAGGACCCGUCGUGGCUCGUUUGGGAGCCGGCCUCGAAGCUGUGGCACCCUUGCCUUUCCUCUGGGCCGCCUCGCCAAGACCGACCGCCUCGGCCCUAUGGCACCGUCCGCGGGUCAGAGGCGGGCUGGUAACCUCCUCCACCCCGUCAGAGUCUUCCUCGAAGGCUGCAUCAGAUAGGGAGGAUGGAGUCCCAUCAUCAUCCGUCCAAUCGACAACGGAGGGCUUCAGAUGCUUACCGGAUGGCUCCGUGCCCUCUGACUCCAGCGCGUCCUCCGAACCUUCGGAGGCGGAAGAACGAGACUCGAUCAUGCCCUCGUCCUCGAUCUCUGAGGCGUCAGACCUCACCACGUCGGGGGCAGGCCGAUUGAGUGCCUGCUGCUUCUCGAACAUCUGCAUAAUGGAGUCGGCGGCCGGCUCAAAAAAAGGAUCAACCACAAGAAAAACAACAAGAAAAGACUCGAUGAGAGUGCUUACCAUCGGAGGCAGACGGGACCGGCAGUAAGGGGCCAGCCCCCCCACCCAGUUCCCACUAUCAUCCAUGUGGGCGGUGGAAAUCUGGUUCACCCCCCGCGCCACCGUGCUGGCCGUGAAGCUCUUGGUGGAGGUCCGAAAGGGAUCAUACCGGCCGCUCAUCUGGCAAGACAUAUGGGGCCACCUCUACAGAGGCAGGAUCCUGCAGGAGACCAUGGUGGUAUGCAGGUCCCGGCCAAAAAGGCCGUGAUCCUUCAAGCUAGCGAGGUAGGCACCGAUCUGCGCCACCUCGGGAAUCGGCUUUCGAUACUUCGCUCCGUAGUUCAACUUCUCCAUCGGAGGAUCGAUGUUGAAUGGGGGCAUGUUGAGGGCGUCAUGUGCGGGGUCAGCGUUCUUCACAUAAAAGAAGCCUUUCUGCCAUUGCUUGAUGGAUUCUUGAAGUGGCAUCUGGGGGAAGCCGGACUUCGAGCGAGGAUGCAUCAAUGCGGCUCCGCACGGCGUCAUCAGGCGAGGUCCGUCAAGCUUUUCCAGCUCGGCCUUGUCCAUCUUCCUGGACUGCUGCUUGAAGAAGAACAAGCUCUGCCAGAGCUCGAGGCGAGGCUCCAUCCCCAGAAAGUCCUCGCACAGGACGACGAAGGCCGACAGCUGAAGGAUGGCGUUCGGCCCCAGCUGGUGCGGCUGCAGGCCAAAGAAGAUGAGCCAGGUGGAGAAGAAUGUGCUCGCCGGGAACCCGAAGCCCCUGCAGAAGUGCUCAUCGAAUACGAGGAUCUCUCCUUCCUGCGGCCUAGGGGCUGUCUCGACGCCGGGGAUCCGCACUGACACGAGAGACGCCGGGGGCAAUAUCCGGCGGUGGCGGAGCGCCUCGAUGUGGCCAUCCUAGAUCUCACUGCCAAGCCAAGAUCCGUGGGACGAGGUCUUCUUCGAGGAAGAACCGCUCGCCAUGGCUACGGGCAACAGAUGCUCAGGAAGGAUGGUGGCGCGAUGGCAACGGAGAGGAAGAAGACGAAGGUGGACAGACUCUUUCUCUCUGGGCUCAAGGAGGAAGAGGGCGUCGAUGCGGGGCGAGAAGGGGGCGAAUGGCCUCCUCGGUACCCGCGCAUCCCAUUUAAACCCCACGAAGGAUCGUGGCGAGGGAAUCCGAUGCGCGCGGAGCCCCACUAAUCCCGUGUAUUACGGGCGGUAGCAUUUCCCAAAACCCAACCGUCGCGGAGUAAAUCCGCAAAGGAUCCUACGCGCGGCGGCCGAGGGGAGUCGUGGCGGGACCCAGGGCCCAGGACCGGUCCCGUCACGAGUAUAAACCAUCAUCACGUCAGGCCGGGCCAGGCACGUGGCGUGAUUUGCGCAGCCUACAACAAGCCGAGGCGUCGCUUCGAAGACAACCGGCUUUUGAGUUGGCGACCCCUGCCGCAGGUGGCGGCAGGAAUACAAUGACAAAAAAUCAAGUUGGUGAGACCACCCGCGACCAGGCGGUGGGCCUCUCUAGCUUUGGGGACUACUGUCGGGGUUAUAACCCCGGGGUAGGCUUAACGAUCCUGCUACUUUAUCUCUGGCCCAAAAGGAAUGACCAAGAACAAUUUUACAAGGCCCAAGUCCUCUGGCCGGCUAGGCGACACCUACCGGCUAGGGGGCGAGACGGCCAACUCUCUGGCCAGCUAGGCAGCACCUGCCAGCUAGAAGCAAGACGAUUACCUCUUCCUGGCCGCCUAGGCCAAGCCAGCCGGCUAGGGACGAGGCGGCCGUGCCCAAGACGUCUAGACAAGCAGGCUAGCCGGCCAGGGAUCUCAAGUCACAUCAAAUCGUAGGUCAUGACGAGACCCUACGAUUAAAGGUGGCUAUGCGUCAGCAAAGGUACUGGAUCAGAGUGCACGGCGGGUACCAACGUCGGUGGUGACGCUGCUGACCUACCCCGGCUCUGAUCCAUCACCCAGCACAGUGUCGGUCAUCAAACUCCCACUCCAUUACUGCACUCGGCGUGGGAAUAGUGGAGGCGGUCGUACGGUCUGCCCAUGAUGAAUCUCGCUGGACAACGCCGGACGUACCACACGUGUCCAGCGUCAACCUUACGUGGGAGCCUCAUUGGCUAGCCGGCGGGUCCCACGGCCAGACGGGACCUCACAGCUGACGGGCCCCUCAAGCGACAAGACAAGACCCCCGUGGGCCCCUGGCCAGCCGACGAGCACUACUGGAAUCCAGAAAUUUGCCGUCAGCCAGUUCUUUACCGUCUGCUGGCUGACGGCAAAGAACCUCUUUGCCAUCAGUUGACACAAUACAGACGGCAAAGAACUGACACAUGGAAAAAAUACUAUUUGCCAUGUGUGGGUCCUUUGCCGUCUGCCAGCGGACGGCAAAGAGCCCUAGGGCAGACGGCAAAGGGGACGCGUGGGUCCCAUGCCUGCCGUGUCCGAAAUCCGGGGGCCUUUGCCGUCUGCCAUACGGCCCUUUGCCGUCGGGGGGCGGACGGCAAAGGGNNNNNNNNNNNNNNNNNNNNNNNNNNNNNNNNNNNNNNNNNNNNNNNNNNNNNNNNNNNNNNNNNNNNNNNNNNNNNNNNNNNNNNNNNNNNNNNNNNNNNNNNNNNNNNNNNNNNNNNNNNNNNNNNNNNNNNNNNNNNNNNNNNNNNNNNNNNNNNNNNNNNNNNNNNNNNNNNNNNNNNNNNNNNNNNNNNNNNNNNNNNNNNNNNNNNNNNNNNNNNNNNNNNNNNNNNNNNNNNNNNNNNNNNNNNNNNNNNNNNNNNNNNNNNNNNNNNNNNNNNNNNNNNNNNNNNNNNNNNNNNNNNNNNNNNNNNNNNNNNNNNNNNNNNNNNNNNNNNNNNNNNNNNNNNNNNNNNNNNNNNNNNNNNNNNNNNNNNNNNNNNNNNNNNNNNNNNNNNNNNNNNNNNNNNNNNNNNNNNNNNNNNNNNNNNNNNNNNNNNNNNNNNNNNNNNNNNNNNNNNNNNNNNNNNNNNNNNNNNNNNNNNNNNNNNNNNNNNNNNNNNNNNNNNNNNNNNNNNNNNNNNNNNNNNNNNNNNNNNNNNNNNNNNNNNNNNNNNNNNNNNNNNNNNNNNNNNNNNNNNNNNNNNNNNNNNNNNNNNNNNNNNNNNNNNNNNNNNNNNNNNNNNNNNNNNNNNNNNNNNNNNNNNNNNNNNNNNNNNNNNNNNNNNNNNNNNNNNNNNNNNNNNNNNNNNNNNNNNNNNNNNNNNNNNNNNNNNNNNNNNNNNNNNNNNNNNNNNNNNNNNNNNNNNNNNNNNNNNNNNNNNNNNNNNNNNNNNNNNNNNNNNNNNNNNNNNNNNNNNNNNNNNNNNNNNNNNNNNNNNNNNNNNNNNNNNNNNNNNNNNNNNNNNNNNNNNNNNNNNNNNNNNNNNNNNNNNNNNNNNNNNNNNNNNNNNNNNNNNNNNNNNNNNNNNNNNNNNNNNNNNNNNNNNNNNNNNNNNNNNNNNNNNNNNNNNNNNNNNNNNNNNNNNNNNNNNNNNNNNNNNNNNNNNNNNNNNNNNNNNNNNNNNNNNNNNNNNNNNNNNNNNNNNNNNNNNNNNNNNNNNNNNNNNNNNNNNNNNNNNNNNNNNNNNNNNNNNNNNNNNNNNNNNNNNNNNNNNNNNNNNNNNNNNNNNNNNNNNNNNNNNNNNNNNNNNNNNNNNNNNNNNNNNNNNNNNNNNNNNNNNNNNNNNNNNNNNNNNNNNNNNACGGCACUGACUCCCGACGCCACUAAGUCCCGACCCCCGACACCUCUUCUGCCUUCUUUUGAACGAGAAGGUGCUUUCCGGCCUUCCAGAGGCCCACGGGGUCAUAGUUUUGUAAAUUAUGAGUUAGGUCACAUAUUUUCCGAUCAUGUUAAUUAUAAAAACAUCGUAUUUGUGUUGAUCGGGUGAAUUUCAAUGUGCAGUUGUUCGACGACCUCCACGUGCGUUGGACGAGCUCCGCCCUUGCGCUUGUUGGUGAGCACAAAUGACUUCUCCUCCUACCCCCUUAAUUUGCUCUGUCCCGGUCUUCGUGCCGAUGAAACUUGCUAGCUAUAGGUUUCUUCAAUCAUGAGUAUGCGUGACCAGUAUGCGUCUCCCGUUCGAAAGGGCCACAUCUAUAAAUAUUCAUUUCUUUGCAUAUUUAUAACCGCCAUCCUUUCGAAUUGUCUAACAUUAUCCAUGGACAGCCCGAGUAUGUGUAGAUUGGGUUUGUUUUCCCGUAUGCUGUGCUCCGGAUCCGAUGCGGAAUUUCGUCAGUGCCUCCCCUGUUGUUCUCCGGGUACACAUCCUCUCUGCUUAUUGCCGAGACGUGUAUCAGGAGAACAGCGGGGAGGUGCUGCCGAAAUUCUGCGUCGCAUCUGGAGCAGAGCAUGGGAAAACGAACCCAGUCUACACAUACUCGGGUGGGAUUAGGACCUAUCUUUACCUAUUAGCGUGUAGGUUGCAUGGACGUAAUAAAACUGACAAACUUGAUUAGCGUAUGAAUAUAGAUGAUGAUUUAUGUAUUUAUUUCUUGUGCCCCCAUAGGUAGCUAGGCAACAUGAGCGAUCGUGCUUGGAUGUACAGUGGUCACCCUAGUCAGAAAUACAUGACCCAUGAAUGGUUAACAAAAACCAGGGGGUUUGUGAGAGCCGCAUUUGCAAAUGGCCAGCAAAAAACAUGGUGCCCCUGUCCCAACUGCGACAACUGGAAAAAGCAGACAGAGCUUGAAAUGGGUAAACACUUGCAGAAGUGGGGUUUUACGCCUAAUUAUACGGUGUGGACUUUUCAUGGUGAGUCUGACCAACGUGCCAGAGCUGAGGUGAUUCGUCGUCGCACCGACGAGCAUGGUACCGAGAUUGAUGACAUGGUGCAAGACUUUGAUGAUGCUCGAGAUUCGGACGAUGAGAUGGAGGAAUCUGCAAAGGCCUUCUAUGAAAUGCUGGAGUCUUCAAAACGUCCUCUCCACGAGCAGACUGAGCUUUGUCAGCUGGAUGCCAUCGCGCAAGUAAUGGCUCUGAAGGCUCAAUUCAACCUAGGCAGAGAAUGCUACGACGCGAUGAUGACGAUAUUUGGACGCUUUCUACCCAAAGGCCAUGUACUGCCUGCAAACCUGUACCAGUCAGAGAAAAUCCUCCGUGUACUUAAGAUGCCCUAUGAGAAGAUACAUGCCUGUGAGAAUGGAUGUGCCUUAUUUAGGCUUGAGUAUGCGGCCUUGAACUAUUGCCCCAUUUGCAAUUCUUCCAGGUAUAUUGUGGUAGACAACGACAUGGGUGAGAAGAAUCAGACCAAAAUCCCCAUUAGUGUUCUUCGAUAUCUGCCAAUCGUACCAAGACUUCAACGUCUUUUCAUGGUCGAAGAGACGGCCAGACAGAUGACAUGGCACAAAUUGGGCAAAAGAACCGAACUAGAUGCGGAUGGGAACAAGAUGCUGGUACACACUUCAGAUGGUUUUGCGUGGAGGCACUUCGAUGCAUUACAUAAGGAUAAAUCGGAAGAUCCAAGGAAACCUAGAGUUGCCAUCAGCAUGGAUGGGUUCAAUGUGUAUGGUAUGACGGCAGCACAAUACAGUUGUUGGCCUGUAUUUGUCAUUCCACUAAAUUUGCCACCCGGAGAGAUUAUGAAAAGAAAGAACAUUUUCCUGACGUUGAUAAUUCCAGGGCCCAACUAUCCGGGGAAGAAUAUGAAUGUGUACAUACAACCGCUUAAGGAUGAGUUGCAAGAAGCCUGGGAUAAUGGGAUCAAGACCUACGACGCGGCUACCAAAACAAAUUUCAAAAUGCAUGUGUGGUACAUGUACUCGACGCAUGAUUAUCCGGCGUUUGCGCUAUUCGCUGGCUGGUGUGUGCAUGGAAGGUUCCCGUGCACCACAUGCAAGGCAGCUCUUCAGUUCCGUUGGCUGCAGGCUGGUCGCAAGUAUUCUUGCUUCGACAUGCAUAGACAAUUCCUGGAUCCUGACCAUAAGUUCAUAAAAGACAAGAAGAAUUUCAUCAAAGGUAGAGUUGUCAAAAACACUGCACCAGCUGCGUUGACAGGCCAACAGACCCUUGAUCAGUUAAACGCUCUCGAGCCGGAUCCUUUGCGUCCAGGAUACUUCAAAGGGUAUAAUACGGAACACGCCUGGACUCACAAGUCAUGCUUAUGGGAUCUCCCUUACUUCAAAGACCUCCUUUGCCCACACAACAUUGACGUGAUGCACACUGAAAAGAAUAUUGCGGAGGCCAUUUUUGGUACAUUGUUCAGCAUAGAGGGGAAGUCAAAAGAUAAUCCUAAGGCUAGAAUCGACCUGGAGGCUCUAUGUGAUAGACCGUUGCAAAACUUGCGACAACGGAAAGGAAAGAAAAGCAUAGCGAAGCCAAAGGCAUGGUUCAGUCUUGAAAGGCCAGCUAUGAGGGAAAUGCUAUUGUGGGUGAAAAUGCGGUUGAUGUUCCCCGAUGGGUAUGCUGCGAAUCUAAAGAGGGGAGCGAGUCUUGAGAAAUUGAAAAUAUUUGGGCUCAAGAGUCAUGAUUGGCACAUAUGGAUUGAGCGGGUAAUGCCGGUGAUGUUGCGUGGCUUUAUCCCUGAGGAUGAAUGGCUAGUACUGGCAGAGCUGAGCUAUUUCUUCCGUUCUCUUUGUGCGAAAGAACUAUGGCCAUGCGUGCUAGAUGAAAUGGAAGAGUUGGCGCCGGAGUUGGUCUGCAAAUUAGAAAAGAUCUUUCCACCGGGCUUCUUUAAGCCAAUGCAACAUUUGAUUUUGCAUCUCCCGACCGAGGCAAGAAUGGGGGGGCCCGUUCAAAAUCGAUGGUGCUACUCAACUGAGAGGAUGCAGAAGACGCUUUGAGCUAAGUGUAAAAAUAAACGUAGAAUUGAAGCAUCGAUGGCCGAGGCAUUCAUUACUGAGGAGGCGGCAAACUUCGUGACAGCACACUACGAAGCCAAAAAUUAUCAUUUGCAUAACCCGAAGCCUCGGUACAAUGAUGGCGAUCGAGAAAAAGUUCGAUCCAACCUCAGCCUAUUCAAAGGUAAGCUCGCACCAUCCGGUGCUUCGAAAGGGAAAUCGUUGGAUGUCGAAGAAUGGCGGACCAUUUCAUUGUAUAUCUUCACCAACCUAACAGAAGUGCGGCCGUACAUCGAGUAAGUUCUCGGUAAUUUAUUGUUCCGCAACUUCUAAUUGCUUUGAACCACUCUUAUUCCCGGAUAUUUGAUAUAGUCGAUACGUCGCCGAAUUCUCGGAUGGAGCGGUCAUCGAAAAGGAUUCCGUCGAAGAGUAUGAGCUUCUCGCAAAGCAUGGAGGCGACUAUCCUAGUUUCAUCUCUUGGUUCAAACAAAGGGUAAUUAAUUACCAUUAAGGGCCCAUUUGACUUAUUGGUCUAAUUUGCGGCUAAUGCAUCCAUUCUUUCGUAUUAAACUUGUAGGCUGAUGCAGAGUCUAUGGACGCCGAGUUGAGACAAGUCGCUAAUGGUUUUGACUAUAAGGUCCGUUCAUUUGACAAAUACAACAUCAACGGGUAUCACUUUCGUACCUUUGGCAAAGAGCUAUCUAUGCCCGACCUAAAGACUACAAAUUGUUCUGUCUCUCCUAUCGGCGAAGGAGACACCGAGUAUUAUGGAAGGGUUGAAGCAAUUUAUGAACUUCUAUUCUAUGGUGAAAACCCACCGACCGUCGUAGUCUUCAAAUGUUAUUGGUUUGAGCCGAGGGAGACUAGAAGGACUCAUGAACAUAUAGGACUAGUCGAAAUCAACCAAAACACCCACUUAGAUGUUCCCGAUGUCUAUAUUACGGCUCAACAGGCGACACAAGUUUUCUAUCUACCUUGGGCCUGCCAAACUGAUCCAAAUCUCAAAGGUUGGGAUGUCGUUUAUGAAGUGCCACCACAUUUUAGACCACCUACCCUCAAUGAAGAGGAUUACGAACCUCACAUUAACCCAGACACAUAUGAAGGAGAAUUCUUCCAAGAAACACGUAUGUCCAAGAAACGUUUCAAGAACCGCUCUACUUCACCCCAGAACAUUGAAGUAGACAGCGACAGUGAAUCCGUCUUAACCCCUGAGCCCGAAGAGGAAGAGCUGGAAGAAGAAGAGGUUACUGCUGCGGAUGACCUGUCACUUCUUGACCGAUUACAUAAUGGUGGCCUUCCACAUGUUCUUCUAGAUAGUGAUGAUGAUGAUGCAUUUAUUGAUGAUAGUGAUGAUCAUGAUGCAUUUAUUGACCCCGAAGCAUAUAUAGACGAGGACGAUUGUUAUUAGUUCAUGUCAGGUAUUCAACUAUUAUACUAUAUAUAAAUUUUGAGUUCAUGUUAGGUAUUCAAUUUUUAUUAGUCAUGUUGGUAUUUAUGUUGUACUAAUUUCAUUUACUCUUUGUCAUGACAGGUGUUGAAAUAUGGUGGGAAAGGGUCGAAAGCAUGUCGCGGCUGCUUCUUCGUCGGCGGGUGAUGGUAUGGGUACUUCCAUUCCUGCCUCGCCUCUUCGGAGAGUGUUGCUCUCUACUAUGCAAGGAGCAGCCCCCGUGAGAGGAGGUCGACCACCCGCGAAGCCGAGAGAAACUAAAGGUACACGUUGUAUUCAUGUUGGUAUUUAUGUUGUACUCAUGUUGUAUGCAUAUUGGUAUUUAUAUACAUUUUAUUACUCAUGUUGGUAUUUAUGUUGUACUAAAGGUACACGUGGCCGCGGGAGAGGUAGGGCUACACGGUCUCCGCCACCACCCCAAGCUGAUUCACCUGAGCACAGGAGGACUUCUAGGGUGGAUUCGUCUGAGGUGGAGGCUACACGGUCUCCGGUUCACGAGCCUCGAGUCGACGAGCGUCAGGUCGACGAGCCUUCGACCCACGAGACUCGUGUCCCAGAGGCUUCCUUCCACACGACUGCGGAGCACAGCAGGGAUGAGGGUACGUCCCAAGAGACCCAGUGGGAUCCCUGGCCAGAGCCAACUGGCCAUGCUGGUAGCGACGAGGAGCUGGGUGAGGGGGAUACCGUCUACCAGCGUGGUAGUUCGGGGCUCCCGCUCGUGCCAGCGACCCCCGAGCAGAGGUGCUCGAUUAGGCCAAAUGGGGACAAGUAAGUUAAUUUACUCUUAUUUUACCUUUUGCCUUCGCGUUUUCUCAAAUAUCUAAUGUUUUUGCUUUAAUUUGUCAUACUGUAGGGGUUGGAUUGUUGCCAAGGGUGUCCGCAAGCCCAACAGCGUCCUCGGUGUUCUUUGCCGUCAAAACUUCCCAGGGUUUGUUACAUUGCCCGGUCGGGAGCGAGAGGUAGGGAUGACCUGGGAGCACUACUUGGGUGCCCCGGCCCCGCCGGAGGUGGAGAUCGACGGUGUUUUGUGUGCCACGAGGGCGGACAUCGUGAUCCGAAAGUUCUGGGUAAUUUCUCUUUCACACAAUUAUAAAUUAACCAUAGCUAUUUAUUGUACUAAUCGGUGUUGUCUCAUUUGCAGACCUUCUACAGGUGUGAGGAGGGAUACGAGGACGACGCGGCAAAGGCUAUCGAAACCAAAUGUCGCCGCCUACUUCAAAACUUCCGGCACGAGGCUCGGGUGCAGGCUGUUCGAGACUACUAUGCCACGCGGCGUAUUAGGAUUGAUAAGGCGAAGUGCCGUGAUGCUAAGAUGGAGAAGGAGCAUUACAUGAAGGUAAUUACAUAUUAUUAAGGCUUUGUAGUUAGUUUCCUUGAUUUGGUUCUUACGCACUCAAAUUUCUAUUUAUUAACUUAGGUGCCCCCUAGAUGGUGUGUGGAUAAGAUGGAUUGAUGGGAGGCCUUGGUGGACCAGUGGUGCUCCAAAACGUGGGAGACCAGCCACAACAACGCCAAGGAGAGGCGUGGCAAAAUGGUUGGCGUGCCACACCAUCAAGGGAGCGUCAACUUAAUCCAAUUUGGCGAGAACUGGGUAUGUGGUUUGCUUCAUGCCUCAUGCAAUUCAUGCCUAUUUAAUAAAAAAUGACCUAUACUUAGCUAAUUAUCCUCGAAAUGACAUAAUUAGCUCCAAAAAGGCAUUCUUAGCCAAUUUAGCCCGAAGAAGGGGAAAAGAAGAGAAAAAGAGGAAAAAUGAAAGGAGNNNNNNNNNNNNNNNNNNNNNNNNNNNNNNNNNNNNNNNNNNNNNNNNNNNNNNNNNNNNNNNNNNNNNNNNNNNNNNNNNNNNNNNNNNNNNNNNNNNNNNNNNNNNNNNNNNNNNNNNNNCUCCUCCUCCUUAUUUUACUUCUUCUUCUCUAUCUCUUCUUCUACGUAGCUUAGACUCAUCCAAGAAAGGCUAAAUUAGCCAAUUGUCCUACGAAAUGACAUAAUUAGCUUAGUUAGCUCCAAAAUGUCCUAUUUAAUAAAAAAAGACCUAUACUUUGCUAAUUAUCCUCGAAAUGACAUAAUUAGCUCCAAAAAGGCAUUCUUAGCCAAUUUAGCCCGAAGAAGGGGACAAGAAGAGAAAAAGAGGAAAAAUGAAAGGAAGGAAGAGGAAAAAUGAGGAGAAGAAGGAGGAAGAGGAGAAGAAGAAAGGAAUAGAGGAGAAAGAAGAAAAAAAAUAGAAAAUUUCUAUUUUUUUCUUCUUUCUCCUCUAUUCUUUUCUUCUUCUCCUCUUCUNUCAUCUAUAAAACCCCCUGGGCCCCCUCCAUGCAGAGGGUCGGUCAACUGAUCCACACACACACACCAACCACAUAGGAGAGGCAGAGAUGAGUCGGCUGCUCCCUCUUCCUCCUCCGCAAUACAUCUCCAGGAGCGACCUUGUAAUCCCAUCAAUACAUCUCCAGGAGCGACCUUGUAAUCCCAUCCAUACAUAUCAUGGCUUAUGUUGUUACUUUGGUUUCACUCUUGCUACUUCGGUUCCUACCUUCUUUAGCCUACCCAUGGCUUAUGUUGUUAGUAUUCACCGACAUUUUGCCCCCACCGUGGGGCCGAUCGCGGCAUCGGCUGGCUUUACGCGCUGGGCGGGGCCCCACACCUACACCACCGGAUGCAUCGCGUCCAGACCGAUCUGCAUGCUCGUGGAGCAUGCCUUCGAUGAGGCAACACCGAUGAUGAUCGACAUCCCUGUCCGCUAUGCGGAUUCGGACGAGGAGUCCGAUGACAAGGCGCCUACCAGCGUCGUCGUCGCUACUAUGGAGAACCUCAGCGUUCUCUUUAGCGACCUGCGCCUCAACGAUGGUCCUUGCUACUUUGGCAAGGACUUUGAUGUCAAGGCGUUAUGCGCCAGCUUCAGUAGACUCUCUAUCGCUGAGACGCCUAUGCACGACAUGUACCCCAGUAAUGUACUCUUCUUCGACGGCCCUCCGCCGUCGAUGGGGUUCUUCACCCCAUACCAUGUCGCCACCGUCUCCAACAUCGUGGACGUGAUGGUCAUCGGCGCCGGCACCAGCACGGCUCAGGCCAAAUCGUCAGCAGACGUUGCUCAUCCUACUGCUGUCGCUGCUGACACUCUUCAGGCUGCGCUUACCGUCUUGAAGACGCCCAUCGCCGCCUCCACAAACCCUAACGACGCAUGAGCUUUGUUGGAGGAGGCUCGCAGGCAGAUCUUGGAGGAGGGCAUCGCCAUAGCUUCGGCGAAAUUCCGGAUUGAGGCCACGCAGCGCGAGUAUAACUCCGCAUAGGUCCUCGCUCCGAUUUCCGAGGCCCCUAGCCGGCUUGGCCAGGUCCGUGGCCGCGGUCGGGUCAUCGCCGAGAUUCUAGGCGGCAAGCAGCCCAUCUACGAGACUCCCGCAGACAACUUGCGGACGGCUCAGGCGGCCAUGACAGAAAUGCCAAGUUUGGAAGGGGAGGAGCGCGCCUUCAAGGAGAAGCGGGUCAAGGAUCUCCUUGACGCUGCCAACGAGCAGCAGACACGGCUUGACCCCGGUCAAGCUCAAUCAAAGUCUCCAGGACCCAACCCCGGAGCGCACCGCAACCCUAGCCCCCGCCCUUUUGAAUAUAGUACACAUGCAAGCAUUUAUAAAAACGUGCAUACCCUCAUCUUUAAUUAUGACCGCACACAUGUACAUCCUAGCCCUAUGAGCACAUCCUAGAGACUGAGUUGCCAUAUCAUUUUGAGAUUUACAAAGUCAACGUAGACACCUCAUUGUCAACCAAAACGUCUACUCCCACUGAAUACGCAUCAUCAAAAAUCCUAAAAUAAAUCCGAAAUUAUACGAACACCAGUACUUAAACCCCGGGGGCGUAGGGAUACCAUUGUCCCUUUAACCAUCCAAUCACAAAUAGGUUUGCAUUUAUCGAGAUCUGAGUUGCAAUGUUUCUUUCUUAUUUUAUUCUAUAUUAUUCGCAAUAAUUCAAGAUUUUAAACAGUUACAAAUUUCUAAUAAGUUAGAAAAACAAAAUCAAGAAACCAUAAUAUUUUUGUUAACUCGCAAAUUGUUCGGUAAAUCAUAAAUGUUCAUGGAUUAAAAAAUAUACGUGAUUUUGAAAAUUAAAUGUUGGCAUAUUUAAAAAAUGUGCACGACUUCAAAUCAAUAUUCGAGAUAUAAAAUAAGGUCGUGAUUUUGAAAACAUUUGUGUGGGGGGGGGGGUUUUAAAAAUGUUCACGAAAAUUCAAAACAUAUUGGUGAAUUCAACGAAUAGUUCCAAAUUUGAAAAUAAAUUCAUCGAUUCAACAAAUAUUCGCUGACCUAAAAAAAAUACAUGAGUACGAUAAAUAAUCAUGCAUUUCAAAAUAAUAUUCAUCAAAACAAAUAUUGUUCAUGAUUUCAGAAAUUGCUCCCAAAUUCAAAAAUGUUUGUCCAUUCAGAAAAAUGAUCUAGAGUUUUCAAAAUAUGUUCAUAGUUUUAAAAGUUGUAAAUAAUGUUACCCAAUUUGUAUUAAACUCUUAUGUUUUUUUUAAACAAAGUGUUCAUGAAUUCAAAAAAUGUUUAUGAUUUCAAAUAUAUGGAUUCAUGAAUUUGAAAGACGUUCAUAGAAUAUAAUAAUAAAUAAUUAACAAAUAACCAGACAAAAAGAGUAAAACCGGUUCAAGGGGUUGACACCAGAUUUUGGCAUGUAACGAAGAAUUAUUAAGAUGGCUUCAAGGGAAGAAGUACUCUACAUUGAAAAGUUCCGUAGUGUUGACAUGAACAUUUUUGAAGUUUCGGCCAUCGCCAUUCGAUCUCAUCUCGAAGGCCGAAACUGUGCUCAAUCUACUCGAUUUCAUAUUUAGAGUAUUGUUCGGACAAUUAAUUCCCCAAGACCACCCCGUGUGAGAAAAUGUUCAACAUGGAUUGUCUUCGUCCUGUCGGAACGAUCGAUUUUCAUAUAAAAAUCAUCUUAAUCCGAGAUCACAUGCAAAAGUUACAACCAUUAGAGUGUGGCCCUAACGCGAGGCAAAAUGUGGCGUAAGGGAUCACACAACCACCUAAGAGAUGUCUGAUGUGUCGCGCGAGCUCUCAACAGGGCCACAAAUGAAAAAUUAUUCGACUUGAAAGUUGUGUGUAUCGUCGAGUUGGUGAACUUUGCUUUUGAAGUCAUCAUCAUUUGAUAUAAUAUACGGCCUGCAAAAUCUCUACAAAACUCGGACAGCCUAGUGAGCCAGAGAACCGAAUCCGACUGGAAGUUAAAGAUUACCUUGUGGAUUAUUCAAGAUUGCCUUAUUUUGAAAAGUGAUAAACAGAAGACUUGUUCGUCUCAUCGAAACAAUUGAUUUUGAUAUAAAUAUUGUCUCAAUCAGAGGUCAUAUACAGAUUCUGUGACCUGCGCAAAGAGCAAGAGAAAAGUUUGAGCCACAUUCAGGCUAAAUCCGAGUUAGAAUAAAAGUAGGACUCUAGGACAUGAAUUGAUGUAGUUUUCUUGUAAGGAAAGCAUAGAUAAAUCCUCUACUUGUAUGGGAAAUCCAUCUUCCACUUAUAUAUAAUGGAGGUGACGGCCGAUUAAAACAACACACAAUCGAAAAAAUGAAUCUACCGCUCUUUACCUAUACCUUUAUCUCCCUCCCUUGUUCUUCUUCUUCCUUGUCCUUCGUCGUUCUUCAUGAUUGCAGGGCAGCAAAUCCACGAGGCUCUAGGGGCGACCAGGUCGACCUAGGGCAUCCUAUAGCGGACGCACGCCCUGACAGGGUCCCCCAGGACGUGUGGGUUUUCGGGUCUGCAAAACCAUUUGCUGGAUUGCUUGCGUACCACGCUUCUGGAUGGGUCUUCUUCGACUUGAGCUGCAGUGCAUCACCAUCGAUGUUGGAGGUACAUGGCGACUUGUUCGUGUGUCAACACAAGGAAGGUUUUAGAACUUCCCAAGGCCAGUGAAAAAAGGGGAGUGCUCUGCGCCGGCGCGCCGGCCGAAACUUUCGGUGGCCGCGCGCGGGCCGCACGAUCCACCAUCCCCGCGCUUCCGCACCGUUGGAUCUCGAUGCAACAUUUUUCCUUCGAUGCAGCAAUAUUUCGAUGCGAUGCAGCAAUUUUUUCAACGGUUGCAACAAAAAAAAAUUGUAGCAAAAAAAUAAUAUCUAUGUGAUCGUAGCAAAAAAACGAAGAUGAUGGUACGUGGUAGCAAAAGUCAAACGCCGGUUGUAACAAAUAUUUACAUGACAUGUAUGCAACUUUUUUAGCGAACGGUUGUAGCAAAAAUUAACACGAUUGUAGCAAAAGUAAAAAACAUCGUUUGUAACGAAAAAUUCGAAGAACUGGAGUUGCAACCAAACGUAUAUGCAGCAAAUACGACACUGGUUGCAAGAAAUUUACACGAGAAAAAAAGCUGCAUGAAAAACGUUUGUAUAAAAAAAACACGAUUGUAGCAAAUUUGACGGAAAAUUGUUGCGAGCAUCUGCCAGCGAGGCGUGCGGCCCGCGCGUGACCGGCCGGACGAUUCGGCCGGAGCGCCGGGUGGAAACAAUUCCCGUGAAUAAAUGAGUCAGCCCAUCCUCUCAAGACAUGACGCGUGGGUGAAGGGGUGGGGGGUACGCACUAGGUCACUACACAACGACCUAUGCACCAAAUUGGAGUGGCGGGCAUGAUGGUGGGUAUGGUCCGGAGCCGUGAACAUUAUUGUCAUGUUUUUUAUAUAUUAAUAACUUUUUCUUACACUCAUUUUUUCUUAACAAAAAACUGUGAAAUGAAAAAUAGAAGUCUCAUAUGGAGUAGUCAUGAGGUGGAAUGACGUUCUGUCAGCCACGCUGUGACAUCGUCUACAGAGACGAGACGGUGACAAGUUUCUUGGUGUGCGGGUUGAUGGUGUGUGUGCAAUGGGGAUCACCGACAUGGAUACAUAGGAGAAGGGGAGAGGGGCGGGCCAACAAUGUAAAAGCAUCUACAACCGGACUCCUUAAACCCUCCUCAAAUGGGUACGUAGGCCAGCCAAUCAUUGACCGGUCAUGAAAAAGCCACCUAGACGGAUCCCUCAAACCGGCCUCAAACACCCGGGCUGACCGACACCACCCAUAUCCAGCCCAAAUAUGGGGCGAAUAUUAGGGAACCCGAGCACGCCCGCCACAUCGGCCUAAUGGUGUGCCCCACAUGGACUCGCCCGGAAACUCGACGGUCCACUAGGCGCCUCGAACAGCAUUGCGGUGUGAAUGUCGUGUGGUGCCGCUCCAGCUCCCCGCCCUUAUUCAUAGUGGCUAUUUAAGACGGCUGGCAUCCGCAAGCCUAAGCACAUCCACCUCCUCCCUUUUGUCGCUGCCAUAUGAGCCUGUCAGCCAUGCCCCCACACCAUCGGCACAACACAAUACAACACCGUCACUAGCUCCUUGAGCACGCCCGGAUCUCGAGGGAGUCGGGGAUACCUUUGGAUCGGGAGGAGGAUUUCCAGGAGGUGGAGGACGAAGAGGAGGAGCUGGGGGUGGAAGAGGAGGAGGUGUUGGAUAUAUGACCUAGAGGAAAUAAUAAAUUAGUUAUUAUUGUAUUUCCUUCUUCAUGAUAAUCAUUUAUUAUCCAUGUUAUAAUUAUAUUGAUUGGAAACCCAAAUACAUGUGUCGAUACAUCGACAACACGGUGUCCCUAGUGAGUCUCUACUAGACAAGCCCGUUGAUCAAAGAUGGUUAAGGUUUCCAAACCGUAGAUGUGGGUUGUCAUUCAAUAAUGGGAUCGCAUCAUUAGUGAAAUGAUGUGAUGGACAAGACCAAACCUUAAGCAUAACAUUUGAUCGUAUGACUAAGUUUAUUGCUAUUGGUUUCUGCAUGUCAGAUAUUUGUUCCUAAGACCAUGAGAUCAUGCAACUCCCUAAAACCGUAGGAAUGUCUUGUGUGUAUCAAAUGUCACAAUAUAAUUGCGUGAUCAUAAAGAUGCUCUACAAGUAUCUUCGAUGGUGUUCGUUGGGUUGGAAUGGAUCGAGCCUGGGAAUUGUCACUCAGUUUGACGAAGAAGUAUCUCUGUGCCCUGUCGGUAAUACAACAUCACAAUAAGUUUGCAAGAAAUGUGAGUAAGGAGCUCUUCACACAAUCUUGUAUUGCAGAACGAGUAAAGAGACUUGUCGGUAACGAGAUUGAACUGGAUAUGGAGAUACCGACGAUCAAAUCUCGCGCAAGUAGCAUACCUCUGGACAAAGGGAACUACAUACGGGAUUGAUUGAAUCCUUGGCAUCAUGGUUCGACCAAUAAAUAUAUUCAUGGAAUAUGUGGGAACCAAUAUGGCCAUCUAGGUCCCGCUAUUGGUUAUUGACCGGAGAUGUGUCUCAGUCAUGUCCACUUGAUUCUCGAACUCGUAGGGUCCGCACCCUUCACAUUCAGUGGCAAUAUAGUAUUAUUGGGUUAUGUAUGUUGGUGACCAAAUGUUGUUUGGAGUCACAGAUUAGAUCUCGGAUGUCACUAGGAGCUCCGGAAUGGUCUGAAGGUAAAGAUUUAUAUAUGGGAAGUCAUAUUUUGGCUACCGGGAAAGUUUUGGGUUUUUCCACUAUUGUUCCGGGAAGCUUCUAGAUGGUUCCGGAAACUUCCGGAGGAGUACGAAAAUACACCAAGGGUUCCACCACGUCCCAAGGAUUUGCAUGUUCUCUGGGGAGGCACUCUGGAUUUAUUGCGAAAGGCAAACAAGUCCCUCAAGUCCCAUGCAGUUGGGAAAGGUGGAAAGUCCACCGUUGUAUGGAAGGGAAGGAGGAGGACAAGGAUUCCACCUCCUCACCCUUGGCUGCACCCUAGUGCUUGGAGGGGAUGUUUCCCAUGCCCCGUAACCUAUAUAUAAAGGGGAGGGGUUCCCUAAUAGGACACACCAAGCCUUUUGUGCAACUCUCUCUCCCUAUAUUGUUUUCUCCUCCGUUUGCAGUUUCAGUAGCACUCGCCGUAGCCAUGUUUUCUUGUUGCCGGAGAACUAAUCUAAAAAUCCACCCCUCUCUGGCUGGAUCGAGGAGGCGGAUAUGUCAUCGAGAUGCAUGUGUUCUAAACACGGAGGUGUCGUCCGUUCGGCACUAGAUCGUGACAGAUCAUGAUUGAAUCGUGAAGACGUAUGACUACAUCGACCGCGUUAUAUAUGCUUCCUCUUAGCGUUCUAUGAUACAUCUCCAAUGUAUCUAUAAAUUUUAUUGUUCCAUGCUAUCAAUUUAUCAUUUUAGAACACUUUUAUUGUACUUAUCUACCAAUUCAUAUUAUUUUCGAGCACUAACCUUUUUACCUAGUGCCCAGUGUCGAAAGGAGGCAGGAGGGUGCACAAGGGCCCCACAAGCCAAGAGGGAGUGCCCUAGGGGGCGCCCUGACGCUUGUGGCCCCCUCAUGGCUCUCCCGACUCCGUUCUUUGGCCUAUAAAUUCCUAUCUACCCUAAAAACAUCGAGGGAUGUCCCAAAACACUUUUUACGCCACCGCAAGUCUAUGUUCCGACGGAAGACCAUCUAGAGCUCCGUUUCGCCACUCUGCCAGAGGGAGGAUCAAUCAAAGAUGGCUUGUUCAUCAGCCUUGCGGCGAUCAUGAUGAUGUGUCAGUAGUUCACUACAUCCCUAUGGGUCUAUAGCCAUUACCUAGAUGGCAAUCUCUCACUUUGAUAUUCAACACAAUAAUCAUCGCAUCUUCACUUUGAUCCAUAUGAUGUAACUCUUUUGUACGGUGCAUUUGUUGGGAUCUGAUGAAUUGUGGGUUUAUGUUCAUAUUAUUCAUGAUAAAUAUUGGAGUCUCCGCUGAUAUAUAAUAUUAUUAUUAUGUGCGUGAUUAUGAUAGCUUCGUAAUUCUCUCUGAUCUAUUAAAAUAGUUUGGCCAACUAGAUUGAUAUCUCUUCGGUGAGAGAGGUGGGUUGUAGAAGGUUCAACCUCACGAGUUUCUGUAUCCCAGUGACAGAAGGGGACAACUUGUGUAUUUGUGUUGCUACAGCUAAGGGUAAAAUGAUGGGGUUCAUUAAUAUCAGUUGAGUAUACUUUCUCUACAUCAUGUCAUGUUUCUUCAAGCAUUACUUCGUUUGUCAUGAACUUAAUACGUAGAUAGGCAAGCAUAGAAGUACUCUUGAAGUGAAGUAAUAGUGAUAGGUGGAUCCAGGAGUUGGCCUAUUUAUUUAUGGACGUGAUGCCUAUAUUUACAUGAUCGUUGCCGUGAAAAUCGCAUAACUAUCCGAUCUUCUGUCAAUUGCCCAAUAGUAUUUUGUUUACCCACCGUGUGCUAUUUUCAUGAGAGAUGCCAUUAGGGAAAACUAUGGCCCUCGGGUCUAUUCACAACAUAUUGCUAAAACCUCCAAUACCUUGCUGCCAUUUAUUUUCUNNNNNNNNNUUUUAAUUUUAUUGUUCUAUACAAUUAUCAAAACACCUCAUUUUCUUGCAAAUAACAACACCAAGCGGAUUGAAAACCCUCUUGCCUGUGUUGGGUGCAAGCUAUUUGUUCUUUUGUGUGCAGCUGCUGAAGAUGGUUGUGGUUGAUAUUCCUAUUGGUUAGAUAGACCUUGGUUUCAUAACUAAAGGAAAUACUUACCCACAUUGUGCUGCGAUAACCCAUUCUUCUUCAUGAAAACCCAACGCAGAUCACAAGUAUCACGAAGGAUUUCUUGCACACUUGUCGGGGAAUAUCAUCACCAACUUUCAAAUAACUCCGCACAAAAUUUCAUUCACUCUAUCCUCUUUUCACUUGCUGAUAUAUAUAAUUUGUCUCAUAAACCAAUGAAAUAAAUAAAUAUUUAUCUUUGCUUGCUUAGCUUGUCACCAUAUUGCAUCUUUGGUCUCUAGUUUGCUUAUUACACUUGUCACUUUGCUCACUCGGUCAUCCAACGCAGAUCACAAGUAUCAAUCUACAAGGGUAUGUAGAUACACUCCCCCUCUCAUAGCUAUGCAUCUCCAUGGAUAGAUCUUGCGUGUGGGUAGGAAAUUUUAUGUUUCCCAUGCAACGUUCCAAAAUAGUGGCAUUAUGAGCUAGGUCUAUGUGUAGAUGAUAUGCACGAGUAGGACACCAAGUGUUUGUGGAUGUUGAUGUUCAAAUUGCUUACUUCCUUAGUCUUAUCUUGAUUCGCCGGCAUUGUAGGAUGAAGUGGCUCAGACCAGCUUUACUUGGCCACAGACAAGAGAUCAGUUCCACCUACUCACAUGUAACUUGGUUGCAGAAAGGUGGCUGGCGGGUAUCUGUCUCUCCCACUUUAGUUGAAUCAGAUUCGACAGAGCCGGUUCUUGUAGAAGGUUAAAUAGCAACUUGGAACUCACAGUUGUGCCUUUGCAUAGGUAAGAACGGUUCUUGCUAGUUCCCAUCGCAGCCAUGUAAAACUUGCAACAACAAAGCAGAGGACGUCUAACUUGUUUUUGCAAGGCAUGUUGUGAUGUGAUAUGGCGAAAGACGUGAUUUGAUAUAUGUGAUGUGUGAGACGAUCAUGUUUUGUAUAGAUUAUCACAACUUGCAUGUCGAUGAGUACGACAACUAACAGGAGCCAUGGGGUUGUCUUUAAUUUAUUUGUUCCAUUUGCUUUACUUUAUCGCUAUGAGUUAGCAAUAGUUUUAUCAGCAAUAGUUGGUGGGACAAUCACAUGACGAUCCGAUUAUCAUGGUGUCAUGCUGGUGACGAUGGAGACCUCAAAAGCAUAAGAUGAUGAUGGCCAUAUCAUGUCACUUAUAUGAUUUGCAUGUGAUAUUUAUCUUAUGCAUCUUAUUUUUCAUAGGACAAGGUAGCAUUAUAAGAUGAUCCCUCAUUAAAAUUGGAAGACAAAAUUGUGUUCUCCCUAAGUGGUGCACCGUUGCGAAGGUUCAUCAUUUUGACGCACCUCGUGAUGAUCGGAUGUGAUAGACUCUAUAUUCGCAUACAACGGGCGUAAGCUAGUUUUGCACAUGCAGAACACUCGGGUUAAACCUGACGAGCCUAGCAUGUACAGACAUAGCCUCGGAAGAUAGGAGACCGAAAGGUCAAACGUGAGUUAUAUAGUAGAUAUGAUCAACAUAGAGAUGUUCACCAUUGAAACCAACUCAUCUCACGUGAUGAUCAGACUUGGGUUGGUGGAUUAGGAUAGUUUUACACGCAAACAACAUGAGGGAUGUUCUUUUGAGUGGGAUUUCUUUAGUAAUAUUAUUUAUUUAAAUCCUUAUCAUGAACAUAGUAUAAGUUGUCUUUGCAAAUUAUGUUGUAGAUCAAUAGCUCAUGUUGUAGCUCCUCUGUAUUUUGAUACGUUCUUAGAGAAAACUAAGUUGAAAGUUGAUAGUAGCAAUUACGCAGAAUAGUUCUCUGAACUGAGGAUUGUCCUCAUUGCUACACAAAAGUGUUGGAAAUAUGCCCUAGAGGCAAUAAUAAAUUAGUUAUUAUUAUAUUUCCUUGCUCAUGAUAAUAUUUAUUAUCCAUGCUAGAAUUGUAUUGAUUGGAAACUCAAAUACAUGUGUGGGUACAUAGCCAACACACUGUCUGUAAUGAGCCUCCAAGGACUAGCUCGUUGAUCAAAGAUGGUCAUGGUUUCCUAGCCAAAGACAUGGGUUGUCAUUUGAUGAUGGGGUCACAUCAUUAGGAGAAUGAUGUGAUGGACAAGACCCAAACUAUGAAUGUAGCAUAUGAUCGUAUAAGUUUAUUGCUACUAUUUUGUGCAUGUCAAGUAUCUGUUUCUAUAACCAUGAGAUCAUGCAGUUCCCGGGCACCGAAGGAAUGCCUUGUGUGUAUAAAAUGUCACAACGUCACUGGGUGGCUAUAAAGGUGCUCUACAGGUAUCUCCGAAGGUGUUUGUUGGUUUGGCGUGAAUCAAGAAUGGGAUUUGCCACUCCGUAUGACGCAGAGAUAUCUCUAGGGACCACUCGGUAAUACAACAUCACAAUGAGGUUGCAAGCAAUGUGAGUAAAGAGUUAGUCACGGGAUUUUUUAUUAUGGAAUGAGUAAAUAGACUUGCCGGUAAUGAGAUUGAACUAGGUAUAGAGAUACCGAUGAUCGAAUCUCACGCAAGUACCAUGCUGAUGGACAAAGGGAAUAGUGUACAGAAUUAACUGAAUCCUUGACAUAGAUGUUCGACCGAUAAAGAUCUUCAUAGAAUAUUUAGGAGCCAAUAUGGGCAUUCAGGUCCCUCUAUUGGUUAUUGAUUGGAGAGUGUCUCACUCAUGUCUACAUAUUUCUCGAACCCACAGGGUAUGCAAACUUAAGGUUCGGUGACGUUUCGAUAUAGUUGAGUUAUGUAUGUUGGUGACCGAAGGUUGUUCGGACUCCGAGAUGAGAUCCAGGAUGUCACGAGGAGUUCGGUAAUCAUCCAAAGACAGAAAUUGAUAUAUAGGAAGACGGUAUUUGGGCUCCGGAAAAGUUUCGGGCAUUUCCGGUAGUGUACGAGGAGUAACAAAUGGGUUUUGGGGGUUCACCGGAAGGGGCCAACCACCCCGAGGGGGAGGGGUUACAUAGGCCUAAGAUGUUGCGCACUACUACCUCUUGAGCUUGUGUUGGUUUUUCCCUUGAAGAUGAAAGGGUGAUGCAGCACAGUAGCAGUAAGUAUUUCCCUCAGUUUGAGAACCAAGGUAUCAAUCCAGUAGGAGUAUCAAGGCAAGUCUCCAAAGUACCUGCACAACAAUAGCAAACUUGCAGCCAAUGCUACAAAGGGGUUGUCAAUCCCUUCACGAUUGAUUGCAAGGUGAGAUCGGAAGGCGGAAAGUGCAAUAAAGUAAAAGUGUAGGGCUGAAAAUAUGAUGUGAAGUGGACCCGGGGGCCAUAGUGUUCACUAGAGGCUUCCCUCAUGAUAGAAAAUAUUACGGUGGGUGAACGAAUUACUGUCGAGCAACUGAUAGAACCGCCCAAAGUCAUGACGAUAUCUAAGGCAGUGAUCAUACAUAUAGGCAUUACAUCCGAGACAAGUAGACCGAUACUUUCUGCAUCUACUACUAUUACUCCACACAUCGACCGCUAUGCAGCAUGCAUCUAGUGUAUUGAGUUCAUAACAAACAGAGUAACGCCUUAAGAAAGAUGACAUGAUGUAGAGGGACAAAUUCAUGCAAUAUAUAUAAACCCCAUCUUUUUACCCUUGAUGGCAACAACACGAUGUGUGCCUCGCUACCCCUUCUGCCACUGGGUGAGGACACCGCACGGUAUGAAACCAAAACCAAGCACUUCUCCCAUUGCAAGAAUUAUAGAUCAAGUUGGACAAACGAAACCCACAACUCGAAGAGAAUUACAAGGAUAUUAAAUCAUGCAUAUAAGAGAUCAAAAGAAACUCAAAUAAGAUUCAUGGAUAAUAUGAUCAUAAGUCCUCAAUUCAUCGUAUCUUGACAAACACACCGCAAAAGAAGAUUACAUCGGAUUGAUCUCCAUGAAGAUCAUGGAGAACUUUGUAUUGAAGAUCCAAGAGAGAGAAGAAGCCAUAUAGCUACUAGCUAUGGACCCGAAGGUCUGUGGUGAACUACUCACGCAUCAUCGGAGAGGCAAUGGUGUUGAUGAAGAAGCCCUCCAUGUCCGAAUCCUCCCUCCGACAGGGCACCAGAACGUGCCCCAGAUGGGAUCUUGUGGAGACAGAAGCUUGCGGCGGCGGAAAAGUAUUUUCGAGGCCCUCUCCCGUGGUUUCAGAUUUUUGGGGGAUUUAUAGGCGGAAGAAUAGGCAAAGGAGCCACGGGGGGCCCCCAAACCUGCUAGGCCCCCCUUAGGCGGCGGCUAGGUGGGUUGUGGCCUCCCCCGGGACACUUUGCCUUGGUUCUCAAGCUCCGUGCGUAUCUUCUGUUCCGGAAAAAAUCUUUUUGAAGGUUUUAUUCCGUUUGGACUCCGUUUGAUAUUCUCCUGUGAAAAAGGUCAAGAACACGGAAAAAACAGGUACUCGCACUUGGCACUGAGUUAAUAAGUUAGUCCCAAAAAAGAUAUAAAAUGCAUACAAAACAUCCAAAGUUUGACAAGAUAAUAGCAUGGAGCCAUAAAAAAUUAUAGAUACAUUGGAGACGUAUCAAGCAUCCCCAAGCUUAACUCCUGCUCGUCCUCGAGUAGGGAAGUGAUAAAUACUGAAUUUUUUAUGUGGAAUGCUACCUAGCAUAUUUGUCCUUUGUAACUUCUUUCAUGUGACAUGAAUGUUCAGAUCCGUAAGAUUCAAAACAAUAGUUUGCUAUUGACAUGAAAACAAUAAUACUUCAAGCAAACUAGCAAGGUAAUCAUGAACUUUCAACAUAACAAGGCCAAAGAAAGUUAUCCCUACAAAAUCAUAUAGUCUGGCUAUGCUCCAUCAUCCCCACACAAUGAAUUUAAAUCAUGCACAACCCCGAUAUUGGCCAAGUUAUUGUUUUCGCACUCUUACUUUCUCAAACUUUUUCAACUCUCAUGCAAUACAUGAGCGUGAGCCAUGGAUAUAGCACUAUAGGUGGAAUAGAGUGUGGUGGAGGUUGUGAGGCAAAAAGGAGGAGAUGGUCACAUUGACUCGGUGUAUCAAUGGGCUAUGGAGAUGCCCAUCAAUAGAUAUCAAUGUGAAUGAGUAGGGAUUACCAUGCAACGGAUGCACUUAGAGCUAUAAGUGUGUGAAUGCUCAAAGGGAGAACUACUGGGUGUGCACCCAACUUGCUUUCUCACGAAGACCUAGGGCAAUUUUGAGGAAGCCCAUCACUGGAAUAUACAAGCCAAGAUGUAUAAUGAAGAUUCCGACUAGUAUAAGAUGGUGACAAAACAAGAGACUCUCAAUCAUGAAGAACAUGGUGCUAUUAUGAAGCACAAGUGCGGAAAACGAUAGCAGCAUUGUCCCUUCUCUCUUUUACUCUCAUUUUUUUAUUUUUGUUGGGCUCUUUGGAAUCUUUUCAAUUUUUUUUGGUGGGCAUCUUUGGCCUCUUUUAUUUUUCCUCACAUGGGACAAUGCUCUAAUAAUGAUGAUCAUCACACUUUUAUUUACUCACAACUCAACACUUAGAGCAAUGAUGACUCUAUAGGAAAUGCCUCCGGCAGUGUACCGGGAUGUGCAAUGAUCUAGCAUAGUGUAUGAUGUUGAAACAUCUCGCUACCUAUCUUACGAUCAUGCAAUGGCAAUAUGAAAGUGACGGCACAUGUCAUGAGACGGAACGGUGGGAGUUGCAUGGCAAUUUAUCUCGGAAUGGCUAUGAAAAGGACAUGAUAGGUAGGUAUGGUGGCUGUUUUGAGGAAGGUAUAUGGUGGUUUUAUGCACCGUCCAAAGUUGCGCGGCACUAGAGAAGCUAGCAAUGGUGGAAGGUGAAAGUGCAUCUAUACCAUGGACUCACAUUAGUCAUGAAUAACUCAUAUACUUAUUGCGAAAUUCUAUUAGUAAUCGAAACAAAGUGCUAAACGCAUACUCCUAGGGGAAGGGUUGGUAGGUGUUAACCAUCACGCGAUCCCAACUGCCACACAAAGGAUGAAAAUCAAUAAAUAAAUUAUGUUCUUACUUCCUAACAUAGCGGUUCACCAUACGUGCAUGUUACGGGAAUCACUAACUUCAACACAAGUAUUUAUAGAUUCACAACAACCUACAAACAUGACUCUAAUAUUACCAAAUCCAUGUAUCAAUACUAAUUGAGAGGAAUCAAACUUCUCUUUACUAAUCAAUACACAUGCAUAUGGAAGUUUUUACUAUAUCCUCUUUGGACGCCUAUCAUAUUUAGGACUACUUUCAUAGCACAAGCCAAUUACCCAGCUACUCAAAGAGAGCACUCUCCAAAAGAUAUAAGUGAAGAUCGGGAGUUAUUAUUUCUCCAAAAUAUAACACCGCCGUGCUCUAAAAAUAUCUAAGUGAAGCACUAGAGCAAAGUUAUCUAGCUCAAAAGAUAUAAGUGAAGCACAUGCGAGCUAAAUUGCGUAACUCAAAAGAUAUAAGCGAAGAUCAAUGAGUAUUCUACAAAAUUCACGAUGAGUGCAUGUCUCUCUCAAAAAGGUGUGCAUCAAGGAAGAUUGUGACACAACAAAAAGAAAAGACUCCUAUAAUACAUGACGCUCCAAGCAAAACACAUAUCAUUUGGUGAAUAAAAAUAUAGCUCCAAGUAACGUUACCGAUGGAUUGAAGACGAAAGAGGGGAUGCCUUCCCGGGGCAUCCCCAAGCUUAGGCUUUUUGGUGUCCUUGAAUUUGGCUUGGGAUGCCUUGGGCAUCCCCAAGCUUGAGCUCUUUCCAGUCUUUAUCCCUUGUCCAUGAGAACAUCACCCAAAACUUGAAAACUUCACAACACAAAACUUAAACAGAAACUCGUGAUAUCAUUAGCAUAAGAAAACAAUCUACCACCUCUUGAGGUACUGUAGCAAACUGGAUUUCUAUUUAUAUUGGUGUUAUAUUACUGUAUUCUCAGUUUUCCAUGGCUAGAACCCCCCGAUACUAUCCAUAGUUUCAUCAAAAUAAGCAAUCAACACAACAAAAAAUAGAAUCUGUCAAAAACAGACCAGUCUGUAGCAAUUUGUAUACUUCGUAUACUUCUGGUAUCUCAAAAAUUCUGAAAACUUAUGACAAUUUGGGAAAUUGGCAUAUAAACCAGCUGCAAAACGAAUCAACUCCAAAGCUCUUUCUGGGUAGGAAUGAAAAAUAAUUUCGUGAGCGCAAAGUUUCUGUCUUUUCCAGCAAGAUCAAACAACCAUCACCAAAACUAGUCAUAAAGGUUUUACUUGGCACAAACACAAAAAGAAACACAAAGAACACAAUCAUAACAGAAUUAUGAUGGUGUGAACACAACAAAAAAGAAAGAAAAGAGCAAAGAUAAAUUCAUUGGGUUGCCUCCCAACAAGCGCUAUUGUUUAACGCCCUUAGCUAGGCAUAAGGCGAUAGAAUCACGUAUCGUCGUCUUUGGUAAUCAAACCAUAAGUAGCCCUCAUCAUGGAUUCAUAAGGAAAUCUUAUUUUCUUUACAGGAAAAUGUUCCAUGCCCUUAUUUAAUGGAAAUUGAAAUCUAAUAUUCCCUUCCUUCAUAUCGACGACAGCACCAAUAGUCCUUAGGAAAGGUCUACCAAGAAUGAUAGGACAUGUCGGAUUGCAAUCAAUAUCAAGCACAAUGAAAUCUAUGGGUACAUAGUUCCUACAUGCAAUAAUAAGAACAUCAUUGAUCCUUACCAUAGGUUUCUUAACAGUAGAAUCCACAAGAUGCAAAUUAAGAGAGCACUCAUAAAUCUCAUUGAAGCCUAGAACAUCACAUAAAGACUUUGGAAUAGCAGAAACACUGGCACCCAAAUCACAGAAAGCAUUGCAUUCAUAGUUUUUGAUCUUGAUUUUGAUAGUAGGUUCCCACUCAUCAUGAAGUUUUCUAGGAAUAGAAACUUCCAAUUCAAGUUUCUCUUCAAGAGAUUUCAUCAUAGCAUCGACGAUAUGAUCGGUAAAGGUCUUGUUUUGGCUAUAAGCGUGUGGAGAGUUUAGCAUGGAUUGCAUCAAGGAAAUACAUUCAAUCAAAGAGCAACUAUAAUAAUUCAAUUCCUUGAAAUCCAAAGUAGUAAUUUCAUUACUACUUAAAGUUUUGAUAACCUCUACUCGACAUUCAAUGCUUUUAGCAUCAAGAUAGAUAGACUCUGAAUCAUUGGGGCAUUUCUCAACCAAAGUGGAUUCAUAUCCAGCCCCAUCAUCAUUAGGUUUGACAUUAGAAAACAAGGAUUAAAUGGGAGUCACACCAAGCACUUUAAGAUCUUCGUGAUUAUCAUCAUGAGAACACGCCUUUUUAAGCCAUUCAUGUCUAGCAAGAAUUUGGGAGGUUCUUUCUUUACUCUCAUUCAUGGAAACAUGCAUAGCUUUCAAAGUUUCAUCCAUAUUGAUCUUGGGAGGAGCACAUCUCAAUUUCAAAGCAUCAAUAUCAAGAGACAUUCUAUCAACGGUCCUAGCCAAGUCAUCAAUUUUGAGCAGCUUUUCUUCUAUGGACGCAUUGAAAAUCUUUUGUGGGUUGAUAAACUCUUUAAUAUAACUCUCUAGAUCAAAGGGUAAUUUAUUGUAGUUUCCAUGAGCAUUGUUGUAGGAGUUGCCAAAGUUAUUAGGGGGAUUACUAGGAAAAGGCCUAGGAAUAUAGUUACCUCUAAAGGCAUUGUUGUGGCCAAAAUUAUUCCUACCAACAAAAUUUACAUCCAAGCUCUGAUUGCUACUCUCAAUCAAGGAAGACAAGGGCAUAUAAUUUGGAUAUAAAGGAGCUCCUUUACUAGCAAACAAUUUCAUUAACUCAUCCAUCUUAGCACUCAAAGAGUUAAAUUCUUCUAUAGCGUGCACUUUUUAGUAGUAGGUGACCUUUCAGUUUGCCAUUAAGAAUAGUUUGUCAUGAUAUUGUCUAGGAGUUUUCUGGCGUCUCCUAGUGUGAUUUCCAUGAAAGUUCCAUCGGAGGCGGAAUCAAGGAUAUUUCUAGAAGAAAAAUUCAAAUCAACAUAGAAGAUUUGAAUAAUCAUCCAAAGACUCAAGCCAUGAGCGGGACAAUUUCUAAUCAUCAAUUUCAUUAUGUCCCAAGAUUGUGCAACAUGUUCAUGAUCUAGUUGCUUAAAAUUCAUGAUAUCCUUAUGGAGAGAGAUAAUCUUAGUCGGUGGAAAAUACUUGGAUAUAUAAGCAUCUUUGCAUUUGUUCCAAGAAUCAAUACUAUUUUUGGGCAAAGAUGAAAACCAAGUUUUUCCUCGAUCUCGCAGUGAGAACGGAAAUAGUUUCAAUUUAAUCACAUUAUUAUCCACAUCUUUCUUCUUUUUCAUAUCGCAUAACUCAAUGAAGGUAUUAAGAUGGGAUGCGGCAUCUUCACUAGGAAGGCCAGAAAAUUGCUCUUUCAUAACAAGAUUGAGCAAAGCACCAUUGAUUUCAUAUGAUUCUGCACUAGUGACGGGAGCAAUCGGAGUACUAAUAAAAUCAUUAUUAUUAGUAUUCGAGAAGUCACAAAGUUUGGUGUUUUCAGUCAUGGUGACUUCAGCAAGCACACAAGCACACAAGCGAACAGAAAGCGAGCGAAAGAAAAGGGCAAACGAAAAAGGAAAAUGUUUUUGUAAAUUUUUGUUUUUCAGAAGUGGGGGAGAGGAAAACGAGAGGCAAAAAAAAGUAAAUGCAAGAGAUGAGUUUGUGAGAGUUACUUGGAUAAGUGAUACGUCUCCAACGUAUCUAUAAUUUUUGAUGGUUUCAUGCUUUUAUCUUGUCAAAGUUUGGAUGUUUUGCAUGCCUUAUAUAUAUUUUUUGGGACUAACUUAUUAACUCAGUGCCAAGUGCCAGUUCCUGUUUUUCCAUGUUUUUGACCCCUUUUAGAGGAGAUUUUGAAACGGAGUCCAAAUGGAAGAAAAUCCCCAAAAAGAUUUUUUUGGAACGGAAGAAGAUCGGGGAGCUUGGGAGCCAAGGCAGGGGAGCCCCAGGGGCCCUAGGGGCCCCUACCCCGUGGCCAUGGGGGCCACGCCAUCCAGGCUUGUGGGCCCCCUGGACGCCCUUUGCCUUAGGUCUUUCGCCUAUAUAUUUCCAUAAAUUCUAGAAAAAAUCAGGAGAUCAUCGCAAUCACUUUUCCGCCGUUGCAAGCUUCUGUUUCUGCUAGAUCCCAUCUGGGGCACGUCCUGGUGCCCUGACGGAGGGGGGAUUCGGACUCGAAGGGCUUCUCCAUCAACACCAUGACCUCUCCGAUGAUGAGUGAGUAGUUCACCAUAGACCUACGGGUCCAUAGCUAGUAACUAGAUCACUUCUUCUCUCUCUUGGAACUUCAAUACAAAGUUCUCCAUGAUCUUCAUGGAGAUCUAUCCGAUGUAAUCUUCUUUUGCGGUGUGUUUGUUGAGAUCCGAUGAAUUGCGGACUUAUGAUCAGAUUAUCUAUGAAUCUUAUUUGAGUUUCUUCUAAUCUCUCUUAUGCAUGAUUUCAUAUCCUUGUAAUUCUCUUCGAGUUGUGGGUUUUGUCUGGCCAACAAGAUCUAUGAUUCUUGCAAUGGGAUAAGUGCUUGGUUUUGGGUUCAUAUCGUGCGGUGACCUCACCCAGUGACAGAAGGGGUAGCGAGGCACGCAUCGUGUUGUUGCCGUCAUGGGUAAAAAGAUGGGGUUUUCAUCAUUGGUUUGAGAUUAUCCCUCUACAUCAUGUCAUCUUGCUUAAAACGUUACUCUGUUCGUCUUGAACUCAAUACACUAGAUGCAUGUUGUAUAGCGGUCGAUGUGUGGAGUAAUAGUAGUAGAUGCAGAAAGUAUCGGUCUACUUGUCUCGGACGUGAUACCUAUAUGUAUGAUCAUUGCCUUAGAUAUUGUCAUGACUUUGCGCGGUUCUAUCAAUUGCUCGACAGUAAUUUGUUCACCCACUGUGAUACUUGCUAUUUUGAGAGAAGCCUCUAGUGAACACUAUGGCCCCCAGGGUCUACUCCACACCAUAUUUUCAGCCUUACACUUUUUACUUCGUUGCACUUUACUCCUUGAGAUCUCACUUUGCAAACAAUCUUGAAGGGAUUGACAACCCCUUUGAAGCAUUGGGUGCAAGCUUGUUUGUGUUUGCGCAGGUACUCUGGACUUGACGAGACCCUCCUUCUGGAUCGAUACCUUGGUUCUCCAACCGAGGGAAACACUUACUGCUCCUGUGCUGCAUCACCCUUUCCUCAUCAAGGGAAAAACCAUCGCAAGCCCAGCCUCUGUCAACGUGUCAAUUUCUGGCGCUGUUGUCUAUGGGAUGGCAAUAAGCUUCACUUAGAAUAGUCCCCGGUGCCAGAAAUUGACACGUUGGAGGAAGACUAUUCUUGACUUCAUGCUCCCCAGCAACGGCGCCAUAAAUUCGUCUUGCUACCUCUUGAGCUUGCGUUGGUUUUUCACUUGAAGAGGAAAGGGUGUUGCAGCAUAGUAGCAGUAAGUAUUUCCCUCAGUUUGAGAACCAAGGUAACAAUCCAGUAGGAGUAUCAAGGCAAGUCUCCAAAGUACCUGCGCAAAAACAUCAAAUUUGCACCCAACGCUACAAAGGGGUUGUCAAUCCCUUCACGAUUGAUAGCAAGGUGAGAUCGGAAGGAGGAAAGUGCAACAAAGUAAAAGUAUAGGGCUAAAACUAUGAUGUGAAGUAGACCCGGGGGCCAUAGUGUUCUCUAGAGGCUUCUCUCGUGAUAGAAAAUAUUACGGUGGGUGAACGAAUUACUGUCGAGCAAUUGAUAGAACAACGCAAUGUCAUGACGAUAUCUAAGGCAAUGAUCAUACAUAUAGUCAUCACGUCCGAGACAAGUAGACCGAUACUUUCUCCAUCUACUAAUAUUACUCCAUACAUCGACCGCUAUCCAGCAUGCAUCUAGUGUAUUGAGUUCAUAACAAACAGAGUAACGCCUUAAGCAAGAUGACAUGAUGUAGAGGGAUAAAUUCAUGCAAUAGAUAUAAACCCCAUCUUUUUACCCUUGAUGGCAACAACAGGAUGCAUGCCUCGCUACCCCUUCUGUCACUAGGUGAGGACACCGCACGGUAUGAACCCAAAACCAAGCACCUGUCCCAUUGCAAGAAUUAUAGAUCAAGUUGGCAAAACAAAACCCACAACUCGAAGAGAAUUACAAGGAUACGAAAUCAUGCAUAUAAGAGAUCAGAAGAAACUCAAAAAAUAAUCAUAGAUAAUCUCAUCAUAAAUCCACAAUUCAUCGGGUCUCGACAAAGCAAAAGAAGAUUUCAUCGGAUAAGCCACAACUUUGUAUUGAAGAUCCAAGAGAGAGAAGAAGCCAUCUAGCUACUAGCUAUGGAACCGAAGGUCUGUGGUGAACUACUGAAGCAUUAUCGGAGAGGCAAUGGUGCUGAUGAAGAAGCCCUCUGUGUCCGAAUACCCCUCCGGCAGGGCACCAGAACGUGCCCCAGAUGGGAUCUUGCGGAGAGAGAAGCUUGCGGCAGCGGAAAAGUAUUUCCAUGGCUCUCUCCCGUGGUUUCAGAUUUUUUUCGGGGAUUUAUAUGCGGAAGAAGUAGGGAAAAGGAGCCACGGAGGACCCACAAGCCUGCUAGGCGCCCCCCAGGCCACAGCUAGGGGGCUUGUGGCCUCCCACGGGACCCUUUGCCUUGGUUCUCAAGCUCCCUGCGUAUCUUCUGUUCCGGAAAAAAUCUUUUCGGAGGUUUUAUUCCGUUUGGACUCAGUUUGAUAUUCUCCUCCGAAAAAGGUGAAAACACGGAAAAACAGGAACUGGCACUUGGCACUUGGCACUGAGUUAAUAAGUUACUCCCAAAAAAGAUAUAAAAUGCAUACAAAACAUCCAAAGUUUGACAAGAUAAUUGCAUGGAACCAUAAAAAAUUAUACUCUACUGAAAUUCAGAAAUUUGCCGUCUGCCACGGCGGACGGCAAAGGGGGGAACCACGGACGGCAAAGGCUUUGCCAUUGGUCAACAAACGGCAAACUAGACGGUAAAAAAAUCCGGUGAAGAGGUUCUUUGCCGUCUGCUUUUGUAAAGCAGACGGCAAAGAAUCUUUGCCAUCAUGGGGCAGACGGCAAAUUAACUGGGAGGGCAUAUACUGCAACGGCCCCGUUAAGCGUUAACGGCAGGCCUCCUCUUUUUGCCGUCUGCCAUCCCACCCUUUGCCAUGUGGGGACAGACGACAAAGAGGGGAGAGAGAGGGGGCUGAUUCACCCCUUUGCCGUCUGCCCACCCCCCUUUGCCAUGUGGGGGCAUAUGGUAAAGAGGGGAGAGAGAGGGGGCAGAUUCCCCCACUUGCCGUCUGCCUACACCCCUUUGCCAUGUGGGGGCAGACGGCAAAGAGGGGAGAGAGAGGGGGCAGAUUCCCCCCUUUGCCGUCUGCCAUCCCCCCUUUGCCAUGUGGGGGCAGACGGCAAAGGGGGAACCAGCCCCUUUUGAAUUUAUUUUUUAUUAUAUCCAGCAUUUUUAACAAUAAUCUGGAUACAUAUAUAUAUAUUUGACAUAAAUAAAUUUCUUUCUAUACUCAUAAUCAUAUUAAAAUAACUCUCAUCCAUAGUGCAUACAUAUUAUGCAAGUUGCAUCCGUACCAAACCAUAUAUUACACCAGUUUCAUCCACAUGCAUACAAAGCUUCAUAUAUAUCCAUAUACUACAAUAGUUUCAAUACAAGCCAUGGUACAAGAAAUCAUCUUCAAGCAUUCCAUCAAUAUAAUCCAAGCUCCCCGUGAAGUGAAGGUAAUCUGCAAAAUGACAAAUAAGAAAGUUAGAAGAAUAAUACUAGAUGGACAAGUGCAUAUAUAGGUUAUUUCGAAGAGAAAUUAGCAAAGUAUGGACCAUUUAGGAGCUAACUAAGCUAAUUAUGUCAUUUAGGUGGAACCUUAGCUAACUAUAGGUCGUUUCGGAGCUAACUUGGGUAAAAUAGGUCAUUCCGGAGCAAACUAUGCUUAUUAAGCCAUUUUUGAUCUAGCUAGGCUAAUUAUAGGCCAUUUAAUACCUAAGUUAGGGGGAACAGGUCAUGUUGCAGCUACGUAAGCCUUAUUAUGUCAUUUAGGAGAGAACUUAGCUAAGUAUAGGUCAUGUUUUAUUAAAUAGACCAUUUAGGAGCUAACUAAGCUAAUUAUGUCAUUUAANNNNNNNNNNNNNNNNNNNNNNNNNNNNNNNNNNNNNNNNNNNNNNNNNNNNNNNNNNNNNNNNNNNNNNNNNNNNNNNNNNNNNNNNNNNNNNNNNNNNNNNNNNNNNNNNNNNNNNNNNNNNNNNNNNNNNNNNNNNNNNNNNNNNNNNNNNNNNNNNNNNNNNNNNNNNNNNNNNNNNNNNNNNNNNNNNNNNNNNNNNNNNNNNNNNNNNNNNNNNNNNNNNNNNNNNNNNNNNNNNNNNNNNNNNNNNNNNNNNNNNNNNNNNNNNNNNNNNNNNNNNNNNNNNNNNNNNNNNNNNNNNNNNNNNNNNNNNNNNNNNNNNNNNNNNNNNNNNNNNNNNNNNNNNNNNNNNNNNNNNNNNNNNNNNNNNNNNNNNNNNNNNNNNNNNNNNNNNNNNNNNNNNNNNNNNNNNNNNNNNNNNNNNNNNNNNNNNNNNNNNNNNNNNNNNNNNNNNNNNNNNNNNNNNNNNNNNNNNNNNNNNNNNNNNNNNNNNNNNNNNNNNNNNNNNNNNNNNNNNNNNNNNNNNNNNNNNNNNNNNNNNNNNNNNNNNNNNNNNNNNNNNNNNNNNNNNNNNNNNNNNNNNNNNNNNNNNNNNNNNNNNNNNNNNNNNNNNNNNNNNNNNNNNNNNNNNNNNNNNNNNNNNNNNNNNNNNNNNNNNNNNNNNNNNNNNNNNNNNNNNNNNNNNNNNNNNNNNNNNNNNNNNNNNNNNNNNNNNNNNNNNNNNNNNNNNNNNNNNNNNNNNNNNNNNNNNNNNNNNNNNNNNNNNNNNNNNNNNNNNNNNNNNNNNNNNNNNNNNNNNNNNNNNNNNNNNNNNNNNNNNNNNNNNNNNNNNNNNNNNNNNNNNNNNNNNNNNNNNNNNNNNNNNNNNNNNNNNNNNNNNNNNNNNNNNNNNNNNNNNNNNNNNNNNNNNNNNNNNNNNNNNNNNNNNNNNNNNNNNNNNNNNNNNNNNNNNNNNNNNNNNNNNNNNNNNNNNNNNNNNNNNNNNNNNNNNNNNNNNNNNNNNNNNNNNNNNNNNNNNNNNNNNNNNNNNNNNNNNNNNNNNNNNNNNNNNNNNNNNNNNNNNNNNNNNNNNNNNNNNNNNNNNNNNNNNNNNNNNNNNNNNNNNNNNNNNNNNNNNNNNNNNNNNNNNNNNNNNNNNNNNNNNNNNNNNNNNNNNNNNNNNNNNNNNNNNNNNNNNNNNNNNNNNNNNNNNNNNNNNNNNNNNNNNNNNNNNNNNNNNNNNNNNNNNNNNNNNNNNNNNNNNNNNNNNNNNNNNNNNNNNNNNNNNNNNNNNNNNNNNNNNNNNNNNNNNNNNNNNNNNNNNNNNNNNNNNNNNNNNNNNNNNNNNNNNNNNNNNNNNNNNNNNNNNNNNNNNNNNNNNNNNNNNNNNNNNNNNNNNNNNNNNNNNNNNNNNNNNNNNNNNNNNNNNNNNNNNNNNNNNNNNNNNNNNNNNNNNNNNNNNNNNNNNNNNNNNNNNNNNNNNNNNNNNNNNNNNNNNNNNNNNNNNNNNNNNNNNNNNNNNNNNNNNNNNNNNNNNNNNNNNNNNNNNNNNNNNNNNNNNNNNNNNNNNNNNNNNNNNNNNNNNNNNNNNNNNNNNNNNNNNNNNNNNNNNNNNNNNNNNNNNNNNNNNNNNNNNNNNNNNNNNNNNNNNNNNNNNNNNNNNNNNNNNNNNNNNNNNNNNNNNNNNNNNNNNNNNNNNNNNNNNNNNNNNNNNNNNNNNNNNNNNNNNNNNNNNNNNNNNNNNNNNNNNNNNNNNNNNNNNNNNNNNNNNNNNNNNNNNNNNNNNNNNNNNNNNNNNNNNNNNNNNNNNNNNNNNNNNNNNNNNNNNNNNNNNNNNNNNNNNNNNNNNNNNNNNNNNNNNNNNNNNNNNNNNNNNNNNNNNNNNNNNNNNNNNNNNNNNNNNNNNNNNNNNNNNNNNNNNNNNNNNNNNNNNNNNNNNNNNNNNNNNNNNNNNNNNNNNNNNNNNNNNNNNNNNNNNNNNNNNNNNNNNNNNNNNNNNNNNNNNNNNNNNNNNNNNNNNNNNNNNNNNNNNNNNNNNNNNNNNNNNNNNNNNNNNNNNNNNNNNNNNNNNNNNNNNNNNNNNNNNNNNNNNNNNNNNNNNNNNNNNNNNNNNNNNNNNNNNNNNNNNNNNNNNNNNNNNNNNNNNNNNNNNNNNNNNNNNNNNNNNNNNNNNNNNNNNNNNNNNNNNNNNNNNNNNNNNNNNNNNNNNNNNNNNNNNNNNNNNNNNNNNNNNNNNNNNNNNNNNNNNNNNNNNNNNNNNNNNNNNNNNNNNNNNNNNNNNNNNNNNNNNNNNNNNNNNNNNNNNNNNNNNNNNNNNNNNNNNNNNNNNNNNNNNNNNNNNNNNNNNNNNNNNNNNNNNNNNNNNNNNNNNNNNNNNNNNNNNNNNNNNNNNNNNNNNNNNNNNNNNNNNNNNNNNNNNNNNNNNNNNNNNNNNNNNNNNNNNNNNNNNNNNNNNNNNNNNNNNNNNNNNNNNNNNNNNNNNNNNNNNNNNNNNNNNNNNNNNNNNNNNNNNNNNNNNNNNNNNNNNNNNNNNNNNNNNNNNNNNNNNNNNNNNNNNNNNNNNNNNNNNNNNNNNNNNNNNNNNNNNNNNNNNNNNNNNNNNNNNNNNNNNNNNNNNNNNNNNNNNNNNNNNNNNNNNNNNNNNNNNNNNNNNNNNNNNNNNNNNNNNNNNNNNNNNNNNNNNNNNNNNNNNNNNNNNNNNNNNNNNNNNNNNNNNNNNNNNNNNNNNNNNNNNNNNNNNNNNNNNNNNNNNNNNNNNNNNNNNNNNNNNNNNNNNNNNNNNNNNNNNNNNNNNNNNNNNNNNNNNNNNNNNNNNNNNNNNNNNNNNNNNNNNNNNNNNNNNNNNNNNNNNNNNNNNNNNNNNNNNNNNNNNNNNNNNNNNNNNNNNNNNNNNNNNNNNNNNNNNNNNNNNNNNNNNNNNNNNNNNNNNNNNNNNNNNNNNNNNNNNNNNNNNNNNNNNNNNNNNNNNNNNNNNNNNNNNNNNNNNNNNNNNNNNNNNNNNNNNNNNNUUCCUUUCAUUUUUCCUCUUUCUUCUCCUCUUGUCCCCUUCUUCGGGCUAAAUUGGCUAAGAAUUCCUUUUUGGAGAUAAUUAUGUCAUUUCAAGGAUAAUUAGCUAAGUAUAUGUCAUGUUUUAUUAAAUAGACCAUUUAGGAGCUAACUAAGCUAAUUAUGUCAUCUAGGUGGAACCCUAGCUAACUAUAGGUCCUUUCGGAGCUAACUUGGGUAAAAUAGGUCAUUCCGGAGCAAACUAUGCUUAUUAAGCCAUAUUGGUUCUAGCUAGGCUAAUUAUAGGCCAUUUAAUACCUACGUUAGGGGGAAUAGGUCAUCUUCCAGUUACGUAAGCCUUACUAUGUCAUUUAGGAGAGAACUUAGCUAACUAUAGGUAAUUUUUUUAUUAAAUAGGUCAUUUUGGAGCUAACUAAGCUAAUUAUGUCAUUUCAUAGGAUAAUUAGCCAAUUUAGCCUUUCUUGGAGCUAACUAAGCUAAUUAUGUCAUUUAGAUGGAAGUCUAGUUAUUUUUUAUUGAAACACUAGAAAUAACAUACCAUUAUCGUAAUCACAAUGGUGAAGCACGAUGGCUCUGGCUUGUUUCACUUGGAGAAGGCUGCCCUGGAGAAGGCUCGUGCGAUGCGUUUCAGGAGAUAUAUAUUCCGCACCAAACAUCGUUUGCAAUGUGUAGUUAGCAUGAGGACACUAUUAAGAUCACUGCACUGAAAUGAAACUCACCGUCCCCGCCACGUUAAUGACUGGCAUCGGCGGAGGGACUUGGCCGUUCUUCUCGCACAUAGACUGUACAUUUGGUUUCGACAAGUCAAACUUUUUAUUUAUUAAUGAAACGGACAUUCAAAUGCAAGAUUUGAAAUAACAUGAAGAAGAAACUUACCACGAAGAGCUCGGAUAUGGCCCUGUUAGACGUAUCAUUCCGUGCCCUCUCCGCCUCCACCAAUGCAGUCGUCCUCUCCUCCAGCUCCCUAAUUUCCUUAUCCUUCUCCGCCAUAGCUGCCUCCAUUGCCUCUCUCUCUUUCUGAAUAGCAGCCUGCAACACAACUCAUUGUUAGUAAUGUAAUCAUAUUGGUUCCAACGUGCAACAUAAUGCAGAAAGAUAGUUGAGUCCAUUAAACUAACCUCGAUGGCGAGCUCGACUGGACGUGGACGAUGUGUUAUCUCCGGACAAGAGCUCGUUUGGCGUGCCUUUAUCUGCCGGAGAGCGCUAGGACAACGUAUAAGUCCGUCUCCAAUGGCGAUCGAGCCAUGGGGCCUCCCGUUGCCAGCUAUCAUCACGAGCUCUGGAUCAAUAGGCCCCUCGCUCGGGUUAAAGUCCUCCCCUUUCCUCGCUUCCCGUGAUCUCUCUACUUCACGAGCUUGUGGUGGGAGGAGAUGUUGGUGAAGUUUUCUGGAUGCUCGAGGUCAGACUCAGAGAAUGCCUUGACCUUCUUGUACGAGGCAGUAUGGGCCAUCGCAUAUAGGUCAUACAUCUGUGGCGCCUCCGUCUUAUUGUGACGCGCCUAAAAGAGAGAGAGAGGAAAAUUGUAUUAGUAAAGGGCUCAAGAUAGCAUUAAGAAUGAAUUGCAUGAGGUAUGAAGCAAACCAAAUACCCAGUUCUCGCCAAAUUGGAUUAAGUUGACGCUCCCUUGAUGGUGUGGCACGCCAACCAUUUUGCCACGCCUCUCCUUGGCGUUGUUGUGGCUGGCCUCCCACGUUUCGGAGCACCACUGAUCCACCAAGGCCUCCCAACAAUCCAUCUUAUCCACACACUAUCUCAGGGGCACCUAAGUUAAUAAAGAGAAAUUUGAGCGCGUAAAAACCAAAUCAAGGAAACUAACUACAAAGCCUUAAUAAUAUGUAGUUACCUUCAUGUAAUGCUCCUUCUCCAUCUUAGCAUCAUGGCACUUCGCCUUGUCAAUCCUAAUACGCCGCGUGGCAUAGUAGUCUCGAACAGCCUGCACCCGAGCCUCGUGCCGAAAGUUUGGAAGUAGGCGGCGACAUUCGGUUUCGAUAACCUUUGCCGCGUCCUCCUCGUAUCCCUCCUCACACCUAUAGUAGGUCUGCAAACGAGACAACACCGAUUAGUACAAUAAAUAGCUAUGGUUGAUUUAUAAUUGUGUGAAGGAGAAAUUACCCAGAACUUUCGGAUCACCAUGUCCGCCCUCGUGUCGCACAAAACACCGUCGUUCUCCACCUCUGGCGGGGCCGGGGCACCCAGGUAGUGCUCCCAGGUCAUUCCUACCUCUCGCUCCCGACCGGGCAACGUAACAAACCCUGGGAAGUUUUUACGGCAAAGAACACCAAGGACGUUGUUGGGCUUUCGGACACCCUUGGCAACAAUCCAACCCCUACAAUAUGACAAAUUAAAGUCAAAACAUUAGAUAUUUGAUAAAAUGCGAAGGCAAAAGGUUAAAUAAGAGUAAAUUAACUUACUUGUCCCCAUUUGGCCUAAUCGACCACCUCUGCUCGGGGGUCGCUGCCACGAGCGGGAGCCCCGAACUACCACGCUGGUAGACGGUAGCCCCCUCACCCAGCUCCUCGUCGCUACCAGCAUCCCACUAGGUCUCUUGGGACGUACCCUCAUCCCUGCUUUGCUCCGGAGUCGCUUGGAAGGAAGCCUCUGGGACACGAGUCUCGCGGGUCGAAGGCUCGUCGACCUGAGGCUCGUGAACCGGAGACCGUGUAGCCUCCACCUCAGACGAAUCCACCCUAGAAGUCAUGUGCUAAGGUGAACCAGCUUGGGGUGGUGGCGGAGACCAUGUAGCCUCCACCUCAGAAGGCGUGGCAGCCACCGCCCUACCUCUCCCGCGGCCAUGUGUACCUUUUGUACAACAUAAAUAACAACAUGAGUAAUAAAAUGUAUAUAAAUACCAAUAUGCAUACAACGUGAGUACAACAUAAAUACCAACAUGAAUACAACGUGUACCUUUAGUGCCUCUCGGCUUCGUGGGGGGUCGACCUCCUCUCACGGGGGACGCUCCUUGCAUAGUAGAGAGCAACACUCUCCGAAGAGGCGAGGCUGGAAUGGAAGUACCCAUCCCAUCAUCCGCCGACGAAGAAGGAGCCGCGGAGUGCUUUCGACCCUUUCCCACCAUCUUUCAACACCUGUCAUGACAAAGAGUAAAUGAAAUUAGUACAACAUAAAUACCAACAGGAGUAAUAAAAUGUAUAUAAUUUAAGUGUCUCAUCGUCAUAAAUACCAACAUGACUAAUAAAAUUGAAUACCUAACAUGAACUCAAAAUUUAUAUAUAGUAUAAUAGUUGAAUACCUGACAUGAACUAAUAACAAUCGUGCUCGUCUAUAUAUGCUUCGGGGUCAAUAAAUGCAUCAUGAUCAUCACUAUCAUCAAUAAAUGCAUCAUCAUCAUCACUAUCACAAAGAACAUGUGGAAGGCCACCAUUAUGUAAUCGGUCAAGAAGUGACAGGUCAUCCGUAGCAGUAACCUCUUCUUCUUCUAGCUCUUCCUGUUCGGGCUCAGGGGUUAAGACGGAUUCAAUUUCGCUGUCUACUUCAAUGUUCUGGGGUGAAGUAGAGCGGUUCUUGAAACGUUUCUUGGACAUACGUGUUUCUUGGAAGAAUUCUCCUUCAUAUGUGUCUGGGUUAAUGUGAGGUUCAUAAUCCUCUUCCUUGAGGGUAGGUUGUCUAAAAUNNNNNNNNNNNNNNNNNNNNNNNNNNNNNNNNNNNNNNNNNNNNNNNNNNNNNNNNNNNNNNNNNNNNNNNNNNNNNNNNNNNNNNNNNNNNNNNNNNNNUUCUUCGGGCUAAAUUGGCUAAGAAUGCCUUUUUGGAGCUAAUUAUGUCAUUUCGAGGAUAAUUAGCUAACCAUAGUGUUGGAAUUAUGCCCAAGAGGCAAUAAUAAAUAUAGUUAUUAUUAUAAUUCCUGUAUCAAGAUAAUCGUUUAUUAUCCAUGCUAUAAUUGUAUUGAAUGAAGACUCAUUUACAUGUGUGGAUACAUAGACAAAACACUGUCCCUAGCAAGCCUCUAGUUGGCUAGCCAGUUGAUCAAAGAUAGUAAGUGUCUUCUGAUUAUGAACAAGGUGUUGUUGCUUGAUAACUGGAUCACGUCAUUAGGAGAAUCACCUGAUGGACUAGACCCAAACUAAUAGACGUAGCAUGUUGAUCGUGUCAUUUUGUUGCUACUGUUUUCUGCGUGUCAAGUAUUUGUUCCUAUGACCAUGAGAUCAUAUAACUCACUGACAUCGGAGGAAUACUUUGUGUGUAUCAAACGUCGCAACGUAACUGGGUGACUAUAAAGAUGCUCUACAGGUAUCNNNNNNNNNNNNNNNNNNNNNNNNNNNNNNNNNNNNNNNNNNNNNNNNNNNNNNNNNNNNNNNNNNNNNNNNNNNNNNNNNNNNNNNNNNNNNNNNNNNNGGGCCCCACCUGUCAUUUGGUGGGAGUGGUGGGGCCCUACUGUCAUUGGGACAGCGAGCCCACACAUACGCUACACGUAGACACAUCCAUACCACUAAUUCAUACAUACCACAUAUACACAUAUUUCAUAUACCUACACACAUAUUCCAUACAUAUCCAUACCUAUAUUUGCAUACAUACACAUAUACAUNNNNNNNNNNNNNNNNNNNNNNNNNNNNNNNNNNNNNNNNNNNNNNNNNNNNNNNNNNNNNNNNNNNNNNNNNGACAUCUCUCUCAACAGAGAGAGAGGAGGCAACCUCCACGUCGUCAUACAGGAGAUCAACGGCGCUGGGACGAGGCGAUGAGCGCUGGAACGGAACCGGAGGGUGAAGGAGAGGGAGAGGGACGCGUUCUCACACAUGAUGUAGGGGGGUCGGCUAGGCUUGAUGGAGCCGUUGAGGAGGAGGACGGGGACGAGAUGAGGAGGAGCGGUCGGCGGUUCAGUGGAGGCGGUACGGUGAGGGAGGAUUCGAUGGAGGGGGCUAAGAGGGGUCGAUUCCGAUGGCGCGGGGCGUUGUCGGGUAGGCCGGCGGUGGCCCUGGUCGGUGGAGGAAGNNNNNNNNNNNNNNNNNNNNNNNNNNNNNNNNNNNNNNNNNNNNNNNNNNNNNNNNNNNNNNNNNNNNNNNNNNNNNNNNNNNNNNNNNNNNNNNNNNNNUCUUACAGCUACAUAAGCCUUAUUAUGUCAUUUAGGAGAGAACUUAGCUAACUGUAGAUCAUUUUUUAUUAAAUAGGUCAUUUUGGAGCUAAGUAAGCUAAUUAUGUCAUUUCGUAGGAUAAUUAGCCAAUUUAGCCUUUCAUGGAUGAGUCUAAGCUACGUAGAAGAAGAGAAAGAGAAGAAGAAGUAAAAGAAGGAGGAGGAGGAGGAGGAGGAGGNNNNNNNNNNNNNNNNNNNNNNNNNNNNNNNNNNNNNNNNNNNNNNNNNNNNNNNNNNNNNNNNNNNNNNNNNNNNNNNNNNNNNNNNNNNNNNNNNNNNNNNCCUUCUUCUUCUUCUCCUCUUCUUCUUCUUCGUUCCUUUCAUUUUUCCUCUUUCUUCUCCUCUUGACCCCUUCUUCGGGCUAAAUUGGCUUAGAAUGCCUUUUUGGAGCUAAUUAUGUCAUUUCGAGGAUAAUUAGCUAAGUAUAGGUCAUGUUUUAUUAAAUAGACCAUUUAGGAGCUAAGUAAGCUAAUUAUGUCAUCUAGGUGGAACCCUAGCUAACUAUACAUCGUUUCGGAGCUAACUUGGGUAAAAUAGGUCAUUCCGGAGCAAACUAUGCCUAUUAAGCCAUUUUGGAUCUAGCUAGGCUAAUUAUAGGCCAUUUAAUACCUAAGUUAGGCGGAAUAGGUCAUCUUGCAGCUACGUAAGCCUUAUUAUGUCACUUAGGAGAGAACUUAGCUAACUGUAGGUCAUUCUUUAUUAAAUAGGUCAUUUUGGAGCUAACUAAGCUAAUUAUGUCAUUUCGUAGGAUAAUUAGACAAUUUANNNNNNNNNNNNNNNNNNNNNNNNNNNNNNNNNNNNNNNNNNNNNNNNNNNNNNNNNNNNNNNNNNNNNNNNNNNNNNNNNNNNNNNNNNNNNNNNNNNNUCUACAGGUAUCUCCGAAGGUGUUAGUUGAGUUAGUAUGGAUCAAGACUGGGAUUUGUCACUCCGUGUGACGGAGAGGUAUCUCGGGGCCCACUCGGUAAUACCACAUCACACCCAAGCCUUGCAAGCAAUGUAACUUAGUGUAAGUUGCGGGAUCUUCUAUUACGGAACGAGUAAAGAGGCUUGCCGGUAAACGAGAUUGAAAUAGGUAUGCGGAUACUGACUAUCGAAUCUCAGGCAAGUAACAUACCGAAGGACAAAGGGAAUGACAUACAGGAUUAUAUGAAUCCUUGACAUUGAGGUUCAAACGAUAAGUUCUUCGUAGAAUAUGUAGGAUCCAAUAUGGGCAUCCAGGUCCCACUAUUGGAUAUUGACCGAGGAGUCUCUCGGGUCAUGUCUACAUAGUUCUCGAACCCGCAGGGUCUGCACACUUAAGGUUCGAUGUUGUUUUAUGCGUAUUUGAGUUAUAUGGUUGGUUACCGAAUGUUUUUCGGAGUCCCGGAUGAGAUCACGGACGUCGCGAGGGUUUCCGGAAUGGUCCGGAAACGAAGAUUGAUAUAUAGGAUGACCUCAUUUGAUUACCGGAAGGUUUUCGGAGUUACCGGGAAUGACGAAUGGGUUCCGGGAGUUCACCGGGGGGGGGGCAACCCACCCCGGGGAAGCCCAUAGGCCUUGAGGGUGGCGCACCAGCCCUUAGUGGGCUGGUGGGACAGCCCAAAAGGGGCCCUAUGCGCAUUGGAAGAAAAAUCAAAGAGAAAGAAAAAAAAGGAGGUGGGAAGGGAAGGAAGGACUCCCACCCACCAAACCAAGUCCAACUCGGUUUGGGGGGGGGAGACCUUCCCCCCUUCGCUUGGCCGACCCCCUUGGGGCUCCUUGAGCCCCAUGGCAAGGCCCCCCUCUCCCACCUAUAUAUACGGAGGUUUUAGGGCUGAUUUGAGACGACUUUUCCACGGCAGCCCAACCACAUACCUCCACGGUUUUCCCUAUAGAUCGCGUUUUUGCGGAGCUCGGGCGGAGCCCUGCUGAGACGAAAUCAUCACCAACCUCCGGAGCGCCGUCACGCUGCCGGAGAACUCUUCUACCUCUCCGUCUCUCUUGCUGGAUCAGGAAGGCCGAGAUCAUCGUCGAGCUGUACGUGUGCUGAACGCGGAGGUGCCGUCCGUUCGGUACUAGAUCGUGGGACUGAUCGCGGGAUUGUUCGCGGAGCGGAUCGAGGGACGUGAAGACGUUCCACUACAUCAACCGCGUUCACUAACGCUUCUACAGUACGGUCUACAAGGGUACGUAGAUCACUCAUCCCUCUCGUAGAUGGACAUCACGAUGAUAGGUCUUCGUGCGCGUAGGAAAUUUUUUGUUUCCCAUGCGACGUUCACCAACACAUAGGUCAUGUUUUAUUAAAUAGACCAUUUAGGAGCUACCUAAGCUUAUUAUGUCAUUUAGAUGGAUAAUUAGCCAAUUUAGGCUUUCUUGGAUGAGUCUAAGCUACGUAGNNNNNNNNNNNNNNNNNNNNNNNNNNNNNNNNNNNNNNNNNNNNNNNNNNNNNNNNNNNNNNNNNNNNNNNNNNNNNNNNNNNNNNNNNNNNNNNNNNNNAUUGUACAUUACAAUUGGAUGCAAAUCUUUUUGUAUACAUUUCUUUGUUUUAUUGUUUAGUCAACUUUUCGUGAUUUUCAAUUAAACAAUUGAUAUGCACAUCUAGAUGCAAUUAUGAAAAGAACUUGUAUCUAAAGUGAUAGAUUUUGAUAUGUCUAAAGUUNNNNNNNNNNNAAGUGAGAUAUGAAAUAUGCACAUGAGCAGAAUUCGACAAGCACAAAUUGCAUAUCUAGGUAUGUGAUGUACUCUAUUGAUUGAGAUAAUUUGAUUCGUUUGAGAUAUGAUGGGGAAGGAAUGGGGGGUAUCCUUGGCACAAAAGGUUUUGAUUCUGUUGUGAUUUUUUUUGGAAAGAUUUGAUGCUAUUGAGAUUUGCGGGGAGGAAAAGGAUACCUCGUUAGUGGAUUAUAUGUAAAGAAGGAAAAAAAUCCGGGUUUUCUCCUUUGGUUAAAUAAAAACCAGCGGGCUAACUUUUUUUGGUUGUAAAAAGAACGUACAAAUAAAAAUUGAACAAGUGGGGGAGGGGCGUCCGAUGGGAGAGGGUAUCGAUGGGUGGGGGAUCGAGGGAGUCCUAACGAAAUGACGUACGGAUUCUCCAAUUAUACUAGUUAUACGGACUCCCCAAUUAUACUAGUUAUGUUUGAUGCUCUACAAUAGAGUUAGUUUUUCUUUUCCAUACUCACACGUCGAAUCCACAUUUUUAAUUCUAGGUUUUCAUUGUUAGUAAAUAAAAUCAGAGGCAUAUUUCUGCACAUGGAGACAAAACUUCGUGGCAUACAUGAUACGUAUGUGAGACGUAUUACAGUACGAGUUCGCCAAGUUUAAUGACCGUAUUGAAUCGGUAUUUUCAAGUUCAAGGUCCGUAAUCAAGCAGUUCUUGAGUUUGAGGACCAUUGUGAACAUUGCCACCAAGUUUAACGAUCAUACAUGUAUUUUACUCAUAUGCAUAAAUAACAAAGUUCAUAGUACCCAAAAUGCCAUAACUAGAGCGGUAUCGCUAGUUGAGGAGGACGGUUUAAUUAGAUCACAAAUAAAGUUUCGUCGUGCAUAACUCAAAGUUUCUUCAUAGAGAAAGUAUGGACUAAAGGGACACUUUGUCAUAUAUCGUUAAUCACUCCAACAUGUCGUGUCAUCCAUCCAAGUGAGGGAGAUAGUCCCCGAGCGCGGUGAAAGGCUUCAGGUCGAGACGCUCAGCCGAUAUGCAUGUCCAGACGUCUUCCCGCGACAUUUUCCCUUCUUCGUGGAACAUCCCUGUUUUACGAUGACCUCCUUCAUGAUGAUUUGGGCAAGUUCACGCUGGAUGUGAUAGAACUCAGCUCGAAGUAUGUGAUCCGGGAUAUCUCUGUGACAUCCUCAGCUUUUGCUACAGUAAUGUAUGUAAUUAAGCUACAGUGAUCCCAUGCUAAUGAUGCCACAUCAUCGUGAUUUCUAUCGUUGAUCUCAUGUAAAUCGAAACCGAGUAAAAUUCAAAAUUUAAAAAUAAGUCGACGAGAAAAGUUUUCAAAUGUUAAAAUAAAAAUGUGAGAUGAGUUACAAAUAUUUCUUAAUAAGNNNNNNNNNNNNNNNNNNNNNNNNNNNNNNNNNNNNNNNNNNNNNNNNNNNNNNNNNNNNNNNNNNNNNNNNNNNNNNNNNNNNNNNNNNNNNNNNNNNNAAAAAAAGACGCCAAAGAGCCGACCAAAAAAAUGAGAGAAAAAGAGAGAAGGGACAACGCUACCACUUUUUCCACACUUGCGCAUAAUCUUCAUGAUUGAGAGUCUCUCGUUUUGUCACCACCAUAUAGCUAGUGGGAAAUCUUCAUUAUAUAACUUGGAUUGUAUAUUCCAAUGAUAGGAUUCCUCAAAAUUGCCUUAGGCCUUCGUUAGCAAGCAAGUUGGAUGCACACCCACUAGUUUUCUUUAAGAGCUUUCACUUACUCAUAGCUCUAGUGCAUCAUUUGUAUGGUAAUCCCUACUCAUUCACAUUGAUAUCUAUUGAUGAGCAUCUCCACAGCUCAUUGAUAUGCCUAGUUAAUGAUAACUAUCUUCUCCUUUUUUGUCUUGCAACCUCCACCACACUCCACACCAUCUAUACUUCUAUAACCAUGGCUCACGCUCAUGUAUUGCUCGAGAGUUGAAAAGGUCUGAGAAAGUAAAGGUGUGAAACAAUUACUUGGCCAAUAUCGGGGUUGUGCAUGAUUUAAAUUCGUUGUGCAAUGAUGAUAGAGCAUAGCCAGACUAUAUGCUUUUGUAGGGAUAACUUUCUUUUGGCCUUGUUAUUUUGAAAGUUCAUGAUUACCUUGCUAGUUUGCUUGAAUUAUUAUUGUUUCCACGUCAAUAGCAAACUAUUGUUUUGAAUCUAAUGGAUCUGAACAUUCACGUCACAUAAGAGGAGUUACAAAGGACAUCUAUGCUAGGUAGCAUGAAAGCAUCAAAAAUUGAUUGUUUUUCACUUCCCUACUCGAGGACGAGUAGGAGUUAAGCUUGGGGAUGCUUGAUACGUCUCAAACGUAUCUAUAAUUUUUGAUGGUUUCACGUUGUUAUCUUGUCACCUUUGGAUGUUUUAUGUAACUUUUAUAUCUUUUUUGGGACUAACUUAUUAAUUCAGUGCCAAGUGCCAGUUCCUGUUUUUUCUGUGUUUUUGGCUCUUUUCAGAUCUGAUUUUGGAAUGGAGUCCAAACGGAAUAAAAUCCCCGAAAUGUUUUUUCCCGAACGGAAGAAGAUCAGGGGGCCUGUGGGCCAGCCCACAAGCCCCCACCACGCCACCAGGGGGGAGGCGGCGGUGUCAGUGCUUGUGGCCUCCCUGGCCGCCCCCUGACCUAAAUCUUUGGCCUAUAUAUUCCCUAAAAUACAGCAAAAAAUGAGGGGAGCCUCGAAAAUACUUUUCCGCCGCCGCAAGCUUCCGUUUCCACGAGAUCUCAUUUGGAGACCCUUCGCGGCGCCCUGCCGGAGGGGAGUUUGGAGUUGGAGGGCUUCUUCAUCAUCAUCAUCGCCCCUCCAAUGACUCGUGAGUAGUUCACUUCAGACCUACGUGUCCAUAGUUAGUAGCUAGAUGGCUUCUUCUCUCUCUUGAAUCUUCAAUCCAAAGUUCUCCAUGAUCUUCAUGGAGAUCUAUCCGAUGUAAUCUUCUUUGGCGGUGUGUUUGUCGAGAUCCGAUGAAUUGUGGAUUUGUGAUCAUAUUAUCUAUGAUAUAUAUUUGAGUCUUUGCUAAUUUCUUAUUUGCAUGAUUUGAUAUCCUUGUAAGUCUGUGUGAGUCUUUUGUUUUGUUUGGCCAACUAGAUCUAUGAUUCUUGCAAUGGGAGAAGUGCUUGGUUUUGGGUUCUGCCAUGUGGUGACCUUUCCCAGUAAGACUAGGGGCACGAAGGCACACAUUAAGUAGUUGCCCUCAAGGGUAACAAGAUGGGCUCUGUGGUUGAUAUGAGAUUGUCCAUCUACAUCAUGUCAUCUUGCUUAAGGCGUUACUCUGUUCUUUUGGACUUAAUACACUACAUGCAUGCUGGAUAGCGGUCGACGUGUGGAGUAAUAGUAGUAGAUGCAGAAAGUAUCGGUCUACUUGUUUUGUACGUGAUGACUAUAGAUAUAAUCAUUGCCAUAGAUAUCGUCACGACUUUGUGCGGUUCUAUCAAUUGCUCGACAGUAAUUUGUUUACCAACCGUCUACUUGCUUUCAUGAGAGAAGCCACUAGUAAACACUACGGUCCCCGGGUCUAUUCACAUCCCUCGUAUACACCUCCGCUUUUACUUUGCUUUGUUACUUUGUUGCUUUCAGUUCUCACUUGGCGAACAAUCUAUAAGGGAUUGACAACCCCUUCAUAGCGUUGGGAGCAAGCUUUUGUGUUUGUGCAGGAUCUUGUGAUACUCCUCCACUAGGUUGAUACCUUGGUUCUCAAACCGAGAGAAAUACUUACCACCGCUGUGCUACAUCACACUUUCCGCUUCGAGGGAACACCAACGUAAGGCUCCAAGGCCAUGGGGGGAAUCCUUUGCAUAUUUUCCUAGGAAGUCCCUUAAGACGUAGCCGCAGCAGAAGGAUUCCUGGUGCCAUCGACACGACUAUUUCUGGCACCGUUGCAACGGAAGCACAGCUGAUAUCAGAAGUAUUUCUGGCGCCGUUGCUGGGGAGGAGAGAUCAAGAUCUAUCCAAGUAGGUCUCACAAACUCAUCUCUUGCAUUUACUUUUGUUGCCAGUUGCCUCUCAUUUUCCUCUCCCCCACUUCACAUUUGCUGUUUUCAUUUGCCUUUCUCCGUUGCCUUUCUCUUUUGCCGUUUUCUUUUGCCUGUUUCACUCUCUCUUCCUGCUCGUUUGUGUGUGGAAUAGUCCAUCAAUGGAUAGACCCACCACUCCAAACGACACCCCUGAAAAUGGAGUUCUCAAUUUCAGAUAAAAUGAGGAAGAAAAUUUGAAGGACGCUUGGUACAGGAUUUGCAAUGCUCACAGUAGAUAUACUCGUAAGCAAUCCACUACCGUCCUCCUUGGCAGUUUCUAUGUUGGAAUUUCUCCUUGGAAUAGGUAUAUCCUUGAUAACAUUGUAGGAGGGAACUUUUUGGGGAGCCAUACUGUUGACUCCUAUAGAGCUAUCAUGAAUUUGGUAGGCUCACGCCGCUCAUGGUUAAUGGAACAAUCUUGAAUUUGGAACACGUGAUGCAAAGGCUUGACGCUAUUGAAAACAAAAUUGCCAUAGUUAAACUUAUUGAGGGUUUGGAUAGAAAGAUCCACAAUCAAAUUACUCAGUACGGAUCCAAAGUGGGAAAUUUUUUUGAAAAAUUUAAGGGAGAAGGAACUUAUAGUUAAUGAUUCUUCUAGAAUUGGCAAAUUAGAAGAUGUCAUAACCAACUUGGGUUCCGCUUUUGCCACUGUGCAAAAUACUCCAAAUCUCACUCUCAAAAAGACCGUCAAGCAUGUUUUCGUUCCUAAAGCUAGUGGUAAGUCAUCCAAUAAACAUGAAGAUCUUAAGACGAUAAAUGAUCACACUACCUAUGGUUUGAGCACCAAAGAUGACUAUACGUGAUUCCAUCACUUUUUGCCUAGCUAAGGGCGUUAAACAAAAGUGCUUGUUGGGAGGCAACCCAACGAAUCUAUCAUUUUUCUUUCUGUUUUGUGUUUUCCACACUUUCAUAAUUCUGUUAUGAUUGUGUUUUUUGUGUUUCUUUUUUGCGUUUGUGCCAAGGAAAACCGUUAUGAUUAGUCUUGGGGAUGAUCGUUUGGUCAUGCUGAAACUGAUAGAAACUUUCUUCUCACGAAAAGAAUUUUUCAUUUUUUUCUGUAAGAGAUUUUGAGUUGAUUAUUUUUUAUGCUCAUUGCUACGCAAAGUUUUCAGACUGUAGUAAUUGUUCAGAAUUUUUGAAGUACCAGAGGUAUACGAAAUAUACAGAUUGCUAUAGACUGGUCUGCUGUUAACAGAUUCUGUUUUUUGUUGUGUUGGUUGCUUAUGUUGACGAAACUAUGGAUAGUAUCGGGGGGUAUUAGCCAUGGAAGAUUGAAAAUACAGUAACCCAACAUCAGCACAAGUGGAAUUUAAGUUUGCUACAGUACCUAAGGAAGUGGUGGUUUGCUUUCUCAUACUAAUGUUAUCACGAGUUUCUGUUUAAGUUAUGUGUUGUGAAGUUUUCAAGUUUUGGGUGAAGUUCUUAUGGACAAAAAGAUAAAGAGUGGCAAGAUCUCAAGAUUGGGGAUUCCCAAGGCACCCCAAGAGAUUCAAGGAUGCCUUAAAAGCCUAAGCUUGGGGAUGCCCCGGGAAGGCAUCCCCUCUCUCGUCUUCAAUCCAUCGGUAACGUUACUUGGCGUUAUAUUUUUAUUCACCACAUGUUAUGUGUUUUUGCUUGGAGCGUCUUGUAUCGUAGGAGUCUUUUAUUUUUGUUGUGUCACAAUCAUCGUUGCUGCACACCUAGAGUGAGAGACAUGCACUCACCGUGAUUUUGUCGAGCUUCACUUAUAUCCCUUGGUAGACAAUUGAGCUCACAUGUGCUUCACUUGUAUCUUUUGAGAUAGAUACUUUUCCUCUAUGUGCUUCACUUGUAUCUGAUUCAUCUCAAUUAGUUUUGAGUUGUGGUUAUGGUAAUAUUAAAGUCAUGCUAGUAAGGUGUUGUGGAUCUAGAAAUACUUGUUUUGAAGUUAUUGAUUCCCGUAGCAUGCACGUAUGGUGAACCACUAUGUGAUGAAAUUUGAGCAUGAUUAGUCUAUUGAUUGUCAUCUUUGCGUGGCAGUCGGGAUCACGCGAUGGUUUAUACCUACCAACCCUUCCCCUAGGAGUAUGCGUUGAAUGCUUUGUUUUGAUUACUAAUAAAACUUUUGCAAGAAAGUAUAUGAGUUCUUCAUGACUAAUGUUGAGUCCAUGGUUUAGAUGCACUUUCACCUUCCACCAUCACUAUCUUCUUAGUGCCGUGCAACUUUCGCCGGUGCACAAAACCAACCAUUAGCCUCCCUCAAAACAGCCACCAUACCUACCUACUAUGGCUUUUUCAAAGUCAUUCCGAGAUAUAUUGCCAUGCAACUACCACCAUGACAUGUUCCACCAUGUUUACAUUGCCAUUGCAUGAUCGUAAGAUAGCUAGCAUGAUGUUUCCAUUAAUGUCUAUGCCAUGCUAGAUCGUUUCCACGGUACACUACCGAAGGCAUUCCAUAUAGAGUCAUAGUUGCUCUACGUUUUGAGUUGAAAGUGUGAUGAUCAUCAUUAAUGGAGCAUUGUCCCAUGUGAGGAAAUAAAAGAGGCCAAAGAAGCCCACCAAAAUAAAAAAAAGAGGCCAAAGAGCCCACUAAAAAAUGAGAGAAAAAGACAGAAGGGACAAUGCUACCAAUUUUUCCACACUUGUGCAUAAUCUUCAUGAUUGAGAGUCUCUCGUUUUGUCACCACCAUAUAGCUAGUGUGAAAUCUUCAUUAUAUAACUUGGAUUGUAUAUUCCAAUGAUAGGCUUCCUCAAAAUUGCCUUAGGUCUUCGUGAGCAAGCAAGUUGGAUGCACACCCACUAGUUUUAUUCAAGAGCUUUCACUUACUCGUAGCUCUAGUGCAUCAUUUGUAUGGCAAUCCCUACUCGUUCACAUUGAUACCUAUUGAUGAGCAUCUCCACAGCUCAUUGAUAUGCCUAGUUAAUGUGACUAUCUUCUCCUUUUUUGUCUUGCAACCUCCACCACACUCCACACCAUCUAUAGUGCUAUAACCAUGGCCAAUACCGGGGUUGUGCAUGAUUUAAAUUGCAUGAGAUUUGAAAAGGUUUGAGGAAGUAAAGGUGUGAAACAAUUACUUGGCCAAUACCGGGGUUGUGCAUGAUUUAAAUUCGUUGUCCAAUGAUGAUAGAGCAUAGCGAGACUAUAUUUUUUCGUAGGGAUAACAUUCUUUUGGCCUUGUUAUUUCGAAAGUUCAUGAUUACCUUGCUAGUUUGUUUGAAUUAUUAUUCUUUCCACGUCAAUAGCAAACUAUUGUUUUGAAUCUAAUGGAUCUGAACAUUCACGUCACAUAAGAGGAGUUACAAAGGACAUCUAUGCUAGGUACCAUGAAAGCAUAAAAAAUUCAUUCUUUAUCACAUCCCUACUCGCGGACGAGCAGGAGUUAAGCUUGGGGAUGCUUGAUACGUCUCAAACGUAUCUAUAAUUGUUUAUGGUUUCACUCUGUUAUCUUGUCAUCUUUGCAUGUUUUAUGUACCUUUUAUAUCUUUUUUGGGACUAACUAAUUAAUUCAGUGCCAAGUGCCAGUUCCUGUUUUUUCUGUGUUUUUGGCUCUUUUCAGAUCUGAUUUUGGAACGGAGUCCAAAGGGAAUAAAAUCCCCGAAAUGAUUUUUUCCUGAACGGGAGAAGAUCAAGGGGCCUGUGGGCCAAGCCAGGAGGGCUCCAGGGAGCCCACAAGCCCCCACCACGCCUCCAGGGUGGAGGCAGUGGUCUCAGGGCUUGUGGCCUCCCUGGCCGCCCCCUGACCUAGAUCUUUGGCCUAUAUAUUCCCUAAAAUAUAGCAAAAAAUCAGGGGAGCCUCAAAAAUACUUUUCCGCCGCUGCAAGCUUCCGUUUCCGCGAGAUCUCAUGUGGAGACCCUUCCCGGCGCCCUGCCGGAGGGGACUUUGGAGUUGGAGGGCUUUUUCAUCAUCAUCAUCGCCCCUCCAGUGACUCGUGAGUACACUUUAGACCUACGGGUCAGUAGUUAGUAGCUAGAUGGCUUCUUCUCUCUCUUGGAUCUUCAAUACAAAGUUCUCCAUGAUCUUCAUGGAGAUAUAUGCGAUGUAAUCUUCUUUGGCGGUGUGUUUGUCGAGAUCCGAUGAAUUGUGGAUUUGUGAUCAGAUUAUCUAUGAUAUAUAUUUGAGUCUUUGCUGAUUUCUUAUUUGCAUGAUUUGAUAUCCUUGUAAGUCUCUCCGAGUCUUGGGAUUUGUUUGGCCAACUAGAUCUAUGAUUCUUGCAAUGGGACAAGUGCUUGGUUUUGGGUUCUGCCAUGUGGUAACCUUUCCCAGUGACAGUAGGGGUAGCAAGGCACACAUUAAGUAGUUGCCAUCAAGGGUAACAAGAUGGGCUCUAUCGUUGAUAUGAGAUUGUCCAUCUACAUCAUGUCAUCUUGCUUAAGGCGUUACUCGGUUCUUUUGGACUUAUUACAGUCGAUGCAUGCUGGAUAGCAUCGACGUGUGGAGUAAUAGUAGUAGAUGCAGAAAGUAUCGGUCUACUUGUUUUGGACGUGAUGCCUAUAGAUAUAAUCAUUGCCAUAGAUACCGUCACGACUUUGCAGGGUUCUAUCAAUUGCUUGACAAUAAUUUGUUCACCCACCGUCUAUUUGCUUUCAUGAGAGAAGCCACUAGUAAACACUACGGCCCUCGGGUCUAUUCACAUCCAUCGUUUACACCUCCGCUUUUACUUUACUUUGUUACCUUGUUGCUUUCAGUUCUCACUUGGCUAACAAUCUAUAAGGGAUUGGCAACCCCUUCAUAGCGUUGGGAGCAAGCUUUUGUGUUUGUGCAUGAUCUUGUGAUACUCCUCCACUGGAUUGAUACCUUGGUUCUCAAACUGAGGGAAAUACUUACCAUCGAUGUGCUACAUCACCCUUUCUGCUUCAAGGGAACACCGACACAAGGCUCCAAGGCCACGGAGGAAAUCCUUUGCAUAUUUGCCUAGGAAGUCCCUUAAGGCUUAGCCGCAGCAGAAGGAUUCCUUGUGCCGUCGACACGACUAUUUCUGGCGCCGUUGGAAGGGAGGCACAGCUGACAUCACAGCCAUACCCCUCCUCCUCGCCCUCCGCAUAGCUUGGCGAAGCCCUCUUGGAGUACAACGUAGCUCCAUCGUCACCACGCCGUCGUGCUGCCGGAGCUCUCCCUCAACCUCUCCUCCAUCCUUGUUGGAUCAAGGCGUUGGAGACGUCACGGGGAUGCACAUGUGCUGAACGUGGAGGCGCCGAUGUUCGGGCACAGAUCGGAAUCCAUCGCGAUCUGAAUCGCUGCGAGUAUGACUCCAUCAACCGCGUUCUAGCAAUGCUUCCUCUUAGAGAUCUGUCAGGACCCCGAUCCUAAGCCAUAGGAAUCCAGCGUGUAACGCACCGCAUCCCUUUGCGGUCUCACGCACGGUUAACUCCAUGGCUGCAGCCUUACCUUAGCCGGGACCGUUUGCGCCUUUUGACUCACGUAUGCAAUUGUGUCGCUAGCAGUCCAAUGUCAAAGAACCCGGAUCGAUAAGUCUAGUCAUAAACCAAAGUGGCAGUACAGCACAAGGACAGGCAUACAUGACCCAACAAUGCAGGUGUCGGUCACCAGCGAGUGUAGACGAGUCGUAGCAAGGUACAAGGACUCCAUUACAUCGUGAGACAUUUCCCCAAAGGGAACAGACACAGCAGCUAAGAAGGACACAUGCCGGUCAACCAAUGUGUCCGGAGCAGUAGCGAGCUACCAUGGCUCGUUGGAUCACAAAGGGGCAUUUCCCUGUAAGGAGUCCUACUAAAGUUCACGGCUAGGUAAUCGAACCCCAUACAUAUCAAGUACGACACACAUAUGCAUGGCAUACCGAUAUGUAUAGAUACAUCGAUGGCAUCACAACAUAACCAUAAACAUACAAGCUUUAUUUAAGAGGCUCAGAAGAGCCACACACAUAAUAUUACACAGUAAGGGUCUCACGACCCGUAAUAGCAGUCAUUCAGUUACAAGCCAGCGAAAGUGUUUAAAACUGUCUGAGUACAGACAGGUGCAACUAGAAGGCACAUGGCCUGACUAUACUAUAGACCCAACCUAGGGCCAGAUCGUAGCUGGGACACCAGCUACUCGUCGUCGUCGAUGUCUAUGAAGAACCCUCCGUUAGGGUCAUUAGCAACCUCUGCAACAUUUAUUAAGCAAACAUGAGUACGGAGGUACUUAGCAAGACUUUAGGAUAACUAUCUACUCAUGCAAUGUAUCAAUAAGGUAUUGUGGGGUUUCAUGCGGAAAGCCAGCAUUUGACUCGUGGCUAGACAACUUGCAAUUUUAAAUAAUUUUGACAACUUGAUUUCUCGCACACAAGUCCACUAACACCACAACAAUACUCCAUCGUGGAAUCAUUCCGUCUCCAUACGGAAAUGCCGUCCACGACACUCACGCUUAUCUUGACAAUUUUAUGAGUAGCCAUUGAAGUUAUCUACGAACAACAUAUAUCUCCAAGUAGUCCAUAUCCGCGGACGCGGCUAUUCGAAUAGAUCAUAACCCUGCACGGGUGUACUUCGUCACACACGCUCUCGCCACUUAUUGCCAUGUGCACGUCAUGCACCUCGGCAACCUUCAAGCGGAAGCCCAACGAGGGAGUCGGCCACGACCGUUAACCAUACUAGUACCUAGUCCAGGUUUAUCGCCUAUCUCAGAAUAACCCGUACGGAAGUCCGGCCGAGGUUUCCGCCACGGCCUGAAACGAUGUGCGCAGGGUUCCCAAGUCCACCAUCCGGGUGCCACUUGGUACACCGUGCCACUGCCUACCGCAUCACCGCCGACCUCUCAGGUCAACGCUAUGCACGGCCUCCAGCAUGACUAUAAACACUAGAAACUACUUGCAACUCCUGGACCAAAUACUAAGCGAUUAAUAAGUCGAGAGGGUCAAUUAAGUAUCCCAACGUGUGGUAGUAUCUAGUCUUGGAUUACAUACACGGAACUCAGUUCCUAAGGACGGUUCCAAUGAAACAACCCGCCAUGUACUCCUACACAGCCUUUCACCGGUACCUUUACCAAAUCAGGUUCAACACACAACCUUUGCUUACCGAACACAUUCUCACAAUUCUGUUCAUCUCCCAGAUGACAGACCAUACACAACUCUAAGCAUAGCAUGCAUAGCAGGAUAAGGCACAUCAUGGCUCAAGCAACUACCAGGUAUGCUAGGUUGCAAGGUUCAACUAUUUACUGUGAUAAGGAUAGGUCAUGCAAAGGAAGUGGGUUCAACUAAUGUGGCAAAAGCAUUUGAAGCAUUUGAUCCUAAUGCAAUAAGUAAGUGCAGGAGCAAGAACAUAGGAUUUAUCGGGAUGAUAAAAAAUGGUUGCUUGCCUUGUUGCUCAGAGGAGUGACAAUAUCCGUCAGACGGAUAUUCGGUGGAAUCCGGGGGAGCGGAGCCUACCAAAAGGAAUGACAACAACCAAUAUCAAACAUAUGCAACCAAGAUGAUGUAUGAGCAUGGCAUGAGAAUGCAAGAUGGUAACUAUUAUAGCUAACGUGUAUUAGGUUUGAAGUUGAUUUGAAUCAAAUUCAAAUACCACUUCAAACGAGGUAUUCUCGGAUACCAUUUUAAUUGAUUCGACCUGAUGCUCAGAUCAACUUGCUUUUAACAUGCAUGGGAUGACAUGUUAGGUUGCUGGUUUGUAAUUAGGACAGUGUUUGAUCAACUCAUUUAUAGUGAAAUUUAAAUAUUUUCCAAAUUUCAUCUACAAAGUAUUUAUAAGGAUUAACUUAUUCAUUAAUCUACAUGUUUGGGUUCUGUAACAUUUUCAAACAUGUUUGAAAAUGACAUAUUCAGAUUCCUUGAAUUUUUCUGAUACUUUUUCAUAUAUAAAUUAUUUUCAUUGGAGUUACCGAUUAAUUUCUAUGAAUUUUAUAAGUUUUGUCAUUUUUCUAGAAUUCUUUUAAAUCAGAAAACUCUUUAUUGCAUCAGCAUGACAUCAGCAGGUCCAACUGGCCGUUGAAAGUCAAACCUGACCAGUGGGACCCACUGGUCAGUGACUCUGGUCUGUUUGAGAUUAGAAUUAAUCUUAAUUAGCUAAUUAAUCUCACUGGACCCACAUGUCAGUGACUUAUUAAAUUAUUUGGUUUUAUUUUUAUUAUUCCAGAUUAUCCAGAGGCUGGCCCCACACGUUAGUGGCUCAGGCCAGCUGAGAUCCACCGGCGGCGAGGUCGUCCUCAGCGGCGGGGAGCCUCCGGCGACCACCAGUACGGUGGAGGGCAUCGGAAACUCGCCUCCGACGACCAAACUCACGGCAGAGGCCACGGGGAGAACGACCACUCGAUGGCACGGACGAUGGGACAAACCCCACGGGCUGGGGUGGCCGGAAUCAACGCCGGCGACGAGCUUCGCGGCGACCAGGUUCGGCCAUAAUCGAAGCCAUCGAUUACAGGGUCAAAACGCGCGGGGCUGGGCUCCUAAAGCAUCUACGUGAUGUCCUGAGGCUGCUGGUGGCCUCAGACGGACCAACCCUUCACCGGAGGGUUACCGGCGACGAGCUGCAGCGGCGUUCCUCGUCGGGCUCCGAUGGAACUAGGCCUAGAGGAGGGUAUCGAUGGGGAGAUCUUAGGGGAAAGAUGCGCAAGCUCACGAGGAGUGCAGAGGAGGGCUUAGAAGGAUCGGGGAAGCACUGAGGGCGACGAAUCGAGCAGAGCUCGCCGGCGGCCGAAGGUUGAAGACGACGAUGCCGUAGGCGUUGCAGGGCUCGGGGAGGCUUCGGCUUCUGUAGGGAGGACCGGUUCGUCGAGGCAGAGCUAACGGCACACUCAGAAUGAAGAUCCUAUGGCUAGGGGCACGGGCAGCUCGAGCUCGAGCUCCUGUCAAUGGCGGCAGAGGGGAUCGGGAGAACCCAGAGGAGAGGGGAAAGAAUGAGCAUGGGAAUGGAUAGCUACGAGCUCGGGGAGGUUAUCCCCGUGCUUGCCAGCGCGAAGCGGCGGCCAGACAGGCAGGGAGUUGCGUGGAGGCGCGCGGCGACGCGGCGGCCACCUCCUGCUGCUACUGGCGAGGAGGAAGACGGCAGUGCUACUGGGCCGGGCUGAGGUGAGCGACAGGUAGUUCUUUUCUCUUUUUUUCUGUUUUGUUUCUGUUUUGCUAUUUCAUUGAUUUACUAUUUAUUUCAUCUCCCAAAUAGUUUGUAAAAACUAUUUUGAACACACCAAAAUAUUAGUUGGAAUGUAUCCAAUCAUUCCUAAAGUUUUCAACAUUUUUGAAAACUUAAAGUUUCUGAUUUCAAAUUUUAAACUUGAAACCAGUAGCUUUUGCAUUUAUUUAAAAUGCCAAGAGUAUAAAAUAAAUGGUUUCCUUUAUUUCUUAUUUGUUUUCAAGAAUUAUCAGAAAGAUUGAACUUUUCUUGAGGCCAUUUUGGGUUCAUUGAUUUUAACUAGUUUGAAUUUUCCUUUAUUUUGAAAAGUGGCUAGGGUUUUAGAAUUUUCCUUCACCACUUGCUUUGUUCUUGUUGAAAAUUUCCUAGAUGCAAUGCAAAGAAAACAUGAGCACAAAGCUAACUUGAUUAAGGUGUCAGGGAUGUGACAAGAUCUUCAAAGGAUGAAGAUGCUCUAGGACCUCUCUCGUUUCAGGUUUCUCCAUAGAUAGAUCCUUGCAUGGCGUAGGAAAAUUUGGAAAUUACUACGAUCCCCAAUAGUGGCAUCCGAGCCAAGGUUGUAUGCGUAGAUUCUAUGCACGAGUAGAACACAAAAGUUGUGGGCGCUGGUUUGUCAAUUUUCUUGCCGUUACUAGUCUUAUCUUGAUUCAGAGGCAUCGUGGGAUGAAGCAGCCCGGACCGACUUUAUACGUACUCUUACGUGAGACUCGUUCCACCGACCAACGUGCACUAGUUACAUAAGGUGGCUAGCGGGUGUCUCUCUCUCCCACUUUAGUCAAAUCAGAUUCAAUGAAGAGGGUCCUUAUGAAGGGUAAAUAUCAUUGGCAAAUCAAUGUUGUGGCUGUCACGUAGGUAAGAAGCGUUCUUGGUAGAAACCCUAACCAGCCACAUAAAACUUGCAACAACAAUUAGAGGACGUCCAACUUGUUUUUGCAGGGUAUGCUAUGUGAUGUGAUAUGGCCAAAAGGAUGUGAUGUUACAUAUGUGAUGUAUGAGAUUGAUCAUGUUCUUGUAAUAGGAUUCACGACUUGCAUGUAGAUGAGCAUGACAACCGACAUGAGCCAUAGGAGUUGCCUUAAUUUAUUGUAUGAGAUGCAACGCCAUGUUGAUUACUCUACUCUAUCACUAACAGUUAGCUUUAGUAGUAGAAGUAAUAGUUGGCGUGACGACUUCACGGAGACAUAAUGAUGGAGAUCAUGGUGUCAUGCCGGUGGCAAUGAUGAUCAUGAUGCCCCGAAGAUGGAGAUCAAAGGAGCAAGAUGAUAUUGGCCAUAUCAUAUUUUUCAUUUUAUUGCUUAGAACGACGGUAGCAAAGAUAAGAUGAUCCCUCAUUAAAAUUUCGAGAUAAGUAUUCCCCUAAGUGUGCACCAUUGCGAAGGUUCGUUGUCUCGAAGCACCAUGUGAUGAUCGGGUAUGAUAGAUUCUAACAUUCUCAUAUAACGGGUGUAAGCGAGUUUACACACGCAAAACACUUAGGUUGACUUGACGAGCCUAGCAUGUAAAGACAUGGCCUCGAAUAUGGGAGACCGAAAGGUCAAACAUGAUCUGUAUGGUUGAUACGAUCAGCAUGGAGAUGCUCACCAUUGAUGACUAGUCUGUCUCAUGUAAUGAUCGGACACGGGCUAGUCGACGUGGAUCAUGUAACACUUGGAUGACUAGAGGGAUGUCGCCCUAAGUAGGAAUUCAUUAGUAAUUUGAUUGGAUGAACUUAAUUAUCAUGAAUUUAGUCUAAAAUUGUCUUUACAAAUAUUGUAGAUCCAAUGGCCAAUGCAGAUGUCCCAUUCAACUUCAACGCGUUCCUAGACAAAAGCAAGCUGAAAGACGAUGGGAGCAACUAUGCGGACUGGGCUCGUAACUUAAUGAUCAUCCUCAAGUCUUUCAAGGAGACAUAUGUCCUUGAUGCCCAACUAGCUGAUCCUCCCGUUCCCGCGGCAGACCAGGACGCUAGGAACGCGUGGCAGUCGUGGAGUGUUGACUACUCUCUCGUUCAGUGUGUCAUGCUUUACAGUUUAGAACCGGGCUCCAAAGGAGUUUUGAGCAACACGGAGCAUAUGAGAUGUUCGAGGAGCUGAAACUUGUUUUUCAAGCUCAUGCCCGGGUCGAUAGAUAUGAAGUCUCCAACAAGUUCUUCAGCUGUAAGAUGGAGGUGGAUAGUUCUGUCAGUGAGCACAUACUAAGAAUGUCUUGGUUGCACAACCGUUGACUCAGCUGAGAAUGGAACUUCCAGAUGAUGUGGUCAAUGACACAAUCCUCCAGUUGCUUCCACCUUGAUAUAAAGGCUUUGUGAUGAAUUACAACAUGCAAGGGAUGGAAAAGACUAUUCCCGAAUUAUAUUCAAUGCUGAAAUCUGCGGAGGUAGAAAUCAAGAAAGAGCAUCAAGUGUUGAUGGUCAAUAAGACCACCAGUUUCAAGAAGGGAAGGGUGAGAAAAGCUUCAAGAAAGACGGCAAAGCAGUUUCCACGCUCGGUAAACCAGUUGCCGGGAAGAAGUCAAAGAAAUGACCCAAGCCUGAGACUCGGUGCUAUUACUGCAAGGGAACCGGUCACUGGAAGCGGAAGUGCUCCAAGUACUUAGCGGACAAGAAGGCCGGCAGCAUCAAAGUUAUAUGUGAUAUACUUGUUACUGAUGUGUACCUUACCAGCGCUUGUAGUAGCUCCUGGUUAUUUGAUACCGGUGCUUUUGCUCACAUUUGCAAGUCUAAGAAGGAACUGCGGAACAAGCAUAGGCUGGCUAAGGACGAGGUGACGAUGCACGUUGGAAAUGGUUCGAAGGUUGAUGUGAUCACCAUCGACAUGCUACCUCUACAUCUACCUUCGAGAUUAUUUUUAAACCUUAAUAAUUGAUAUUUAGUACCAACUUUGAGCAUGAACAGUGUAUCGGGAUCUCGCUUGAUGCAAGAUGGCUACUCAUUUAAAUCUGAGAAUAAUGGUUGUUCUAUUUAUAUGAAUGGUAUGUUUUAUGGUCAUGCCCCGCUGGUCAAUGGUUUAUUCCUGAUGAAUCUCGAUCGUGAUGUUACACAUAUUCAUAGUGUGAGUACCAAAAUAUGUAAGGUUGAUAAUGAUAGUCCCACAUACUUGUGGCACUGCCGCCUUGGUCAUAUCAGCGUAAAGCGCAUGAAGAAACUUCAUACAAAUGGACUUUUGGAGUCACUUGAUUUUGAAUCAUUUGACACAUGCGAACCGUGCCUCAUGGGCAAUAUGACCAAGACUCUGUUCUCCGGAACAAUGGAGCGAGCAACCAACUUAUUGGAAAUAAAACAUAACGAUUUGUGCGGUCCAAUGAGCGUUCAAGCUCGUGGUGUCUAUCGUUAUGUUCUCACCCUCACUGAUGAUUUAAGUAGAUAUUGGUAUGUCUACUUAAUGAAGCACAAGUCUGAAACCUUUCAAAAGUUCAAGGAGUUUCAGAGUGAGGUGGAGAAUCAAGGUGAUAAGAAAAUAAAGUUUCUACGAUAUGAUCGUGGAGGAGAAUAUUCGAGUCACGAGUUUGGCACGCACCUAAGGAAAUGUGAAAUUGUAUCACAACUCACGCCGCCUGGCACAUCGCAGUGUAACGGUGUGUGUGAACGUCGCAAUCGCACUUUACUAGAUAUGGUGCAAUCUAUGAUGUCUCUUACCGAUUUACCGCUAUCAUUUUGGGGAUAUACAUUGGAAACUAUCUCAUUCACUUUAAAUAGGGCACCGUCUAAAUCCGUUGAGAUGGCACCGUAUGAAUUAUGAUUUGCCAAGAAACCUAAGGUGUCGUUUCUUAAAGUUUGGGGCUGUGAUGCUUAUGUGAAGAAACUUCAACCAGAGAAGCUCGUACCCAAAGCGAAAAAAUGAGUCUUCAUAGGAUACCCUAAGGAAACUAUUGGGUACACCUUCUAUCUUAGAUCCAAAGGCAAGAUCUUUGUUGCCAAGAACGGAUCCUUUCUGGAGAAAGAGUUUCUCUCGAAAGAAGUAAGUGGGAGGAAAAUAGAACUUGAUGAGGUAAUUGUACCUCCUCUCGAAAUGGAGAAUAGCACAACACAAGAAAAUGUUUCUAAGGCGCCUGAACCAGCUAGAGAAGAAGUUAAUGAUGAUGAUCAUGAAACUUCAGAUCAAAUUGCUAUUGAACCUCAAAGGUCGACAAGGGUACGUUCAGCACCACAGUGGUACGACAACCCUAUCAUAGAAAUCAUGUUGUUGGACAACAGUGAACCUUCGAACUGUGAAGAAGCGAUGGCGGGCCCGGAUUCCAACAAAUGGCAUUAGGCCAUGAAAUCCGAGAUAGAAUCCAUGUAUGAGAACAAAGUGUGGACUUUGGUGGACUUGCCCAAUGAUCAGCGAGCCAUAGAAAAUAAAUGGAUUUUUAAGAAGAAGACUGACGCGGAUGGUAAUGUUACCAUCUAUAAGGCUCGACUUGUCACUAAGGGUUAUCGACAAGUUCAAUGGAUUGACCAUGAUGAGACCUUCUCACCCAUAGCGUUGCUGAAGUCAGUCCGAAUCCCGUUAGCAAUUGCCGCAUUUUAUGAUUAUGAAAUCUGGCCAAUGGAUGUCAAAACAGCAUUCCUGAACGGCUUUCUUAAAGAAGAAUUAUAUAUGAUACAGCUGGAAGGUUUUGUCGAUCCUAGCAAUGCUAACAAGAUAUGCAAGCUCGAGUGCUCCAUCUAUGGGCUGGUGCAAGCAUCUCGGAGUUGAAAUAUUCGCUUUGAUGAGGUGAUCAAAGCUUUUGGGUUUAUACAGACUUAUGGAGAAGCCUGUAUUUACAAGAAAGUGAGUGGGAGCUAUGUAGUAUUUCUCAUAUUAUAUGUGGAUGACAUAUUGAUGGGAAAUGAUAUAGAACUAUUGGAAAGCAUCAAGGCCUAUUUGAAUAAGAGUUUUUCAAUGAAGGACCUCGGAGAAGCUGCUUACAUAUUGGGCAUCAAGAUCUAUAGAGAUAGAUCGAGACGCCUCAUAAGUCUUUCACAAAGCACAUACCUUGAAAAGAUAUUGAAGAAGUUCAAUAUGGAUAAGGCUAAGAAGGAGUUCUUGCCUGUAUUACAAGGUGUGAGGUUGAGAACGACUCAAUGCCUAACCACGACAGAAGAUAGAUAAAAGAUGAGUACCGCCCCCUAUGCUUCAGCCAUAGGCUAUAUCAUGUAUGCCAUGCUGUGUACCGGACCUGAUGUGAACCUUGCCAUAAGUUUGGUAGGGAUGUACGAGAGUGAUCUAGGAUUGGAUCGCUGGACAACGGUUAAGAACAUCCUUAAGUACCUGAAAAGGACUAAAGAUAUGUUUCUCGUCUAUGGAUGUGCCGAAGAGCUCGUCGUAAAGGGUUACGUCGAUGCUAGCUUCGACACAGAUCUGGAUGAAUCUAAGUGAGAAACCGAAUACAUGUAUAUUUUGAAUAAUGGGGCAGUUAGCUGGCGCAGUUGCAAUCAAAGCUUCCUGGCGGCAUCAACAUGUGAAGCGGAGUACAUAGCUGCUUCGGAAGCAGCAGAUGAAGGAGUCUGGAUGAAGGAGUUCAUCACCGACCUUGGAGUGAUUCCGAGUACGUCGGGCCCGAUGACUCUGUUCUGUGACAACACUAGAUCUAUUUCUAUUACAAAGGAGCCCAGGUUUCACAAGAAGACCAAGCACAUCAAGCGCCGCUUCAACUCCAUUCGUGGAUACAUCUAGGAUGGAGAUAUAGAUAUUUGUAAAGUACAUACGGCUCUGAAUGUCACUGGCCCAUUGAUUAAACCUCUUCCACGGGAAAGCAUGAUCAGCACCAAAACUCUAUGUGUGUUCGAUUUAUCACAAUGUAACUAGAUUAUUGAUUCUAGUGCAAGUGGGAGACUAUUGGAAAUAUGCCCUAGAGGCAAUAAUAAAGUUGUUAUUACUAUAUUUCCAGUUGAUGAUAAUUGUCUAUUAUGCAUGCUAUAAUUGUAUUAACCAGAAACCGUAAUACAUGUGUGAAUAUAUAGAUCACAAUGUGUCCCUAGUGAGCCUCUAGUUGGCUAUCUCGUUGAUCAAUAGAUGAUCAUGGUUUCUUAAUCAUGGACAUUGGAUGUCAUUGAUAACGGGAUCACAUCAUUGGGGAAUGAUGUGAUGGACAAGACCCAAUCCUAAGCAUAGCACUAGAUCGCGUUGUUUGUCUGCUAAAGCUUUUCUAAUGUCAAGUAUCGUUUCCUUAGACCAUGAGAAUGUGCAACUGCCAGAUACCGUAGCAGUCCUUUGGGUGUAUCAAACGUCACAACGUAACUGGGUCAUUAUAAAGGUGCACUACAGGUAUCUCGGAAAGUGUUUGUUGGGUUGUACGAAUUGAGACUGGGAUUUGUCACUCCGUGUGACAGAGAGGUAUCUCUGGGCCCACUCGGUAAUGUUGGAAAUAUGCCCUAGAGGCAAUGAUAAAAUAGUUAUCAUUGUAUUUCUUGUUUCAAGAUAAUCGUUUAUUAUCUAUGUUAUAAUUGUAUUGAAUGAAACCAUAAGUACAUGUGUGGAUAUAUAGACAAAACAAUGUCCCUAGUAAGCCUCUAGUUGACUAGCCAGUUGAUCAAGGAUGGUCAUGGUUUUCUGACCAUAUGCAAGUGUUGUCACUUGAUGACUGGAUCACAUCGUUAGGAGAAUGAUGUCAUGGACAAGACCGAAAUUAUAAACGUAGCAUGUGAUCGUGUCAUUUUGUUGCUAUUGUUUUCUGCGUGUUAAGUAUUCAUUCCUAUGAGCUUGAGAUCAUGUAACUCACUGACACCGGAGGAAUUCCUUGUGUGUAUCAAACAUUGCAACAUUACUGGGUGACAUAAAGGUGCUCUACAGGUAUCUCCGAAGGUGUCCGUUGAGUUAGCAUGGAUCAAAACUGGGAUUUGUCACUCCUUGUGAUGCAGAGGUAUCUCAGGGCCCACCCGCUAAUACAACAUCAGAUAGAAGCCUUGCAAGCAAUGUGACUAAAGUGUUAGUCACGGGAUCUUCUAUUACGGAAAAAGCAAAUAGACUUCCCGGUAACGAGAUUGAAAUAGGUAUAGGAUACCGACGAUCAAAUCUCGAGCAAGUAACAUACCCAAGGACAAAGGGAAUGGUAUACGGGAUUAUAUUAAUCCUUGGCACAGAGGUUCAACCGAUAAGAUCUUUGUAGAAUAUGUAGGAUCCAAUAUGGACAUCUAGGUCCCGCUAUUGGAUAUUGGCCGAGGAGUGUCUCAGGUCAUGUCUGCAUAGUUCUCGAAUGCGCAGGGUCUGCACACUUAAGGUUCGGUGACGUUUCGGUAUAGUUGAGUUAUAGGUGUUUGUGAUCGAAGGUUGUUCGGUGUCCUAGAUGAGAUCACGGACGUCACGAGGGUUUCCGAAAUGGUCCGGAAAUGAAGAUUGAUAUAUAGGAUGGUUUCAUUGGGUCUCCGGAAAGAUUUUGUGCAUUACCGGCAGUGUACCGGGAGUGACGUAUGGGUUUCGGGUCUUCACCGGGAGGGGCCCACCCACCCGGGAGUGAGCCCAAUAGUCCAAGGGUGGCGCACCAGCCCUUAGUGGUCUGGUGAAGCCAGCCCAAGUGGGCUAAAAGAAAAACCAUAAGAAAAAAAAGAGGGAGGUGGGAAGGAAGAGGGGGACUCCUCCUUCCCCAAACCGAAUUGGAGUUGGAGUCCUCCUCCUCCUUUGGGCCGGCUCCCUAGGGGCUCCCUUGAGCCCCAAGGCUAGCCCCUCCCCUCCUACUAUAUAUAUACUAUUGGUUUUAGAGUUUUUGGGACACAACUUUGCCACGUGCAACUCAAACCUCUACUUCGUAGUUCCUCCUCUAGAUCGGUUUUCUGUGGAGCUCGGGCGGAGCUCUGCAGGAAUAGAUCAUCACCAUCACCAGCGCGCCGUCACACUGCCGGAGAACUCAUCUACUUCCACGUCUCUCUUGCCGGAUCAACAAGGCGGCGAUCGUUAUCGAGCUCUACGUGUGCUGAAAGGGGAGGUGCCGUCCGUUCGGCGCUAGAUCGGAACGGAUCGUGGGACGACGGUGCUUUGAAUCAUGAAGCUGUACCACUACAUCAACCUCAUUUCUUAACGCUUCCUGCUGAGCGAUCUACAAGGGUAUGACGAACCGAUCUCCCUCUCGUAGAGGAACAUCACCAUGAUAGGUCUUCGUGUGUGUAGGAAUUUUUUUGUUUCCCAUGCAACGAUCCCCAACAGUGGCAUCACGAGCUAGGUUCAUGCGUAGAUGUAAUCUUGAGUAGAACACAAAAGUUUUUGUGGGCGUUGAUGUAUGAUUUGCUGCCCUCCUUGGUCUUUCUCGAUUCGAUGGUAUUGUUGGAUUGAAGCGGCCCGGACCAACAUUACUCGUACGCUUAUGAGAGACCGGUUUCAUCGACUAACAUGCAACUCGUUGCAUAAUGAUGACUGGCGGGUGCCUGUUCCUUCAACUUUAGUUGAAUUGGAUUUGACCGAGGCGGUCCUUGGAGAGAGGUUAAAUAUAAAUUUGCACAUCUCCGUUGUAGUUUGUGCAUAAGUAAGAUGCGAUCAUACUAGAUACCCAUAGCAGCCACGUAAAACAUGCAACAACAAAUUCGAGGACGUCUAACUUGUCGUUGUAGGGUAUGCUUGUGAUGUGAUGUCACAUCCCUGACACUUUAAGCAAGUUAGUCUUGUGCACAUGUCUUCUUUGCAUUUGCAUCUAAGAAUUUUUCAACAAGAACAAGAAAGUCGCAAAGGAAAAACUCAAAACCCUAGCCACUACUUUAAAUAAAGAAAAUCUCAAACUAGUUGAAAUCAAUGAACCCAAAAUGGCCUCAAGAAAUGUUCAAACUUUCUGAUAAAUCAUGAAAGUAAAUGAGCAAUGGAGAAAACUAUUUUCUUGACACUUUAAGCAUUUUAAAUUAAUGCAAAAAGCCACUGGUUCAAAUUUUAAAUUUGAAAUCAGAAACUAUAAAUUUUCAAAAAUGUUGAAAACUUUGGAAAUGGUUGGGAAUAUUAUAACAAUAUUUCAGGAGGUCUAAAAUAGUUUUUACUUUUUGUUUUGGAGCUGAAAUAAAUAGCAAAACAAUAGUUAGCAAAACAGAAAAACAAAAACAGAAAAAAAUGCGAAACUCUUACCUGUCGCCUAGCCUGGCCCGGCCCAUCUCCCUGGCUCGUCCCCUCCCUCUCGCCAGUAGGAGCAGGAGGUGGCCGCCGCCUCCUCCGGCGCGGCCACGCACCUGUGCGCCUGCCUGGCCGCCGCCUCGCGCUGGCAAGGCCAGGGAUAAGCUCCCCGAGGCCUCCUCUAUCCAUUCCCAGCGCUAACUCUCUCCCUCCUCUCGGAUCUUGCCCUCCUUCCUGCUGCCGCCAUUGGAGCCGAGCUCGAGCUCGAGCCGCAGCACCUCUAGCCAUGGGAACCCUCCUCCGAGUAGUCUGUUAGCUCCGCCUCGUCGCCCUGGUCAUCUCUGCAGAAGCCGAAGCUUCCCCGAGCUCUGCAUCGCCCCCAACGCCAUCGUAUUCCACCUCCGGCCGUCAGACCUCUCCCGUCGAUUCGCUCCCUCCGGCGCAUCCCCGAGCCCCUCAACAGCACCAUCGGAACCGCCGUGAGCUCGUCGUCAUUUCCCCUCUCGCCCCACGCUCUCCCGUGCAUCGUAGCCUCGUUCCCCACCAAGGCCGAGAGCUUCUCGCCGCCGGUCAUGUCGUCGCCGUCGCUGUGGUGUUUGAUCCACGCGCUCGAGCUAGGGUUCGAGCUCCUGGAGCCUCCAGGAGCGUGAUGAGCCCUCCAGCUGCCCUCCCUGUGCCCUAGAGCCAUCGCUCGUAGAAGGCCGAGCUUCGGCCGCCGCUCCGGCUCGUCGCCGGCGCCUCUCCCGGCGACCCUAGCCUCCCCUGAUGCACCUACCAGAUCGGCCACUUCACCAGCGUUCCGUAGCUGCAAACCGCGUUCAAAUUGGUGCUGUGCAGCGCCGAUUAGGUCGUCUCCAGCGAGCCCUCCGCCGCGGGCUUGGUCGCCGGCGACCACCCUCCAGUGGGCGUCGACGUGGCCGACCAUUAGGGCGUAAUUGCCCUCCCCUCAGUCGCUGCCAGAGGGCCCCACGCCUGGUCAAACCCCAAUUAGGGGCUGGUCAGCGUGGGAUUAGUCCCAGAGAGGCUGACCAGUGGGGCCCCCCUGUCAGGUUUGACAUGAACAGGUCGGCUGACCUGCUGAUGUCAGCCUGAUGCAAUAAAUAGAAUUUCCAGUAUAGAAAUAAUUCUAGUUAAUUGCCAAAACUUGUAAAAAUCAUAGAAAUUAAUCUGUAACUCCAAUGAAAAUAAUUUAUAUAUGAAAACGUAUCAGAAAAAUUCAAGGAUUCUGAUUAUGCUGUUUUAAACCAUGUUUGAAAAAGUUACAGAACCCUAAAAUGUGGAAUAAGGAAUAAUUCAAUUCUUAUAAUUACUUUUAAAUGGAAUUUGGAAAAAUAUUCAAAUUUCAUUAUGAAUGCAAUGAUCACACACUAUCCUAGUUACAAAUCAGUACCAUAACAUGACAUCUCAUGCAAGCUAACAUCAAGUUGAUCUGAGCAUCAGGUCGAAUCAAUUAAAUCGGUAACCGUGAAUACCCCGUUUGAAGUAAUACCGAAUAUGAUUCAAAUCAACUCUAAACCUAAUACAUGUUGAUUAUAAUAACUUAUCACCUUGAAUUCUCAUGCCAUGCUCAUGCAUCAUUUUGAUUGCAUGUGAUUGUUAUUGAAUGUUGCCAUUUAUUUCGGUAGGCUCCGCAACCCCGGAUUCCACCGAAUAUCCGUCUGACGGAUAUCGUUCCUCCUCUGAGCAACAAGGCAAGCAACCCUUUUGAUCAUCCUGAUAAUUCCCAUGUUCUUGCUCCUGCACUUAUUUAUUGCAUUAGGAUCAAAUGCUUCAACUGCUUUUGCCACGAUAGUUGAACCCACUUCCUUUGCAUGACCUAACCUUGUCACAGUAAAUAGCCGAACCUUGCAACCUAGCAUACCUGGUAGUUGCUUGAGCUAUGAUGUGCCUUAUCCUGCUAAGCAUGCUAUGCUUAGAGUUGGGCAUGGUCUGUCAUCUGGGAGAUGAACAGAAUUGUGGAAUGUGUUUGGUGAGCAAAGGUUGUGUGCUGAACUUGAUUUGGUAAAGGUACCGGUGAAAGGCUGUGUAGGAGUACAUGGCGGGUUGUUUCAUUGGAACCGUCCUUGGGAACUGAGUUCCGUGUAUGUAANNNNNNNNNNNNNNNNNNNNNNNNNNNNNNNNNNNNNNNNNNNNNNNNNNNNNNNNNNNNNNNNNNNNNNNNNNNNNNNNNNNNNNNNNNNNNNNNNNNNNNNNNNNNNNNNNNNNNNNNNNNNNNNNNNNNNNNNNNNNNNNNNNNNNNNNNNNNNNNNNNNNNNNNNNNNNNNNNNNNNNNNNNNNNNNNNNNNNNNNNNNNNNNNNNNNNNNNNNNNNNNNNNNNNNNNNNNNNNNNNNNNNNNNNNNNNNNNNNNNNNNNNNNNNNNNNNNNNNNNNNNNNNNNNNNNNNNNNNNNNNNNNNNNNNNNNNNNNNNNNNNNNNNNNNNNNNNNNNNNNNNNNNNNNNNNNNNNNNNNNNNNNNNNNNNNNNNNNNNNNNNNNNNNNNNNNNNNNNNNNNNNNNNNNNNNNNNNNNNNNNNNNNNNNNNNNNNNNNNNNNNNNNNNNNNNNNNNNNNNNNNNNNNNNNNNNNNNNNNNNNNNNNNNNNNNNNNNNNNNNNNNNNNNNNNNNNNNNNNNNNNNNNNNNNNNNNNNNNNNNNNNNNNNNNNNNNNNNNNNNNNNNNNNNNNNNNNNNNNNNNNNNNNNNNNNNNNNNNNNNNNNNNNNNNNNNNNNNNNNNNNNNNNNNNNNNNNNNNNNNNNNNNNNNNNNNNNNNNNNNNNNNNNNNNNNNNNNNNNNNNNNNNNNNNNNNNNNNNNNNNNNNNNNNNNNNNNNNNNNNNNNNNNNNNNNNNNNNNNNNNNNNNNNNNNNNNNNNNNNNNNNNNNNNNNNNNNNNNNNNNNNNNNNNNNNNNNNNNNNNNNNNNNNNNNNNNNNNNNNNNNNNNNNNNNNNNNNNNNNNNNNNNNNNNNNNNNNNNNNNNNNNNNNNNNNNNNNNNNNNNNNNNNNNNNNNNNNNNNNNNNNNNNNNNNNNNNNNNNNNNNNNNNNNNNNNNNNNNNNNNNGAUAUGUAUGGGGUUCGAUUACCUAGUCGUGAACUUUAGUAGCACUCCUUACAAGGAAAUGCACCUUUGUGAUCCAACGAGCCUUGGUAGUUCGCUACUGCUCCGGACAAAUUGGUUGACCGGCAUGUGUCCUUCUUAGCUGCUGUGUCUGCCCCCUUUGGGGAAAUGUCACGCGAUGUAAUGGAGUCCUUGUAGCUUGCUACGACUCAUCUACAUUCGCUGAUGACCGACACCUGCUUUGUCGGGUCAUGUAUGUCUGUCCAUGUGCGGUACUGCCACUUUGGUUUAUGACUAGACAUGUCGAUCCGGGUUCUUUGACAUUGGAUUGCUAGUGACACUAUCGCAUACGUGAGUCAAAAGACGCAAACGGUCCCGGCUAAGGUAAGGCUGCAGCCGUGGAGUUAACCGUGCGUGAGACCACAAAGCAAUGUGAUGUGUUACAGGCUGGAUUCCUAUGGCUUAGCAUCGGGGUCCCGACAGCGUUGGUAUCAGAGCCUGACUGACUGUAGGAUUACUAAGCCAAACUGGUCGAAGUUGAGUCUAGAAUUUAUUUAGUUAUAUAUAAGGGAAUUGUUUGUGGAAGGGAACGUAAGACUCUUGUUCUCUUCUCAAGAUAUUAUAUUCUGGUCAUCCUCGUCUUUUCUGCGGGAAUUAAGGACUAGGUUACUCAUCUUCUCAUAGGCUCAUGUUUCUGAUCGGUAGAUUAUAGGACUACGGGUCGAGAGAUAUUGGGUUUCUUUUAUUCCUAGGAAGCAAGAAGUAAGUUUGAUGAUCAGAGAGUUGAACUAGAUAGUUGAGUGGUUACGCUAUUCCAUUUUGGGUUGUCUCAAAAUUUGUUUUGAGCAUUUAUAGCCGUUAUGCUGCCCAAUUUUGCAUUCGGAGCUCUAAUGCUUUUGCAUUACUCUCUAUUACAGAUGCCUGGCCGUCCUUCUCGUCAGGUGGUAUGUCUGACCAGGUGCAUUGAUGUACCGGGUCAUACGGCCAUGCUGGUCAGGGUGAUGUCGGUGUGCGGUUACCGCUGGUACCCCGAGUACACAGUGGACGAACACUACCGAGACUUCAACCAGAGCCAGUACAUCUGCACUGUUAGGGUAUUUCCAGACUACCCUGGAGCGGAGAAGCCAAUCCAUUGGUCCUAUGGGUUGGGGGUCACUGUUGACAUGGAAGUACAGGAUGCUGCCUACUCAAUGCUGACCAUUAUGAGAGCAAGACAUGCACUGCUGCAGAAUUCAGAGUUCUGCUAUGUUCCGGCCUCUCAGCCUGGUGAAGAGGGAUACCUCAGUGGAGUCUAUUUUGAUUCUUCUAUGGAGGAUCCACUACUGCAUUCCACUGUUGAGAUGCUAGAGAAUAGAGACAGGUAUGCUCGUGCUCUCCGCAUGGAGCUUUAUGCUACCCGUGCCCGUCUGUGGACAGCUUUGACGCAGCUGGCACCGGUAGUCCAGACAGGGUAUGGAGAGAUGGAGAUGCUGAACCCUGUUAGGACCCAUCUUCCGGCCCACGUUGACUGGCCAGCUAUAGGAGGAGUCUCACCUCUUCGGGGACCCCUCGUACCACCAGUCAGGGGACCAAGGCCACAUCCGUGUCCUUAUGGAUCCCAGGGAUCUCAGGCUAGAGUGUUCCCUGAUCCGCAGGUUGAGCUUCCAUGCCAUGGAGGUAAUCUCUAUGAGAUGUUCUAUGCGGAUGCCUGAGCUGUGAGCGGAAGGAUAGUUUGGUAGUAGCCGUACGUUCACAGUCCUGCGUGACUUGUGAAGUAUGUAUGUAAUGUGAAAUGAAUUCCGGAGGCCUAGAUAAAUAAUGUAUAGGAAGCUUGUAAGCCUCUGAUGAGUAGUUCCAUAAUUUCAGUAGUUUGCUCUUCGAGUAAGUUUGUACUGAACUAUGUAAGGGUGUGUAUGAACCAUGGUGUAUAUAUAGCAGUUGCUUGUUACCAUGCUGUUCGGAUAUUCAUUUCCGCAUUCCGUGUGUUCAGUACAUUCUUAAUCCAUAGCUAGUAUUGAUAUGAUAUUGGUCUAAGCUAUGAGUUUGUUUGUCAGGAUGGUGUUCACCAGGUUGAACCAUGCCCCUGCUCAUGAGCAAGGCGAGGGUAGUCAAGCGUUGCAGGAAGACCUGCCUCACCCGCCUUCUCUGGUGGAAGUGAUGCUUGAGGCAGAGAGAAAUAAAAGAGAGACCAACCGACUGUUAGACCGUAUUGAGCAGAAUACGACUCGACAGCCUAGGAAUGCCGCAGUGUCCCUCAAUGACUUUGUGAAGUUGAAUCCUCCAAAGUUUCAUCAUGCCGUCGAUCCCCUCGACGCUGAUGACUGGCUGUGCAGCAUCUCACGCAAGAUUCGCUCUGCGAAUGUGUCUGAGGCCGACAAGGUGACCUUUGCGGCGUAUUUCCUGGAAGGACCCGCCAAUCUCUGGUGGGAGAAUUUUGAAGCUAUGCGUCCUGCUGAACCAGUGGCCACAUGGGCAGACUUCACUGCAGCUUUUCGUCUGCACCAUAUUCCAGAGGGCCUGAUGGACAGAAAGAGAGAGGAGUUAUGUGCCUUCACUCAGGGCAAGUUGUCUGUGGAUGCCUAUAGCCGCGAGUUCGGUAACCUCGCCCGCUAUGCAACAGAGGAGGUGUCUACUGAUGCCAAGAAGCAAGCAAGGUUUCGUAAGGGUCUGAGCCCUGAGCUCCGUCGUGAUCUGCGCCUCCAUGAGUGUGCAAGUUUUCAAGCCCUGGUCAACAAAGCGAUCAGUGCCGAGACUGGUCAUACUGACUGCGAGGCCACAAGGAAGCACUCCCAUGACUUUGGCUCAUCUUCUCGUUCCGCGUUUCCAAAACGCAGGCUGUGGGUUCCAAACAGUUCUCUGCCGCCAAGAUACACUCCGAGGCCGUCCUACGUGGCGCCUCAGACGAAUCAGGCCAACCCUCUAGCAAAAGCUUAUGGUGGUUCAGCUAACAAUGCUGCACCACGUGCCAACCAGGUGAUAUGCUACAAGUGUGGAGGACCAGGGCACUAUUCCCGUGAGUGUCCUCAGAAUGUGGGUGCCAAGCAACCCGGAAAGUCCGUCGGGCAAGCCAAGUCGGGAAAAGCUUUUUAUGUGAAGCCAACUCCUGCACGUGGCCGUGUGAACUAUGUGUCAGCAGAAGAAGCUGCAGAGGAUCCCGACGUCAUGCUGGGUACGCUUCUUGUUAAUCAUCACCCAGCGUCCAUUCUCUUUGACACUGGGUCUUCUCAUUCCUUCAUUUCAGUUAUGCACAGUUGCAUAACAUGUCUUUUUGUGAUAUGCCAAUCCCAUUGGUUGUCCAAACCCCUGGUAGUAAAUGGCAAACCUCUAGGAUAACCUAUGACAAUGAAAUUCUAGUAGACAGACUAGUUUUUCUAGCCUCAUUGAUAGCAUUGAAAUCUUCGGAUAUUAAUAUCAUCUUGGGCAUGGACUGGAUGUCAGCUCACUAUGCCAAGAUUGAUACUCAUUCUAGAAAUGUCCAGCUUACCCAUCCCUCGGGUGAGAUAGUAAAUGUCUCUACUCGAGUUGCCAAAUGCCAACUCUAUUCUCUAAAUGCCAACCCUCUUCCGGAACUUGAAGACAUUCCGGUAGUCCGUGACUUCCCAGAUGUUUUUCCAGAGGAACUGCCAGGAAUCCCACCUGACAGAGAUGUAGAGUUUGUAAUAGAUCUUGUUCCGGGAACUGUCCCAAUAGCCAGAAGACCUUAUAAGAUGGCACCCCUGGAGCUAGCCGAACUUAAGAAGCAAUUAGAUGAGGCUUUGAACAAAGGUUUCAUUCGUCCUAUCUCUUCUCCUUCGGCUUGCCCCGUCCUCUACGUCAAGAAGAAAGACGGAACGGAUCGGAUGGUUGUAGAUUACCGACCAGUUAAUCUGGUCACCAUAAAGAACAAGUAUCCGCUCCCUAGGAUCAACGAUCUGUACGAUCAGCUCGCUGGAUCCUCAGUCUUCUCCAAAAUGGAUUUGAGGUUGUGAUACCAUCAAAUCAAGAUUAAGAACGGGGACAUUCCAAAAACGGCUUUUGUUACUCGUUAUGGCCAAUAUGAGUACACCGUUAUGUCCUUCGGUUUAACCAAUGCCCCAGCCACCUUCUCUCGUCUGAUGAAUUCAAUCUUCAUGGAGUAUUUGGAUAAAUUCGUCGUAGUAUACCUUGAUGAUAUUCUCAUCUACUCGAAGAAUGAACAAGAACAUGUCGAGCAUCUAAGGCUGGUAUUGAUGAAACUUCGAGAGCAUCGCCUUUAUGCCAAAUUUUCAAAAUGUGAAUUCUGGUUACCAGAAGUGACCUAUCUAGGCCACGUAAUCUCUGGUAAGGGUAUUGCUGUCAAUCCCGAGAGAGUUCAAGCUGUCCUUGAUUGGACUCAACCUGAAUUGGUUAAGCAAGUUAGGAGUUUUCUUGGUCUAGCGAGCUAUUGUCGCCGCUUUGUCGAGAAUUUCUCCAAGGUUGCAAAGCCUCUAACUGAACUCCUCAAGAAAGAUAAAAAGUUCGAGUGGACACCACAGUGUGAGCAUAGUUUUCAGGACCUGAAAAGACGCCUGACUUCCGCACCUGUGUUGCUACCACCAGAUUUCUCUAAGGACUUCGUUAUCUACUGCGACGCCUCGCGACAAGGAUUAGGUUGCAUCCUCAUGCAAGAUCGUCAUGUGAUCGCAUACGCAUCUCGACAGUUGCGUCCACAUGAGGAUAAUUAUCCCACACAUGACCUUGAGCUUGCAGCUGUGGUCCAUGCACUAAAAACCUGGCGACAUUACCUUCUGGGUAAUCAUUGCGAAAUUUUCACUGAUCACCAAAGUCUGAAGUAUAUCUUCACCCAGCCGGAUUUGAAUCUCAGGCAAAGACGGUGGGUUGAGUUGAUCUCGGAUUACGACUUAGGGAUAACUUACACCCCGGGGAAGGCCAAUGUUAUGGCCGAUGCGCUAAGUCGUAAAUCUUAUUGUAACAAUUUGAUGCUACAACAAGGUCAACCACAUCUCCAUGAGGACUUUCGGAAGUUGAAUCUUCAUAUUGUUUCUCAAGGAUUCUUUUCUACCCUGGUGGCGAAGCCUACACUUAAGGAUCAAAUUAUAGCUGGCAAAAGCGUGACAAGGGUAUAUCAUGGAUCAAGGAGAAUAUUUUUAGCGGAAACGCUAAAGAAUUUUCCAUGAACGAUCAAGGUGUUGUGUUCUUCCAGAAUCGUUUAGUGGUUCCUAAGAAUCCACAUCUAAGGCAGUUAAUCCUUAAGGAGGCUCAUGAUUCUCCUCUCACCAUUCAUCCCGGUAGUACUAAGAUGUAUCAGGACCUACGCCAGAGGUUCUGGUGGACUCGGAUGAAGAGAGAAAUUGCUGAGUUCGUUGCUAACUGCGACGUUUGUCGUCGAUUUAAGGCAGAACAUCAAAGGCCUGCUGGCACCCUUCAACCUCUAGCUAUUCCUGAAUGGAAAUGGGAUAAAGUUAGCAUGGAUUUUAUUACCGGAUUUCCCUAGACCAAGAAAGGGAAUAAUGCUAUCUUUGUGGUCAUUGACCGUCUUUCCAAAGUGGCUCAUUUUCUUCCCGUUCGUGAGAGUAUAACAGCUAGCCAGCUAGCAGAGUUAUAUAUCUCUCGAAUAGUGUCUCUUCAUGGUGUUCCCCUGGAGAUUAACUCAGACCGUGGAAGUAUCUUUACUUCUCGCUUCUGGGAAAGUUUUCAGAAUGCCAUGGGGACUCACCUAUCUUUUAGCACUGCUUUCCAUCCCCAAUCAAGUCGUCAAGUAGAAAGAGUGAAUCAAAUCCUAGAAGAUAUGCUCCGAGCUUGUGUUAUAUCGUUCGGGAAGAAUUGGGAGAAGUGUCUUCCAUUCGCUGAAUUCCCUUAUAACAAUAGUUACCAAUCAAGCUUGGGCAAAGCCCCUUUUGAAGUUCUCUAUGGACGAAGAUGUCGAACACCUCUAAAUUGGUCAGAAACCGGAGAGAGGCAACUCUUUGGCCCGAAUAUGAUCCAGGAUGCAGAAGAGCAGGUUCGCAUUAUUCGUGAAAAGUUGAAAACAGCCCAGUCUGGUCAAAGGAGCCAAUAUGAUCGUCGUCAUAAGGCUGUGACCUUUGACGUUGAUGAGAAGGCUUACCUUCGGGUUACACCUUUUAAGGGUACCCCUCGAUUCGGUAUCAAGGGAAAAUUGGCUCCUCAUUACAUUGGUCCUUUUCGCAUUCUUUCCAAACGAGGAGAAGUUUCCUACCAGUUGGAACUUCCUCCGCAUCUUUCCAAGGUUCAUGAUGUUUUCCACGUCUCGCAACUCAGGCGUUGCUUUUUGGAUCCUAUCCGUGAAGUGGACCACGAAACGCUUGAUCUCCAAGAUAACCUGUCAUACCGAGAAUACCCCGUGCGUAUUCUUGAUCAAGCUGAGCGUACCACUCGACGUCGAAACCUCAAGUUUCUUAAAGUUCAAUGGACAAAUCAUUCUGAAAAGGAGGCAACUUGGGAAAGAGAGGAUCGUCUCCGACUUGAGUAUCCUGCGUUAUUCCCGACGACUUCUAAAUCUCGGGACGAGAUUCUUUUGAGUGGGGGUGAGUUGUCACUUCCCUGACACUUUAAGCAAGUUAGUCUUGUGCUCAUGUCUUCUUUGCAUUUGCAUCUAUGAAUUUUUCAACAAGAACAAUAAAGUGGCAAAGGAAAAACUCAAAACCCUAGCCACUACUUUAAAUAAAGAAAAUCUCAAACUAGUUGAAAUCAAUGAACCCAAAAUGGCCUCAAGAAAUGUUCAAACUUUCUGAUAAAUCAUGAAAGUAAAUGAGCAUUGGAGAAAACUAUUUUCUUGACACUUUAAGCAUUUUAAAUUAAUGCAAAAAGCCACUGGUUUCAAAUUUUAAAUUUGAAAUCAGAAACUAUAAGUUUUCAAAAAUGUUGAAAACUUUGGAAAUGGUUGGGAAUAUUUUAACAAUAUUUCAGGAGGUCUAAAAUAUUUUUUAAUUUUUGUUUUGGAGAUGAAAUAAAUAGCAAAACAAUAGUUAGCAAAACAGAAAAACAAAAACAAAAAAAAAUGGGAAACUCUUACCUGUCGCCUAGCCUGGCCCGGCCCAUCUCCCUGGCUCGUCCCCUCCCUCGCGCCAGUAGGAGCACGAGGUGGCCGCCGCCUCCUCCGGCACGGCCACGCACCUGUGCGCCUGCCUGGCCGCCGCCUCGCGCUGGCAAGGCCGGGGAUAAGCUCCCCGAGGCCUCCUCUAUCCAUUCCCAGCGCUAACUCUCUCCCUCCUCUCGGAUCUUUCCCUCCUUCUUGCUGCCGCCAUUGGAUCCGAGCUCGAGCUCGAGCCGGAGCACCUCUAGCCAUGGGAACCCUCCUCCGAGUAGUCUGUUAGCUCCGCCUCGUCGCCCUGGUCAUCUCUGCAGAAGCCGAAGCUUCCCCGAGCUCUGCAUCGCCCCCAACGCCAUCGUCUUCCACCUCCGGCCGCCGGACCUCUCCCGUCGAUUCGCUCCCUCCGGCGCAUCCCCGAGCCCCUCAACAACACCAUCGGAACCACCGUGAGCUCGUCGUCGUUUCCCCUCUCGCCCCACGCUCUCCCGUGCAUCGUAGCCUCGUUCCCCACCAAGGCCGAGAGCUUCUCGCUGCCGGUCAUGUCGUCGACGUCGUUGUGGUGUUUGAUCCACGCGCUCGAGCUAGGGUUCGAGCUCCUGGAGCCUCCAGGAGCGUGAUGAGCCCUCCAGCUGCCCUCCCCGUGCCCUAGAGCCAUCGCUCGUAGAAGGCCGAGCUUCGGCCGCCGCUCUGGCUCGUCGCCGGCGCCUCUCCCGGCGACCCUAGCCUCCCCUGAUGCCCCUACCAGAUCGUCCACUUCACCAGCGUUCCGUAGCUGCAAACCGCGUUCAAAUUGGUGCUGUGCAGCGCCGAUUAGGUCGUCUCCGGCGAGCCCUCCGCCGCGGGCUUGGUCGCCGGCGACCACCCUCCGGUGGGCGUUGACGUGGCCGACCAUUAGGGCGUAAUUGCCCUCCCCUCAGUCGCUGCGAGAGGGCCCCACGCUUGGUCAAACCCCAAUUAGGGGCUGGUCAGCGCGGGAUUAGUCCCAGAGAGGCUGACCAGUGGGGCCCCCCUGUCAGGUUUGACCUGAACAGGUCGGCUGACCUGCUGACGUCAGCCUGAUGCAAUAAAUAGAAUUUCCAGUAUAGAAAUAAUUCCAGUAAAUUGCUAAAACUUUUAAAAAUCAUAGAAAUUAAUCUGUAACUCCAAUGAAAAUAAUUUAUAUAUGAAAAAGUAUCAGAAAAAUUCAAGGAUUCUGAUUAUGCUAUUUUCAACCAUGUUUGAAAAAGUUACAGAACCCUAAAAUGUGGAAUAAGGAAUAAUUCAAUUCUUAUAAUUACUUUUAAAUGGAAUUUGGAAAAAUAUUCAAAUUUCAUUAUGAAUGCAAUGAUCACACACUAUCCUAGUUACAAAUCAGUACCAUAACAUGACAUCUCAUGCAAGCUAACAUCAAGUUGAUCUGAGCAUCAGGUCGAAUCAAUUAAAUCGGUAACCAUGAAUACCCCGUUUGAAGUGAUACCAAAUAUGAUUCAAAUCAACUCUAAACCUAAUACAUCUUGAUUAUAAUAACUUAUCACCUUGCAUUCUCAUGCCAUGCUCAUGCAUCAUUUUGAUUGCAUGUGAUUGUUAUUGAAUGUUGCCAUUUAUUUCGGUAGGCUCCGCAACCCCGGAUUCCACCGAAUAUCCGUCUGACGGAUAUCGUUCCUCCUCUGAGCAACAAGCAAGCAACCCUUUUGUUCAUCCCGAUAAUUCCCAUGUUCUUGUUCCUGCACUUAUUUAUUGCAUUAGGAUCAAAUGCUUCAACUGCUUUUCCCACGAUAGUUGAACCCACUUCAUUUGCAUGACCUAACCUUGUCACAGUAAAUAGCCGAACCUUGCAACCUAGCAUACCUGGUAGUUGCUUGAGCUAUGAUGUGCCUUAUCCUACUAUGCAUGCUAUGCUUAGAGUUGUGGAUGGUCUGUCAUCUCGGAGAUGAACAGAAUUGUGGAAUGUGUUUGGUGAGCAAAGGUUGUGUGUUGAACUUGAUUUGGUAAAGGUACCGGUGAAAGGCUGUGUAGGAGUACAUGGCGGGUUGUUUCAUUGGAACCGUCCUNNNNNNNNNNNNNNNNNNNNNNNNNNNNNNNNNNNNNNNNNNNNNNNNNNNNNNNNNNNNNNNNNNNNNNNNNNNNNNNNNNNNNNNNNNNNNNNNNNNNNNNNNNNNNNNNNNNNNNNNNNNNNNNNNNNNNNNNNNNNNNNNNNNNNNNNNNNNNNNNNNNNNNNNNNNNNNNNNNNNNNNNNNNNNNNNNNNNNNNNNNNNNNNNNNNNNNNNNNNNNNNNNNNNNNNNNNNNNNNNNNNNNNNNNNNNNNNNNNNNNNNNNNNNNNNNNNNNNNNNNNNNNNNNNNNNNNNNNNNNNNNNNNNNNNNNNNNNNNNNNNNNNNNNNNNNNNNNNNNNNNNNNNNNNNNNNNNNNNNNNNNNNNNNNNNNNNNNNNNNNNNNNNNNNNNNNNNNNNNNNNNNNNNNNNNNNNNNNNNNNNNNNNNNNNNNNNNNNNNNNNNNNNNNNNNNNNNNNNNNNNNNNNNNNNNNNNNNNNNNNNNNNNNNNNNNNNNNNNNNNNNNNNNNNNNNNNNNNNNNNNNNNNNNNNNNNNNNNNNNNNNNNNNNNNNNNNNNNNNNNNNNNNNNNNNNNNNNNNNNNNNNNNNNNNNNNNNNNNNNNNNNNNNNNNNNNNNNNNNNNNNNNNNNNNNNNNNNNNNNNNNNNNNNNNNNNNNNNNNNNNNNNNNNNNNNNNNNNNNNNNNNNNNNNNNNNNNNNNNNNNNNNNNNNNNNNNNNNNNNNNNNNNNNNNNNNNNNNNNNNNNNNNNNNNNNNNNNNNNNNNNNNNNNNNNNNNNNNNNNNNNNNNNNNNNNNNNNNNNNNNNNNNNNNNNNNNNNNNNNNNNNNNNNNNNNNNNNNNNNNNNNNNNNNNNNNNNNNNNNNNNNNNNNNNNNNNNNNNNNNNNNNNNNNNNNNNNNNNNNNNNNNNNNNNNNNNNNNNNNNNNNNNNNNNNNNNNGAUUACCUAGUCGUGAACUUUAGUAGCACUCCUUACAAGGAAAUGCCCCUUUGUGAUCCAACGAGCCUUGGUAGUUCGCUACUGCUCCGGACACAUUGGUUGACCGGCAUGUGUCCUUCUUAGCUGCUGUGUCUGUCCCCUUUGGGGAAAUGUCACGCAAUUUAAUGGGGUCCUUGUAGCUUGCUACGACUCGUCUAUAUUCGCUGAUGACCGACACCUGCUUUGUUGGGUCAUGUAUGCCUGUCCUUGUGCGGUACUGCCACUUUGGUUUAUGACUAGACAUGUCGAUCCGGGUUCUUUGACAUUGGAUUGCUAGCGACACUAUCGCAUACGUGAGUCAAAAGACGCAAACGGUCCCGGCUAAGGUAAGGCUGCAGCCAUGGAGUUAACCGUGCGUGAGACCACAAAGCAAUGCGAUGUGUUACAGGCUGGAUUCCUAUGGCUUAGGAUUGGGGUCCCGACAUGUGAUAUGGACAAAUACAUGAUGUGAUAUAUUGGAUGUAUGAGAUGAUCAUGUUGUAAUAGUUAAUAUCGACUUGCACGUCGAUGCUACAGCAACCGAGAGGGGCCAUAGGGUUGUCUUUAAACAAUCGUUUGUGUUUGCAAAUGCGUUUACUAUAUUGCUAGGUUGUAGCUUUAGUAGUAAUAGCAUAGAUAGCACGACAACCUCGAUGGCGACACGAUGAUGGAGAUCAUGGUGUGGCGCCAGUGACGAUGAAGAUCAUGCCGGUGCUUUGGUGAUGGAGAUCAAGAAGCACAAGAUCAUGGCCAUAUCAUGUCACUUAUGAAUUGCAUGUGAUGUUAAUCCUUUUAUGCACCUUAUCUUUCUUAGAACGACGGUAACAUUAUAAGGUGAUCCCUCACUAAAUUGUGUUCUCCCCGACUGUGCACCGUUGCGACACUUCGUCGUUUCGUGACACCACGUGAUGAUCGGGUGUGAUAGACUCAACGUUCACAUACAACUGGUGCAAAACAGUUGCACACAUGGAACACUCGGGUUAAACUUGACUAUCCUAGCAUGUGCAUACAUGGCCUCGGAACACGAGAGACCGAAAGGUCAAGCAUGAAUCGUAUAGUUGAUAUGAUUAGCAUAGAGAUGUUUACCACUGAAGCUACGCUCAACUCACGUGAUGAUCGGAUUUGAGUUAGUGAAUUUGGAUCAUGCCACACUCAAGUAACUAGAGGGAUUUCUAUUUGAGUGGGAGUUUAUUAGUAAUUUGAUUAGUUAAACUUUAAUUAUCUUGAACAUAGUUUAAGUCCUCUUUGCAAUAUUUUAUGUUGUAGACCAAUGGCUCACGCAGUAGUGACCCGGAAUUUCAAUACAUUCCUAGAGAAAGCUAAGAUGAAAGAUAAUGGUAGCAACUUUAUAGACUGGGCUCGUAAUCUUAGGCUCAUCCUACAAGCUGGGAAAAAGAAUUAUGUCCUUGAUGGUGCGCUAGGAGAUGAACUACCCGCUACGUCUGACCAAGAUGUUUUGAACGCUUGGCAAUCACGUAAGGAGGACUACUCAGUAGUUCAAUGUGCAGUCUUGUAUGGCUUGGAACCGGGACUUCAAUGACGCUUUGAAUGUCAUGGAGCAUAUGAGAUGUUCCGAGAGUUGAAGUUUAUCUUUCAGAAGAACGCCCGGACCGAGAGGUAUGAGACCUCCGAUAAAUUCUAUGAUUGCAAGAUGGAGGAUAAUUUGUUUGUCAGUGAACAUGUACUCAAAAUGUCAGGGUACUGAAAAUGUCUAGCUGAGCUGGGGAUUGAACUCCCACAAGAGGCCAUCACUGACAGAAUUCUUCAAAUACUGCCACCUAGCUACAAGAGCUUUGUGUUGAACUAUAACAUGCAAGGGAUGAACAAGUCACCCGGCGAGUUAUUCGCGAUGCUGAAAGUCGCAGAGUGAGAACUCCGGAAAGAGCAUCAAGUGUUGAUGGUCAAUAAGACCACUGGCUCAAGAUAAACGGCAAAAGCAAGAAGGGUAACUCCAAGAAGAGCAGCAAGACUGUUGCCAAUCCGACAAACAAACCCAAGGCUGGACCUAAGCCGGAAACAGAGUGCUAUUAUUGCAAGGGGAUGGGUCACUAGAAGCGCAACUGCCCCAAGUAUUUGGAUGAUAAGAAGGCGGCCAACGCCAAACCAGGUAUACAUGUGAUAUACAUGAUAUUGAUGUGUACCUAACCAACUCUGGUAGUAGUGCCUGGGUAUUUGAUACCGGUUCUGUUUCUCAUAUUUGCAACUCGAAGCAGGGACUGCGGAAUAAAUGAAGGCUGACGAAGGAUGAAGUGACGAUGCGAGUGGGAAAUGGUUCCAAGGUUGAUGCAGUCGCCGUCGGCACAGUCUCACUUCCGUUACCAUCACGAUUAGUUAUGAACUUAAAUAAUUGUUAUUUAGUGUAUGUGUUAAGCAUGAACAUUAUAUCUGGAUCUUAUUUAUUGCGAUACAAUUACUCAUUUAAGUCAUAGAAUAAUGGUUGUUCUAUUUUUAUGAGUAAUAUCUUUUAUGGUCAUGCACCCAAUGUGAGGGGUUUGUUCAUAUUGAAUCUUGAUUGUGAUGACACACAUAUACAAAACAUUGAGACCAAAAGAUGUAGAGUUCACAAUGAUAGCGCCACGUUUUUGUGGCACUGCCGCUUAGGUCAUAUUGGUGUAAAGCGCAUGAAGUAACUCCAUACCGAUGGGCUUUUGGAGUCACUUGAUUUUGAAUCACUUGACACGUGCGAACCAUGCCUCAUGGACAAGAUGACUAAGACUCCGUUCCCCGGAACAAUGGAGCGUGCAAGUAACUUGUUGGAGAUCAUACAUACUGAUGUGUGCGGUCCAAAUGAGUGUGGAUGCGCGCGGCAGAUAUCGUUAUUUUCUCACCUUCAUUAAUGAUUUGAGUAGGUAUGGAUAUAUCUACUUGAUGAAACACAAGUUUGAAACGUUUGAAAAGUUCAAGCAAUUUCAGAGUGAAGUUGAAAAUCAUCGUAACAAGAAGAUCAAGUUCCUACGAUCUGAUCGAGGGGUUGAAUAUCUGAGUUUCGAGUUUGGUGCUCACUUAAGACAAUGUGGAAUCGUUUCAUAGUUGACACCGCCUGGAACACCACAGCGUAAUGGUGUGUCCGAACGUCAUAAUCGUACUUUGUUAGAUAUGGUGCGAUCUAUGAUGUCUCUUACCGAUUUUCCGUUAUUGUUUUGGGGUUAUGCAUUAGAGACAGCUGCAUUCACUUUAAAUAGGGCACCGGCAAAAUCCGUUGAGACGACGCCAUAUGAGCUAUGGUAUGGCAAGAGGCCAAAGUUAUCGUUUCUUAAAGUUUGGGGAUGCGAUGCUUAUGUCAAAAAGCUUUAUCCUCAAAAGCUGGAACCCAAAGCGAAAAAGUGCGUCUUCAUUGGUUUCCCAAAAGAGACAGUUGGUUACACCUUCUAUCUCAGAUCCGAGGGCAAAGUGUUUGUUGCUAAGAAUGGAGCUUUUCUUAAGGAGUUUCUCUCGAAAGAAUUUAGUGGGAGGAAGAUAGAACUUGAUAAGGUUGUAGAACCUAUGCUCCCUCUAGAUGGUGUCGCGGGGCAGAGGGAAACCACUGUCGAGGCAACACCGGUUGAGGAGGAAGCUAAUAAUGAUGAUCAUGAAGCUUCAGAUCAAGUUACUAUCGGACCUGGCAGGUCGACAAGAUCACGUACUGCUCCUGAGUGGUACGGUAAUCCUGUCUUAUCUAUCAUGUUGUUAGACAACAAUGAGCCUGCAAAUUAUGAAGAAGCAGUGGUGGGCCCGGAUUCCAACAAAUGGCUGGAGGCCAUGAAGUCCGAGAUAGGAUCUAUGUAUGAAAACAAAGUCUGGCCUUUGGCAGUAUUACUUGAAGGUCGCAAGGAUAUUCAGAAAAAAUGGAUCUUUAAGAAGAAGACGGAUGCGGAAGGUAAUGUGACCAUUUAUAAAGCUCGACUUGUGGCAAAGGGUUUUUCACAAGUUCAAGGAGUUGACUAUAAUUAGACGUUCUCACCCGUAGCGAUGCUUAAGUCCGUCCGAAUCAUGUAAGCAAUAGCUGCAUUUUUCAAUUAUGAAAUCUGGCAGAUGGAUGUCAAAAGGGUGUUCCUUAAUGGUUUUCUUAAGGAAGAGUUGUAUAUGAUGCAACCCGAAGGUUUUGUCGAUCCAAAGAAUGUUAACAAAGUAUGCAAGCUCCAGCGAUCCACUUAUGGACUGGUGCACGCAUCUUGGAGUUGGAAUAAGCGCUUUGAUUAGGUGAUCAAAGCAUUUGGGUUUAUACAAGUUGUUGGAGAAUCUUGUAUUUACAAGAAAGUGAGUGGGAGCUCUGUGGCGUUUCUAAUAUUAUAUGUGGAUGACAUAUUGCUGAUUGGAAACGAUGUGGAAUUUUUAGAGAGUGUAAAGGAUUACUUGAACAAAUGUUUUUCAAUGAAAGACCUAGCAGAAGUUGCUUACAUAUUAGGCAUUAAGAUCUAUAGGGAUAGAUCGAGGCGCCUAAUAGGACUUUCAAAAAGCACAUACCUUGAUAAAGUUUCAAAGAACUUCAAAAUGGAGCAGUCCAAGAAGGGGUUCUUGCUGGUAUUACAAGGUAUAAAGUUCAGUAAGUCUCAGUGUCUAGUAACUGCGGAAGAUAGAGAAAAGAUGAGUACUGUCCCCUAUGCUUCAGCCAUAGGGUCUAUCAUGUAUGCAAUGUUGUGCAUAAGACCGGACGUCAGCCUGGCCAUAAGUAUGGCAGGUAGGUUUCAAAGUAAACCAGGAGUGGAUCACUGGACGGCGGUCAAGAAUAUUCUGAAGUACCUGAAAAGGACUAAGGAAUUGUUUCUCGUUUAUGGAGGCGACAAAGAUCUCGUCAUAAAAGGUUACGUCGAUGCAAGCUUUGGCACUGAUCCGGAUGACUCUAAGUCCCAAACCAGAUACGUAUUUAUUCUUAAUGGGGGUGCGGUAAGCUGGUGCAGUUCCAAGCAAAGCGUUGUAGCAGAUUCUACAUGUGAAGCGGAGUACAUGGCUGCCUCAGAGGCAGCUAAGGAGGGUGUCUGGAUGAAGCAGUUCAUGACGGAUCUUGGAGUUGUGCCGAGCACACAAAAUCCAAUAACUUUGUUCGGUGACAACACUGGUGCCAUUGCUCUAGCAAAGGAACAAAGGUUUCAUAAGAAGACGAGACACAUCAAACGACGCUUCAACCUCAUCCGCGACUAGGUCGAAGGAGAUGACGUAAAUAUUUGCAAAGUGCACACGGAUCUGAAUGUUGCAGAUCCGCUGACUAAACCUCUUCCACGAGCAAAGCAUGAUCAACACCAGAACUGUAUGGGUGUUAGAUUCAUUCCAAUGUAAAUCGCAUAGCAAUGUGAGACUAGAUUUAUGACAUAGUGCAAGUGGGAGACUGUUGGAAAUAUGCCCUAGAGGCAAUGAUAAAAUAGUUAUUACUAUAUUUCCUGUUUCAAGAUAAUCGUUUAUUAUCCAUGCUAUAAUUGUAUUGAAUGAAAGCAUAGAUACAUGUGUGGAUAUAUAGACAAAACAAUGUCCCUAGUAAGCCCCUGGUUGACAAGCCAGUUGAUCAAGGGAUGGUUAAGGUUUUGUGACCAUAUGCUAGUGUUGUCACUUGAUGACUGGAUAACAUCAUUAGGAGAAUGAUGUGAUGGACAAGACCCAAAUUAUAAACGUAGCAUGUGAUUGUGUCAUUUUGUUGCUAUUGUUUUCUACGUGUCAAGUAUUCAUUCCUAUGACCAUGAGAUCAUGUAACUCACUGACACUAGAGGAAUACCUUGUGUAUAUCGAACGUCGCAACAUUACUGGGUGACUAUAAAGGUGCUCUACAGGUAUCUACGAAGGUGUCCCUUGAGUUAGCAUGGAUCAUGACUGGGAUUUGUCACUCCGUGUGACGGAGAGGUAUAUCGAGGCCCACUCGGUAAUACAACAUCACAUAUAAGCCUUGCAAGCAAUGUGACUAAAGUGUUAGUCACGGGAUCUUGUAUUACGGAACGAGUAAAGAGACUUGCCGGUAACGAGAUUGAAAUAGGUAUGGGAUACCGACGAUCAAAUCUCGGGCAAGUAACAUACCGAAGGACAAUGGGAAUGGUAUGCGGGAUUAUAUGAAUCCUUGGCACAGAGGUUCAACCGAUAAGAUCUUUGUAGAAUAUGUAGGAUCCAAUAUGGACAUCCAGGUCCCGCUAUUGGAUAUUGGCCGGGGAGUGUGUCAGGUCAUGUCUGCAUAGUUCUCGAACGGGCAGCGUCUGCACACUUAAGGUUCGGUCACAUUUCGGUAUAGUUGAGUUAUAGGUGUUGGUGACCGGAGGUUGUUGGUUACUGGUAGACAAAGGGAAUUGCAUACGAGAUUGAUUGAAUCCUUCACAUCGUGAUUCAUCCGAUGAGAUCAUCGAGGAACAUGCGGGAACCAACAUGGAUAUCCAGACCCUCCUAUUGGUUAUUGACCGGAGAGGUGUCUCGGUCAUGUCUGCAUGUCUCCUGAAUCUGUAGGGUCAACACACUUAAAUUUCGGUGCCGCUAGGGUUAUAGGGAAAUAGUGUACGUGGUUACCGAAGGUUGUUUGGGGUCCCGGAUGAGAUCCCGGACAUCACGAGGGGCUCCAGAAUGGUUCAGAGGUAAAGAUUGAUAUAUAGGAAGUGUGGAUUUGGACACCGGAAUUGUUUUGGACAACACCGGUAAUGUACCGGGACCACUGGAAGGGUUUCGGGGGUCCACCGGCAAGGGGCACCAAUCCCAAAAGGGUACUUGGGCCAAACGGUGGAAGGGAACCAGCCCAAAGUGGGCUGGUGUGCCUCCCUCUCGCAGCCUAAGGCGCACAAGGGUGGGGAGGGCAAACCCUAGGCGUGGGAGGGCACCCUUUGGCCUCCGGCCCUUGCCCUAGAUGGGGCUGCUGCACCCCUUAGGGUGGGAAACCCUAAGGUUGGGCACCUCCUCCCUCUCCUCCUAUAUAUAGUGGAGGGUUUUGGCCUUUUGGAGACACACAAUUCAUCUCUCCACGGCGCAGCCAUACCCCUCCUCCUCCUCGCCCUCCGCAUAGCUUGGCGAAGCCCUGCCGAAGUACCACGUAGCUCCAUCGUCACCACGUCAUCGUGCUGUCGGAGCUCUCCUUCAACCUCUCCUCCAUCCUUGCUGGAUCAAGGUGUUGGAGACGUCACCGGGCUGCACGUGUGUUGAACGCGGAGGCGCCGACGUUCGGCGCAAAGAUCGAAAUCCACCGCGAUCUGAAUCACGGCGAGUACGACUCCAUCAACCGCGUUCUAGCAACGCUUCCGCUUAGCGGUCUUCAAAGGUAUGAGGAUGCUCUACAACCUAUCUGGUUACUGGUUUCUCCAUAGAUAGAUGCUUGCAAGGCGUAGGAAAAUUUUGAAAUUACUACGGUCCCCAACAUUGCAUGCCCCCUCCCCCAAAUAGGGAUGGUAGGUGCUUCCAGCCACAAUGGUAUAAGGACAUUAAUUGGUUGGAAUAUAGUGUAACAAAGCAUAAGGCCUAUUGCUUCUAUUGUUAUCCUUUUAAGCAUGACCGAAUGGAUGAUAAAUUUGGGCAUGAUGUUUUCUCCAAAUUGGGUUGUUGCACGACUGUGAGGGCAAGGGUAUGAUGGGGUAUCUAAUAUGCGAGGGUAAUUCAAUGGCCUGCAGAAGUUAAUUCGAGAUGAGAACCCAUGCAUUUUCUAUAUCCAUUGCUUUGCCCACCAAUUGCACUUGGUAGUUGCUGUUUCGAGAUGCUGCAAGGGUGUUGAGGCUUUUUUUGAACAUGUUACCAUGAUUGCUAAUAUUAUUACUUCAUCUUGCAAGAGGAAGGAUAAAUUGCUAAACAAGCAAAAAACAAGUUCUUUUGGAUAAGAUUGAGAGAGGUGAGAUGCCCACGGGAAGAGGGAGAAAUGAAGAAACAUCCUUGGUCAGACCUGGAGAUACAAGAUGGGGCUCUCGUUACACAACCUUAUCUUGCACUGAAUCAAUGUGGGAUGCAGUCAUAGAAGUUCUAGGCAUUGUGGAGGAUGAUGUGCGUGUUCCAUGUAGGGCAGGAGGUUUGGUUAAUCAAAUGGGUACUUUUAGCUUGAUGCUAAAAAUCCUUCGUAUGACAAAUGAUUUAUUUCUUCUAUUGCAAAAGAAGGAUCAAAAUGUUGUUCAGGCAUGUGAUAUUGUGAUGGAUCUUGUUAUAUGUAGACACCUUCUAUGAUAUAUUUCAUUCAUGUAAACAAACAUGCGCCUAAAACUGUAAUUAUCUCAUUUCAGGCAAUUCCAUUGGUUACACAUGUGAAAAUAUGUUUGAUCGAGUGGAGAAAUGAUGGUUGGGUGCCACUCUUCGAAGAUGUCAAAGCCUUUUGCACCAAAAAUGACAUUCCAAUACCAAAAAUGGAUGACAUCUUUACAAAGUGGGGAAAGUCAAGAAAAGGUGAACGAAAGAAUGUUACACCUGAUCAUUUUUUCGGUGUGGACACCUUCUAUGCUCCUAUAGACUCCAUCACCAUAGAGUUUGAUCAUCGUUUUAAUGAGGUAUCUUCAGAGCUGCUCCAGAACUUCUCUUGUCUUGACCCAAGAAAUUCUUUUUCUAGGUUCAAUGUGAAUAAGCUUGCUAGACUCACAGAGAUUUAUCAUGAGGUUUUCUCAGAUUAUGAACGUGAACAUGUAGUUAAUAAUCUUGAGCUAUUCAUUAUCCAUAUGAGAAGAACUGAAGAUUUAGAGCUUGUCAUGAUAUUGCAAGCCUAGCCAAAAGGAUGGCUAGACUUGAAAGGCAUGUCAUGUUUCAUGUUGUUUAUUGCCUCAUUGAGUUGACAUUGCUACUACGAGUAGCGAUGACAACAGUUGAAAGAGCCUUCUUAUCCAUGAAAAUCAUCAAGACUGAGUUGCGCAAUAAGAUAUCUGAUGGCUGGCUUAAUGAAUUGAUGGUGUGUUACUUUGAGCAAGGAAUCUUCAAAAGUAUUUAUCUUCGUAAAAUUAAGGAAGAUUUUCGUAAGGAGGGUAGGGUACUGCCUUUGCCAGGGCCUUCUAGACGUCAUUAAAAGCUUCAUUACCGGUAUGUUUUAGGUUUUUUUAAUUAAAACAUGUCUAAACUUUUAUUAUAUUUGGUUAUUCGUUUGUAGUGUGCAUUGUUAAUGUGUAUUGAAUCUUUUGAUUCACAUAAAAAAACAUAGUGAGACUUCGCCCCACCUUAAAAAAAUCGUGGUCCGCCUCUAGGAUGGCUGGUGAAUACUCAUGGAUCCAUGGGGUGACUAACAUAGCACGCCUCAAGCCCUGUGAUCCACCAGAUCGAGUGUCCAUUUCGGACCGGUGACUAUGAAAGAGGAUGACUCCAACGACAAUGGCAGUGCCGCCUAUGAUGAUGUUCUGCGGUAAACCUAGAUGCUGGUGGGGGAGACAACGGGGCUCUCUUUGUGAACGACACCCACCCAAAGCAGGUUGAUGGGGAUUCUAUGAACCAUGCGGCGGCGAAAGCACUAGCUACCAUUGUCGCUGAGCACUGGAGUGCUAACAUGACAAGUAUCUUACAACAUCAAUUUCAGCAAGAAGAUGGAGCAAAUAACUUGUGUGUGUGUGGUGGAUACGAGUGGAUACGCUAUUAGAAUUACGUUUUGUCUCGAGUUUCAAUUCUUCGCCGAGUGUAUACUUUCAGACACUCAAAUUUUUGUUCGUGUUUGAUUUAAGCUUAAACUCAGCAGUAAUUUGUAAUUUUGUAGAGAAGUGUUGUUUGCUAGAUUCUCACGAAAAACCACUAGGUGAACAAAAAAAAUUCGGCGAACAAAAUAGUUCAGCCAAUUGCCGACAGAAACAACUCGAUAAACACUGACAUAUGGGCCAUGCCUGGCAGCAAUGGACGGAGCCGUGACCGCGGCUAUCAUUUGCCGGCAAACAUUUUCCGAUUUUUAUUUUCUUAAUUGAAAUGUCAAAAGUCGUAUAUUUGCUUGGGUAGCUCGUGUGCCUUGGGUAGCAGCUAGGGCUCCGGCUUCGGCGGAAGCUCGCCUGUAGGAAGAGGCGGCAAAACCGGCUUUGGUGGGAUCUCACCUAUUGGCAGCGGUGGCAGAUCCGGCUUCGGUGGCUCCUCACCAUUGGGCACGGGUGACAGCUCUGGCUUCGGCUCCACGUCAGGUUUAGGCAGCGGCUGCAGCUCCGGCCUUGGCAGCUCCUCAGGUGUAGGCAGCGGCGGCAGCUCCGGCACCGGCAGUGCGGGCAACAACGGCUUUGGCAACAUGUCCGGUGUGGGCAACGGUGGAAGCUCCGGCUUUGGCAACACGUCCGCUGUUGGCAACGGCGGCAGCUCUGGCUUUGGCAGCACCUCCGGUGCGAGCAGCGGCGGCAGCAGGUCCGGCCUGGGCAGAGGUGCCGUGAGGUCAGGCGGCACGAGCGGGUACUCCGCGUCCUCCAGGUGCCGCGCGGCGUUGCCGACGCCGCUGCGGGAGAGCACCAGCACGCCGAGGAGGAGGACCACAAGAGAGGAUGACAUGACAGCGAUCCUGGAAGUCAUCGCUGGCUCCACUGACUGAACUAGUAGUAGUAACUAAGAACAAUGUCGGCUCUCUUUGCUGGGGUGAAGACUGAAGAGGCAGGUGUAUUUAUAGCAGGGAUUUCAUCGGACGGAGCCGAUCGAUGGCGUGGCGACGCGUUACACCCAAUUCACUGCGUGCGUUGGGUACUUGGGUGGCAGAAGAUGAAUCGCCUGCGUAAGUGCGUUGCGUUUCUUCUUGGCACUUUUUUUUUAAAGCCAUCACGGUGCACUUUAUUACAGCCAGGAUAAUAAAUCUUAGCUGAGAAAUAAAUUGGUCUUUUUUUGUUGUGCAGAGUAAAUCGAAGUCGUUCACAUACAAGAACGUACACUCAUUCCUAUAAAUACAUGCAUGCACACGUUACCCUUAUGAGCACCUUCAAAAGACUAAACCAACACAUCAUCUUAAAAUUAACGAAGUUGCCAGUAAGGGCUUCUUUGUCGACAGAAACGUAUGCAAACACCAACGUUAAGUCUAUGACUUAAACUCUGAUGAACAAGAGAUACCAGAGUCCUCCUAACCAUCUAACCACGGAUUGACUCGCAGAAAUAGAUUGGUCUUGGUCACAACCCUCUGCGUUCGAUUUGUACUGUUUUUUCUCUUUACCUGAACGGGUCAUACAGCAACGUGCGUGCAACCUAUUGUCUCACUCGUCUUGUCUCACUCGUCGGCCCAUUUGUCCACGUUCACAGUUACGCACCAGUAUCUAUCACAGUCCAGAUUCCUACAAAAUUAUACAGUCCACACUCAUGCCUUUUUGUCAGCUUUUUUUAGUGUUUGCAUGAGGCUGCUAUACAUCACGUCGGGUUAAUAUACGAAAAGCGAUCCUUCAAUUCUCCAUUCCCAUCACUCAUCUUUCUUGCUUUCUGGCUAUGUUUUCUUUUUUGUUGUUAUUGUAUUUGGUUUCCUUUUCAUUUCUUUUUCUUUUUACCAUAUUUUAAAUUAUUUCUUUUUUGCAUUCUUAUAUGUAAAUGUAAUCACUUCAUGAUUAAUUCUAUUUGGAUGAUAUUUAGUUAAUUUUAAUUGUACUAGUACAUACAUCUUUUUUCUUCAUUUUAUUUUUUCGUUUAAAAGGGUCACAAUUGCAAGCUUCAAAUGAAGUCGCAUCUCCAUCUUUUAAAAUCCGUUUACAACUGUAGUUUUCCAAGAGAGUUUUCAAUGGUGUGGCGACUACAACUUUUCAAUGUGAAAUGUAUUUUUUUCACUUAUAUCUGCAUCACUAGACAUGCAACUGCAAUCGUUGUAGCCCGGUCGCAAUUGCACAUGCCCCAAUGCGACAAUAGUUGGGUAUGAGAGAGUGGUUGUACAUGCUAUGACGAGUUUUAACCCAACCGCAAUUGCAUGUGCCACAAUGCGACCACAGUUGGGCUUGAGAGGGGAUUUGUCAAGGGGGUUUGCAACUACAGUCGUUUUAACCCGGCCGCAACUGCAUUCGUCACAAUGCAACUGGGUAUGAGAGGGGGGUUUUACAUGCAACUGCAAGUGUUGUAACCCAAUCGCAAUUGCACGUGGUAUAAUGCGACUGCAACUGGGUUCGAGAGAGGAUUUGUCAAGGUGAGUUUGUCGGGGUUGUCAUGGAGGGGGGGGGGGGCUGGAGUUGCAUGUCAAACACUAGAGAUGCAACUGCAAUCGUUGUCACCCGGUCGCAAAUGCAUGCGCCACAAUGCGACCGCAACCGGGUACGGGAGGGCGGUUGUGCAUGCAACUGCAAGUGUUGUAAUACAACCACAAUUGCAUGUGCCACAAUGCGACUGCUACUAGGUUCGAGAGGAAAGUUGUUGUGGGAGUUUGUUAGGUUUGUCGGAUGGUGGGGUCGAGGGGCAGUGGCGAAUCUAUAGUGAUAGUAGAAGGUAGGCUCAAAACAUCAAUUUACUAAGCCUAAUUAGCAAAUACAUUGAAAUUGUUGCAUGUAAAGCACCUUGAUAUAACUGACAUAUGGUAUAUUGAACUCAAAUAGGAUUUCGGAGGGCAGGCUUCGGCCUAUUAAAUUCUCCCUACUAGAUUCGCCACUGGCGAGGGGAGUUGCAUGUCAACCACUAGACAUGCAAAUGCAACCGUUGUAAUCCAGCCGCAACUGCGUGCACCAUAAUGCGGCUGCAACUGGAUACGAGAGGGGGUCUCGGAGGGGGAGGGCUAGUUGUAUGCCAAUAACUUAACUUGAUUUGAGAUGUGAUAAACAACGAGAAAUAAAUCUACAUCUAUGUUAUAGCUCGGAACCUAUAUCUUUACCUUUUUGUAAUGUUGUAGGUCGAUAUUCAUUUAUACACGUGGGAAAUAUUAUAGUAUUUUUGCUAAAGGUAUGCUCUUUCUAAAGUGCAUUUUAACUUCAAAAUACACCCGUGUUAAAAAACACUACACAUAUACCUUACAAAAAAAUUAGUUAACUCACAAUUAGCAAAAUGAGUUUUUUUCAGGUAGUAUUAUGUUAUUUUUAGACACAACAAGUAAUACUCUCUCCGUCUCAAAAUAAGUGGCUGAAAAUGAUUCAACUUUAUACUAACUUUAAUUUGGUACAAAGUUGAAUCACUUCUGAGUCACUUAUUUUGAGACGGAGGGAGUAUUAUGUUGCAGCGGAUAACUGUGUGGGUAGUCAACUAGCUAGUUUUCAAAAAGCCAAAGUAUGUACUUCACGGUUAGGGUCACGGUUAAGUGAAUGCAUGUGAGCGGUACCAAUCAAUCAACCACGUUUCUAGCGAAUCAUCGAACUUGAGGAGGCCUACCUAACCGUAGCCACCGCCAAAAAAAAGCCACGGCUCCAACGCCACCCGCCGGCGGCGGCGCUGGUCCGCCCCGUCUCGGGUGGCCUUAGGGCCAUGGAGGUGGAGUGGAUCUCACCCCUUCCCGGCGAGAGGCUCCCUUUUUAGAUUAUUCUUUGAGUUUUGUUACGGUUUGUGUUUUGUCGAGGAAGGUGAGACGAUGGCGGCUCCCUGAAGAUGAAAUAAAUGUCUCAUCGCCUGACCCUCGUUCGAGUGAUGCUUCUAGCAUCAUUGGUGGGCGUGUGGAGGUGUGUCUCCCGUGGAUCGGUCUUUGAUGGAUUUUCUCGGAUUUGUUUGUCGUUUGUCUUUGUUCAUGUGUUUUUAGGUGUGUUGGUCCGCGCCCGUCAGUGACCAGACAAGAGAGAGAAGGAAAAAGGCGACCCAACCGGACUCCUCAUAUCAUCCCCAUAUGCCCGGGCUGUCCACGAAUCUUCAUAUCCAUCUCAAAUAUGGGAAUGAUAUGAGGGCACGUGGAGAUGCCCGGACGCUCCUGGUCAGUCCGUCACAUAGGACGCGACCCCACUGUCGGUGUCAAAACUCGCGGAUCUCAGGUAGCGGGUCCCGAACUGUGGACCUUCGAUCGGUGGGUUGCAAGAGACGAAGGAGACAUUAUUUACCUAGGUUUGGGCCCUCUUGAGGAGGUAAAAUCCUACAUAUUUCUUGAUUAUAUUGAUGGGUAUGCGGAUUACACAUUUGAUCUACCAUGAGAUUGUAUGAGCUAAAACCCUAUAUGAGUCAACCUGCCUAUACAGAUGAAACCCUCUGGUUUAUAUAGACACCAGGGGUUCCUAGGGUCACAUACAAUCGACCUCGAGUCGGGGUGGACGUGCCGACGUAGACUACAAGACUUGGAUGAUACGCGAGCCUUCGGGUCUUUCCUUCUUGAAUACGAGGUUGUCGCGCAGUCUGGUCUUCAACAGUACGUCCCAUUAGGUCGGUCGCUAAGAGAUGGGUCGACCGUCCAAGGACCCUUUAGUCCCGGACUCCCUUAGUAGCCUCCGAACUAGCAUCCAAUGCCGAUGUAAAUGGACUUCGGCACCUUCUGGUAUCCGAAGUAAUUGGCUUGCGAGGCGAGUUCCUCUAUCCCCUUUGAUUCGUAGAAUGGGGAUUUGGUCAUUGACCAGUUCUCGAUUAUCGAAGCAUUGCGAGGACCACAACCUCCAACCUUUCCGCUUGAAGAUCGAUAGCAACACUCGAUUCAUGUGCGCAUUAAUGAAGACAAUCAAUCUAGCAGUCCCUCAUGGAACAACUUCGUGUAACCGAGGGGGAAAUUGUUAGAAAUAUGCCCUACAGGCAAUAAUAAAGUGGUUAUUAUUAUAUUUCCUGUUUCAUGAUAAUUGCCUAUUAUUCAUGCUAUAAUUGUAUUAACCGGAAACCAUAAUACAUAUGUGAAUAUAUAGAUCACAAUAUGUCCCUAGUGAGCCUCUAGUUGGCUAGCUCGUUGAUCGAUAGAUGAUCAUGGUUUCCUGAUCAUGGACAUUGGAUGUCAUUGAUAAUGGGAUCACAUAAUUGGGGAAUGAUGUGAUGGACAACACCCAAUCCUAAGCAUAGCACUAGAUCAUGUUGUUCGUCUGCUAAAGCUUUUCUAAUGUCAAGUAUCAUUCCUUUGACCAUGAGAUUGUGCAACUCCCGGAUACCGUAGGAAUGCUUUGGUUGUAUCAAAGUCACAACGUAACUGGGUGAUUAUAAAGGUGCACUACAUGUAUCUACGAAAGUGUCUGUUGGGUUGUACGAAUCGAGACUGGGAUUUGUCACUCCGUGUGACAGAGAGGUAUCUCUGGGCCCACUCGGUAAUACAUCAUCAUACUAAGCUCAACGUGACUAAGGAGUUAGCCACAGGAUGAUGUGUUACGGAAAGACUAAAGAGACUUGUCGGUAACGAGAUUGAAAAAGGUAUAGGGAUACUGACGAUGGAAUCUCGGGCAAGUAUCAUACCUGUAGACAAAGGAUAUUGCAUACGGGAUUGAUCGAAUCCCCGACAUCAUGGUUCAUCUGAUGAGAUCAUCGUGGAACAUGUGGGAACCAACAUCGAUAUCCAUACCCCGUUGUUGGUUAUUGACCGGAGAGGUGUCUCUAUCAUGUCUUCUUGGUUCCCGAACCCAUAGGGUCUACACACUUAAGGUUCGAUGACGCUAGGGUUAUAUGGGAAUAGUAUACGUGGUUACCGAAGGUUGUUCGGAGUCACGAAUGAGAUCCCGGACGUCAACAGGAGUUCCAGAAUGGUCCGGAGGUAAAGAUUCAUAUAUAUGAAGUGAGGAUUUGAUCGCCGGAAGUGUUUUGGGCGUCACCGGUAAUGUACCGGGACCACCGAAAGAGUUUUGGGGGUCCACCGGGAAGGGCCACCAGCCCCAAAGUGCUACAUGGUCCAAAAGGUGGAUGGGAACCAGCCCCUAAGUGGGCUGGUGUGCCACCACCAUUAGCCCAAGGCGCACAAGGGGUGGAGGGGGCGAAACCCUAGGCGUGAAGGGGCAACCUUGGCCUCCAAGCCAACCCUAGGGGGCCACCUCCUCCACCCUUGGCCGCCGCCCCUUGCCCAUCUAGGGUUGCCGCACCCACUAGGGUGGAAACCCUAGGGGUGGGCACCCUCCUCCCUCUCCUCCUAUAUAUAGUGGAGGGUUUUGGGGCUGCAACACACAAGUUCUUCCACCUCCACGGCAUAGCCCUACUCCUCCUCCUCCUCGUCCUCCGUAGUGCUUGGCGAAGCCCUGCCAGAGUACCAUGCGGCUCUACCGUCACCACGCCGUCAUCCUAUCGGAGCUAUCCCUCAACCUCUCCUCCCUCCUUGCUUGAUCAAGGCAUUGGACACAUCACUGGUCUGCAUGUGUGUUGAACGCGGAGGCACCGUUGUUUGGCGCAUGGAUCGGAAUCCACCGCGAUGUGAAUCACUGCGAGUACGACUCCAUCAACCGUGUUCUAGCAACGCUUGCUCUUAGCAAUCUUCAAAGUUAUGAAGAUGCUCUACCCCUUUGCUCGUUGCUGGUUUCUCCAUAGAUAGAUCCUUGUGUGACUUAGGAUUUGUUUUGAAAUUAUUACGUUCCUGAUAUGUCCAAAAUGCAUCACUAUUUUGUAUCAUAAUUUUCCUUUAUUCAUUGAUAUAUUUCACUUUAUGAUGAUGUACUUGUAGAGUUUUGGCUUAUUUUACACAGUUUACAACUUUCCGACGCCGAAACAGCAGACGCAGGAUUCAGCGGAGAAAAUAGCAUGAAGAGUUACAAUAUCAGAACAUCUCCAACUGCGCUAAAAACCAGAGGGAAGAAGUUUCCGAACGAAUCCCGAUGAGAGGCAAAAGAAGAGCUGGAGGGGGCCACCAGUUACCCAGGCGACCUGCUGGCGCGAGCUCCCCUAGGCCGCGCCAGGAGGCUGUCUGGGAGGUGGGUCCCACCUCCGGUCCUUUCCUUUGUUCUAUAUGUCCCUCUAGGCCUAAAUAUUAGGGGGACAGAAGAGUUUUAGCGAUUCCGCUGCCGCUCCGCGGCAGAAAUCUACACAGAAGAAAAGACCUUUCCGGAAAGGGAGAUCGUUCUCACUGUCAUCACCAUCGUCACGGGCAUCAUCGAGAUCAUCAUCGCCAUCAUCACCAACACCAGCAUCAUCUCCACCUUCAUCCCAUCUACUUCACCAUUGCAAUCGGAGUUGUACCUUGCACUAUUCAGCCCCUCUACUCUACCGUUGCUGAUUACUCUUUUGUGGUGAAUGCUAUUGAGUUUUGUUGGACGAUUAUUGUUAUGACCAGAUUUUUAAUCAUAUUUUCAUCACCUCCGAUCAUGAUCUCUUUUAUGUCGUGUGAGUAGUUCCAUUAGUUCUUGAGGACAUCGGAAAAGUCUAGAUGCUAGUAGUCAUAUGAUGUUGAAGGAAUAUGUAUUGAUUGAUAUUUAUGUUAUGGUGUUAUUCUUCUAGUGGUUUUAUGUGAACAUCCACUACAUAACACUUCGCCUUUUUAAGGAACUAGGGGAAUGCAUCGUGUAUAAAGAAUGCUUAUGGUGGGUUGCCGGAGUGACAGAAACCUGAACUCCAGUUCGCAUACUUUUGCAUGAGGGAGUAUUGGAUCCUAAAGCUUAUUGCUAUGGUUAGUCUUAGCCUUAAUUCAUCUCUUAUAUUUGCAGAUGCUUGGAAGAGGGAUUAAUCAUACGAGUGUACUUGUCUUAGCCUAGACGGUGCGCUAGUUAAGAUCCACCCACAUAACACUUAUAAUUACAAAACAUAGUACUAGACAGAGUAUGGCGAAAGCAAUUGACUAUCUCUCCCGUGUGUCCUCAGGAACGACUUAGUCUUUAUAAGUUUAGUCCCUCGGCUUAUCCAUUGAGUUUAAAAGGAUUGGGCCACUUGCUGCACCUCGGCACGAUUUACAUUACUUGCAUUUAAUUCCUUGUUGCUUAUACUACAAAACCCAUAAAAGUUACCUUUGAGGACUUGCAGUUAUUCCUUGCUCAAGAUCACUUGUCAUUACCUCCUGCUCCUCGUUGGGUUUGACACUCUUACUUAUCAAAAAGGCUACGACAAAUCCCCUACACUUGUGGGUCAUCAAGACCAUUUUCUGGCGCUGUUGCCGGGGAGUGUAGAGCUAUUGGUAAGUGAAAUUGGUAAGGAAACCUUUACACUGUACGUGUUGUUUUUGUUUUACUGUUUCCACCUUUUUUUCCCUAUGGACCACUCUACUCUUGGUUUUUUGCUUGUGGGGAACCGCCCCAACGCUAUUGUGGUGGAGAAGCCUCCCCCACCUACUGACAUUGCGCCUUUUAAAAUACCAACUAGUAUUAUUGAUUGUGUUUUGGCUAAUCGAUAUGCAGGAGAUAGACAUCCAGGUGAACACUUGCUAUAUUUUUCACAACUAUGCUCCUUAUUUAAGCUUGCAGGUAUAUCGAUGGAUUUUGUUAUGAGAAAGCUAUUCUCUCUAUCAUUAAAAGAUAAGGCUUUGGAUUGGUAUGGGCUUCUUGAUGACUCUCAUUUACUAAAUUGGCAAGAUCUUAUGCCUCUCUUUUAUUUAAAGUUUUAUCCUCUUCAUGAAAUACAUCGAGACAGGAAUUAUAUUUAUAACUUUUGGUCUUGUGACGGAGAAAGCAUUGCUCAAGCUUGGGGGAGACUGAAGUCCUUAAUGCUCAAAUGUUCCAAUCAUCAGCUCUCCAAAGAAAUUAUUCUCACAAAUUUUUAUGCAAGGCUUUCUCGUCAAGAUAAAGAGAUGCUUGAUGCUUCCUCUAGUGGGGCAUUCUCCAACAAAAACACUGAAGCUAAGUGGGAUCUUAUUGAAAGGAUCCAGAAGAACACUGAAGACUGGGAGAUUGAUAAAGGUAUUGAACCCGUUAUAAAUUAUGAGCGUGAUUACAUUGAGAGCUAUGUGAAAACUGAUUACUUCAAUACCUUUUGUGCUAAGAUUGGUCUUGAUUCCCAGCUUCUAUUUGAUUUUUGCAAAGACGUUGCCCCUCAUAUUGACUCUUCUGAGAAGAAGCAGGAUCAACAUCAUAAACCUUUUAAGGAAUUACCUGUUGAUAUUAAUGUUGUUGACCCUAUCUUGCCUGCAGUUGAAUACGAAAAGCCCCCUUUUCCCACAGGGAUGAAGGAUCAUUCUUUUGUCACCGGAUCCUGAAUAAAAGUGAAAGAACGACCGAUGAGCAUGAGGACCUGAUUAAAGUCGAUCCUCAAGUUGCAUUAGUCAAGGAGCUUGUUACUGGUAAUAUUGAGGAUUCUAAUAUAAAUUUUUGUGUUGUUUCCACUAACCUUGUUACAGCCAAGAAUAAAGGCCCAAUUUCAGGUACUCUAGUUGUAUCUGUUAAAAUAGGAGAUCAUAAUUAUUAUGGGCUAUGUGAUUUGGGAUCCAGUGCUAGUGCUAUUCCUUUUUCACUUUAUCAAGAGAUUAUGAAUGAUAUUAUACCAUGUGAAAUUGAAGAAGUUGAUGUUACUAUUCAUCUCGCAAACAAAGAAACUAUCUCUCCUAUUGGAAUUGUGCAAGAUGUUGAAGUUCUAUGUGGAAAGGUAAAAUAUCCUACCGACUUUCUAGUACUUGCUUCAGUACAAGAUAGUUUUACCCUAUUAUCUUUGGUAGGCCUUUUCUCAAAACUUGUGGAGCUAUUAUACAUUGCAGGAAAGGAAAAGUAUCUGUUGAAUUUAUUGGUGAGCUAUAUGAAUUUAACUUUUCUAAAUUCUCGAAGGAAACUCGUGAUACUGAUCUACCUAGUAAUGAUAAAAUUAUUGAAGAGAUUGCUUCUAUUGCUAUUCCUCUUAAUGAUCCUUUGCAACAAUUUAUGGAAAACCACGAGAAUGAUAUGCAUGUGCAGUUAAGGAAUGAGCUAGAUGAAAUGUUCUUGAGACAACCUGCUAUCCUGAAGCACAACCUUCCGGUUGAGCCUUUGGGAAUUUUAUCAAAACCAAAAGAAGACCCGGUGCUUGACCUCAAACCUCUUACCAGUACACUCAAGUAUGCUUAUUUAGAUGAAAAGAAAGUAUAUCAUGUUAUUAUCAAUUCUAACCUUUCAGGAUAUGAAGAAGAGCGAUUAUUGGAAGUCCUUCGUAAACACCGAGGCGCUAUUGGGUAUACCCUUGAUGAUCUUAAGGGGAUUAGUCCAUCUAUUUGUCAGCAUACUAUCAAUCUUGAGCCUGAUGCUAAACCGGUUGUUGAUCAUCAACGACGGUUAAACCCGAAGAUGAAGGAUGUUGUGAGGACUGAUGACCCACAAGUGUAGGGGACCUAUCGUAGUUCUUUCGAUAAGUAAGAGUGUCGAACCCAACGAGGAGCAGAAGGAACUGACAAGUGGUUUCCAUCAAGGUAUUCUCUGCAGGCACUGAAAUUAUCGGUAACAGAUAGUUGUGUGAAAAGAUACUUCAUAGCAAGUAGCAAGUAACAAAGGUGCAACAAAGUGGCCCAAUCCCUUUUGUAGCAAGGGACAAGCCUAGACAAACUCUUAUAGGAGGUGAAGCGCUCCCGAGGACACAUGGGAAUUUCUGUCAAGCUAGUUUUCAUCAUGUUCAUAUGAUUCGCGUUCGCUACUUUGAUAGUUUGAUAUGUGGGGGGACCGGUGCUUGGGUGCUGCCAUUACUUGGACAAACAUCCCACUUAUGAUUAACUCCUCUCGCAAGAAUCCGCAACUAAGAAAGAAGAAUUAAGACAAAGUCUAACCAUAGCAUUAAACUAGUGGAUCGAAAUUAGCCCCUUACGAAGCAAUGCAUAAACUAGGGUUUAAGCUUCUCUCACUCUAGCAACCCAUCAUCUACUUAUUACUUCCCAAUGCCUUCCUCUAGGCCCAAAUAAUGGUGAAGUGUUAUGCAGUCUACGUUCACAUAACACCACUAGAGCAAAGACAACAUCCAUCGCAUCAAAAUAUCGAACGAAUACCAAAUUCACGUGACUACUUAUAGCAAGACUUAUCCCAUGUUCUCAGGAACAAAAGUAACUACUCACAAAGCAUAAUCAUAUUCAUGACCAGAGAGGUAAUGAGUAGCAUCAAGGAUCUGAACAUAAACUCUUCCACCAAGUAAUCCAACUAGCAUCAACUACAAAGAGUAAUUAACACUACUAGCAACCUUACAAGUACCAAUCGGAGUCGCGAGACGGAGAUUGGUUACAAGUGAUGAAGUACGGUUUGGAGAUGAGAUGGUGUUGAUGAAGUUGUUGACGGUGACGAGUCCCCUCCGAUGAGAGGAGUGUUGGUGAUGACGAUGGCGAUGAUUUCCCCCUGUGGGAGGGAAGUUUCCCCGACAGGAUCUUCCUGCUGGAGCUCUAGAUUGGUUCUGCUCAAGUUCCGCCUCGUGGCGGCGGCGAAACCACGAAAAAGCUCCUCCCUAAUUAUUUCCUGGACGAAACCCUUAAUAUAGCAAAAGAGGGGGGCAAGUGGGCCAGCAGGGUGCCCACAAGCCCCCAUGGCGCGGCCUGGCGGGUGGCCGCGCCGUGCAGGCUUGUGGCCACCUGCACGCCCCCCUCUGGGACUUCUUUGGCCUAGUAUUUUUGAUAAAUCGGGAAAAUAUUCCUCGUUGAUUUUUACAGCAUUUGGAGUUUCACAGAAUAGGUAUCUCAAAUUUGCUCCACUUUCAGGCCAGAAUUCCAGUUGCCGACAUUCUCCCUCUUCAUGUAAACCUUGCAAAAUAAGAGUGAAAAGGCAUAAGAAUAGUACCGUGAAGUGAAAUAACAGCCAAAGAAGUGAUAAAUAUCAACAUGAAAACAUGAUGCAAAAUGGACGUAUCAACUCCCCCAAGCUUAGACCUCGCUUGUCCUCAAGCGAAAGCCGAGCUCAAUAAAUAUGUCCACAUGUUUAGGGAGAGAGGUCUCGACAAAACAAGAUACGAACAUGCAUGCAUCAUGAUCAAGAUCAGAACAACAAUACCAACAUAUAAUCUCUCAUGCUAAAGUGAUAAUUCCUUCACAAAGUAAAGAAUGGAUCAAGAACCUUACCGAGAAGUAACAACCUAUAGCCUUUAGUCACUGAAGAAAUUGCAAUUUAUCACAACAUCAGAAAGAGUCAAAUAAGAGCUUGUAAAGAAAAUCCACAUACUCAAUCAUUCUUUCGUUCUCUACAAUUGCUACAACUCACGUGGUACUCAUGAGAUCAAAGUUUCAGCUGGACAUAGAGAUAGAUAGGGGCUUAUAGUUUUGCCUCCCAACUGCUUGUUGCUACUGCAACAAAAGACCUUCCAAUGGCGCUAGAAAUAAGCGUGAUGACGGGAGACUAUUCUUGUUUUGAUACUCCUCGGCAACGGCACCAGGAAUCCUUAUUCUACGGCUACGCCUUUAGGGACUUCCUUGGCAAAUAUGCAAAGGAUUCCCCCGUGGCCAUGGAGCCUUGCGUUGGUGUUCCCUCGAAGCGGAAAGGGUGAUGCAGCACAGCGGCGGUAAGUAUUUCCCUCAGUUUUGAGAACCAAGGUAUCGAUCCAGAGGGAGGAUCGCGUCAAGUCACAAGUACCUGCACAAACACAAAGAGCUUGCACCCAACGCUAUGGAGGGGUUGUCAAUCCCUUAUAGAUUGUUUGCAAAGCGAGAACUGAAAGCAAAAAGUAAACAAAGCAAAGUAAAAGUGAAAGUGGAAACGAUAGAUGUGAAUAGACCCGGGGGACGUAGUGUUCACAAGUGGCUUCUCUCAUGAAAGCAAGUAGACGGUGGGUGAACGAAUUACUGUCGAGCAAUUGACAGAACCACGCAAAGUCGUGACAUUAUCUAUGGCAAUGAUUAUAUCUAUUGGCAUCACGUCCAAAACAAGUAGACCGAUACUUUCUGCAUGUACUACUAUUACUCCACACGUCGACCGCUAUCCAGCAUGCAUCUAGUGUAUUAAGUUCAUAAGAACAGAGUAACGCCUUAAGAAAGAUGACAUGAUGUAUAUGGACAAUCUCAUAUCUAAGAUAAAAGCCCAUCUUGUUACCCUUGAUGGCAACAACACGAUGCGUGCCUUGCUGCCCCUUCUGUCACUGGGAAAGGUCACCACACGGUAUGAACCCAAAACCAAGCACUUCUCCCAUUGCAAGAAUCAUAGAUCUAGUUGGCCAAACAAAACCCAAGACUCGGAGAGACCUACAAGGAUAUCAAAACAUGCAUAUAAGAAAUAAGCAAGGACUCAAAUAUAAAUCAUAGAUAAUCUGAUCACAAAUCCACAAUUCAUCGGAUCUCGACAAACACACCGCCACAGAGGAUUUCAUCGGAUAGAUCUCCAUGAGGAUCAUGGAGAACUUUGUAUUGAAGAUCCAAGAGAGAGAAGAAUCCAUCUAGAUACUGACUACGGACCCGUAUGUCUGAAGUGGACUACUCACGAGUUAUUGGAGAGGCGAUGAUGUUGAUGUAGAAGCCCUCCAACUCCAAAGUCUCCUCCGACAGGGCACCGGGAAGGGUCUCCAGAUGAGAUCUCGCGGAAACGGAAGCUUGCGGCGGCGGAAAAGUGUUUUCGUGGAUGCCCUGAUUUUUUUUGUAUUUUUAGGGAAUUUAUAGGCCAAAGAGCUAGGGCAGGGGAGCUCCAGGGAGGCCACAAGCCUGGUAGCCGCCUUCCCCCCUGGUGGUGGCUAUAGGGCUUGUGGGCCCCCUGUGGCUCUCCUGACUUGGUCCUUAAGUCCCCCGAUCUUCUUUUGUUCUGGAAAAAUUUAUUUCGGGGAUUUUAUUCCGUUUGGACUCUGUUCCAAAAUCAGAUCUGAAAAGAGUCAAAAACACAGAAAAAACAGGAACUGGCACUUGGCACUAAAUUAAUAAGUUAGUCCCAAAAAAUAUAAAAAAGGUACAUAAAACAUCCAAAGUUGACAAGAUAACAACAUGAAACCAUCAAAAAUUAUAGAUACGUUUGAGACGUAUCAAGCAUCCGCAAGCUUAACUCCUGGUCGUCCUCGAGUAGGGAAGUGAUAAAGAAUGAAUUUUUUAUGCUUUCAUGCUACCUAGCAUAGAUGUCCUUUGUAACUCCUCUUAUGUGACGUGAAUGUUCAAAUCCAUUAGAUUCAAAAAAAUAGUUUGAUAUUGAUGUGGAGACAAUAAUACUUCAAGAAAACUAGCAAGGUAAUCAUGAACUUUCAAAAUAACGAGGCCAAAAAAAGUUAUCCCUACAAAAUCAUAUAAUCUGGCUAUGCUCUAUCAUCCUUGCAGAACGAAUUUAAAUCAUGCACAACCUCGAUAUUGGCCAAGUAAUUGUUUUCACACUUUUACUUUCUCAAACCUUUUCAACUCUCACGCAAUACAUGAGCGUGAGCCAUGGUUUUAGCACUAUAAGUGGAAUGGAGUGUGGUGGAGGUUGCAAGACAAACAAGGAGAAGAUGGUCACAUUAACUAGGCAUAUCAAUGAGCUAUGGAGAUGCUCAUCAAUAGAUAUCAAUGUGAAUGAGUAGGGAUUGCCAUACAAAUGAUGCACUAGAUCUAAGAGUAUGUGAAAGCUCUUAAAGAAAACUAGUGGGUGUGCAUCCAACUUGCUUGCUCACGAAGACCUAAGGCAAAUUUGAGGAAGCCUAUCAUUGGAAUAUACAAGCCAAGUUAUAUAAUGAAAAUUUCCCACUAGCUAUAUGGUGGUGACAAAACGAGAGACUCUCAAUCAUGAAGAUCAUGGUGCUUAAUAAGCACAAGUGUGGAAGGAUAGUAGCAUUGUCCCUUCUCUCUUUUUCUCUCAUCAUUUUUUUGGUGGGCUCUUUGGCCUCCUUUUUUUCAUAAUUUUUAAUUUUAUUUUGGUGGGCAUCUUUGGCCUCUUUUUGUAAAUGGGCUUCACUGGCCUCUUUUAUUUCCUCACAUGGGACAAUGCUCCAGCAAUGAUGAUCAUCACACUUACAACUCAAAACUUAGAGCAAUAAUGACUCUAUAUGGAAUGCCUUCGGUAGUGUACCGUGACAAUGAUCUAUCAUGGCAUAGACAUCAGUGGAAACAUCAUGCUAGCUAUCUUAUGAUCAUGCAAUGGUAAAGUAGAAGUGGUGGCACAUGUCAUGGUGGUAGUUGCAUGGCAAUAUAUCUCGGAAUAGCUUUGAAAAAGCCAUAGUAGGUAGGUAUGGUGGCUGUUUUUAGGGAGGCUAUAUGAUGGGUUUUGUGCACCGGCGAAAGUUGCACGGCACUAAAGAAGAUAGUGAUGGUGAAAGGUGAAAGUGCAUCUAAACCAUGGACUCAACAUUAGUUAUUAAUAACUCAUAUACUUGUUGCAAAAGUUUUAGUAGUAAUCGAAAGAAAGCAUUCAACGCAUACUCCUAGGGGAAGGGUUGGUAGGUAUAAACCAUCGCGCGAUCCCGACCGCCACACAAAGGAUGACAAUCAAUAGACUAAUCAUGCUCAGACUUCAUCACAUAGUCUUUCACCAUUCGUACAUGCUACGGGAAUUACUAAAUUCAACACAAGUAUUUCUAGACCCACAACACCUUACUAAUAUAACUUCAAUAUUACCACAACCAGAUCUCAAAACUAAUUGAGAGGAAUCAAUCUUCUCUAACUAUUCAAUGCACAUGGAGAUGGAUGUUUUCAUAUCCCUUUGGAUAACUACACCUUUUGAGACUACUUUCAUAGCAUAGAUCAACUACCAAGCCACGCGCAUCCGUUCUCUAAAAGAUAUAAGUGAAGCACAUAGAGCAAAAUCAACUAGCUCAAAAGAUAUAAGUGAAUCUCGAAAAAAUCACGGUGAGUGCAUGUCUCUCUCUCUAGGUGUGCAGCAAGGAAGAUUGUGACAAAACAAAAAUAAAAGACUCCUAUGAUACAAGACGCUCCAAGAAAAACACAUAACAUGUGUUGAAUAAAAAUAUAGCCCCAAGUAACGUUACCGAUGGUUUGAACACGAAAGAGGGGAUGCCUUCCCGAGGCAUCCCCAAGCUUAGGCUUUUACGGCAUCCUUGAAUCAUCUUGGGGUGCCUUGGGCAUCCCCAAGCUUGAGCUCUUGCCACUCUUUAUCUCUUUGUCCAUAAGAACUUCACCCAAAACUUGAAAACUUCACAACACGAAACUUAAACAGAAACUCGUGAUAUCAUUAGUAUAAGAAAGCAAAUCACCAAUUCCUUAGGUACUCUAGCAAACUUUGAUUCUACUUAUGUUGAUGUUGGGUUACUAUAUUUUCAAUCUUCCAUGGCUAGUACCCCCCGAUACUAUCCAUAGUUUCAUCAAAAUAAGCAACCAACUCAACAAAAACAGAAUCUGUUAACAGCAGACCAGUCUGUAGCAAUCUGUAUGCUUAGUAUACUUCUGGUAGUUCACAAAUUCUGAAAAAUUACGACAGUCUGAAGAAUUGGCGUAGGAAUCAGUAGCAAAAAGAAUCAACUCAAAAGAUCUUAUAGAAAGAAAAUGAAAAUUCUUUUUGUGAUCAGAAAGUUUCUGUCUUUUGCAGCAUGACCAAAUGAUCAUCCCCAAGAGUAAUCAUAACGGUUUUACUUGGCACAAACGCAAAAAGAAACACAAAAAAACACAAUCAUAACAGAAUUAUGAAAGUGUGGAAAACACAAAACAGAAAGAAAAAGGAUUGAUUCAUUGGGUUGCCUCCCAACAAGCGCUAUUGUCUAACGCCAUUAGCUAGGAAAAACUUGAUGGAAUCACGUAUAGUCAUCUUUGGUGCUCAAACCAUAAGUAGCCCUCAUCAUAGAUUCAUAUGGAAAUCUUAUUUUCUUUCUAGGAAAAUGCUCCAUGCCCUUCUUUAGAGGAAAUUGAAAUCUAAUAUUUCCUUCCUUCAUAUCGAUGAUAGCACCAAUAGUCCUUAGGAAAGGUAUACCAAGAAUAAUGGGACACGAAGGAUUGCAAUCUAUGUCAAGUACAAUGAAAUCCAUGGGUACAUAGUUCUUAUUUGCAACAAUGAGAACAUCAUCGAUCCUUCCCAUGGGUUUCUUGACAGUAGAAUCCGCAAGAUGCAAAUUAAGAGAACACUCUUCAAUCUCAUGAAAACCAAGAAUAUCACAUAAAGACUUUGGAAUCGCGGAAACACUAGCACCCAAAUCACACAAAGCAUUGCAUUCAUAGUUUUUGAUUUUGAUUUUUAUAGUAGGUUCCCACUCAUCAUGAAGUUUUCUAGGUAUAGGGACUUCUAAUUCGAGCUUCUCUUCAAGAGAUUUCAUCAUAGCAUCUACGAUAUGAGCGGUAAAGGCUUUGCUUUGGCUAUAAGCAUGUGGAGAGUUUGCAAUGGAUUGCAUCAAAGAAAUGCAUUCAAACAAGGAGAAACUAUCAUCAUUGAAUUCCUUGAAAUCCAAAGUGGGAGUGUCAUUACUACCAAAUAUUUUGAUUUCUUCUACUCCACUCUCCACACCUUUAUCAUCAAGAUAGGUGGACUCCGAAUCAUUGGGGCAUUUUUCAACCAAAGUGGAUUCAUAUCCAGCCCCUUCAUCAAUAGGUUUGACACGCGAAAACAAAGAUUCAAGAGGAGUCACACCAAGCACUUAUUGACUAAGGUAGCCUGCUUGUGAGAAAUUUGGCCCACCAAUUUCUCAAGGUGAGCAAACUGAGAAUUUAGUGCAAGGAAUUCUUUGGUCAUAUCAUCAACUUCUUUAUUCAAACGUGCCAUAAAAUAAUUUUGCUCUUUUAAUUCCCUACGGAAGUAACUAUUUUGGUCAAACUGAGAAGACAUGAAACCUUUGACACUAGUUUCAAUCUCUUCCAACUUUCUGAAAUAGUUUGGUUUGGGCAUGAGGAAAGGUCUCUCACAAACAAGCCCAAGAGCAAGUGAGGAAAACGGGCGGAAAAAGAAGGCAAAAUACAAAAGAAAACGAAAAACGAGAAAGGCAAAUGAAAACGACAAAGGAGAAAGGCUAAUGAAAACGGCAAAUGUGAAGUCGGGGAGAGGAAAACGAGAGGCAACUCGCAAAAAAGGUAAAUGCAAGAGAUGAGUUUGUGACACCUACUUGGAUAGAUCUUGACUUGAUCUCUCUUUCCUCGGCAACGGCGCCAAAAAUACUUCUGCUACAGCAACAAAAGACCUUCCAACGGCGCCAGAAAUAAGCAUGAUAACGGGAGACUAUUCUUGUCUUGAUACUCCUCGACAACGGCGCGAGGAAUCCUUCUGCUACGGCUACGCCUUUAGGGACUUCCUUGGAAAAUAUGCACAGGAUUCCCCCGUGGUGUUGGAGCCUUGCGUUGGUGUUUCCUCGAAGCGGAAAGGGUGAUGUAGCACAGCGGUGGUAAGUAUUUCCCUCAAUUUUGAGAACCAAGGCAUCGAUCCAGAGGGAGGAUCGCGUCAAGUCACAAGUACCUGCACAAACACAAAGAGCUUGCACCCAACGCUAUGAAGGGGUUGUCAAUCCAUUAUAGAUUGUUUGCAAAGUGAGAACUGAAAGCAAAAAGUAAACAAAGAAAAGUAAAAGUGAAAGUGGAAACGAUAGUUGUGAAUAGACCCGGGGGCCGUAGUGUUCACUAGUGGCUUCUCUCAUGAAAGCAAGUAGACGGUGGGUGAACGAAUUACUGUCGAGCAAUUGAUAGAACCGCGCAAAGUCGUGACGUUAUCUAUGGCAAUGAUUAUAUCUAUAGGCAUGAUGUCCAAAACAAGUAGACCGAUACUUUCUGCAUCUACUACUAUUACGCCACACGUCGACUGCUAUCCAGCAUGCAUCUAGUGUAUUAAGUUCAUAAGAACAGAGUAAUGCCUUAAGCAAGAUGACAUGAUGUAGAUGGACAAUCUCAUAUCUACGAUAAAAGCCCAUCUUGUUACCUUUGAUGGCAACAACACGAUGCGUGCCUUGCUUCCCCUUCUGUCACUGGGAAAGGUCACCACACGGUAUGAACCCAAAACCAAGCACUUCUCCCAUUGCAAGAAUCAUAGAUCUAAUUGGACAAACAAACCCAAGACUCAGAGAGAUUUACAAGGAUAUAAAAUCAUGCAUAUAAGAAAUCAGCAAAGACUCAAAUAUAAAUCAUAGAUAAUCUGAUCACAAAUCCACAAUUCAUCGGAUCUCGACAAACACACCGCCAAAGAGGAUUACAUCAGAUAGAUCUCCAUGAGGAUCAUGGAGAACUUUGUAUAGAAGAUCCAAGAGAGAGAAGAAGCCAUCUAGCUACUAACUACGGACCCGUAGGUCUGAAGUGGACUACUCACGAGUCAUUGGAGAGGCGAUGAUGUUGAUGUAGAAGCCCUCCAACGCCAAAGUCCCCUCCGGCAGGGCACCGGGAAGGGUCUCCAGAUGAGAUCUCGCGGAAACGGAAGCUUGCGGUGGCGGAAAAGUGUUUUCGUGGAUGCCCUUAUUUUUUCUGGAUUUUUAGGGAAUUUAUAGGCCAAAGAGCUAGGGCAGGGGAGCGUGAGGGAGGCCACAAGACCGGUAGCCGCCGCCCCCCAGGUGGCGGCUACAGGGCUUGUGGGCUCCCUGUGGCUCUCCUGCCUUGGCCCUCAAGUCCCCCGAUCUUAUUCUGUUCUGGAUAAAUUUAUUUAGGGGAUUUUAUUCUGUUUGGACUCCGUUCCAAAAUCAUAUCUGAAAAGAGUCAAAAACACAGAAAAAACAGGAACUGGCACUUGUCACUGAAUUAAUAAGUUAGUCCCAGAAAAGAUAAAAAAAGGUACAUAAAACAUCCAAAGUUGACAAGAUAACAUCAUGAAACCAUCAAAAAUUAUAGAUACGUUUGAGACUUAUCACUUACCUCAAGGGUAAUAUCAACAAUAAUAAUUCAUGAAUACUCACCUCCAAGUUGACAUAUGAAUAUAGAUCUUUCCCAAGCAUAUGACGUUAGCCAAGAGAAAGGCGAAAUAAGGAAUUGGUGAAGAUCACCAUGGCUCUUUCAAGGUUAAAAAGUAAUGGUACAAGGUAGGCCCUUCGCAGAGGGAAGCAGAGGUUGUCAGGCGCUUUUGAGGUUUGGAUGCGUGUCCUCUUAGUGCGGAGGAACGUCACUUUAUAUUGCCUCCUGUGAUAAAGAACUUUAUUAUGCAGUCUGUCGCUUUUAUGUCUUCCUCAUCACAGGUUCGUACAAAGCUUAUUUUCCACACACUAAUAGAUCAUACAUAUUAGAGAGCAAUUUUUAUUGCUUGCACCGAUGACAACUUACGUGAGGGAUCUUAUUCAAUCCAUAGGUAGGUAUGCUGGACACUCAUGGCAAAACUGGGUUGAUGGUUUAUGGAUGCACAAGUAGUAUCUCUACUUAGUGCGGGAGGUUUGGGUAAUAUGAGGUGGAAGCAAUCAUCACAUGCUAAUGGAUCUCUAAUCAUAUAACAUUGUUCAGAGCCAAGCAAACACAAUUCAUUAUGUUGUCUUCCUUGUCCAAUAUCUACUUCUAGGCAUGUAAUAGUUGUUGGAAUUAUGCCCUAGAGGCAAUAAUAAAUAUAGUUAUUAUUAUAAUUCCUGUAUCAAGAUAAUCGUUUAUUAUCCAUGCUAUAAUUGUAUUGAAUGAAGACUCAUUUACAUGUGUGGAUACAUAGACAAAACACCGUCCCUAGCAAGCCUCUAGUUGGCUAGCCAGUUGAUCAAAGAUAGUCAGUGUCUUCUGAUUAUGAACAAGGUGUUGUUGCUUGAUAACUGGAUCACGUCAUUAGGAGAAUCACGUGAUGGACUAGACCCAAACUAAUAGACGUAGCAUGUUGAUCGUGUCAUUUUGUUGCUACUGUUUUCUGCGUGUCAAGUAUUUGUUCCUAUGACCAUGAGAUCAUAUAACUCACUGACACCGGAGGACUACUUUGUGUGUAUCAAACAUCGCAAUGUAACUGGGUGACUAUAAAGAUGCUCUACAGGUAUCUCCGAAGGUGUUAGUUGAGUUAGUAUGGAUCAAGACUGGGAUUUGUCACUCCGUGUGACGGAGAGGUAUCUCGGGGCCCACUCGGUAAUACAACAUCACACACAAGCCUUGCAAGCAAUGUAACUUAGUGUAAGUUGCGGGAUCUUGUAUUACGGAACGAGUAAAGAGACUUGCCGGUAAACGAGAUUGAAAUAGGUAUACAGAUACUGACGAUCAAAUCUCGGGCAAGUAACAUACCGAAGGACAAAGGGAAUGACAUACGGGGUUGUAUGAAUCCUUGGCACUGAGGUUCAAAUGAUAAUAUCUUCAUAGAAUAUGUAGGAUCCAAUAUGGGCAUCCAGGUCCCGCUAUUGGAUAUUGACCGAGGAGUCUCUCGGGUCAUGUCUACAUAGUUCUCGAACCCGUAGGGUCUGCACACUUAAGGUUCGACGUUGUUUUAUGCGUAUUUGAGUUAUAUGGUUGGUUACCGAAUGUUGUUCGGAGUCCCGGAUGAGAUCACGGAUGUCACGAUGGUUUCCGGAAUGGUCCAGAAACGAAGAUUGAUAUAUAGGAUGACCUCAUUUGAUUACCGGAAGGUUUUCGGAGUUACCGGGAAUGUACCGGGAAUGACGAAUGGGUUCCCGGAGUUCACCGGGGGGGGCAACCCACCCCGGGGAAGCCCAUAGGCCUUGAGGGUGGCGCACCAGCCCUUAGUGGGCUGGUGGGACAGCCUAAAAGGGCUCUAUGCGCCAAGAAGAGAAAAUCAAGAGAAAAGAAAAAAAAGAGGAGGUGGGAAGGAAGGGAAGGACUCCCUCCCACCAAACCAAGUCCAACUCGGUUUGGGGGGGGCAGUCUUCCCCCCUUGGCUCGGCCGACACCCUUGGGGCUCUUGAGCCCCAAGGCAAGGUCCCCUCCCUCCCACCUAUAUAUACGGAGGUUUUAGGGCUGAUUUGAGACGACUUUUCCACGGCAGCCCGACCACAUACCUCCACGGUUUUUCCUCUAGAUCGCGUUUCUGCGGAGCUCGGGCGGAGCCCUGCUGAGACAAGGUCAUCACCAACCUCCGGAGCGCCGUCACGCUGCCGGAGAACUCUUCUACCUCUCCGUCUCUCUUGCUGGAUCAAGAAGGCCGAGAUCAUCGUCGAGCUGUACGUGUGCUGAACGCGGAGGUGCCGUCCGUUCGGUACUAGAUCGUGGGACUGAUCGCGGGAUUGUUCGCGGGGCGGAUCGAGGGACGUGAGGACGUUCCACUACAUCAACCGCGUUCACUAACGCUUCUGCUGUACGAUCUACAAGGGUACGUAGAUCAGUCAUCCCCUCUCGUAGAUGGACAUCACCAUGAUAGGUCUUCGUGCGCGUAGGAAAUUUUUUGUUUCCCAUGCGACGUUCCCCAACAGUGGCAUCAUGAGCUAGGUUCAUGCGUAGAUGUCUUCUCGAGUAGAACACAAAAGUUUUUGUGGGCGGUGAUGUGCGUUUUGCUGCCCUCCUUAGUCUUUUCUUGAUUCCGCGGUAUUGUUGGAUUGAAGCGGCUUGGACCGACAUUACUCAUACGGUUACGAGAGACUGGUUUCAUCGUUACGAGUAACCCCGUUGCUCAAAGAUGACUGGCAAGUGUCGGUUUCUCCAACUUUAGUUGAACCGGAUUUGACCGAGGAGGUCCUUGGAUGAGGUUAAAUAGCAACUCAUAUAUCUCCGUUGUGGUGUUUGCGUAAGUAAGAUGCGAUCCUACUAGAUACCCUUGGUCACCACGUAAAACAUGCAACAACAAAAUUAGAGGACGUCUAACUUGUUUUUGCAGGGUAUGCUUGUGAUGUGAUAUGGCCAACGAUGUGAUGUGAUAUAUUGGAUGUAUGAGAUGAUCAUGUUGUAAUGGAAAAUAUCGACUUGCACGUCGAUGGUACGGCAACCGGCAGGAGCCAUAGGGUUGUCUUUAUACUAACGUUUGUGCUUGCAGAUGCGUUUACUAUUUUGCUAGGAUGUAGCUUUAGUAGUAAUAGCAUGAGUAGCACGACAACCCCGAUGGCAACACGUUGAUGGAGGAUCAUGGUGUGGCGCCGGUGACAAGAAGAUCGUGCCGGUGCUUUGGUGAUGGAGAUCAAGAAGCACGUGAUGAUGGCCAUAUCAUGUCACUUAUGAAUUGCAUGUGAUGUUAAUCCUUUUAUGCACCUUAUUUUUCUUAGAACGACGGUAGCAUUAUGAGGUGAUCUCUCACUAAAAUUUCAAGACGAAAUUGUGUUCUCCCCGACUGUGCACCGUUGCUACAGUUCGUCGUUUCGAGACACCACGUGAUGAUCGGGUGUGAUAGACUCAACAUUCACAUACAACGGGUGCAAAACAGUUGCGCACGAGGAACACUCGGGUUAAGCUUGACGAGCCUAGCAUGUGCAGACAUGGCCUCGGAACACAUGAGACCGAAAGGUCGAUCAUGAAUCAUAUAGAUGAUAUGAUUAGCAUAGGGAUGCUUACCACUGAAACUAUACUCAACUCACGUGAUGACCGGACUUGAGAUAGUGUAGGUGGAUCAUGAACCACUCAAAUGACUAGAGAGAUGUACUUUUUGAGUGGGAGUUUAGCAAAUAAUUUGAUUAAGUUGAACUCUAAUUAUCUUGAACAUAGUCUUAGUCCACUUUGAAUAUAUUUGUGUUGUAGAUCAUGGCUCACGCGACAGUCAUCCUGAAUUUUAAUACGUUCCUAGAGAAAGCUAAGGUGAAAGAUGAUGGAAGCAACUUUGUAGACUGGGCUCGUAAUCUUAAGCUAAUCUUACAAGAUGGGAAGAAGGACUAUGUCCUUAAUGCUGUGCUAGGAGAUGAACCACCCGUUACGGCUGAUCAGGAUGUUAAGAACGCUUGGUUAGCACGUAAGGAGGACUACUCAAUAGUUCAAUGUGCAGUCUUGUAUGGCUUAGAACCGGGACUUCAACGUCGCUUUGAGCGUCAUGGAGCAUUUGAGAUGUUCCAGGAGUUGAAGUUUACCUUUCAGAAGAACGCCCGGAUCGAGAGGUAUGAGACCUCCGAUAAAUUCUAUGCUUGCAAGAUGGAGGAAAACUCGUUUGUCAGUGAACAUGUGCUCAAAAUGUCUGGGUACUCAAACCGUCUAGCUGAGCUGGGGACUGAACUCCCGCAAGAGGCUAUCACUGACAGAAUCCUUCAAUCACUGCCGCCAAGCUAUAAAGGCUUUGUGUUGAACUACAACAUGCAAGGGAUGAACAAGUCACCCGGCGAGUUGUUUGCGAUGUUGAAAGUCGCAGAGUCUGAACUCCGUAAAGAGCAUCAAGUGUUGAUGGUGAAUAAGACCACUAGUUUCAAGAGAAACGGGAAAGGCAAGAAGGGUAAUUUGAAGAAGAGCGGCAAGCCUGUUGCCAAUCCGCUGAAGAAACCCAAAGCUGGACCUAAGCCUGAAAGGGAGUGUUACUAUUGCAAGGGUAUGGGUCACUGGAAGCGCAAUUGCCCCAAGUAUCUGGCAGAUAAGAAGGCGGCCAAAGAAAAAUCAGGUAUAUUUGAUAUACAUGUUAUUGAUGUGUACUUAACCGGCUCUCGUAGUAGUGCCUGGGUAUUCGAUACCGGUUCUGUUGCUCAUAUUUGCAACUCGAAACAGGAACUGCAGAAUAGACGAAGGCUGGCGAAAGAUGAAGUGACGAUGCGUGUAGGAAAUGGUUCCAAGGUUGAUGCAAUCACCGUCGGCACAGUGUCACUUCAGUUACCGUCAGGAUUAGUGAUGAACUUAAAUUAUUGUUAUUUAGUGCCUGCGUUGAGCAUGAACAUUAUAUCUGGAUCUUGUUUAUUGCGAGACGGUUACUCUUUUAAGUCAGAGAAUAAUGGUUGUUCUAUUUCUAUGAGUAACAUCUUUUAUGGUCAUGCACCGAAUGUGAGAGGAUUGUUCAUAUUGAAUCUUGAUAGCGAUACACAUAUACAUAACAUUGAGACCAAAAGAGUUAGAGUUAACAAUGAUAGCACCAUAUUUUUGUGGCACUGCCGUUUAGGUCAUAUUGGUGUAAAGCACAUGAAGAAACUCCAUGCUGAUGGACUUUUGGAGUCACUUGACUUUGAUUCACUUGACACGUGCGAACCAUGCCUCAUGGGCAAGAUGACUAAGACUCCGUUCUCCGGAACAAUGGAGCGUGCAAGUGACUUGUUGGAAAUCAUACAUACCGAUGUGUGUGGUCCGAUGAGCGUGGAGGCACGUGGCGGAUAUCGUUAUUUUCUCACCUUCACUGACGAUUUAAGUAGAUAUGGUUAUGUCUACUUGAUGAAGCACAUGUCUGAAACAUUUGAAAAGUUCAAGCAAUUUCAGAGUGAAGUGGAAAAUCAUCGUAACAAGAAGAUCAAGUUCCUACGGUCUGAUCGUGGGGGUGAAUAUCUUUGUUUCGAGUUUGGUACUCACUUAAGACAAUGUGGAAUUGUUUCACAGUUAACACCGCCUGGAACACCACAGGGUAAAGGUGUGUCCGAACGUCGUAAUCGUACUCUAUUAGAGAUGGUGCGAUCUAUGAUGUCUCUUAGUGAUUUGCCGUUAUCGUUUUGGGGUUAUGCAUUAGAAACAGCUGCAUUCACUUUAAAUAGGGCACCAUCAAAAUCCGUUGAGAUGACACCAUACGAACUGUGGUAUGGCAAAAGGCCAAAGUUGUCGUUUCUUAAAGUUUGGGGAUGUGAUGCUUAUGUCAAAAAGCUUCAGCCUGAAAAGCUGGAACCCAAAGCGGAAAGGUGCGUCUUCAUAGGUUACCCAAAAGAGACAAUUGGGUACACCUUCUAUCUCAAAUCUGAGGGCAAAGUGUUUGUUGCUAAAAACGGAGCUUUUCUCGAGAAGGAGUUUCUCUUGAGAGAAUUGAGUGGGAGGAAGAUAGAACUUGACGAGGUUGUCGAACCUCUCAUCCCUCUGGAUGGUGGCGCAGGGCAAGGGGAAACCUCUGUCAUUGCGACGCCGGUUGAGGAGGAAGUUAAUGAUGAUGAUCAUGAAACUCCAGUUCAAGUUUCUGUCGAACCACGCAGGUCGACGAGACCACGUGGUGCUCCAGAGUGGUACGGUAAUCCCGUCUUAUCAAUCAUGUUGUUAGACAACAAUGAACCUGCGAAUUAUGAAGAAGCAAUGGUGUGCCCAGAUUCCAACAAAUGGCUAGAAGCCAUGAAAUCCGAGAUAGGAUCCAUGUAUGAGAACAAAGUGUGGACUUUGGAGGUACUACCUGAGGGUCGCUAGGCUAUUCAGAACAAAUGGAUCUUUAAGAGGAAGACGGACGCUGACGGCAAUGUGACCGUUUAUAAAGCUCGACUUGUGGCAAAGGGUUUUUCACAAGUUCAAGGAAUUGACUACGAUGAGACAUUCUCACCCGUAGCGAUGCUUAAGUCCGUCAGAAUCAUGUUAGCAAUAGCUGCAUUUUUCGAUUAUGAAAUCUGGCAGAUGGAUGUCAAAACGGCGUUCCUUAACGGUUUCCUUAAGGAAGAGUUGUAUAUGAUACAACCCGAAGGUUUUGUCGAUCCUAAGAAUGCUAACAAGGUGUGCAAGCUCCAGCGAUCCAUUUAUGGACUGGUGCAAGCAUCUCGGAGUUGGAACAAACGCUUUGAUGAGGUGAUCAAAGCAUUUGGGUUUAUACAAGUGGUUGGAGAAUCUUGUAUUUACAAGAAAGUGAGUGGGAGCUUUGUGGCGUUUCUAAUAUUAUAUGUGGAUGACAUAUUACUGAUUGGAAACAACGUAGAGUUUUUGGAGAGCAUAAAAGGUUACUUGAAUAAAAGUUUCUCUAUGAAGGACCUAGGAGAAGCUGCUUACAUUCUAGGCAUUAAGAUCUAUAGGGAUAGAUCAAAACGCUUGAUAGGACUUUCACAAAGCACAUACCUUGAUAAAGUUUUGAAGAGGUUCAAAAUGGAACAGUCCAAGAAAGGGUUCUUGCCAGUUUUACAAGGUGCGAGAUUGAGUAAGACUCAGUGCCCAGCAACUGAUGAAGAUAGAGAGCAUAUGCGCUCCGUCCCCUAUGCUUCAGCCAUAGGUUCUAUCAUGUAUGUAAUGCUGUGCACUAGACCGGAUGUUAGCCUGGCCAUAAGUAUGGCAGGUAGGUUCCAGAGUAAUCCAGGAGUGGAUCAUUGGACAUCGGUCAAGAAUAUCCUGAAGUACCUGAAAAGGACUAAGGAGAUGUUUCUCGUGUAUGGAGGUGACGAAGAGCUCGCCGUAAAAGGUUACGUCGAUGCAAGCUUUGACAAAGAUCCGGACAACUCUAAGUCGCAAACCGGAUACGUAUUUAUUCUUAAUGGGGGUGCGGUAAGCUGGUGCAGUUCCAAGCAAAGCGUCGGAGCAGAUUCUACAUGUGAAGCGGAGUACAUGGCUGCCUCGGAGGCGGCUAAAGAGGGUGUAUGGAUGAAGCAGUUCAUGAUGGAUCUUGGAGUUGUGACAAGCGCACUGAAUCCAAUAACCUUGUUCUGUGACAACACGGGUGCCAUUGCCUUAGCAAAGGAACCACGGUUUCACAAGAAGAUCAGACACAUCAAACGACGCUUCAACCUCAUCCGCGACUACGUCGAGGGAGAGGACAUAAAUAUAUGCAAAGUGCACACGGAUCUGAAUGUAGAAGACCCGCUGACUAAACCUCUUCCACGGCCAAAGCAUGAUCAACACCAGAACUGUAUGGGUGUUAGAUUUAUUACAAUGUAAUUCACAUGAUGAUGUGAGGGCCAGAUUAUUGACUGUAGUGCAUGUGGGAGAUUGUCUGAAUUAUGCCCUAGAGGCAAUAAUAAAUAUAGUUCUUAUUAUAAUUCCUGUAUCAAGAUAAUCGUUUAUGAUCCAUGCUAUAAUUUUAUUGAAUGAAGACUCAUUUACAUGUGUGGAUACAUAGACAAAACACCGUCCCUAGCAAGCCUCUAGUUGGCUAGCCAGUUGAUCAAAGAUAGUCAGUGUCUUCUGAUUAUGAACAAGGUGUUGUUGCUUGAUAACUGGAUCACGUCAUUAGGAGAAUCACGUGAUGGACUAGACCCAAACUAAUAGACGUAGCAUGUUGAUCGUGUCAUUUUGUUGCUACUGUUUUCUGCGUGUCAAGUAUUUAUUCCUAUGACCAUGAGAUCAUAUAACUCACUGACACCGGAGGACUACUUUGUGUGUAUCAAACAUCGCAAUGUAACUGGGUGACUAUAAAGAUGCUCUACAGGUAUCUCCGAAGGUGUUAGUUGAGUUAGUAUGGAUCAAGACUGGGAUUUGUCACUCCGUGUGACGGAGAGGUAUCUCGGGGCCCACUCGGUAAUACAACAUCACACACAAGCCUUGCAAGCAAUGUAACUUAGUGUAAGUUGCGGGAUCUUGUAUUACGGAACGAGUAAAGAGACUUGCCGGUAAACGAGAUUGAAAUAGGUAUACGGAUACUGAUGAUCAAAUCUCGGGCAAGUAACAUACCGAAGGACAAAGGGAAUGACAUACGGGGUUAUAUGAAUCCUAGGCACUGAGGUUCAAACGAUAAGUUCUUCGUAGAAUAUGUAGGAUCCAAUAUGGGCAUCCAGGUCCUGCUAUUGGAUAUUGACCGAGGAGUCUCUCGGGUCAUGUCUACAUAGUUCUCGAACCCGCAGGGUCUGCACACUUAAGGUUCAACGUUGUUUUAUGCGUAUUUGAGUUAUAUGGUUGGUUACCGAAUGUUGUUCGGAGUCCCCGAUGAGAUCACGGACGUCACGAGGGUUUCCGGAAUGGUCCGCAAACGAAGAUUGAUAUAUAGGAUGACCUCAUUUGAUUAUCGUAAGGUUUUCGGAGUUACCGGGAAUGUACCGGGAAUGACGAAUGGGUUCCGGGAGUUCACCGGGGGGGGGGGGGCAACCCACCCCGGUGAAGCCCAUAGGCCUUGAGGGUGGCACACCAGGCCUUAGUGGGCUGGUGGGACAGCCUAAAAGGGCUCUAUGCGCCAAGAAGAGAAAAUCAAGAGAAAAGAAAAAAAAGAGGAGGUGGGAAGGAAGGGAAGGACUCCCUCCCACCAAACCAAGUCCAACUGGGUUUGGGGGGGGAGUCUUCCCCCCUUGGCUCGGCCGACCCCCUUGGGGCUCCUUGAGCCCCAAGGCAAGGUCCCCUCCCUCCCACCUAUAUAUACGGAGGUUUUAGGGCUGAUUUGAGACGACUUUUCCACGGCAGCCCGACCACAUACCUCCACGGUUUUUCCUCUAGAUCGCGUUUCUGCGGAGCUCGGGCGGAGCCCUGCUGAGACAAGGUCAUCACCAACCUCCGGAGCGCCGUCACGCUGCCGGAGAACUCUUCUACCUCUCCAUCUCUCUUGCUGGAUCAAGAAGGCCGAGAUCAUCGUCGAGCUGUACGUGUGCUGAACGCGGAGGUGCCGUCCGUUCGGUACUAGAUCGUGGGACUGAUCGCGGGAUUGUUUGCGGGGCGGAUCUAGGGACGUGAGGACGUUCCACUACAUCAACCGCGUUCACUAACGCUUGUGCUGUACGAUCUACAAGGGUACGUAGAUCACUCAUCCCCUCUCGUAGAUGGACAUCACCAUGAUAGGUCUUCGUGCGCGUAGGAAAUUUUUUGUUUCCCAUGCGACGUUCCCCAACAAUAGUUUAGUGAGUGUUCACAAUCAUAGAUGGUGUCAGAGAUGAUAUAUUUAUAUGUGAACCUCUCCUUUUUAUCACUUCCUAUUAAUUGCAACAAUGACCAAGGUCUAUGUUUUCCUACCCUCAACAAGUUUCAGUCCUCAUUCUUUUUAAAAUGUGAAGCCAUCACUUCCCAUAAGAUCAUUACAUGAUCUUUCAUGCUUUUGUUCUAUUCUCACUCUUUUGAUCAUGGCAAGAGGCAAAGCCCUUCAACUAAGACACUCUUUAUUAGCUCACAAGCAAGAAUACAUCAGGGGUGACACAAAGCAAAACUCAAGACUAAAACACUAAGACUUUUAAACUACUAGAGAAAAAGCAAACUAAAAAGGAAAACUAAAAAAAGGUAAAGGCAAAAGAUGUGAUGGUGAUACGAUACCGGGGCAACUCCCCCAACCUUGGCACAAGCCAAGCGGAUUGCCCAUACCAAUGCUUAGUUGUCUUCCUUUGGUGGUGAAGGUGGAGGAGCUAUUGCAAUCUUUGACUCCAAGAGGGCCAUUAAUCUUUGAUUUAUACCUUGGAGAUCUUCGAUAUGUUUUUCCAGCAAAACAACUUCACGAGUGAGACAAGUAUUGCGAGCACGAGUUGUUUCACAGAACCUCAAGAGUUCAAUCAAAGAUGGAGAAAGUAGGUGGAGGUAGGGUUGGAGGAAAUCCACUUCUUCAACUUCUUCCUUGUUGAGCACAGAUUGCACUUCGUCCCAUGCCUGAUCCUUCUCCUUAGCUUUGCCCUUGGUUUCUUUAGGUAGCCUUUCCUUAGCCUCCAUGACCUCCAUCCUUUACAGAUCAGCAUGAACUUCUCCAUAGAUUUGACGGAGGUUGUUCUCCCCCACAGAUUCCUGGGAUGACAUCUUGACCUAGAUCUGCGGCAGAAAACAGGCUUGAAACGAAAAACAGAGGAAAUCUGCGUGAUGCACGGGUCAGACCAAACGGGAGUAUAUAUAAUGAUUUUUUUCAGACCAAAAGGAGUACCCUGAAUGAAAAUGUAGUCCGGGAAGCGCACGAGGUGGCCACAAGCCCUCACGGUGCGGCCAGGGGGUGGGCCCGCGCUGUGCAGGCUUGUCGCCUCCUCGAGCACUUUUCGGACUACUUCCAAUUUUUGUAUUUUUGCAAAUAUUCCAAAACGGAGAAAAAUUCCUAUUGGAAAAGUUUUGGACCCUGUUUUCUUACCGAAUCACAUACCUCUUCGUUUUCGGAGUCUGAAACAGGCUGAUAAAUACCCCUUUGGUAUUCUUCCGGAGUUAUUGUAUUGAUGAUAUUGCUUUCAACAUUUAUGGGAGUACCUCAAAUAUAAUGCUUGAUUCUCUACCCAUUUACAACUCUCGGACAAUUACCUUCCGUGUUGUUGAUCUUGAUAGCACCGGAACGAUAUACUUCCUCAACAACAUAGGGACCUUCCCAUUUAGAGAGAAGCUUGCGUGCAAAGAAUCUUAAACGAGAGUUAUAUAGCAAGACAUAAUCACCUACAUUGAACUCACACUUUUGUAUCCUCUUAUCAUGCCACCUCUUAACCUUCUCUUUGACCAACUUGGCAUUCUCAUAUGCCCGAGUUCUCCAUUCAUCAAGCGAGCUAAUAUCAAAUAACCUCUUCUCACCGGCAAGUUUGAAAUCAAAGUUGAGCUCUUUGAUUGCCCAAUAAGCUUUAUGCUCUAGCUCGAGAGGUAAAUGACAUGCUUUACCAUACAACAUUUUGUACGGAGACAUGCCCAUGGGAUUCUUAUAGGCAGUUCUAUAAGCCCCAGUGCAUCAUCGAGCUGCUUAGACCAAUUCUUUCUAGACCUGUUGACAAUAUUUUGCAGAAUCAGUUUAAUCUCUCUAUUACUUAGCUACAUUUGACCACUGGACUGAGGGUGAUAUGGAGACGCAAUUCUAUGGUUGACAUCGUACUUAGCAAGCGUUUUACGAAAAGCACCAUGAAUGAAGUGUGAACCACCUUCGGUCAUUAGAUAUCUAGGGACUCCAAAUCUAGGGAAGAUAACUUCUCUCAGCAUCCUCAUAGAGGUGUUGUGAUCAACACUACUAGUGGGGAUAGCUUAUACCCACUUAGUGACGUAAUCAACAACAACUAGGUUAUGAGUAUACCCGUUGGAUUUUGGAAAAGGUCCCAUAUAAUCAAAGCCCCAAACAUCAAAUGGUUCAAUGACAAGUGAAUAGUUCAUAUGCAUUUCGUGACGUUUGCUAAUAUUACCUAUUCUUUGACAUUCGUCACAAGACAAGACAAACUUACGGGCAUCCUUGAAGAGAGUGGGCCAAUAGAAACCUGAUUGCAAUACCUUGUGUGCAGUUCUAUCUCCCGCAUGGUGUCCUCCGUAGGCCUCAGAGUGACACUUCUGUAGGAUCUGUCCCUGUUCAUGUUCAGGUAGACAACGUCUAAUAACACCAUCUACUCCUUCCUUAUAAAGGUGAGGAUCAUCCCAAAAGUAGUGUCUCAAGUCAAAGAAGAAUUUCUUCUUUUGCUGGUACGUGAAACUAGGUGGUAUAUAUUUGGCAACGAUAUAGUUCGCAUAAUCAGCAUACCAUGGUGCACUACGUGAAGCAUUGAUGACAGUCAAUUUCUCAUCGGGAAAGCUAUCAUCAGUAGGUUGUGGGUCAUCAAGAACGUUCUCCAACCUAGACAAGUUAUCUGCUAUGGGGUUAUCAGCACCCUUUUUGUCGACAACGUGCAAAUCAAACUCUUGUAGCAAGAGAACCCAUCUGACAAGUCUAGGUUUCGCGUCCUUCUUCUCCUUGAGGUACUUAAUAGCAGCUUGAUCAGUGUGAAUAGUGACUUUGGAAUAAACUAUGUAAGACCUGAACUUUUCACAUGCAAACAUGACUGCUAAAAACUCUUUAAUGAACCUUCUUAUACCUUUGAUAUCUGUGGGGUAUGGCAUUUUCUCGAUUGCAUCAACCUUAGCCUUAUCGACUUCAAUACCUCUUUCAGAAAUUUUAUAUCCUAAGACGAUGCCUUCAUUAACCAUAAAGUGGCACUUCUCCCAAUUCAAGAUAAGAUUGGUGUCUUUACAUCUCUGUAAGACUCGAUCAAGGUUGCUGAGGAAAUCAUCAAAGGAAGAUCCAUAAACAGAAAAGUCAUCCAUGAAAACCUCAACAAUCUUUUCACAAAAGUCAGAGAAUAUAGCCAUCAUACAUCCUUGAAAGGUGGCAGGUGCAUUACAUAAGGCAAAAGGCAUACGUCUAUAAGCAAAGGUACCGAAAGGGCAAGUGAAAGUGGUUUUCUCCUCAUCAGAUUGUGCAACUGGUAUUUGGGAGAAACCAGAAUAACCGUCUAGAAAGCAGAAGUGUGUGUGUUUAGACAGCCUUUCUAGCAUUUUGUCCAUAAAAGGCAAAGGGUAAUGAUCUUUCCUAGUGGCCUUAUUCAAUUUCCUAAAGUCGAUCACCAUCCUAUAGCCAGUAAUAAUCCUUUGUAGGAUCAAUUCAUCCUUAUCAUUAGGGACAACGGUAAUGCCUCCUUUCUUAGGGACGCAAUGCACCACACUCACCCAAUCGCUAUGAGCAACAGGAUAGGUAACACCCGCUUCCAGGAGCUUUAGUAUUUCUUUUCUUACUACUUCUUUCAUCUUAGGAUUUAAUCUCCUUUGAUAAUCAGCAACUGGUUUGAAAUCAGGAUCAGUUUUAAUCUUGUGCUGGCAUAGAGUGGGACUAAUGCCCUUAAGAUCAUCAAGAGUAUAUCCAAUAGCAGCAUGGUGCUUUCUCAAAGUUUUUAGUAACUUCUUUUCUUCGUGCUCUGAGAGGCUAGCACUAAUAAUGACAGGAUAUAUCUCUUUUUCAGCAAGAUAGGCAUACUUCAGAGUAUGAGGCAACUGUUUAAGCUCGAACACAGGAUCACCCUUUGGUGGAGGUGGAUCCCCAAGAAGUUCAACAGGCAAGUUAUUCUUAAGGAUAGGAUAUUGUUCUAACACAACUCUAUCUAUCUCAUCCCUUUCAUCCAUAUGCAUAUCAUUUUCAAGCUCAAGCAAGUACUGCUCUAAGGGAUCAGUAGGAGGCACGACAAUAGAAGCUAAGGCAAUAGUUUCAUCCCUACUAGGCAACUCCUUUUCAUGAGGUUGUCUACCAAACUUAGAGAAAUUGAACUCAUGUGACACACCUUCAAAGCCAACAGUGGCAGUUUGCUUCUCACAAUCAAUAUGAGCAUUGACAAUAUUGAGGAAGGGUCUGCCAAAUAUGAUCAUACAAAAGCUAUCUUGUGCGGUAGCAAGAACGAGGAAAUCAGCAGGAUACUUCGUUUUACCACACAAGACUUCAACAUCCCUAACAAUUCCCACAGGGUAGAUAGUAUCUCUAUUGGCAAGCUGAAUAGUGACAUCUAUAGGUUCUAUCUCAACAGGUGCAAUCUCAUCUUUGAUUUCAUCGUAUAAGGACCGAGGUAUUGCACUAACACUAGCACCCACGUCACAUAAGCCAUGAUAACAAUGAUCUCCUAUCUUAACAGAAACCACAGGCAUGCCAACAACAGGCCUGUGUUUGUCUCUAACGUGAGGUUUAGCAAUUCUAGCAGCAUCUUCACAGAAGUUAAUAUUAUGUCCCUCAACAUCGUCGGACAGAAGAUAUUUGAUAAUAGCAAUGCUAGGUUCAACUCUAACUUUCUCAGGCGGUGUAGGUGUUCUAAUAUAGCCUCUACGUAUCACAGUUGAAGCUUUAGAAUGAUCCUUUAUCCUAACAGGGAAAGGUGGUUUCUCAAUGUAAGCACUGGGAACAACAGUAUCAUUAUAGGCAAUUUCUUUCUCUUCAACUGGAGUGGGUUUAACUACAUUGACUUCUAAAGGAGGAUGAAAUUUAAACCACUUCACUUUGGGAAGAUCGAUAUGAGCAGCAAAGGAUUCACACAAUGAAGCUACUAUCUGAGAGUCAAGUCCAUACUUAGCGCUAAAAUCACUAAAGGUAUUUGUCUCAACAAAGGAUUUAACGCAAUCAAACGUGAAAUUCAUACCUGACUCCUUACCUUCUUCAAGCUCCCAAUCUUCAGAGUUGCGUUUAAUUCUCUCCAAUAAAUUCCAUUUGAAGUCAAUAUCUCUCUUCAUAAAAGAACCGGUAGAAGAAGUGUCAAGCAUGGUGCGAUCAUCAUGAGAAAGCCGAGCAUAGAAGUUCUGAAUGAUAAUUUCUUUCGAGAGCUCAUGAUUGGGGCAUGAAUAUAACAUUGAUUUAAGCCUCCCCCAAGCUUGAGUGAUGAUUUCUCUGUCACGAGGCCAAAAAUUGUAAAUAUAAUUCCUAUCACGAUGUACUAAAUGCAUAGGAUAAAACUUUUGAUGAAAUUCCAAUUUCAACUGAUUGUAGUCCCAUGAUCUAGUAUCAUCACACUAGUGGAAUUUGCUGGUUUGCCGACAGCCAGAGCUGACGGCAAAGGACAGUUUAACUGAUGGCAAAGGCUUUGCCGUCAGUGAGCUGUCGGCAAAGGUGUCGGCCAAGAUUUUAUCGGCAAUCACCUUCUUUGCCGACAACCGGAGCUCCACUGACGGCAAAGACUUUGCCAUCAGCUUUGUGGCACGGGCUGACGGCAAAGAGCAGUGGCGGCAACGGCGCAGGCCGAGCUCCGUUAGAAGGUUAACGGCAGGCUUUGCCCACAGCCAUAGCAAAGCUGAUGGCAAAGCCUCCCCUCUUUGCACACAGCCGUAGCAGAGCUGACGACAAAGCCCAAACACCUGGGUCCCCUUGGCCGCCUCUUUGCCGACAGCUAGAGCCCAGCUGACGGCAAAGCCUACCCCUGGGUCCCCUUGGCCGCCUCUUUGCCAACAGCUUUGUCCCAGCUGACGGCAAAGCCGAAAAAUUGGUAUUCCCAGAGUUGCCAGAAUGCACAGGCUGCCGCCACGUGUCUUCUUUGCCGACAGCCCACCGAUGGCAAAACCUUUGCCGUCAGUGAGCUGUAGGCAAAGACCCUCUUUGCUUUUUUUUCAUAUUUGUUUUCUGUUAAUUCCCUGCAUUUGCAAAACAUAGAUACAAACAACAACAUAUAUAUAUUGAAUCUGCCCCUAAAGAGCACCACAAGUGCAUCACAAAGUGCAAACAGCACAACACAAGUGCAAACAACACGAAUAUAUGUCAUUAAAGUGCAAACAAGAUCACAAAGUAUUACAAAGCAUCACAAGUGCAUCCACAAAUACAAUUGCAUUACAAAGUUCAUCUAGGACUACACAAGUGCAUUACAAAGUCUCGAGCAUCCAUCCAUAUGCCAUGCUGCUUUAUCAAAAUCUGCAUAAUGAGAAAGAAUUGAGAAGAAGAAUACAAUAAGAAAGAAGUUAUCUAAAUUAAGCCAGGCAAUUAGAAGAAGAAGUGGAAGAAGAAGAAGAAGAAAAUAGAGAAAAAGAAAGAAGAAAAGUUAUCUUUUUCUCCUCUUUCUUCUUCUCUUAUUUCUCCAUCUCUUGUUUGUUCUUCUCUUCUCGUUUCUUUUAAAACUUUCUAAACUACUUAUGUCAUUUUUGAGCUCUAAUAUCAAAUAGAAUUUACUAAGCUAACUAAACCAUGGCUAAUAUGAACUAGAAUUUACUAAGCUAACUAAAGCCUGGCAUAACCUAAGUUGAUCUAAACAAUAAGAAGAAUAAGAAGGAGAGGAAUAACUUACCAAAUGCCAGGAAACAAAGGAGAAGCUGCAUCUCCGUUGGUCGCUGGGUUGCUAGGGAUCUCACCAGGAGAAGUACAGGGAUCGUGGGAUUCAACUCUUGAAUGAUGCUGCAACAAGGCAAGAGUUAAAAUAUGUGGUUAGCACGGCAACAGACAAUGGUAUAAGACCGUGCAAGGUUGGUCAUUGAAAGGGAACUCACCAUUCCCACCGGAGAAGGCAUCGGCGGAGGGGGCGGAAAACCUUGCUUCUCACACAUAGCCUGCAAAUUAGUUUUCGAGGAGUCAAAGAAAUAGCCUUGUUGCGUAUCACACAUGGCCUUGCUUCUCACACAACUGACUUACCGCAACGAAGUCGUGCAUGGCCUUCGCAUGGGCAUUAUUGCGUGCCCUCUCCUCGUCAAGCAACCUCUGCGUAUUCCGGUCCCUCUCCUCCAACAAGAGCCUGGUGGCCUCCCUCUCCUUCAUAAGUGCGGCCUGCAACCACUCCUCAAAAGGAAUUUUCAUCAUCCAUCCAGGGACAAAAGAACGAAAGAACUAAUGAAGAAAACUAACCUCGAUGGCAAGAUCAACUGGCCUCGCGCGUUGCCGUAUUGCAGGAGCGGAGCUCGUUUGCCUCGACUUGAUCUGAGAUAGAGUCUCAGUGAUAGGGACGAAGCCAUCACACAUGGCCAGCGUGCCAUGACUCUUACCGCCACCAGAGAUCAUUAACGCCUCUGGAUCGAUAGGAUUCUGGCUCGGGUCAAAGUCAGGCCCGCGCAGCUGUUUGACCACCUCAGAAUAAGACGUCAUCUUGUUGUAGGUGGACAGGCUUGUGUAUGCCGACGGCCCGCCCCCCUCAGAAUAUGCCUUCCCGUCUCGUACGAGCCCUUAUGGGCCAUGCUAAACGCGGCGUAUCCCUCAGGCUCGGGCUGGUUAUUGUGUUUGGCCUACACAAAAAGACAAAGAAUUAGUACAACAAAAAUCAUGAACGAACGAAUUAUUGAUGAAACAAAACAAGGCGCACAUACCCAUUUUUUGGCGUAUUGCUUGAUGUUGGCAUUGCCUUGGUGGUGUGGCACACCAACCAAUUGGGCACGACGGUCCUUGGCCAUAGUGUGGGUGCUCAACCAAGCCUCUGUGCACCACCUGUCCGCUAUCAUCUCCCAACAAUCCAUCUUAUCGGCCAACCAUCUCGGGGGCACCUAUGAAUGUAAGUUAAUGAAGAAUGAAACUAAGUAUUAUAACUAAAUAGACCUAACUAGCCCUAAGAAUUGAUCUUUGGAAUGUACAUACCUCCAUGUACUCGGUCUUAUCAUGGAAAAUCUUCCGACAUUCAGUCUUUGUCUUCGGCUCCCCUUGCUUGGCGUACCAAUCUCGAACAGCCUGAACACGCAUUUCGUGCCUCGUGUUAUUCAAUAAACUCUUGCACUCUUUAACGAGGUUCUUCUUGGCCGCCUCCUCCGUCCCCUCCUCGACCCUAAAGUGACUCUGCAAUUAAGCCAAAUAGAUGCACACAUGAAUAGUGAAAUGAUUUGGAAGGAAAUAACAAUAUAUAACAUUGUAUACUUUUUAUUGGGUAAAAUAAUAGUUACCCAAAAAUCAGCCAACACCUUGUCGACCACGCUCAAGCAAACAACACCAUUGACAUGUGUUUUUUCCGGGAGCAGAGCGGCUUGGUAGUGCUCCCAGUUGAGUCCUGGCUCGGGAACCAUACCCUCACCGGGCAACUGCACUAUCCCGGGGAAGUGCUCCCUAAGUAAAGCACCAAGGAGGCAGUUUGGAUUCCGGGUAUUCUGCGGGUAAUCCCACCCCCUACAUAAUGAUAAGGCAAAGACAUUAGCUACUUGGUGAAAUAUAAUGAUAUAAGGUACACAAUAUAUAUCAACUUACUUCUCGCCUUCUGGCUUAAUUAACGGCCUGUGCUGCAAGUCCAAUCGGUCUGGAACUCGUGUCAUACCACGUUGGUAGACCGACUUGCUGGCAGCCACCUCAGCCUCCGCCUCAGCACCCUCCGCCUCAGCCUCCGCCUCAGCACCCUCCGCCUCAGCACCCUCCGCCUCAGCCUCCCCCUCAGCACCCUCCGCCUCCGCCUCCGCCUCAGCCCCCUGCAUCGGUGUCACCUCCUGGAUGGUAGGAUCCCGCACCGGCGACACCCUCGUCUGCAAGGGUGAAGUGGCCGAGGGUGGUGGCGACUGGCUCCUAUCAUGCAGCCUCCCUCUCCCACGACCAUGUCCUCUGCCUCUCUUCUUUCCUACGCCUCUCCCACGGGGCUCCUCGGCAAAGCUCUGCAACAAAGUUCUCCGUAGCUGCCCAGGUGCUAUCCUCAACUUAAACCCGCCUGCCAUGUCUCACCACCUGUAACGAUAAAUAGUUAAAUAAUUAGUACAAAUUAAGGACAAUAAUUAAGUGAACAAUGAUAAAUACAUGAAUAAUUCAACUAAUAAUUGAAUAAUUAAACAACAAUGUUUGGAUGCAUACAAAGUACUAAUAGUCUGGAUCAUCUGUCUCUUCUCCAUGGUCAAUUGAAGAAAAAUCAUCAUCAAUAUCACACGUGUCGUCAUGACUGUUAUCGUCAUCGGGUUCAAGGACAUCAUGUGGAAGGCCUUUUUGUAACUGAUCAAGCAUUGAUAGCUCAUCGGCAUUGGUAACUUCUUCUACUUCCACUUCUUCCUCAUCAUCACGUGAGUCUUGUUCCAACGUGUUCAGGGUGGACGUAGAGCAGUUUCGGAUACGACGUCUGACACCACGUGAUUCUUGGAAAAAUUCUCCAUCAUAUGUUAUUGGGUCAAUUUGAGGUUCAUAAUCGUCUUCAUUUUGGGGAGGUGGUCUAAGAUGUGGCAUCAUAGUGUGCUGUUACGAAAUUUGCCGCCUCCUCGGUAAUGAACGCCUCGGCCAUCGAUGCUUCAAUUCUACGUUUAUUUUUACAUUUUCCUCGAAGUGUCUUCUGCAUUCUUUCAGUUGCGUAGCACCAACGAUUUUGCACGGGGCCACCCAAUCUUGCCUCGGUUGGGAGAUGCAAAAUCAUGUGUUGCAUCGGAUUAAAGAAGCCCGGUGGAAAAAUCUUCUCUAACUUGCACAGAAACUCAGGCGCCAACUCUUCCAUGUCAUCUAUCAAGGCACGCGACAACUCUUUAGCACAAAGAACAUGGAAGAAAUAGCUCAACUCGGCCAAUACUAGCCAUUCAGCCUCGGGGAUAUAGCCACGAACAUCACCGGCAUUAUCCGCUCAAGCCAUAUGUGCCAAUCAUGACUCUUGAGCCCAAAAAUUUUCAUUUUUUCAAUGCUCGCUCCCCUCGCUAGAUUCGCAGCAUACCCAUCGGGGAACAACAACUUUUUUUGCACCCAUAAGAGGAUUUCCCUUAUUGCUCCCUUCUCAAGAUUGUACGAGGCAGGUGGUUUGGACCAAUUUUUUCUUCCUUUCGGUUCUCGCAUGUUUAGUGAUGGCCUAUCACACAGAGUCUCCUGGUCAACUCUAGCCUUUGUAUUAUCUUUGCCCUUAUUAGUGCCAAAAAAUGUGCCAAGAAGGGCCUCGGCAAUAUUCUUUUCAGUGUGCAUCAUGUCAAUGUUGUGUGGAAGUAAGAGGUCUUCGAAGUAGGGGAGAUCCCAGAUGCAUGGCUUGUGGGUCCAGGCGUGUUCCUCAUUAUAACCCACGAAAUACCCUGGACGGUUUGGAUCAGGCUCCAUAGAUUUUAACUGUUCAUUAAUUUGUGCCCCCAUCAACGCAGGUGGUGAAGAGUGUUUGACAACUUUACCUUUCAUGAAAUUCUUCUUGUCUUUUCUAAAUGGAUGGUCCAUAGGCAAGAACUGUCUAUGCAAGUCAAAGCAGGAAUACUUCCCACCCGCCGUCAACCAAUGAAACUUAAGAGCUGCCUUGCAUUGUGGGCAUGGGAACCUUCCAUGCACACACCAGGCAACGAAAAGCGCAAAUGCUGGCAGAUCAUGCAAUGAGUAUUGGUACCAAACAUACAUUUGAAAGUUCUCUUUCUUAGCUGCGUCAUAUGUGUUGACCCCAUUCACCCAAGCUUCUUUCAAGUCAUCCAUCAGCGGUUGCAUGUACACACUCAUAUUCUUCCCCGGGUAUUUUGGCCCUGGAACUAUCAACGUCAGAAAUAUGUGCUUUCUUUGCAUAAUGGAUGAUGGUGGAAGAUUAAGGGGAAUGACAAAUACAGGCCAACAACUAUAUUGGGUAGCCGUCAUACUAAAAGGAUUGAACCCAUCGAGGCUGACGGCGAUUCGACAAUUCCUUGGUUCUUUAGCUUUUUCCUUAUGUAUACUAUCGAAUGCCUUCCAUGUGUCACCAUCUAAAAGGUGUACCAACAUCGGAACUCCGUGUUCAUCUAAUUCUUUCCUAAUUCCAUAUUUGUGCCAUGUCAUAUGUUUUGUUGUUUCUUCGAGCAUGUAAAGUCGUUGAAGUCUUGGUAGGAUCGGCAGAUACCGUAGGACACUCACGGGGAUUUUUCUCUGCUUCUUCUCACCUUCACCGUUUUCUACCUCAACAUAUCUGGAGGACUUGCAAAAUGGACAAUAUGUUUCCUCCGCAUACUUUUUCCUAAAUAAGGCACAUCCCUUCUCACAAGCAUGUAUCUGCUCAUACGGCAUCUUGAGUGCACUAAGGAUUUUGUUUGACUCAUAUAGGUUUGAAGGCAUAAUAUGACCUUCUGGUAGAAAGCGCCCAAAUAGGGUCAUCACUGAGUCAAACAGAUCUCUUCCAAUGUUGAACUGGGCUUUCAGAGCCAUUACUUGUGCGAUGGCAUCUAGCUGAGAAAUCUUAGUGUGCUCGUGAAGAGGACGUUUUGAAGACUCCAACAUGGCAUAGAAGGCUUUCGCGGAUUCCUCCAUCUCUUCGUCCUUGUUCCGAGCAUCAUCAAAGUCAUUCACCAUGUCUUCAAUCCCUGUACCAUGAUCAUCGGUGCGCCGACGCAACACCUCGUCUCUGUUACGUUGGGCCGACUCACCAUGAAAUGUCCACAAGGUAUAGCCGGGAGUAAAACCACGCAUCUGCAGGUGUUUACCCAUUGCAUCCUUUGUCUGUUGCGAAUAAUUCUUGCACUUAGUGCAGGGGCACCAUGUUUUUGGCUGGCCUUUAGAAAACGCCGUUUCCACGAAUUCAUAGGUUUUGCUCAACCAUUCAUCGGUCAUAUCUCUCUGACUAUGGUGACCGGUGUACAUCCAUUCACGAUCAGUCAUUCUGGCAAGCUAGCUACAUAGUAUCCACAUAUAAAACAAUAUAAAAUAUCAAUUCAUCAAGUAUGUUAAAUUAAUUAUGGCCAUUUUUUAAUCAUGGUUAAUACAUUGGGAUGCACGGCAUGCACACCUACCAGCUACUAGGUAAAGAUGGGUCCUAAUCCCACUCGAGUAUGUGUAGAUUGGGUCAUUUCCCACUGCUCUGCUCCCGACCCAACGCAAAAUUUCGGCAGCACCUCCGCGCUGUUCUCCUGAUACACGUCUCGGCAACUAACCGAGAGGAUGUGUACCCGGAGAACAACAAGGAGGAGCUGUCGAAACUCUGCAUGGGAUCAGGAGCAAAGCGUGGGAAACGACCCAAUCUACACAUACCCAGGCUGUCCAUGGAUAACGUUGGACAAUUCGAAAGAAUCACCGUUAUAAAUAUGCAAAUGCAUGCAUAUUUAUGACAGGAACCCUUUUGAACGGGAGACGCAUAUUGGUUACGCAACACCUUUGCAUUUUAAUACUAAAAAUACCUAGCUAGAUAGUGUCAUCAGCACGAAGGCCGGAACAGAGCAAAACAGAGGGGGCUGAGGAGGAGUUAACAAAUGUGCUCACUUUCGAAUGCAGGGGAGGUCGUCGAAAACCAAUCCCUCGCGGAGAAGCUACUGCAUAUUUAAAUGCACUCAAUCAACACAAAUACGCACUCGCGGUAAUUAAGCUAACUAAUACUAACAUCUAUCAUUUAAAUGCAUUUUUCUAAAACUCUGAAUCUCCAUAUCUUUACAUGCGAAAUACUUAAAUUUCAUUGCUAAAUUGUGAUCUUCGGGGGCAUAAUUCAUAGAGUUCUCCAAAACUACUUUGAGUGUGAUGCAUUCAGGUUUGUUGUGUAGAGCUAAUAUUACUUCCCCUAUUUUGUAGAUUAAUAAAGUUCUUCGAGUAAUCUAUACUUAUACUAAUUAGGGGCUCCCAAGAAAUUCCUACAUUAAUUAGAAAUUAGGAGCCGUUAAUCUGGUGGGACCAAGUUAUUACGGUGUAGAUUACUCUAUAUAAUAUGAAGUUUGCAAUAUAUAUUAUGUUAUUUUUAUACUAUGGAAAUACCAGAUAUUUCCAAUUCAAUCUCUCACAUAUCCGUUUUUGUCAGUUACACAUCCCUCACGUAUCUCUGUCUCAAAAAAUAAUAUCUCUAACGUAUCUCUCUCUCUCUUAACAUAUAGUCCAAGUUUUUCUACAACUGCACCACGUUCUACAUCAAACAUAGUCCAGCCAGUACAAUAGCGCCUUCUCACUCCUGGAAACAAAUAUAGGCUGCUCUGAUCCUCUGCCUCACGCACUCCUCUCCAGCACACAUUCUAUCCUAGGCCGGCUGUCACCUUGGGAUAGGGAAAGAUUGAUCCAGGUUUGAUCUACUUAUAAUUUUAUCCUUGCUUUAUUCCUAUUUAGAUGAUUAGACACACUUCAUACUGCAUGGAUGCGAAUUUCGGCAAUUCGAUCAUUGAUGCGUUGUGCUCUACUAUGAUGUAGAUCAUAUAUGCGACAUGUGAGCAUGUACGCUGGGUAGGCUCUCAAAGCUAAUUAUUUCUUCAUCUCAGUAGUACCAGGAAACAAAAUUAAUUACCUUCUGUUCUCUGAAUUUGUUCCCCUCUCAGUCAAUCUUCUCUAUUUUGCCACGGCCAUAGCUUUUACAUAAUGUAUAGUAGUGAAUGCGAGUAUAAUAUGGAACGACCAGCUCAUCCUUCAUAUUAAAAACCUUGAUUUUAAUUAACUAUUAUCUCAAUCAAUCUAAAACUUCCCAUAUAUUAGCUUAAUUUUUUUUUGAUUUGUUCGAUCAACCUACGUUAACUGUCCCGAUUUAAUAUACCAAUUUUGGUAUACAGAAAAUAGUAAGAACAAAUUCUAACCUGAGAUUUUAUACUCCAAAAUAAAAUCUAACCUAACUUCAUAUAUUCCGUUUCCCUGCAUAUUCACGUACAAGUAUUAUACCGAACCUGGCGCGGACGGACCGGCAGGANNNNNNNNNNNNNNNNNGCACGGGACGGUGAGACAGAGAAGGCGCGGGGAGAGAGAGAAGGCACGGGGGGAUAAGGCAGGUAUAUGGGGUUAGCCUCUUUGCCCUCAGCCAGCUGUCGGCAAAGACAGCCGUUAGUCUUUGCCCUCAGCUGGCUGUCGGCAAAGAAGGCCCCCUUUUUUUUUCUGGCCGAGGCGGCGACUGGGUUAGCCCCUAUGCCGUCAGCCUUCCUAUGCCGACCGCUUUUUUGUCCUUUGCCGUCAGCUGGCUACCGGCUUAGAUAAACCGGACGGCAUAGAUUUUAUUUGCCGUCAGCCCCUCCUAUGUCGUCAGCAUUUAUUUUGGCUGAGGGCAAAGUCUCUUUGCCGUCAGCCCCGUAAAAUUGCUGACGACAAAGCUUAAAGCUGUCGGCAAACUAGCAGAUUCCAGUAGUGUCACAUAACCUAUACCAUGUCAACGCCUUAUCCUUCAAAGAUAAAGGAAAGACCUUCUUCUUGACCUCAUCCUCGGGCACCCCUGCAAGCUUAAAUAAACCACAAACUUCAUCUACAUAGAUCAGAUGCAAGUCUGGAUGUCAUGUUCCAUCUCCUGUAAAAGGAUUAGCCAGCAGUUUCUCAAGCAUACCCGAAGGAAAUUCAAAGCAAAUAUUUUUAGUAGGUGCAGCAGGUUGAGGAGCAACUAUCUGUGCUUCCGUUCAAGGUGAAGAUACCCCAAACAAGCCCCUCAAAGGCUUAGUAUCCAUAGUGACAAGUGACAAUAAAUUUCAGCACACUAUAUGAAUGUUUCCUUACCAAGUUCCACUUACCAAAGGCGCUUCACCUCCCGGCAACGGCGCUAGAAAAGAGUCUUGAUGACGCACAAGUAUAGGGGAUCAAUCAUAGUCCUAUCAAUAAGUAAGAGUGUCGAACACAACGAGGAGCAGAAGGAUCUGACAAGUGGUUUUCAGCAAGGUAAAAUCUACAGGCACUGAAAUUGUCGGUAACAAGUGAUUGUGUGGUGAGAUGAUUCGUAGCGACAAACAAGUACCAAAAGUAGCAAAGGUGCAUAAAAGGGGCCCAAUCCCUUCUGUAGCAAGGGACAAGCCCGAACAAAGUCUUAUAGGAGGAAAAACGCUCCCGAGGACACACGGGAAUUUCUGUCAUGCUAGUUUCAUCAUGUUCAUAUGAUUCGCGUUCGUUACUUUGAUAGUUUGAUAUGUGGGUGGACCGGUGCUUGGGUACUGCCCUUACUUGGACAAGAAUCGCACUUAUGAUUAACCCCUCUCGUAAGCAUCCGCAACUACGAAAGAAGAAUGAAGACAAAGUCUAACCAUAGCAUUAAACUAGUGGAUCCAAAUCAACCCCUUAUGUAGUAACGAAUAAACUAGGGUUUAAGCUUCUGUUACUCUAGCAACCCAUCAUCUACUUACUACUUCCCAAUGCCUUCCUCUAGGCCCAAAUAAUGGUGAAGUUCUAUGUAGUCGACGUUCACAUAACACCACUAGAGGAAAAACAACAUACAACAUAUCAAAUUACCGAACGAAUACCAAAUUCACAUGACUACUAUUAGCAUGACUUACCCCAUGUCCUCAGGAACAAAAGUAACUACUCACAAAGCAUAAUCAUAUUCAUGACCAGAGAGGUAAUGAGUAGCAUCAAGGAUCUGAACAUAAACUCUUCAACCAAGUAAUCCAACUAACAUCAACUACAAAGAGUAAUUAACACUACUAGCAACCUUACAAGUACCAAUCGGAGUCGGGAGACGGAGAUUGGUUACAAGUGAUGAAAUAGGGUUUGGAGAUGAGAUGGUGCUGAUGAAGAUGUUGAUGGUGACCAGUCCCCUCCGAUGAGAGGAGUGUUGGUGAUGACGAUGGCGACGAUUUCCCCCUCCGUGAGGGAAGUUUCCCCGGCAGGAUCGUCCUACAGGAGCUCUAGAUUGGUUCUUCUCAAGUUCCACCUCGUCGCCGCGGAGAAACCACGAAAAAGCUCCUCCGUGAUUUUUUCCUAGAAGAAACCCUUCAUAUAGCAAAAGAGGGGGCAAGUGGGCCUGCAGGGUGCCCACAAGCCCCCAUGGCGCGGCCUAGGGGUGGUCGCGCCGUGCAGGCUUGUGGCCACCUGCACACCCCCCUCUGGCACUUCCUCGGCCCAGUAUUUUUGAUAAACCAGGAAAAAAAUCCUCAUUGAUUUUUACGGCGUUUGGAGUUGCGCAGAAUAGGUAUCUCAACUUUGCUCCACUUUCAGGCCAGGAUUCGAGUUGCCGGCAUUCUCCCUCUUCAUGUAAUCCUUGCAAAAUAAGAGAGAAAAGGCAUAAGAAUAGUACCGCGAAGUGAAAUAACAGCCAAAUAAGCGAUAAAUAUCAACAUGAAAACAUGAUGCAAAAUGGACGUAUCAACAACUUACUUGAGGGAUCUUAUUCAAUCCAUAGGUAGGUAUCGUGGACUCUCAUGGCAAAACUGGGUUGAAGUUUUAUGGAUGCACAAGUAAUAUCUCUACUUAGUGCGAAAGUUUUGGCUGAUAUGAGGUGGAAGCAAGCGUCACAUGUUAACGGAUCUCUAGUCAUAUAACAUUGCUCGGAAAAAAGCAAACAUAAUUCAUUAUGUUGUCUUCCUUGUCCAACAUCUACUUCUAAGCAUGUAAUAGUUUAAUGAGUGUUCAGAAUCAUAGAUGGUGCCCAAGAUGAUAUAUUUAUAUGUGAACCUCUCCUUCUUUUUUCCUUCCUAUUAAUUGCAACAAUGACCAAGGUCUACGUUUGUCCACCCACAACAAGUUUCAAUCAACAUUCUUUUUAUAUGUGAAGCCAUCACUUCCCAUAAGAUCAUUACAUGAUCUUUCAUGCUUUUGUUCUUUUAUUAUCUUUUGUUUAGAUCAUGGCAUGAGGCAAGGCCCUUGACUUAAACACUCUUUAUUAUAUGACUCACGAACUCGAUUAUAUUAGGGGUGACACAAAGCAAAACUCAAGCCUAGAUCAUACUAAGAACUUUAUUCUACUAGAGAAACAUAAAACCAAAAAGGAUCGAACUAAGAAAAAGGUAAAGGAAAAAGAUGUGAAGGUGAUACGAUAUUGGGGCAAUUCCCCCAAGCUUGGCACACGCCAAGGGGAAUGCCCAUACCCGUGCUUAAUUGUUUUCCUUCGAAGGUGAUGGUGGUGGAGUUGUUGCAAUCUGGGGUUGAUUCGCCGUCUUCCAAGGCAUAGGCGCUCCAUCAUGGAAAGAUGAUCGUGUCUCCGGAAUCCUCAAAUCUGCAGUGAACUGUAUUGAUUUAAAUCUAUACUCAUACUCACAGUUUUGGUUCUGCAGGUCGUAGAUCUGGGCUUGGAGGUGAUCAAUUCUGUCAUAGAGCCUCGAGAGGUGCUUCCCGAUGUCAUUGGCAUCGAUCUUGUGCUUGUUGGUGAACUCCGUGCUCAUCAUGUGGUUGGCGUUGAGUCCGCGUUCCACCAUUCCUUAGCACUUGAAGACUUGCUUCUCCAUUGCUUCGAGCCUCGCCUCCAUGCUUCCGGUCUUCAUGGGCCCCUCAACAUCACGGAUGUGCAGCACCCCCUCAUGCAUCUCCAUAGAUUGAGGGUGUUGCAGCACGCCCGCGAGGUAGGGAUUGAUGACCUUCUCCAAGAACUUGUCCUUCGAAACUUUUGGGGUCGCCAUAGCGAUCUAGAUCUGCCUGCACAGUAGCUCGAAAUGAAAACAGAGGAUCUUUGCGUGAUACGAGGGUCAGACCUUUCGGGAGAAUAUGUAAUGAAUUUUUCCCGACCCAAAUGAGUACUACGCAAGAAAACAGAGUCUGGGAGGCACAAGAGGUGCCCAGAAGCCACCCAGGCGCGGCCAGGGGGUAGGCCACGCCUGGUAGGCUUGUCGCCUCCUCGUGUGCUUUCCGGACUACUUUAAUUUUUUCUAUUUUUCUAAAAAUUCCAAAACGGAGAAAAUUGCUACUGGAAAAGUUUUGGAGUCGGUUUAUGCUACUUCUCAAACAACAGCGCCAGAAUUUGACACUUUGACGGAGACUUGCUUGUGUUGGUUUUUCCCUUGAAGAGGAAAGGGUGAUGCAGCACAGGAGCAGUAAGUAUUUCCCUUAGUUUGAGAACCAAGGUAUUAAUCCAGUAGGAGAAUCUCAUCAAGUCCAGACUACCUGAGCAAACACAAAAGAGCUUGCACCCAACACUAUAAAGGGUUGUCAAUCCCUUCAAGAUUGAUUGCAAAGUGAGAUCUGAAGGCGGAACGUGCAACGAAGAAAAAGAGUAAGGCUGAAAAUAUGGUGUGCAGUAGACCCAGGGGCCAUAGUGUUCAGUAGAGGCUUCUCUCAAAAUAGCAAAUAUUACGGUGGGUGAACAAAUUACUGUCGAGCAAUUGAUAGAACCGCGCAAAGUCAUGACGAUAUCUAAGGCAAUGAUCAUACAUAUAGGCAUCACGUCCGAGACAAGUAGACCGAUACUUUCUGCAUCUACUACUAUUACUCCACACAUCGACCGCUAUCCAGCAUGCAUCUAGUGUAUUGAGUUCAUGACGAACAGAGUAACGCCUUAAGCAAGAUGACAUGAUGAAGAGGGAUAAACUCAAACCAAUGAUGAAAACCCCAUCUUUUUACCCUUGAUGGCAACAACACGAUGCGUGCCUCGCUACCCCUUCUGUCACUGGGUGAGGUCACCGCACGGUAUGAACCCAAAACCAAGCACUUCUCCCAUUGCAAGAAUCAUAGAUCAAGCUGGCCAAACAAAACCCACAACUCAAAGAGAAUUACAAGGAUAUGAAAUCAUGCAUAUAAGAGAUCAGAAGAAACUCAAAUAAGAUUCAUAGAUAAUCUGAUUAUAAAUCCACAAUUCAUCGGAUCUCGACAAACACACCGCAAAAGAAGAUUACAUCGGAUAGAUCUCCAUGAAGAUCAUGGAGAACUUUGUAUUGAAGAUCCAACAGAGAGAAGAAGCCAUCUAGCUACUAGCUAUGGACCCGUAGGUCUAUGGUGAACUACUCACGCAUCAUCAGAGAGAUCAUGGUGUUGAUGAAGAAGCAUUCCGUAUCCGAAUCCCCCCUCUGACAGGGCACCAGAACGUUCCCCAGAUGGGAUCUUGCGGAGAGAGAAACUUGCGGCGGCGGAAAAGUACUUUCGAUGAUCUCCUGAUAUUUUUUGGGAUUUUAGGGAAUAUAUAGGCGAAAGACCUAGGGCAGAGGUGGCCGAGGGAGCCCACAAGCCUGGGAGGCGCGGGCCCCCUUGGCCGCGGCUAGGCAGCCAGAUUCUCAGGCUUCCCGAUCUUCUUCUGUUUUGGAAAAAAUAUUUUUGGAAGUUUCGUUCCGUUUGGACUGUGUUUAAAAUCUUCCUCUGACAGGGGUCAAAAACAUGGGAAAAGAGGAACUGGCACUUGGCACUGAGUUAAUAACUUAGUCCCAAAAAAAGGUAUAAAAGGCAUACACAACAUCCAAAGUUUGAAACUAGUAGAAGACAGGGCUACCGUUCGGCCCUGGCCAGCCCAUUAGUCCCGGUUCUUCAAGAACCGGGACCAAUGGGGGGGUAUUAGACCCAAUUCGUGAGCCCAGGGGGCCGCCCAGGGCCUCGUGGGCAUUGGUCCCGGUUCGUGUGGAACCAUUUGUCCUGGUUCGAGCCACGAACCGGGACCAAUGGUCCUCGCGGCUGGCACACAACCUUUAGUCCCAGUUCAUGCCACGAAUCGGGACAAAUGACUUGCCUACAUAUAUAAGCACCGCCGCGGCAGAGCACUCCACAGUUCUCUGUUUUUGUCGAGCCGGCGAGGGGAGGGCAUUUGGGUGCUAUAGGUCACCUCCUAUGCACAUGAGGUGUUCGAUGAAAUGCACGAGCCACACUAGUUAAGCUUUCUCCUCUUGAAACUCGACAUCCGAGCUCCAUUUUCAACGAGACUUGUCUAGAUUCAACGGUCCGUCACGCCCCGUCUCCACCCCGUCUUCACCGCCGUCGAUCACCCACGCCGAUCUCGUUGCGGACACCACCUUGGUGAGCCUCUUGUUCUUAUCUUCUUUCUGAAAGAAAAAAAUUCUGACUUGAGAUAGAUACUUGUCGAAUUUUCUUACUUUUAUUAUUCCUUGUUAUUAUAUAGUGCGAUGGUUUUGGUAUCCGCUCCCGUCGGCCCUCGUCCUGUCUAUGAUUCAGAUGUGGUAUAUAUUAUCUUUUCAUAACUAUUUGGUUCAUUUAUUGUUUAUGACAAUUAUGAUGACCAACGUGACAUAUAUUUUUAAUCUAGGAGGUAUGUGAACCAGAAAUUCCAGCCCACCUAGAAAUGCUUCUUGAGAACUUAACUUUGGUUGAAAAAGAAAAAAAAUACUUGAAGGAAAAAUUGAAAAUAAUUGAGGAUAAAAAUAUGGAAAUGGAGUUGCAUGUUGCCGAGGUCAUUGACGAUCGCAAGAUGAAGAUCGAUGCGAUGCGGUUGUUGAUGGAUGCAAUGCGCUUGAAGAUGGAUGAAACGCGCUUGAAGAUUAUGAAUAUUAGAAAAUAUGCCAUUGAUAAAGAGGCUUGGUAUCAUUAUGCUGUUGGGUCAAUUGUUACCUUACUUGCAAGAUUGAUCGCGUUUGUUGUUGCAUUUAAAUGUUUUACAUAGUUGUAUGUUGUUUUAUGAGAGAACUUUAUGUAUUUAUUUUUCAAUAAUAACAUUUGAUCACUAUUGUGCGUUGGUUUUAAUGUGAUGAUGAACUUGUAUUAAUUUUGUAAUUUCUCUAUUCAUUUUGUUCUGCAAUGGUUUUUUGAUUAUAUACUUAAUUUCAUAAUAGAGAUGAAACGCCAAUGGAUGUACGGUGACCGACGCACUUUGGAGUACAUUAUGAACCGGGACUAAUGCCCGAGUCGAAAAGGGUUGUAAAUUGAUGAUGUGGCUUUGAAUGGUGCAUUUUGAAUACAGAAAACUAUGGAGUUCAAAUAAGUUCAAAAAAAUGUAAUCCCUUUGUAACAAACGAGUUUCCGUAUGAAACCGUGAUACUUCGAAAGAGAUUGUCCGUUUUGUACACGAAGUGCAUCCAGUUUUUUCCGUAACCCUCUCAACUUUCUCGCACAUGCUAUGUGGGUGAAAGGAUGAUACCAUGCCAACUUGGAACCUUUUCAGAGUUCAUUUCAAAAGCUUUUCUAUUUCAUGGUCUUAUAGCUCAAAAUAAUCAGCAAAUACAUGAAAAAUAACAAAUGAAGUCAGAAAGGGUUGUAAAUUGAUGAUGUGGCUUUGAAUGGUGCAUUUUGAACAUAGAAAAACUAUGGAGUUCAAAUAAGUUCAAAAAAAUGAAAUCCCUUUGUAACAAACGAGUUUCUGUAUGAAACCCUCAUACUACGAAAGAGAUUGUCCGUUUUGUACACGAAGUGAAUCCAAUUUUUGCCCUAACCCUCUGAACUUUCUCGCACAUGCUAUGUGGGUGAAAUUAUGAUACCAUGCCAACUUGGAACCUUUUCAGAGUUCAUUUCAAAUGCUUUUCAAUUUCAUGGUCUUAUAGCUCAUAAUAAUCAGUAAAUGCAUGAAAAAUAACAAAUGAAGUCAGAAAGGGUUGUAAAUUGAUGAUGUGGCUUUGAAUGGUGCAUUUUGAACACAGAAAAACUAUGGAGUUCAAAUAAGUUCAAAAAAAUGAAAUCCCUUUGUAACAGACGAGUUUUCGUGUGAAACCGUGAUACUUUGAAAGAGAUUGUCCGUUUUGUAGAUGAAGUGCAUCCAGUUUUUGCCGUAACCCUCUCAAGUGUCUCACACAUGCUAUGUGGGUGAAAUAAUGAUACCAUGCCAACUUGGAAACUUUUCAGAGUUUAUUUCAAAUGCUUUUCAAUUUCAUGGUCUUAUAGCUCAUAAUAAUCAGUAAAUGCAUGAAAAAUAACAAAUGAAGUCAGAAGGGGUUGUAAAUUGAUGAUGUGGCUUUGAAUGGUGCAUUUUGAACACAGAAAAACUAUGGAGUUCAAAUAAGUUCAAAAAAAUGAAAUCCCUUUGUAACAGACGAGUUUCCGUAUGAAACCCUGAUACUUCGAAAGAGAUUGUCCGUUUUGUACACGAAUUGCAUCCAGUUUUUGCCGUAACCCUCUCAACUUUCUCGCACAUGCUAUGUGGGUGAAAUGAUGAUACCAUGCCAACUUGGAACCUUUUCAGAGUUCAUUUGAAAUGCUUUUCAAUUUGAUGGUCUUAUAGCUCAAAAUAAUCAGUAGAUGCAUGAAAAAAAACAAAUGAAGUCAGAAAGGGUUGUAAAUUGAUGAUUUGGCUUUGAAUGGUGCAUUUUGAACACAGAAAAACUAUGGAGUUCAAAUAAGUUCAAAAAAAUGAAAUCCCUUUGUAACAGACGAGUUUCCGUAUGAAACCCUGAUACUUCGAAAGAGAUUGUCCGUUUUGUACACGAAGUGCAUCCAGUUUUUAAUGUAACCCUCUCAACUUUCUCGCACAUGCUAUGUGGGUGAAAGAUGAUACCAUGCCAACUUGGAACUUUUUCAGAGUUUAUUUCAAAUCCUUUUCAAUUUCAUGGUCUUAUAGCUCAAAAUUAUCAGUAAAUGCAUGAAAAAUAACAAAUGAAGUUAGAAAGGGUUGUAAAUUGAUGAUGUGGCUUUGAAUGGUGCAUUUUGAACACAAAAAAACUAUGGAGUUCAAAAAAGUUAAAAAAAAUGAAAUCCCGUUGUAACAGACGAGUUUCUGUAUGAAACUGUGAUACUUCGAAAGAGAUUGUCCGUUUUGUACACGAAGUGCAUCUAGUUUUUGCCGUAACCCUCUCAACUUUCUCGCACCUGCUAUGUGGGUGAAAUGAUGAUACCAUGCCACCUUGGAACCUUUUAAGAGUUCAUUUGAAAUGCUUUUCAAUUUCAUGGUCUUAUAGCUCAAAAUAAUCAUUAAAUGCAUGAAAAAUAACAAAUGAAGUCAGAAAGGGUUGAAAAUGUAUGAUGUGGCUUUGAAUGUUGCAUUUUGAACACAGAAAAACUAUGGAGUUCAAAUAAGUUCAAAAAAAUAAAAUUCCUUUGUAACAGACGAGUUUCCGAGACUAAAGAUCCAGCGAAACCACGUGGCGUGACGCGCAAACACGUGGCGUGCCGUAUAUGUUAUUAGUCCCGGUUCAGGACAAAAACCGGGACAAAAUAAGCUAACUAGCACUUUGAAUUUAAGUAGAAACAAAACAAAAUAAACAAUACAAGAAAUAAAAGAAAAAAUAAUCAGUAAAUGCAACUAAAAUUAUCAAAGUAUUUUCUGUUAAAAAUCAUUAAAAGCAAAAAGAAUUUCAUAAAGAACUUUUUUUGUUAGAAACUUUAAUGGCAAAAAGAAUUAUCAUAAAAUAAAAAAAAUAAGUAAUUAGAAGCAAAAAAAUAAAAAAAAAGUAUUUUGUUGUAAGGAGAAACAAAACAAAAUAAGCUAACUAAAAAAUAAACAAAACAAAAAUAAUGGAAAAAAAUUAAAAAAUAGAUGUUGCUCUCCACGUUGCAGCCGCGGCGGAGCUUAUAAACAGGCUCGGAAGCCCUUCGCUUGGCGAGGUGGGACUAAAUACUCAACCGCACCACGGGUGUGGCAGGCAACCGGUACCAAUGCAAUAAAUAGAUAAAAUAAAUAAAGCAAAAAAGAAAACAACAAAAACUAGGAAAAAAAUAGCCACCAACUCGGCCACCACGGCGUGAAUACCACUAGAAACCCAUCUAUGGGCUAGGAUUCAGGCCCGCAGUAGGCCCAGAAGGCUCAUCACGCAAAGCAUUAGCAAGUAGGCCCGUAAGCCUGCAGUGGAGAGGAGCUCGAGAGGGGUGCGGCAGUGGGGCUUAUAAACCAGUGCGCUCCCCUCUCAACUAGCGAGGUUGGACUAAACUUUGGCCGCGACGCGGGCAGCACAAGGGCCUUUGGUACCGGUUUGUGGCACCAACCGGUACCAAUGCCCCCUUUAGUCCCGGUACCAAUGGAUUUGCUAUAUAACCAAUAGUUGUGACAUUUUUGUCAGUUUCUUCGAUUCGUCCGACGACGCCGCCAGGCUGCCCGAGCUCGCCGUCGUCGCCCUGCCCCCGACCAUGCCGCCGUUGCCCGGCCCGACCACGCCGUCGUCGCCCCUGCCCCCCGACCACACCGCGCGCCCUCGCCAUGCCUGUACCGCGCCCCUACCCGCCUCGUCGACCCCGUUGCCGCCCUUUGCCCCGUCGAUCGCCAUCGCCCCUGCCCCGACCACACCGCCGUCGUGGCCCUCUACACCGACGCCGGCGCCGUGCCUCUCCUUGGUCAGGCUGGCGCCGCCCACCCUGUCCUCUCCUUUGUUCAUAUAAAUGAUGAUUUGUUUUUUGCAUUUUUAUAAAUAUGUAUAUAUGUAUGUAUGUUCUCUGUGCAUAUAAAAGUUACAUUUUUAGUACAUUUGGGUACAUUUUAGGUUAAUUUUAUGUAUGUAUGUUCUUUGUUCAUAUAUGUUCUGUGAUUUAGUACAUUUUAGGUUAGUUUCAUUUUUAGAAAAGUUUUAUAUAUUUAGGAAAAGAAGGAAGAGAAGGAAGAAGGAAGAAGAAGAAAAAGUUUUAUAUAUGCAAAAGUUACAUUUUUAGAAAAGUAUUAUAUAUAGCUAGGAAGAUAACGAAGAAGAAGAAAAAGAAUGAGAGGAGAAAAAGGAAAAUAAGAAGAGGAAAAAGGAAGAAAAAGAAGAGGAGAAGAAGAAAAGAAUAGAGGAGAAAGAAGAAAAAAAUAGAAAUUUUCUAUUUUUUUUCUUCUUUCUCCUCUAUUCCUUUCUUCUUCUCCUUUUUUUCUUAUUUUUUUCUUCGAUUGCUUCUCUUCUAUCCCUUUCUUCUUGUCCUCUUUUUAUUUCUUCUUUUGUCUUCUUAUUUUUUAUCGGGUAUGUCGUUGUCGAUAUACCCCCUCCCGAUCGAACUUCAACACGAGGGGGCGGGGUACCGAUAUACCCCCUCCCCGAUAACAUUAUUUUCCCAUGUAUAUGUAUGUGGCAUCGUUGUCGAUAUAACCCCCUCCCGGAUAACUUCGACAUGAGGGGCGGUUGAUAUAUAUACCCACUCUCGACCAUGAUAACUUAUACCACGAGAGCACCCCCCUCGGCCCUCUCGCUCGACUAAUACUCUCGAGGACACCCAAACCCUAGAGAAAAAACGAUGUUGGUCUCCUAUCCCCUCCCGCCGCGCCCCUACCCGACAAACUCUCUCGAGGCCACCAAAAUUUACCAAGUUAAAAGAGCGUUGUCGUCGAGGCCACCCCAAACCCUUGAAGCGUUGUGUCGAGGCCACCCCAAACCCUUGAAGCGUUGUCUAGGCCACCCCAAACCCUAGAGAAGCAGCGUCGAGGCCACUAACAUGAUUCCUUAUUGUGAUUAGCUAGCUAGUUCUACGUUUGCCACUAAUAUAUAUCCAUCUGUACCAUGUUUGAAUAAUAAUUGACAUGUUGUAAAUAUUUGCAGAAACUAUGGAUCACUCCCGAGAUGAAGAGGAAGAAAUGAUGUUCGGGGAGAUAAUCGCACAAGGAAGUGAUGUCAUUGCGUCGUUUCUCAGAGACACCGAUGGCCUGGAAGGACCGGGUGAAGAAGAGGGCUAUGUUCAUGAUGAUUUGGAAGGACCGGGUGAAGAAGACGGCUCCGUUGACCGAACCGAGUCCGCCAGGUAUAUAUAUAUAAGUUAAGCCCGUGCUGACUAGUUAAUUGAUGCAUUCAUUGUUUUCAUAUGUACACAUAUUAAUUAACUCUCAUAUUUCUUAUUUUUUCUCUAGCCCUCCGGAUCGACGUCAACCUCGGUAAAGAAACGAGGCCCAAAGAAAAAGUUGCGCUCGGAUGAAAGGUUGGAGAUCACAGCAAUCGCGCGCGAUGGCAAGCCGAUUGAACCCAUCCGGACAAGGGAUGCAUUUCGUGCUCAGUGCGGGGUUCUUGUUAGGGACAAGAUCCCGAUCAGUAUCCAGCAAUGGUUAAAGCCAAAGAAGGAAGACCCUGAGGUGCCGACGUCUUAUGUCUCCGAUAAACAGAAAGAAGAUCUUUGGACAACGCAUAAGGAAAAUUUCACCCUACCGCCAGAGGAGGAUGCAGAGAAGCCAGUUAAAGAGGAAUUGAUCAAGUCUCAUGCUCUUAAGAAGAUGGCAGAACUAUUCAGGAAGUGGAAGAAUGAGCUGAAAACGUUUGUCGACAAAGAAGAGACAGCAGAAUUCAGCCGCCGGUUUGACAAGAUCAGAGAUCAAUGGCCCGCAUUUGUGGCCCACAAGACAUCAGAAAAGAGUAAGAAGAUGUCAGCGACAAACAAGAAAAAUGCUGCGAAGAAUAAGCAUCACCAUCGCACGGGGUCAGGUGGUUACCUCAAAGCCCGACCUUUGUGGGACAAGGCUGAGAAUGACCUGAUUGCUAAAGGGGUCGAACCAGAGACAUUGAGAUGUCCAGACCGUUGCCGGACUUGGUUCUUCGGAGUUGGCGGAACCUUGGACCCUAUAUCAAGGGAGUGCGUUUGGACGGAAGACCAACUGCGAAUACCCAUCAGGAACCUUCAGCACUAUAUCGUCGCAGCACAGGAAGGGGCGUUCAUUCCAAACACAGAGAAUGAUGAGCUCACAAUAGCCCUAGGGAAUCCUGAGCACCCUGGACGGACACGAGGCACACCAGGCUCCCUUCCUUGCAAGGAUGGGUUUCCGGACGCAUGGGGUUACAAAACCCAGGAGAGGAGGAAGAAAGCGGAGCAUAGCCAACUGCAGGCGCUGCACGAAAGGGUACAAGGGCUAGAGGAACGACAAGUAGAUCGCAGCAAACGACCUGCCGAAGCUUCCCCUGAAGUUACCCCGCCAUCUCAGCGGAGAAGCAGCGUGGCUUCCACCAAGCAGACUCAGCAGCUGGAGCCUGUCUUCACGUGCUACCCCGUGGAUGCUAUCACAGAGUCUCAACAUUUCUUCCUUAUGAUGCAAUGGAUGACAUUCAAUGUCAAGGCGACUGUUGUCUCUGUUAUACCUAAUGAACCUAGCUCAACCUACCACGGCCAGACGAUUCCAGAAGGAUAUGCUAGGGUGAUGGUGGAUCAAAUAACGGAAGGAUUUGAGGACCUUGAGCUUGACCACCCUACGGGUGAAGGGGAGAUUCGGCUGGGUUCUUCUCUGAAGACUCCAUGCCUAUGGUGGAAGGAUCUCAUCCACCUUCCAAACUGGACGUCUCCGCCUCCUCCUCCUCCGGUGAGUCAGGGCCCGCCUCCUCCGGCGAGUGAUCAGGGCACUCAGCCUCCUUCUCUGGCGCGUGACGGCACUCCGCCUCCUUCUCCGCCUGCGCCGGCGCACUCGAGCAGCCAGCUGCCUCCUCCUUCUCCGCCUCGUCAACAAGGGCCGAAGAGACCCGCCGCCGCUCCGGCUCCUCUGGCGCGUAGUCCUUGUCCUCUGCCCGGUAAGAAAGAAAAGACAAUCGCAACCGCUCCUUCUGCUCCGACGUGUAGUAGUACAGCCAGAGGCACGCAAUACAAAUACGGUCCUUCUCUGAAGCCUGUAGAGAAGUUACCAUACGAGAGGAGCACGGAGGAAAACGAGAAGAUCGUGGAAGCCGAAGUGAAGAAUUUCUUUGAAGGGGUGAAAGCAAAAAAACAUCUACCUCCGGAGGAGAAGAUAGAUCUGGUAAAAGCAAAGCGUACUCUGGCUGCCCUGAAGAAACCACCAAGGUCUCCGACAAAAGGCAACUAUGAGCGCAUUAUUACAAAGUCAUUUAUCGAAGCGCAGCGGUCGGGAAGUACUGUCAGUGAUCGAAGGUUAGCAGAACGACGAGCUGGGAAAAAAGUUGCCCAGCUCGGCGAACAAGCGAACCAAUCGUUCCCCCCGCUCAAGGUGUCUAGCGAUAUCGUCGCUAAUCAUCCGGGGAUCUUGUUGCCCGGUACCAAUCCUGCAGAUUACCUGCCGAUGAUGCACAUUUUGAUUUAUUGGAGGUGGACGAACACAAAUACGUGUACGGGAAGCCUCUCAUCAAAGAUGAAAGAUCUCUAACAACGGUGAUGCGAAGAUUCCAUGAUUGGUACAUGAAAACUUGCAAAGUGUCUGGGGGAGUAAUAUUUUGACGUUGGGAGUUAGAAAGGAGCAUGACCUCGUUGGACUUGAACUGUUGAUGGUUCCAUUUGAGGAGUUCUUCCCGUUUUUCAAUCUAAAGGCCCUCGAUAAAUUAAUGAUCACUUGCUACUGCCUAUAAGUAGUACUACUUCUGUCAUUAAGUCUCUAUAUAUACAUCAUCUCUUUCGUUGCAUGUAUUUUUAAUUAUUCUCACUAUAUUAUAUGCAGAUUGAAGAUCAUCGAAUUGAAGAAAAGACAAAUCGAUGAUAUUGGAUUCAUUAACACAAAUCUCGUAGAUGCAUUUAUGAUUAAAUCUCACGCCAAAGAUACCGAGGCCAACCUGCUACAAUCAUUUGUAUUGAAUCAAAACAAAGCUAUAAUACUCUUCCCUUACGAAUUCCAGUGAGUGUUACUGUCUUGUGCAUAUUCGGUUUCCCUUAUUAGUCAAGGUUAUAGUAAUGUAAUUGAUGAGGUAUGCAUGCGUGCGCAGCUUCCACUAUAUUCUCCUAGAGAUUAAGCUUGAGCAGGGACUAGUAACCGUCUUAGACUCGAGACGAAAAGAUCCCAACGAGUAUGCAGACAUGACUAAAAUUCUAGAGAAGUAAGUUAAAUCGAUCAUUAUCGCACCAUAUCGGCAACUUUGUUCAUUUCCUGAUAUCAAGUAAUUGUUUUCUUUGUCUGACAGGGUUUGGAAAAAAUUCACCGCAAAAACUCCGGGACUACCGAAGAAGCUGCAAUUUAGACACCGGAAAGUAAGUACUAUAGUAGCCUGUUCCACGCAUCUCGUAGUGAUUCAAGCGCUAGUUUCAUCAAUACCAUUGAGCAUGCUUGCUAACUAUCAGUUUGAUUGACCUCUAUUUCUUGUAAAGUGGUUGUGGCAGGAACCAGGGAAUGAUUACUAUGGAUACUACAUUUGCGAGUCCAUCCGCCACGUGACCUGCGAGCGGGGCUCCUCUGACAAACAAUAUGACGUGCGUAAAUAAUAAUAUUCACAAUUUUAUUUUAUUACCAUCAUUUGUGUUCAGUUUUAUUUAUACAUAUAUGUAUUGACCCCCUUCUUCAAAUUAGAUAUAUCGGAUGCGGAAUGAACUCCUACCAGUAGAUCGUAUGCGAGGAAUUCAAGAGGAAUUGGCGGCAUUCUUUCUUGACCAUGUGAUCGCUAAGGACGGAGAAUACCAUGUGAACCCUAAUGAGUUGAAUUUUAAUUAGGUGAUUAUAUUGUAAGAGAUAAUUAUAUUGUAUAUAUGUAGCCAGUAGCGUCUGAUAGAUAUAGGAGAACUUGUUGUUCGACCAAUCUCUCACAGAAGGAGAGGUGGUCGAUAUCACUUCUCUUUGUAUGCAUAUGUUCAUGACGAUCUUCUGUUUCCUUCAUUUGCUUACUAGCUAGCGUGUCUAGUCCUCUCUAUACGUAUAGUAUGCAGCAUCGACCAAGCACAGAGAUAAGAGAGGACACUUUUCUCUAUUCAUUAGCUAGCUAACACAAUAUAUGAAACACCUAAAUUAACCCCCCAAAACCCCCUACCCCCCCCCCUUCAAAAAAACACAUCACCUGAAAUGCUGACGCGUGGAUGCCUUUUGGUCCCGGUUGGUGUCACCAACCGAGACUAAAGGCCCCCCUGCCCGGGCUAGCCGCACCGGCCACGUGGAGGCCCAUCUGUCUCGGUUCGUGUAAGAACCGGGACUAAAGGCCAAGGGCAUUAGUAACGACCUUUUAGUCCCGGUUCCGAAACCGGGACAGAAGGCCCUUACGAACUGGGACAAAAGGCCGUUUUUCUACUAGUGUGACAAGAUAAUAGCAUGAAACCAUCAAAAAUUAUAGAUACGUUGGAGACGUAUCAAGCAUCCCCAAGCUUAACUCCUGCUCAUCCUCGAGUAGGUAAGUGAUAAAGACUGAAUUUUUGAUGUGGAAUGCUACCUAGUAUAGUUUUCCUUUGCAACUUCUUUCGUGUGAUAUGAAUGUUCAGAUCCGUAAUAUUCAAAACAAUAGUUUGCUAUUGACAUGAAAACAAUAAUACUUCAAGCAAACUAGCAAGGUAAUCAUGAACUUUCAAAAUAACAAGGCCAAAGAAAGUUAUCCCUACAAAAUCAUAUAGUAGAGCCAUGCUCCAUCAUCCUCACACAACUAAUGCAAAUCAUGCACAACCCCGGUAUUGGCCAAGUAAUUGUUUUCGCACUCUUACUUUCUAAAAACUUUUUAUAACUGUCACACAAUACAUGAGCGUGAGCCAUGGCUAUAGCACUAUAGGUGGAAUAGAGUGUGGUGGUGGUUGUGAGACAAAAAGGAGGAGAUGGUCACAUUGACUCGGCGUAUCAAAGGGCUAUGGAGAUGCCCAUUAAUAGAUAUCAAUGUGAAUGAGUAGGGAUUGCCAUUCAAAUGAUGCACUAGAGCUAUAAGUAUGUGAAAGCUCAAAAGGAUAACUAGUGGGUGUGCAUCCAACUUGCUUGCUCACGAAGACGUAGGGAAAUUUUGAGGAAGCCCAUCAUUGCAAUAUACAAGCCAAGUUAUAAAAUGAAGAUUCACACUAGCAUAUGGUGAUGACGAAACGAGAGGCUCUCAAUCAUGAAGAACAUGGUGCUAUUAUGAAGCACAAGUGUGGAAAAAGAUAGUAGCAUUGUCCCUUCUCUCCUUUUCUCUCUUUCUUUUUUUAUUAUUUUUUAUGGGCUCUUGGGCCUUUUUUUAUUUGGGCUCUUUGGCCUAUUUUUUUAUUUCCUAACAUGGGACAAUUCUCUAAUAAUGAUGUUCAUCGCACUUUUAUUUACUCGCAGCUCAAAGCUUGGAAAUGACUCUAUAGGAAAUGCCUCCGGUAGUGUACCGGGAUGUGCAAUGAUCUAGCUUGGCGUAUGACGUUGAAACAUCUCGCUAGCUAUCUUACGAUCAUGCAAUGACAAUAUGAGAGUGACGGCACAACUCAUGAGACGAAACGAUGGGAGUUGCAUGGUAAUAUAUCUCGGAAUGGCUAUGAAAAUGCCAUAGUAGGUAGGUAUGAUGGCUGUUUUGAGGAAGGCAUAUGUGGGGUUUGUGUACCGGCGAGAAUUGCGCGGCACUAGAGAGGUUAGCAAUGGUGGAAGGUGAAAGUGCAUCUAUACCAUGGGCUCACAUUAGUCAUGAAGAACUCACAUACUUGUUGUGAAAGUUUUUAUUGGUAAUCGAAACAAAGUGCUAAACGCAUACUCCUAGGGGAAGGGUUGGUAGGUGUUAACCAUCGCGCGAUCCCGACCUCAACACAAAGGAUGACAAUCAAUAGAUCAAUUAUGCUCCAACUUCCUAACAUAGCGGUUCACCAUCCGUGCAUGAUGCGGGAAUCACUAACUUCAACACAAGUAUUUCUAGAUUCACAACACCCUACUAACAUAACUGUUAAUAUUACUAAAUCCACGUCUCAAAACUAAUUGAGAGGAAUCAAGACUUCUCUUUCUACUCAAUGCACAUGAAGAUGGAGGUUUUUCUAUCCUCUUUGGGUACCUAUCACCUUUGGGACUACUUUCAUAGAAUAAGCCAACUACCAAGUCACGCACUGCCGUGCUCUAAAAGAUCUAAGUGAAGCACAUAGAGCAAAAUUAUCUACCUCAAAAGAUAUAAGUGAAGCACGAUGAGCAUUCUAGAAAAAUCACGAUGAGUGCAUGUCUUUCUCUAAAGGUGUGCAGCAAGGAUGAUUGUGACACAACAAAAAGAAAAUACUCCUACAAUACAAGACGCUCCAAGCAAAACACAUAUCAUGUGGUGAAUAAAAAUAUAGCUCCAAGUAAUGUUACCGAUGGAUUGAAGACGAAAGAGGGGAUGCCUUCCCGGGGCAUCCCCAAGCUUAGGCUUUUUGAUGUCCUUGAAUUUGGCUUGGGAUGCCUUGGUCAUCCCCAAGCUUGAGCUCUUUCCACUCCUUAUCUCUUUGUCCAUGAGAACAUCACCCAAAACUUGAAAACUUCACAACACAAAACAUAAACAGAAACUCGUGAUAACAUUAGCACAAGAAAACAAACUACCACCACUUUAGGUACUGUAGAAAUCUUGAUUCCUAUUUAUAUUGGUGUUAGAUUACUGUAUUAUCACUUUUUCAUGGCUAGUACCCCCUGAUACUAUCCAUAGCUUCAUCAAAACAAGCAACCAACUCAACAAAAAAACAUAAUCUGUCAAAAACAGACUAGUGUGUAGCAAUAUGUAUACUUUGUAUACUUCUGGUACCUCAAAAAUUCUGACAAAUUACUACUGCCUGGGAAAAAGGCAUUUAAACCAGCAAAAAAAGAAUCAACUCUAAAUAUCUUUCUGAAUACAAAUGAAAAAUCAUCUCAUGAGAGAAAAGUUUUUGUCAUUUUCCAUCAGGAUCAAACAACCAUCACCAAGACUAGUCAUAAAGGUUUUGCUUGGCUCAAACAAAAAAAUAAACACAAAAUACACAAUCAUAAGAAAAUUAUGAUGUUGUGGACGCAACAAAAUAGAAAGAAAAAGAAAUAAAUUCAUUGGGUUGCCUCCCAACAAGCGCUAUUGUUUAACGCCCUUAGCUACGCAUAAGGCGAUAGAAUCACGUAUCGUCGUCUUUGGUGCUCAAACCAUAAGUAGCCCUCAUCAUGGAUUCAUAAGGCAAUCUUAUUUUCUUUAUAGGAAAGUGCUCCAUGCCCUUCUUUAGAGGAAAUUGAAAUAUAAUAUUCCCUUCCUUCAUAUCGAUGAUAGCACCGAUAGUUCUUAGGAAAGGUCUACCAAGAAUAAUAGGGCAUGUAGGAUUGUAAGCAAUGUCAAGCACAAUGAAAUCCAUGGGUACAUAGUUCCUAUUUGCAAUAAUAAGAACAUAAUUGGUCCUUCCCAUGGGUUUCUUGACAGUAGAAUCCACAAGAUGCAAAUUAGGAGAACACUCUUCAAUCUCAUUAAAACCCAGAACAUCACAUAAAGACUUUGGAAUCGCGGAAACACUAGCACCCAAAUCACACAAAGCAUUGCAUUCAUAGUUUUUUAUUUUGAUUUUGAUAGUAGGUUCCCACUCAUCAUGAAGCUUUCUAGGGAUAGAGACUUCCAAUUCAAGUUUCUCUUCAAGAGAUUUUAUCAUAGCUUCGACGAUAUGAUCGGUAAAGUCCUUGUUUUGGCUAUAAGCGUGUGGAGAGUUUAGGAUGGAUUACAUCAAGUAAAUGCAUUCCACCAAGGAGCAACUAUCAUAAUUGAAUUCCUUGAAAUCCAUAGUAGUAAUUUCAUUACUACUCAAAGUUUUAAUAUUUUCUACUCCACUUUCAACGCUUUUAGCAUCAAGAUAGAUGGACUCCGAAUCAUUGGGGCGUUUUUCAACCAAAGUGGAUUCAUAUCCAGCCCCAUCAUCAUUAGGUUUGGCACAAUAAAACAAAGAUUCAAUGGGAGUCACACCAAGGACUUUAAGAUCUCCGUGAUUCUUAUCACGAGAACAUGCCUUUUUAAGCCAUUCAUGUAUAUCACAAAUUUGGGCGGUUCUUUCUUUGCUCUCACUCAUGGAAACACGCAUAGCUUUCAAAGUUUCAUCCAUAUUGAUCUUGGGAGGAGCACAUCUAACUUCCAAAGCAUCAAUAUCACUAGACAUUCUAUCAACGCUCUUAGCGAAAUCGUCAAUUUUGAGUAGUUUUUCCUCUAUGGACGCAUUGAAAAUCUUUUGCGAGUUGAUAAACUCUUUGAUAUUACUCUCUAGAUCAGAGGGUAAUCUAUUGUAAUUUCCAUGAUUAUUGUUGUAGGAGUUGCCAAAGUUAUUAGCGGAGUUACUAGGAAAAGGCUUAGGAACAUAGUUUCCUCUAAAAGCAUUAUUGUUGCCAAAAUUAUUCCUACCAACAAAAUUAAAGUCCAAGUUAGAGUUGCUACUCUCAAUCAAUGAAGACAAGGGCAUAUCAUUAGGAUCUAAAGGAGCACUUCCACUAGCAACCAAAUUCAUUAACUCAUCCAUCUUAACACUCAACGAGUUAAUUUCUUCUAUAGUGUGUAGCUUCUCACUAGUAGGUGACCUUUUAGUGUGCCACUGAGAGUAGUUCGUCAUGAUAUUGUCUAGGAGUUUCGUGGCUUCUCCUAACGUGAUUUACAUGAACGUUCCACCUCAGGCGGAGUCCAAGAUACUUCUAUACGCGAAAUUCAAGCGAGCGUAGAAGAUUUGUAUAAUCAUCCAAAGACUCAAGCCAUGAGCGGGACAAUUUCUAAUCAUCAAUUUCAUUCUCUCCCAAGAUUGUGCAACAUGUUGAUGAUCCAGUUGCUUAAAAUUAAUGAUAUCAUUACGGAGAGAGAUAAUCUUAGCCGGCGGAAAAUACUUGGAUAUAUAAGCAUAUUUGCACUUAUCCCAAGAAUCGAUACUAUUUUUGGGCAAAGACGAAAACCAAGUUUUUGCUCGAUCUCGCAACGAGAAAGGAAAAAGCUCCAAUUUAAUCACAUCAUUAUUCACAUCUUUCUUCUUUUGCAUAUUGCAAAGCUCUAUGAAGGUAUUAAGAUGGGAUGCGACAUCUUCACUAGGAAGGCUGGAAAAUUGCUCUUUCAUAACAAGAUUCAACAAAGCGGCAUUGAUUUCAUAUGACUCCGCACUAGUGGCGGGAGCAAUCACAGUACUAAUAAAAUCUUUAUUAUUAGUAUUCAAGAAGUCACAAAGUUUGGUGUUUUCAGUCAUGGUGACUUCGGCAAGCAAGCAAGCACACAAGCGAACAUAGAGAAAGCGAGAGAAAAGGACGAAAGAAAAGGCAAACGAAAAAGGCAAAUAUUUUUUUGUAAUUUUUUGUUUUUCAGAAGUGGGGGAGAGGAAAACGAGAGGCAAAAAAGUAAAUGCAAGAGAUGAGAUUGCGACACUUACUUGGAUGAGUUCUUGAUUUGAUCCUCCCCGGCAACGGCGCCAGAAAUCCUUCUGCUACUUCUCAAACAACAGCCCCAGAAUUUGACACGUUGACGGAGACUUGCUUGCGUUGGUUUUUCCCUUGAAGAGGAAAGGGUGAUGCAGCACAGGAGCAGUAAGUAUUUCCCGCAGUUUGAGAACCAAGGUAUCAAUCCAGUAGGAGAAUCUCGUCAAGUCCAAAGUACCUGAGCAAAUACAAAAGAGCUUGCACCCAACGCUAUAAAGGGGUUGUCAAUCCCUUCAAGAUUGAUUGCAAAAUGAGAUCUGAAUGUGGAAAGUGCAACGAAGGAAAAGUGUAAGGCUGAAAAUAUGGUGUGGAGUACACCCGGGGGCCAUAGUGUUCACUAGAGGCUUCUCUCAAAAUAGCAAAUAUUACGGUGGGUGAACAAAUUACUGUCGAGCAAUUGAUAGAACCUCGCAAAGUCAUGAAGAUAUAUAAGGCAAUGAUCAUACAUAUAGGCAUCACGUCCGAGACAAGUAGACCGAUACUUUCUGCAUCUACUACUAUUACUCCACACAUCGACCGCUAUCCAGCAUGCAUCUAGUGUAUUGAGUUCAUGACGAACAGAGUCACGCCUUAAGCAAGAUGACAUGAUGUAGAGGGAUAAACUCAAACCAAUGAUGAAAACCCCAUCUUUUUUACCCUUGAUGUCAACAACAUGAUGCGUGCCUCGCUACCCCUUCUAUCACUGGGUGAGUUCACCGCACGGUAUGAACCCAAAACCAAGCACUUCUCCCAUUGCAAGAAUCAUAGAUCAAGCUGGCCAAACNACGCCUUAAGCAAGAUGACAUGAUGUAGAGGGAUAAACUCAAACCAAUGAUGAAAACCCCAUCUUUUUUACCCUUGAUGUCAACAACAUGAUGCGUGCCUCGCUACCCCUUCUAUCACUGGGUGAGUUCACCGCACGGUAUGAACCCAAAACCAAGCACUUCUCCCAUUGCAAGAAUCAUAGAUCAAGCUGGCCAAACAAAACCCACAACUCGAAGAGAAUUACAAGGAUAUGAAAUCAUGCCUAUAAGAGAUCAGAAGAAACUCAAAUAAGAUUCAUGGAUAAUCUGAUCAUAAAUCCACAAUUCAUCGGAUCUCGACAAACACACCGCAAAAGAAGAUUACAUCGGAUAGAUCUCCAUGAAGAUCAUGGAGAACUUUGUAUUGAAGAUCUAAGAGAGAGAAGAGCCAUCUAGGUACUAGCUAUGGACCCGUAGGUCUAUGGUGAACUACUCACGCAUCAUCUGCGAGGUCAUGGUGUUGAUGAAGAAACCCUUCGUAUCCGAAUCCCCCCUCCGGCAGGGCACCAGAACGUGCCCCAGAUGUGAUCUUGCGGAGACAGAAGCUUGCGGCGGCGGAAAAGUACUUUCGAUGAUCUCCUGAUUUUUUCUAGGAUUUUAGGGAAUAUAUAGGCGAAAGACCUAGGGAAAAGGUGGCCCAGGGAGCCCACAAGCUUGGAAGGCACGGGCCCCCUGGUCGCGGCUAGGGGGCUUGUGGGAUCCCUGGUGGCCCCUGCCCUGAUUCUCAGGCUUCCCGAUCUUCUUCUGUUCCGGAAAAAUCUUUUUGGAAGUUUCGUUCCGUUUGCACUUCAUUUAAAAUGCUCCUCUGAAAGGGGUAAAAACAUGGAAAAAACAAGAACUGGCACUUGGCACUGAGUUAAUAAGUUAGUCCCAAAAAUUAUAUAAAAGGCAUACAAAGCAUCCAAAGUUUGACAAGACAAUAGCAUGAAACCAUAAAAAAUAAUAGAUACGUUAGAGACGUAUCAGUUUACUUACGAAUCACAUACCUCUUCGUUUCUGGAGUCUGAAACAGGGUGAUAAAUAUCCCUUAUGUACUCUUUCGGAGUUAUGGUAUUAAUAAUAUUGCUUUCAACAUUUAUGAGAGUACGUGAGAUAUAAUGCUUGAUUUUUUCCCAUUUACCACUCUCGGAAAAUUACCUUCCGUGUUGUUGAUCUUGAUGGCACCGGAACGAUAUACUUCCUCAACAAUGUAAGGAACUUCCCAUUUAGAGAGAAGCUUGCCUGCAAAAAUCUUAAACGAGAAUUGUAUAGUAAGACAUAAUCACCUACAUUGAACUCACAUUUUUGUAUCCUUUUAUCAUGCCAACUCUUAACUUUUUCUUUGAACAACUUGGCAUUUUCAUAUGCCUGAGUUCUCCAUUCAUCAAGUGAGCUAAUAUCAAAUAACCUCUUCUCACCAGCAAGUUUGAAAUCAAAGUUGAGCUCUUUGAUUGCCCAAUAAGCGUUAUGCUCUAGCUCAAGAGGUAAAUGACAUGCUUUACUAUAAACCAUUUUGUACGGAGACAUGCCCUUGGCAUUCUUAUAAGCAUUUCUUUAAGCCCACAGUGCAUCACCAAGCUUCUUAGACAAAUUAUUUCUAGACCUAUUAACAGUCUUUUGCAGAAUAAGUUUAAUCAAUCUAUUACUUAGCUCUACUUGACCACUGGACUGAGGAUGAUAGGGUGAUGAAAUUCUAUGGUUGACAUCAUACUUAGCAAGCGUUUUACGGAAAGCACCAUGAAUAAAAUGUGAACCACCAUCAGUCAUUAAAUAUCAAGGGACUCCAAAUCUAUGGAAUAGAACUUCUUUAAGCAUCCCAAUAGAGGUGUUGUGAUCAGCACUACUAGUUGGGAUAUCUUCUACCCACUUAGUAACGUAAUCAACAACAACUAGGAUAUGAGUAUACCCGUUGGACUUUUUAAAAGGUCCCAUAUAAUCAAAACCCCAAACAUCAAAUGGUUCAAUGAAAAGUGAAUAAUUCAUAGGCAUUUCCUAACAUUUACUGAUAUUACCUAUUCUUUGACAUUGAUCACAAGACAAGACAAACUUAUGGGCAUCCUUGAAGAGGGUAGGCCAAUAGAAACUAGAUUGCAAUAAGUUAUGUGCAGUUCUAUCUCCCGCAUGGUGGCCUCCGUAAGCCUCAGAGUGAAACUUCUGUAGGAUCUGUCCCUGUUCAAGCUCAGGUACACAACGUCUAAUAACACCAACUACUCCUUCUUUAUAAAGGUGAGGAUCAUCCCAAAAGUAAUGUCUCAAAUCAAAGAAGAAUUUCUUCUUUUGCUGGUAUGUGAAAUUAGGUGGUAUAUAUUUGGCAACAAUAUAAUUCGCAUAAUCAGCAUACAACGGUGUACUACGUGAAGCAUUGAUGAUAUUCAAUUGCUCAUGAGGAAAGCUAUCAUCAAUAGGUUGUGGGUCAUCAAGAACAUUCUCCAACCUAGACAAGUUAUCUGCUACGGGGUUCUCAGCACCCUUCCUAUCAACAACAUGCCAAUCAAAUUCUUGUAGCAAGAGAACCCAUCUGAUAAGUCUAGGUUUAGCAUCUUUCUUUUCCAUGAGAUACUUAAUAGCAGCAGGAUCAGUAUGAAUAGUAACCUUGGAGUCAACAAUGUAAGAUCUGAACUUUUCACAUGCAAACACGACUGCUAAAAGUUCCUUUUUAGCAGUAGCAUAGUUUCUUUGGGCACUAUCAAGAGUUUUACUAUCAUAAUGAAUAACAUUCAACUUCUUAUCAGCUCUUUGUCCUAGAACAGCGCCAAUAGCAUAAUCACUAGCAUCACACAUAAUCUCAAAAGGUAAGUUCCAAUCAGGUGGUUGAACAAUAAGUGCAGUUAUCAAGGCCUUCUUAAGUAUUUCAAUGGCUUCCUCACAAUCAUCGUCAAAAACAAAAGGAAUAUCCUUUUGCAAGAGAUUGGUAAGAGGCCUAGAAAUCUUAGAAAAGUCCUUAAUGAACCUUCUAUAGAAACCAGCAUGACCAAGGAAACUUCUUAUACCUUUAAUGUUUGUAGGGCAUGGCAUUUUCUUGAUCGGAUCAACCUUAGCCUUAACGACUUCAAUACCUCUUUUAGAAAUUUUAUGUCCUAAGACGAUGCCUUCAUUAACCAUAAAGUGGCACUUCUCCCAAUUCAGGACAAGGUUGGUAUUUUACAUCUCUGCAAAACUCGAUCAAGGUUGCUGAGGCAAUCAUCCAAAAAAGACACGUAAACGGAGAAGUCAUCCACGAAAACAUCAAUAAUCUUUUCACAAUAGUCAGAGAAUGUAGCCAUCAUACAUCUUUGAAAGGUAGCAGGUGCAUUAGAUAAGCCAAAAGGCAUACGUCUGCAAGCAAAGGUACCAAAAGGGCAGGUAAAAGUGGUUUUCUCCUGAUGAAAUUGUGCAACAGGUAUUUGGGAGAAACCAGAAUAACCAUCUAGAAAGCAGAAGUGUGUGUGUUUAGGCAAUCUUUCUAGCAUUUGGUCAAUAAAAGGCAAAGGGUAAUGAUCUUUCUUAGUGGCUUUAUUCAAUUUCCUAAAUUCAAUCACCAUCCUAUAGCCAGUAAUAAUCCUGUGUGGGAUCAAUUCAUCUUUAUCAUUAGGGACAACGGUAAUACCUCCCUUCUUGGGGACGCAAUGCACCAGACUUACCCAAUCACUAUGAGCAACAGGAUCGAUAAUACCUGCUUCCAGGAGCUUUAGUAUUUCUUUUCUUACUACCUCUUUAAUCUUAGGAUUUAAUCUCCGUUGAUGAUCGGCAACUGGUUUGGAAUCAGGAUCGGUUUUAAUUUUGUGCUGGCAUAGAGUGGGACUAAUGCCCUUAAGAUCAUCAAGGGUAUAUCCAAUAGUAGCACGGUGCUUCCUCAGAGUUUUCAAUAAUUUCUUUUCUUCAUACUCUGAAAGGCUAGCACUAAUAACAACAUCAUAUAUCUAUUUUUCAUCAAGAUAAGCAUACUUAAGAGUAUCAGGUAACUGUUUAAGCUCGAACACAGGAUCAGCCUUUGGUGGGGUUGGAUCUCCAAGCAGUUCAACAGGCAAAUUAUUCUGAAGGAUAGGAUGUUGUUCAAAGAUAACUCAAUCUAUCUCAUUCCUUUCACCCAUAUCACUACUGAAAUUCAUAAAUUUACCGUCCGCCAAAGCGGACGGCAAAGGGUGCAACCACGGACGGCAAAGGCUUUGCCGUCGGUCAGCAGACGACAAAGUAGACGGUAAAAAAAAUCGGUGAAGAGGUUCUUUGCCCUCUGCUUUCCCAAAGCGGACGACAAAGAAACUUUGCCAUGAGGGGGCAUACGGAAAAUUAACUGGGAUGUCAGAUAUUGCAACAUCCCCGUUAAGUGUUAACGGCAGGCCUCCUCCCUUUGCCGUCUGCCUCCCCCCUUUGCCAUGUGGGGGCAGACGGCAAAGAGGGGAGAAAGAGGGGGCAGAUUCCCCCCUUUUCCGUCUGCCUCCCCCCCUUUGCCAUGUGGGGGCAGACGGCAAAGAGGGGAGAGAGAGGGGGCAAAUUCCCCCCUUUGCCGUCUGCCUCCCCCCUUUGCCAUGUGGGGGCAGACGGCAAAGAGGGGAACCAGCCCCUUUUUAUUUAUUUUUUGUUAUAUCCAGCAUUUUUAACAAUAAUCAGGAUAUAUAUAUAUAUCCUGAUUAUUGUUAAAAAUGCUGGAUAUAACAAAAAAUAAAUAAAGAGGGGCUGGUUCCCAUCCNGAUGCAACUUGAAAGCUGGAUAUAAGAGGUUAUUUUAAUAUGGUUAUGAGUACGGAAAGAAAUUUAUGUAUGUCAAAUAUAUAUAUAUAUAUUUGACAUACAUAAAUUUCUUUCCGUACUCAUAACCAUAUUAAAAUAACCUCUUAUAUCCAGCUUUCAAGUUGCAUCCACGUGCAUACAAAUUUUCAUAUAUUACACCAAUUUCAUCCACGUGCAUACAAAGUUUCAUAUAUUCAUAUACUACAAUAGUUACAAUACAACCCAUGGUACAAGAAAUCAUCUUCAAGCAUUCCAUCAAUAUUUUCCAUGCUUCCCGUGAAGUGAAGGUAAUCUGCAAAAUGACAAAUAGGAAAGUUAGAAGAAUAAUACUAGAUGAAGUAGUGUAUAUAUAGGUUAUUUCGGAGAGAAAUUAGCUAAGUAUAGACCAUUUAGGAGCUAACUAAGCUAAUUAUGUCAUUUAGGUGGAACCCUAGCUAACUAUAGGUCGUUUCGGAGCUAACUUGGGUAAAAUAGGUCAUUCCGGAGCAAACUAUGCUUAUUAAGCCAUUUUUGAUCUAGCUAGGCUAAUUAUAGGCCAUUUAAUACCUAAGUUAGGGGGAACAGGUCAUGUUGCAGCUACGUAAGCCUUAUUAUGUCAUUUAGGAGAGAACUUAGCUAAGUAUAGGUCAUGUUUUAUUAAAUAGACCAUUUAGGAGCUAACUAAGCUAAUUAUGUCAUUUAAAUGGAUAAUUAGCCAAUUUAGGCUUUCUUGGAUGACUCUAAGCUAUGUAGAAGAAGAGAAAGAGAAGAAGAAGUAAAAGAAGGAGGAGGAGGAGGANNNNNNNNNNNNNNNNNNNNNNNNNNNNNNNNNNNNNNNNNNNNNNNNNNNNNNNNNNNNNNNNNNNNNNNNNNNNNNNNNNNNNNNNNNNNNNNNUUCCUCUCCUUCUUCUUAUCCUCCUCCCUCUCCUUCUUCUUCUUCUGCUCUUCUUCUUCUUCCUUCCUUUCAUUUUUCCUCUUUCUUCUCCUCUCGUCCCCUUCUUCGGGCUAAAUUGGCUAAGAAUGCCUUUUUGGAGCUAAUUAUGUCAUUUCGAGGAUAAUUAGCUAACCAUAGUGUUGGAAUUAUGCCCAAGAGGCAAUAAUAAAUAUAGUUAUUAUUAUAAUUCCUGUAUCAAGAUAAUCGUUUAUUAUCCAUGCUAUAAUUGUAUUGAAUGAAGACUCAUUUACAUGUGUGGAUACAUAGACGAAACACUGUCCCUAGCAAGCCUCUAGUUGGCUAGCCAGUUGAUCAAAGAUAGUCAGUGUCUUCUGAUUAUGAACAAGGUGUUGUUGCUUGAUAACUGGAUCACGUCAUUAGGAGAAUCACAUGAUGGACUAGACCCAAACUAAUAGACGUAGCAUGUUGAUCGUGUCAUUUUGUUGCUACUGUUUUCUGCGUGUCAAGUAUUUAUUCCUAUGACCAUGAGAUCAUAUAACUCACUGACAUCGGAGGAAUACUUUGUGUGUAUCAAACGUCGCAACGUAACUGGGUGACUAUAAAGAUGCUCUACAGGUAUCUCCGAAGGUGUUAGUUGAGUUAGUAUGGAUCAAGACUGGGAUUUGUCACUCCGUGUGACGGAGAGGUAUCUCGGGGCCCACUCGGUAAUACAACAUCACACACAAGCCUUGCAAGCAAUGUAACUUAGUGUAAGUUGCGGGAUCUUGUAUUACGGAACGAGUAAAGAGACUUGCCGGUAAACGAGAUUGAAAUAGCUAUGCGGAUACUGACGAUCGAAUCUCGGGCAAGUAACAUACCGAAGGACAAAGGGAAUGACAUACGGGAUUAUAUGAAUCCUUGACACUGAGGUUCAAACGAUAAGUUCUUCGUAGAAUAUGUAGGAUCCAAUAUGGGCAUCCUGGUCCCGCUAUUGGAUAUUGACCGAGGAGUCUCUCGGGUCAUGUCUACAUAGUUCUCGAACCCGCAGGGUCUGCACACUUAAGGUUCGACGUUGUUUUAUGCGUAUUUGAGUUAUAUGGUUGGUUACCGAAUGUUGUUCGGAGUCCCGGAUGAGAUCACGGAGGUCACGAGGGUUUCCAGAAUGGUCCGGAAACGAAGAUUGAUAUAUAGGAUGACCUCAUUUGAUUACCGGAAGGUUUUCGGAGUUACCGGGAAUGGCGAAUGGGUUCCGGGAGUUCCCCGGGGGGGGGGCAACCCACCCCGGGGAAGCCCAUAGGCCUUGAGGGUGGCGCACCAGCCCUUAGUGGGCUGGUGGGACAGCCCAAAAGGGGCCCUAUGCGCAUUGGAAGAAAAAUCAAAGAGAAAGAAAAAAAAGGAGGUGGGAAGGGAAGGAAGGACUCCCACCCACCAAACCAAGUCCAACUCGGUUUGGGGGGGGGGGGAGACCUUCCCCCCUUGGCUCGGCCGACCCCCUUGGGGCUCCUUGAGCCCCAAGGAAAGGACCCCCUCUCCCACCUAUAUAUACGGAGGUUUUAGGGCUGAUUUGAGACGACUUUUCCACGGCAGCCCGACCACAUACCUCCACGGUUUUCCCUCUAGAUCGCGUUUCUGCAGAGCUCGGGCGGAGCCCUGCUGAGACGAGAUCAUCACAAACCUCCGGAGCGCUGUCACGCUGCCGGAGAACUCUUCUACCUCUCCGUCUCUCUUGUUGAAUCAAGAAGGCCGAGAUCAUCGUCGAGCUAUAUGUGUGCUGAACGCGGAGGUGCCGUCCGUUCGGUACUAGAUCGUGGGACUGAUCGCGGGAUUGUUCGCGGGGCGGAUCGAGGGACGUGAAGACGAUCCACUACAUCAACCGCGUUCACUAACGCUUCUGCUGUACGGUCUACAAGGGUACGUAGAUCACUCAUCCCUCUUGUAGAUGGAUAUCACCAUGAUAGGUGUUCGUGCGCGUAGGAAAAGUUUUGUUUCCCAUGCGACGUUCACCAACAGUGGCAUCAUGAGCUAGGUUCAUGCGUAGAUGUCUUCUCGAGUAGAACACAAAAGUUUUUGUGGGCGGUGAUGUGCGUUUUUCUGCCCUCCUUAGUCUUUUCUUGAUUCCACGGUAUUGUUGGAUUGAAGCGGCUUGGACCGACAUUACUCGUACGCUUACGAGAGACUGGUUUCAUCGCUACGAGUAACCCCGUUGCUCAAAGAUGACUAGCAAGUGUCGGUUUCUCCAACUUUAGUUGAAUCGGAUUGCACCGAGGAGGUCCUUGGGUGAGGUUAAAUAGCAACUCAUAUAUCUUCGUUGUGGUGUUUGCGUAAGUAAGAUGCGAUCCUACUAGAUACCCAUGGUCACCACGUAAAACAUGCAACAACAAAAUUAGAGGACGUCUAACUUGUUUUUGCAGGGUAUGCUUGUGAUGUGAUAUGGCCGAUGAUGUGAUGUGAUAUAUUGGAUGUAUGAGAUGAUCAUGUUGUAAUAGAUAAUACCGACUUGCACGUCGAUGGUACGGCAACCGGCAGGAGCCAUAGGGUUGUCUUUAUACUAAUGUUUGUGCUUGCAGAUGCGUUUACUAUUUUGCUAGGAUGUAGCUUUAGUAGUAAUAGCAUGAGUAGCAUAACAACCCCGAUGGCGACACGUUGAUGGAGAUCAUGGUGUGGCGCCGGUGACAAGAAGAUCGUGCCGGUGCUUUGGUGAUGGAGAUCAAGAAGCACGUGCUGAUGGCCAUAUCAUGUCACUUAUGAAUUGCAUGUGAUGUUAAUCCUUUUAUGCACCUUAUUUUUCUUAGAACGACGGUAGCAUUAUGAGGUGAUCUCUCACUAAAAUUUCAAGACGAAAUUGUGUUCUCCCCGACUGUGCACCGUUGCUACAAUUCGUCGUUUCAAGACACCACGUGAUGAUCGGGUGUGAUAGACUCAACGUUCACAUACAACGGGUGCAAAACAGUUGCGCACGCGAAACACUCGGGUUAAGCUUGACGAGCGUAGCAUGUGCAGACAUGGCCUCGGAACACAUGAGACCGAAAGGUCGAUCAUGAAUCAUAUAGAUGAUAUGAUUAGUAUAGGGAUGCUUACCACUGAAACUAUACUCAACUCACGUGAUGAUCGGACUUGAGCUAGUGUAAGUGGAUCAUGAACCACUCAAAUGACUAGAGAGAUGUACUUUUUGAGUGGGAGUUUAGCGAAUAAUUUGAUUAAGUUAAACUCUAAUUAUCUUGAACAUAGUCUAAGUCCACUUUGAAUAUAUUUGUGCUGUAGAUCAUGGCUCACGUGACAGUCACCCUGAAUUUUAAUACGUUCCUAGAGAAAGCUAAGUUGAAAGAUGAUGGAAGCAACUUUGUAGACUGGGCUCGUAAUCUUAAGCUAAUCUUACAAGCUGGGAAGAAGGAUUAUGUCCUUAAUGCUGCGCUAGGAGAUGAACCACCGCUACGGCUGAUCAGGAUGUUAAGAACGCUUGGUUAGCAAGUAAGGAGGACUACCCAGUAGUUCAAUGUGCAGUCUUGUAUGGCUUAUAACCGGGACUUCAACGUCGCUUUGAGCGUCAUGGAGCAUUUGAGAUGUUCCAGGAGUUGAAGUUUAUCUUUCAGAAGAACGCCCGGAUCGAGAGGUAUGAGACGUCCGAUAAAUUCUAUGCUUGCAAGAUGGAGGAAAACUCGUCUGUCAGUGAACAUGUGCUCAAAAUGUCUGGGUACUCAAACCGUCUGGCUGAGCUGGGGAUUGAACUCCCGCAAGAGGCUAUCACUGACAGAAUCCUUCAAUCGCUGCCGCCAUGCUAUAAAGGCUUUGUGUUGAACUACAACAUGCAAGGGAUGAACAAGUCUCCCGGCGACUUGUUUGCGAUGCUGAAAGUCGCAGAGUCUGAACUCCGUAAAGAGCAUCAAGUGUUGAUGGUGAAUAAGACCACUAGUUUCAAGAGAAAUAGCAAAGGCAAGAAGGGUAAUUCAAAGAAGAGCGGCAAGCAUGUUGCCAAUCCGACAAAGAAACCCAAAGCUGGACCUAAGCCUGAACGGAGUGUUACUAUUGCAAGGGUAUGGGUCACUGGAAGCGCAAUUGCCCCAAGUAUCUGGCAGAUAAGAAGGAGGCCAAAGAAAAAUCAGGUAUAUUUGAUAUACAAGUUAUUGAUGUGUACUUAACCGACUCUCGUAGUAGUGCCUGGGUAUUCGAUACCGGUUCUGUUUCUCAUAUUUGCAACUCGAAACAGGAACUGCGGAAUAGACGAAGGCUGGCGAAAGAUGAAGUGACGAUGCGCGUAGGAAAUGGUUCCAAGGUUGAUGCAAUCACCGUCGGCACAGUUUCACUUCAGUUACCAUCAGGAUUAGUUAUGAACUUAAAUCAUUGUUAUUUAGUGCCUGCGUUGAGCAUGAACAUUAUAUCUGGAUCUUGUUUAUUGCGAGACGGUUACUCUUUUAAGUCAGAGAAUAAUGGUUGUUCUAUUUCUAUGAGUAACAUCUUUUAUGGUCAUGCACCCAAUGUGAGAGGAUUGUUCAUAUUGAAUCUUGAUAGCGAUACACCCAUACAUAACAUUGAGACCAAAAGAGUUAGAGUUAACAAUGAUAGCGCCAUAUUUUUGUGACACUGCCGCUUAGGUCAUAUUGGUGUAAAGCGCAUGAAGAAACUCCAUGCCGAUGGACUUUUGGAGUCACUUGACUUUGAUUCACUUGACACGUGCGAACCAUGCCUCAUGGGCAAGAUGACUAAAACUCCGUUCUCCGGAACAAUGGAGUGUGCAAGUGACUUGUUGGAAAUCAUACAUACCGAUGUGUGUGGUCCGAUCAGCGUGGAGGCACGCAGCGGAUAUCGUUAUUUUCUCACCUUCACUGACGAUUUGAGUAGAUAUGGUUAUGUCUACUUAAUGAAGCACAAGUCUGAAACAUUUGAAAAGUUCAAGCAAUUUCAGAGUGAAGUUGAAAAUCGUCGUAACAAGAAGAUCAAGUUCCUACGGUGUGAUCGUGGGGGUGAAUAACUGAGUUUCGAGUUUGGUGCUCACUUAAGACAAUGUGGAAUUGUUUCACAGUUGACACCGCCUGGAACACCACAGCGUAAUGGUGUGUCCGAACGUCGUAAUAGUACUUUAUUAGAGAUGAUGCGAUCUAUGAUGUCUCUUACCGAUUUGCCGUUAUCGUUUUUGGGGUUAUGCAUUAGAAACAACUGCAUUCACUUUAAAUAGGGCACCAUCAAAAUCCAUUGAGACGACACCAUACGAACUGUGGUAUGGCAAAAGGCCAAAGUUGUCGUUUCUUAAAGUUUGGGGAUGUGAUGCUUAUGUCAAAAAGCUUCAGCCUAAAAAGCUGGAACCCAAAGCGGAAAAGUGCAUCUUCAUAGGUUACCCGAAAGAGACAGUUGGGUACACCUUCUAUCUCAAAUCCGAGGGCAAAGUGUUUGUUGCUGAAAACGGAGCUUUUCUCGAGAAGGAGUUUCUCUCGAGGGAAUUGAGUGGGAGGAAGAUAGAACUUGACGAGGUUGUCGAACCUCUCAUCCCUCUGGAUGGUGGCGCAGGGCAAGGGGAAACCUCUGUCGCUACGACGCCGGUUGAGGAGGAAGUUAAUGAUGAUGAUCAUGAAACUCCGGUUCAAGUUUCUGUCGAACCACGCAGGUCGACGAGACCACGUGCUGCUCUAGAGUGGUACGGUAAUCCCGUCUUGUCAAUCAUGUUGUUGAACAACAAUGAACCUGCAAAUUAUGAAGAAGCAAUGGUGGGCCCAGAUUCCAACAAAUGGCUAGAAGCCAUGAAGUCCGAGAUACGAUCCAUGUAUGAGAACAAAGUGUGGACUUUGGAGGUACUGCCUGAGGGCCGCAAGGCUAUUCAGAACAAAUGGAUCAUUAAGAGGAAGACGGACGCUGACGGCAAUGUGAACGUUUAUAAAGCUCGACUUGUGGCAAAGGGUUUUUCACAAGUUCAAGGAGUUGACUACGAUGAGACAUUGUCACCCGUAGCGAUGCUUAAGUCCGUCAGAAUCAUGUUAGCAAUAGCUGCAUUUUUUGAUUAUGAAAUCUGGCAGAUGGAUGUCAAAACAGCGUUCCUUAACGGUUUCCUUAAGGAAGAAUUGUAUAUGAUGCAACCCGAAGGUUUUGUCGAUCCUAAGAAUGCUAACAAGGUGUGCAAGCUCCAGCGAUCCAUUUAUGGAAUGGUGCAAGCAUCUCGGAGUUGGAACAAACGUUUUGAUGAGGUGAUCAAAGCAUUUGGGUUUAUACAAGUGGUUGGAGAAUCUUGUAUUUACAAGAAAGUGAGUGGGAGCUCUGUGGCGUUUCUAAUAUUAUAUGUGGAUGACAUAUUGCUGAUUGGAAACAACGUGGAGUUUUUGGAGAGCAUAAAGGAUUACUUGAAUAAAAGUUUCUCUAUGAAGGACCUAGGAGAAGCUGCUUACAUUCUAGGCAUUAAGAUCUAUAGGGAUAGAUCAAAACGCCUGAUAGGACUUCCACAAAGCACAUACCUUGAUAAAGUUUUGAAGAGGUUCAAAAUGGAACAGUCCAAGAAGGGGUUCUUGCCAGUUUUACAAGGUACGAGAUUGAGUAAGACUCAGUGCCCAGCAACUGAUGAAGAUAGAGAGCAUAUGCGCUCCGUCCCCUAUGCUUCAGCCAUAGGAUCUAUCAUGUAUGCAAUGCUGUGCACUAGACCGGACGUUAGCCUGGCCAUAAGUAUGGCAGGUAGGUUCCAGAGUAAUCCAGGAGUGGAUCACUGGACGGCGGUCAAGAAUAUCCUAAAGUAUCUGAAAAGGACUAAGGUGAUGUUUCUUGUAUAUGGAGGUGACGAAGAGCUCGGCGUAAAAGGUUACGUCGAUGCAAGCUUUGACACAGAUCCGGACGACUCUAAGUCGCAAACCGGAUACGUAUUUAUUCUUAAUGGGGGUUCGGUAAGCUGGUGCAGUUCCAAGCAAAGCGUCGUAGCAGAUUCUACAUGUGAAGCGGAGUACAUGGCUGCCUCGAAGGCGGCUAAGGAGGGUGUCUGGAUGAAGCAGUUCAUGACAGAUCUAGGAGUGGUGCCAAGCGCACUGAAUCCAAUAACCUUGUUCUGUGACAACACGGGUGCCAUUGCCUUAGCAAAGGAACCACGGUUUCACAAGAAGUCCAGACACAUCAAACGACGCUUCAACCUCAUCCGCGACUACGUCGAAGGGGAGGACGUAAAUAUAUGCAAAGUGCACACGGAUCUGAAUGUAGCAGACCCGCUGACUAAACCUCUUCCACGGCCAAAGCAUGAUCAACACCAGAACUGUAUGGGUGUUAGAUUUAUUACAAUGUAAUUCACAUGAUGAUGUGAGGGCUAGAUUAUUGACUCUAGUGCAAGUGGGAUACUGUUGGAAUUAUGCCCUAGAGGCAAUAAUAAAUAUAGUUAUUAUUAUAAUUCCUAUAUCAAGAUAAUCGUUUAUUAUCCAUGCUAUAAUUGUAUUGAAUGAAGACUCAUUUACAUGUGUGGAUACAUAGACAAAACACUGUCCCUAGCAAGCCUCUAGUUGGCUAGCCAGUUGAUCAAAGAUAGUUAGUGUCUUCUGAUUAUGAACAAGGUGUUGUUGCUUGAUAACUGGAUCACGUCAUUAGGAGAAUCAGGUGAUGGACUAGACCCAAACUAAUAGACGUAGCAUGUUGAUCGUGUCAUUUUGUUGCUACUGUUUUCUGCGUGUCAAGUAUUUGUUCCUAUGACCAUGAGAUCAUAUAACUCACUGACACAGGAGGAAUACUUUGUGUGUAUCAAACGUCGCAACGUAACUGGGUGACUAUAAAGAUGCUCUACAGGUAUCUCCGAAGGUGUAGUUGAGUUAGUAUGGAUCAAGACUGGGAUUUGUCACUCCGUGUGACGGAGAGGUAUCUCGGGGCCCACUCGGUAAUACCACAUCACACCCAAGCCUUGCAAGCAAUGUAACUUAGUGUAAGUUGCGGGAUCUUCUAUUACGGAACGAGUAAAGAGGCUUGCCGGUAAACGAGAUUGAAAUAGGUAUGCGGAUACUGACUAUCGAAUCUCAGGCAAGUAACAUACCGAAGGACAAAGGGAAUGACAUACAGGAUUAUAUGAAUCCUUGACAUUGAGGUUCAAACGAUAAGUUCUUCGUAGAAUAUGUAGGAUCCAAUAUGGGCAUCCAGGUCCCACUAUUGGAUAUUGACCGAGGAGUCUCUCGGGUCAUGUCUACAUAGUUCUCGAACCCGCAGGGUCUGCACACUUAAGGUUCGAUGUUGUUUUAUGCGUAUUUGAGUUAUAUGGUUGGUUACCGAAUGUUUUUCGGAGUCCCGGAUGAGAUCACGGACGUCGCGAGGGUUUCCGGAAUGGUCCGGAAACGAAGAUUGAUAUAUAGGAUGACCUCAUUUGAUUACCGGAAGGUUUUCGGAGUUACCGGGAAUGUACCGGGAAUGACGAAUGGGUUCCGGGAGUUCACCGGGGGGGGGCAACCCAUCCCGGGGAAGCCCAUAGGCCUUGAGGGUGGCGCACCAGCCCUUAGUUGGCUGGUGGGACAGCCCAAAAGGGGCCCUAUGCGCAUUGGAAGAAAAAUCAAAAAGAAAGAAAAAAAGGAGGUGGGAAGGGAAGGAAGGACUCCCACCCACCAAACCAAGUCCAACUCGGUUUGGGGGGGGGAGACCUUCCCCCCUUCGCUUGGCCGACCCCCUUGGGGCUCCUUGAGCCCCAUGGCAAGGCCCCCCUCUCCCACCUAUAUAUACGGAGGUUUUAGGGCUGAUUUGAGACGACUUUUCCACGGCAGCCCAACCACAUACCUCCACGGUUUUCCCUAUAGAUCGCGUUUUUGCGGAGCUCGGGCGGAGCCCUGCUGAGACGAAAUCAUCACCAACCUCCGGAGCGCCGUCACGCUGCCGGAGAACUCUUCUACCUCUCCGUCUCUCUUGCUGGAUCAGGAAGGCCGAGAUCAUCGUCGAGCUGUACGUGUGCUGAACGCGGAGGUGCCGUCCGUUCGGUACUAGAUCGUGGGACUGAUCGCGGGAUUGUUCGCGGAGCGGAUCGAGGGACGUGAAGACGUUCCACUACAUCAACCGCGUUCACUAACGCUUCUACAGUACGGUCUACAAGGGUACGUAGAUCACUCAUCCCUCUCGUAGAUGGACAUCACGAUGAUAGGUCUUCGUGCGCGUAGGAAAUUUUUUGUUUCCCAUGCGACGUUCACCAACACAUAGGUCAUGUUUUAUUAAAUAGACCAUUUAGGAGCUACCUAAGCUUAUUAUGUCAUUUAGAUGGAUAAUUAGCCAAUUUAGGCUUUCUUGGAUGAGUCUAAGCUACGUAGAAGUAGAGAAAGAGAAGAAGAAGUAAAAGAAGGAGGAGGAGGACUCCUUUCAUUUUUCCUUAUUCUUCUCCUCUCGUCCCCUUCUUCGGGCUAAAUUGGCUAAGAAUGACUUUUUGGAGCUAAUUAUGUCAUUUCGAGGAUAGCAUAGGUCAUGUUUUAUUAAAUAGACCAUUUAGGAGCUAACUAAGCUAAUUAUGUCAUUUAGAUGGAUAAUUAGCCAAUUUAGGCUUUGUUGGAUGAGUCUAAGCUACGUAGAAGAAGAGAAAGAGAAGAAGAAGUAAAAGAAGGAGGAGGAGGAGGAGGAGGAGAAGNNNNNNNNNNNNNNNNNNNNNNNNNNNNNNNNNNNNNNNNNNNNNNNNNNNNNNNNNNNNNNNNNNNNNNNNNNNNNNNNNNNNNNNNNNNNNNNNNNNNCUCUUCUUCUUCUUCCUUCCUUUCAUUUUUCCUCUUUCUUGUCCUCUCGUCCCCUUCUUCGGGCUAAAUUGGCUAAGAAUGCCUUUUUGGAGCUAACUAUGUCAUUUCGAGGAUAAUUAGCUAAGUAUAGGUCAUUUUUUAGUAAAUAGGUCAUUUUGGAGCUAACUAAGCUAAUUAUGUCAUCUAGCUAUCUUUUAUUAAAACACUAGAAAUAACAUACCUAAGUUAGGGUCAAGCACGGUGGCUCUGGCUUGUUUCACCUGGAGAAGGCUGCCCUAGAGAAGGCUCGAUUGUAGAAGGCUCGACUACAGAAGGCUUGACUCUCUCAACUCGGCGUCCAUAGACUCUGCAUCACCCUACAAGUUUAAUACGAAAGAAUGGAUGCAUUAGCCGCAAAUUAGACCAUUAAAUCAAAUGGGCCGUUAAUGGUAAUUAAUUACCCUUUGUUUGAACCAAGAGAUGAAACCGGGAUAGUCGCCUCCAUGCUUUGCGAGAAGCUCAUACUCUUCGACGGAAUCCUUUUCGAUGACCGCUCCAUCCGAGAAUUCGGCGACGUAUCGACUAUAUCAAAUAUCCGGGAAUAAGAGUAGUUCAAAGCAAUUAGAAGUUGCGAAACAAUAAAUUACCGAGAACUUACUCGAUGUACGGCCGCACUACUGUUAGGUUGGUGAAGAUAUACAAUGAAAUGGUCCGCCAUUCUUCGACAUCCAACGAUUUCCCUUUCGAAGCACCGGAUGGUGCGAGCUUACCUUUGAAUAGGCUGAGGUUGGAUCGAACUUUUUCUCGAUCGCCAUCAUUGUACCGAGGCUUCGGGUUAUGCAAAUGAUGAUUUUUGGCUUCGUAGUGUGCUGUCACGAAGUUUGCCGCCUCCUCAGUAAUGAAUGCCUCGGCCAUCGAUGCUUCAAUUCUACAUUUAUUUUUACACUUAGCUCGAAGCGUCUUCUGCAUCCUCUCAGUUGAGUAGCACCAUCGAUUUUGAACAGGCCCCCCCAUUCUUGCCUCGGUCGGGAGAUGCAAAAUCAAAUGUUGCAUUGGAUUAAAGAAGCCCGGUGGAAAGAUCUUUUCUAAUUUGCAGAUCAACUCCGGCGCCAACUCUUCCAUUUCAUCUAGCACGCCAGGCGAUAGUUAUUUCGCACAAAGAGAAUGGAAGAAAUAGCUCAGCUCUGCCAGUACUAGCCAUUCAUCCUCAGGGAUAAAGCCACGCAACAUCACCGGCAUUACCCGCUCAAUCCAUAUGUGCCAAUCAUGACUCUUGAGCCUAAAUAUUUUCAAUUUCUCAAGACUCGCUCCCCUCUUUAGAUUCGCACCAUACCCAUCGGGGAACAUCAACCGUAUUUUCACCCACAAUAGCAUUUCCCUCAUAGUUGGCCUUUCAAGAUUGAACCAUGCCUUUGGCUUCGCUAUGCUUUGCUUUCCUUUCCAUUGUCGCAAGUUUUGCAACGGUCUAUCACAUAGAGCCUCCAGGUCGAUUCUAGCCUUAGGAUUAUCUUUUGACUUCCCCUCUAUGCCGAACAAUGUACCAAAAAUGGCCUCCGCAAUAUUCUUUUCAGUGUGCAUCACGUCAAUGUUGUGUGGGGAAAGGAGGUCUUUGAAGUAAGGGGGAUCCCAUAAGCAUGACUUGUGAGUCCAGGCGUGUUCCGUAUUAUACCCUUUGAAGUAUCCUGGACGCAAAGGAUCAGGCUCGAGAGCGUUUAACUGAUCAAGGGUCUGUUGGCCUGUCAACGCAGCUGGUGCAGUGUUUUUGACAACUCUACCUUUGAUGAAAUUCUUCUUGUCUUUUCUGAACUUAUGGUCAAGAUCCAGGAAUUGUCUAUGAAUGUCGAAGCAAGAAUACUUGCGACCAGCCUGCAGCCAACGGAACUGAAGAGCUGCCUUGGAUGUGGUGCACGGGAACCUUCCGUGCACACACCAGCCAGCGAAUAGCGCAAACGCCAGAUAAUCAUGCGUCGAGUACAUGUACCACACAUGCAUUUUGAAAUUUGUUUUGGUAGCCGCAUCGUAGGUCUUGAUCCCAUUAUCCCAGGCUUCUUCCAACUCAUCCUUAAGUGGCUGCAUGUACACAUUCAUAUUCUUACCCGGAUAGUUGGGCCCUGGAAUUAUCAACGUCAGGAAAAUGUUCUUUCUUUUCAUAAUCUCUCCGGGUGGCAAAUUUAGUGGAGUGACAGAUACAGGCCAACAACUGUAUUGUGCUGCCGUCAUACCAUACACAUUGAACCCAUCCGUGCUGAUGGCAACUCUAGGUUGCCUUGGAUCUUCCGAUUUAUCCUUAUGUAAUGCAUCGAAGUGCCUCCACGCAAAACCAGCACCUUGUUCCCAUCCGCAUCUAGUUCGGUUCUUUUGCCCAAUUUGUGCCAUGUCACCUGUCUAGCCAUCUCUUCGACCAUGAAAAGACGUUGAAGUCUUGGUACGAUUGGCAGAUAUCGAAGAACACUAAUGGGGAUUUUGGUCUGAGUCUUCUCACUCAUGCCGUUGUCUACCACAAUAUACCUGGAAGAAUUCCAAAUGGGGCAAUAGUUCAAGGCCGCAUACUCAAGCCUAAACAAGGCACAUCCAUUCUCAUAGGCAUGUAUCUUCUCAUAGGGCAUCUUAAGUACACGGAGGAUUUUCUCUGACUCGUACAGGUUUGCAGGCAGUACAUGGCCUUUGGGUAGAAAGCGUCCAAAUAUCGUCAUCAUCGCGUCGUAGCAUUCUCUGCCUAGGUUGAAUUGAGCCUUCAGAGCCAUUACUUGCGCGAUGGCAUCCAGCUGACAAAGCUCAGUCUGGUCGUGGAGAGGACGUUUUGAAGACUCCAGCAUUUCAUAGAAGGCCUUUGCAGAUUCCUCCAUCUCAUCGUCCGAAUCACGAGCAUCAUCAAAGUCUUGCACCAUGUCUUCAAUCCCGGUACCAUGCUCGUCGGUGCGACAAUGAAUCACCUCAGCUCUGGCACGUUGGUCAGACUCACCAUGAAAAGUCCACACCGUAUAAUUAGGCGUAAAACCCCACUUCUGCAGGUGUUUACCCAUUUCAAACUCUGUCUGCUUUUUCCAGUUGUUGCAGUUGGGACAGGGGCACCAUGUUUUAUGCUGGCCAUUUGCAAAUGCGGCUCUCACAAACCCCCUGGUUUUUGUUAGCCAUUCAUGGGUCAUGUCUUUCUGACUAGGGUGACCAGUGUACAUCCAAGCACGAUCACUCAUGUUGCCUAGCUACCUAUGGGGGCACAAGAAAUAAAUAUAUAAUUCAUCAUCUAUAUUCAUACGCUAAUCAAGUUUGUCAGUUUUAUUGCGUCCAUGCAACCUACGCGCUAAUAGGUAAAGAUAGGUCCAAAUACCACCCGAGUAUGUGUAGACUGGGUUCGUUUUCCCAUGCUCUGCUCCAGAUGCGAUGCAGAAUUUCGGCAGCACUUCCCCGAUGUUCUCCUGAUACACGUCUCGGCAAUAAGCAGAGAGGAUGUCUAGCCGGAGAACAACAUGGGAGGCACUGACGAAAUUCCGCAUCGGAUCCGGAGCACAGCAUACAGGAAAACAAACCCAAUCUACACAUACUCGGGCUGUCCAUGGAUAAUGUUGGACAAUUCGAAAGGAUGGCGGUUAUAAAUAUGCAAACAAAUGCAUAUUUAUAGAUGUCGUCCUUUCGAACAGGAGACGCAUACUGGUCACGCAUACUCAUGAUUGAAGAAACCUAUAGCUAGCAAGUUUCAUCGGCACGAAGACCGGGACAGAGCAAAUUAAGGGGGUAGGAGGACAAGUCAUUUGUGCUCACGAACAAACGCAAGGGCGGAGCUCGUCCAACGCACGUGGAGGUCGUCGAACCACCGCACAUUGAAAUUCACACGAUCAACACAAAUACGAUGUUUUAUAAUUAACAUAAUCGGAAAAUAUGUCACCUAACUCAUAAUUUACAAAAUUAUGACCCCGUGGGCCUCUAGAAGGCCGAAAAGCACCUUCUCGUUCAACAGAAGGCAGAAAAGGUGUCGGGGGUCGGGGCUUAGUGGCGUCGGGAGUCAGUGCCGUCGAGGGCCGGUGAUGUCGGGUGUCGCUGGUCGGGAGUCGGGUUAAAUGCGUCGAUGGUCGGGGGUCAGUGUCAUCAGGGGUCGAGGGUCACUAGCAUCGGGGGUUGGGAUCUUUUCGAUCAACAAGAAGCCAAAGAGGUGUCGGGGGCCCGGGGUUGGGGGUUAGUGGCGUCGGGGGUCGGGUGUAGGGGUCGGGGGUCGAGGGUCAGUGGCGUCGGGGGUCGGGGGUCGAGGGUCGGGGGUUGGUGGCGUCGGGCGUCGGGGGUCCAGACUCGGGUGUCGGGGGUCAGUGGUGUCGGGUGUCGAGGGUCGGGAGUCGGGUGUCAGUGGCGUUGGAGGUAGGGGGUCGAGGGUCGGGGGUUGGUGGCGUCGAGCGCCGGUGGUCGGGGGCCGCGGAUCGGGGGUCAGGGUCCUCUUCUUUCUUCUUCUCCUCUCUCCUCCUUUUCUUCUUCUACUUGGCCGAAAUAGGUCUUAUUCCGCUGGCCGCACCAGCCCACUAGGGGCUGGUGUGCCACCUUUAGGACUACUAGGUCCCCUCUCGGGUGGGUGGCCCCUCCCGGUAAAACCCCGGAACCCCAUUCGUCACUCCCNUUCUUCUUUUUUCUUCUAGUUUAUUAUUCUCUUAUUUUCUUCUAAGUUUUUUUUCUAUCUAUUUUUUUCUUUUCUAUCUACUUUUUCUACCUUUUCUACUUUUUCUAUUUACUAGGACAUAUGCUCGUGCAUUGCAACGGGUCAAUAAAAGUUGUCACAUACUCUGACAGAACCUUUAAUACUCCAUGUUAUGACAUGUGCUUGGCUACGAACAAAACAUUACUUGCCCCAUCCACCAUAAUAAGCACAUGAGAUAGUCUAGAGAAGAAAUUUGUAUUCAACAGUGUUUUAAACCAAUUAUACCUAUAUACAUUAUAGUAUACAAUUUCAUUUAAUUAGAGCUGUUACACACACAAAAAUUGAGGGGUAGCUAUACCACCAAUGAAAUGCAUAAUGCAGUUAGGCUGGUACCAUGUUAGGUGGGUCGGCCAGAUUGGACCGGCUAAGGCCAAUUGGGUGUCAUUGGGUGAAAAAGUAACUGAAUAGUCUUUGAGUGAAAAAAAUAUGUCGAACUGUUACGUAGUCUUCGAGAGUUUAAUAAUUCAUUCUAAGGAUUUUUAAAGAAAUUCAUCCAUCAGAACUUCAUUACAAAUAAGAAGAAAACCACUCAGGUUGUUUGCUGCUCGCACUUCACAAACACGGUAUAUGCCAUCACAAUAAUGAGUAUAUGACUGAUUUGUGCGCCAUAUAACAGUCAUACGUAAUCACAAUUCCUAUGAAAACUACUACACAUGCGAAAACCCUCUAUAUCUACAUCAUUGUUCUAAUAUAUGCAAACCUUCCUCUCACAAUUUGCUAAUUUUAAAUAAAUAAUUUCAUCUUUAUAUUUGUUUGCUGGAAUUUUGAAGCUUGGAGCUAAUUUCUAAGAUCUUGAAAUUAUCUCAAAUGACAUGGUACACACCAGUAAACAUAUAGCCAAACUUACCGGAGGGGAGGGCGUCGGGGUCGCCGGCACAGGGGAGGUGAGGCAGGGGCGGAGACCGGGAGGGAGGUGGGAGGGGGGUGGCGGCCGGGAAGUAGGUGGGAGGGGCGGCAUCGGCCGGGAGGGAGGUGGGAGGGGGUCGGGAGGGAGGUGGGAGGGGAAGGAAGGNNNNNNNNNNNNNNNNNNNNNNNNNNNNNNNNNNNNNNNNNNNNNNNNNNNNNNNNNNNNNNNNNNNNNNNNNNNNNNNNNNNNNNNNNNNNNNNNNNNNNNNNNNNNNNNNNNGCGGGGUGGUAGCCGUUAGAGGCGCCGGAGCCGUUAGGGCCAUGCCCCCUUUGCCGUUUGCAAAGGGAGGGUGGCGGACGGCAAAGGGGCGGGGUGGGUGGGGGUGUGGGUUCGGUCGUUGGGGGGGCUUUGCCGUCCACAUUGGGCUCCUUUGCCGUCCGCCAGCAGACGGCAAAGAGGUGGCCGACGGCAAAUAAAACCUUUGCCAUUAGCCACCUCUUUGCCGUGAGCACUGUGCCAACUGACGGCAAAGAGUGCCUUUGCCAUGCGUCAGCAAACGGCAAAGGCAAGGCAGAAGGCAAAAUUCUCAAUUCCAGUAGUGUACGCGUAUCGUUUUGAUGAUCAAGCAAGUAUUGCUCUAAAGGAUCAGUAGGAGGCACAACAAUAGAAGCUAGGGAAAUAAUUUCAUCCCUACUAGACAAUUCUUUUUCACGAGGUUGUCUACCAAACAUGGAGAAAUUGAAAUCAUGUGACACACCUUCAAAGCCAACAGUGAAAGUUUGCUUCUGACAGUCAAUAUGAGCAUUGACAGUAUUGAGGAAAUGUCUGCCAAAUAUGAUGGGAUAAAAGCUAUCUUGUGGGGUAGCAAGAACAAGAAAAUCAGCAGGAUACCUAGUUUUACCACACAAGACUUUAACAUCUCUAACAAUUUCCAAAGGGCAGAUAGUAUCUCUAUUGGCAAGCUGAAUAGUGACAUCAAUAGGUUCCAUCUCGACAAGCGCAAUCUCGUCUUUAAUUUCAUCAUAUCAAGAUUGAGGUAUUGCACUAACACUAGCACCCACGUCACAUAAACCAUGAUAACAAUGAGCUCCUAUCUUAACAGAAACAAGAGGCAUGCCAACAACAAGCGUAUGUUUGUCUCUAGCAUGAGGUUUAGCAAUUCUAGCAACAUCUUCACAUAAGUGAAUAUCAUGGCCAUCAACAUUAUCCGACAGGAGAUCUUUGAUAAUUGCAAUGCUACGUUCAACUCUAAUUUGCUCACGGGGUGUAGGUGUUCUAAUGUAGCCCCGACGUAUCACAGUUGAAGCUUUAGAAUGAUCCUUUAUUCUAACAGGGAAAGGUGGUUUCUCAAUGUAAGCACUAGGAAGAAUAGGAUCAUUAUAAGCAAUGACUUUCUCUUCAACUGGAUUGGGUUUAACCACAUUGACUUCUAAGGGAGGAUGGUAUUUAAACCACGUCUCUUUAGGGAGAUUCAUAUGAGCAGCAAAUGAUUCACAUAAUGAAGCUACUAUCUGAGAGUCAAGUCCAUGUUUAGCGCUAAAAUCACAAAAAGUAUGUGUUUCAACAAAGAUUUAACGCAAUCGAUCUUAAGAUUCAUACCUGACUCCUUACCUUCAUCAAACUCCCAAUCUUCAGAGUUGUGUUUAAUUCUUUCCAAUAAAUUCCAUUUGAAGUCAAUAUCUCUCUUCAUAAAAGAACCGGUACAAGAAGUGUCAAGCAUGGUACGGUUAUCAUGAGAAAGCCGAGCAUAAAAGUUCUGAAUAAUAAUUUCUCUCGAGAGCUCAUGGUUGGGGUAUGAAUAUAACAUUGACUUAAGCCUCCCCGAAGCUUGAGCGAUACUUUCUCUAUCACGAGGCGAAAAGUUAUAGAUAUAAUUCCAAUCACGAUGUACCAAAUGCAUAGGAUAAAACUUUUGAUGAAAUUCCAAUUUCAAUCGGUUGUAGUUCCAUGAUCCAGUAUCAUCACAUAGCCAAUACCAUGUCAAUGAUUUAUCCCUCAAAGAUAAGGGAAAGACCUUCUUCUUGACCUCAUACUCGGGCAAACCUGCAAGCUUAAAUAAACCACAAACUUCAUCUACAUAGAUUAGAUGCAAGUCGGGAUGUGAUGUUCCAUCUCCUGUAAAAGGAUUAGCCAACAGUUUCUGUAGAAUACCCAAAGGAAUUUCAUAACAAAUAUUUUCAGUAGGGGCAGGAGGUUGAGGAGCAACUCCUUUUGCUUCCGUUCGUGGUGAAGAUACCCCGAACAAGCUCCUCAAAGGAUUAGUUUCCAUAGUGACAAGUGACAAUAAAUUUCAGCACACUAUAUAAAUGUUUCCUUACCAAAUUCCACUUACCAAAGGCGCUUCACUCCCCGGCAACGGCGCCAGAAAAGAGUCUUGAUGACCCACAAGUGUAGGGGAUCUAUCAUAGUCCUUUCGAUAAGUAAGAGUGUCGAACCCAACGAGGAGCAGAAGGAACUGACAAGUGGUUUCCAGCAAGGUAUUCUGUGCGGGCACUGAAAUUAUCGGUAACAGAUAGUUGUGUGAUAGGAUACUCCGUAGCAAGUAGCAAGUAACAAAGGUGCAGCAAAGUGUCCCAAUCCCUUUUGUAGCAAGGUAAAAGCCUGGACAAACUCUUAUAGGAGGUGAAGCGCUCCCGAGGACACAUGGGAAUUUCUGUCAAGCUAGUUUUCAUCAUGUUCAUAUGAUUCGCGUUCGCUACUUUGAUAGUUUGAUAUGUGGGUGGACCGGUGAUUGGGUGCUGCCCUUACUUGGACAAACAUCCCACUUAUGAUUAACCCCUCUCGCAAGCAUCCGCAACUACGAAACAAGAAUUAAGACAAAGUCUAACCAUAGCAUUAAACUAGUGGAUCCAAAUCAGCCCCUUACGAAGCAACGCAUAAACUAGGGUUUAAGCUUGUGUCACUCUAGCAACCCAUCAUCUACUUAUUAAUUCCCAAUGCCUUCCUCUAGGCCCAAAUAAUCGUGAAGUGUUAUGUAGUCGACAUUCACAUAACACCACUAGAAGAAAGACAACAUACAUCGCAUCAAAACAUCGAACGAAUACCAAAUUCACAUGACUACUUAUAGCAAAACUUAUCCCAUGUCCUCAGGAACAAAAGUGACUACUCACAAAGCAUAAUUAUGUUCAUGGCCAGAGAGGUAUUGAAUAGAAUUAAGGAUCUGAACAUAUGAUCUUCCACCGAGUAAUCCAACUAGCAUCAACUACAAAGAGUAAUUAACACUACUAGCAACCUUACAAGUACCAAUCGGAGUUGCGAGACGGAGAUUGGUUACAAGAGAUGAACUACGGUUUGAAGAUGAGAUGGUGUUGAUGAACAUGUUGAUGGUGAUGAGUCCCGUCCAAUGAGAGGAGUGUUGGUGAUGACGAUUACGACGAUUUCCCCCUCCAGGAGGGAAGUUUCCCCGGCAGGACGGCCCUGCCGGAGCUCUAGAUUGGUUCUGCUCAAAUUCCGCCUUGUGGCGACAGCAAUUCCUCCCGAAAGCCUCGUUAUGAUUAUUUCUAGAACGAAACCCUCCUUAUAGAAAAAGAUGGGAGCCAGAGGGGCAACAGGGGGCCCACAAGCCACCUAGGGGAGGCCAGGGGGGUAGGCCGUGCCUGGCACGCUUGUGGCCUCCUGGUGGCUCCCCUCUGGUACUUCUUCCGUCCAGUAUUUUUUAUAAAAUCCAAAAUAAUUCCUCGUUGUUUUCACGGCUUUUGGAGUUGCGCAGAAUAGGUAUCUCAAACUUGCUCCUUUUUCAGAUAAGAAUUCCAGCUGGCAUUCUCCCUCUUCAUGUAAACCUUAUAAAAUAAGAGAGAAAAGGCAUAAGUAUUGUACCGUGAAGUGUAAUAACAGCCCAUAAAGCGAUAAAUAUCAACAUAAAAGCAUGAUGCAAAAUGGACAUAUCAAGGACCGAAAUCCUCAAGCUUCUAGCCGCAGGUAUUAUCUACCCUAUAGCUCAUAGUAAGUGGGUAAGUCCAGUACAUUGUGUUUCCAAGAAAGGAGGUAUGACUGUGGUUCCUAAUGAUAAGAAGGAACUAAUACCUCAAAGAAUUAUUAUUGGAUAUAGAAUGUGUAUUGAUUACAGGAAGCUGAAAAAGGCAACCAGGAAGGACCAAUACCCGCUGCCGUUCAUCGACCUAAUGCUUGAAAGGUUAUCGAAAAACACUCAUUGUUGCUAUCUUGAUGGGUACUCUGGCUUCUCUCAUAUUCAUGUUAAUACUGUCGAUCAAGAGAAGAACACUUUUACUUGUCCCUUUGGUACUUAGGCUUAUAGAUGUAUGCCUUUUGGUUUAUGUAAUGCUCCUGCUACUUUUCAAAGGUGUAUGUCUGCUAUCUUUCAUGGGUUUUGUGAGUAAAUUGUGGAGGUCUUCAUGGACGAUUUCUCCUUCUAUGGAACCUCUUUUGACCAUUGUCUCCACAACCUUAGUAAAGUUUGGCUGAGAUGCGAGGAGACGAACUUGGUACUCAACUGGGAGAAGUGCCACUUCAUGGUCAAUGAGGGAAUUGUUCUUGGCCACAAGAUUUCUGAAAAAGGAAUCAAGGUGGACAGGGCAAAGGUUGAAGCAAUCGAGAGAAUGACUUAUCCAAAAUACAUCAGAGGUAUUCGUAGUUUACUCGGUCAUGCUAGAUUCUAUAGGAGAUUUAUUAAAGACUUUUCUAAAACUUCGAAACCCCUUACUAAUCUUCUUGAGAAGGAUAUUCCUUUUGUGUUUGAUUAAGAUUGUAAGGAAGCGUUCGAUGUUCUUAAGAAAUCCUUGAUAACCGCCCCUAUAGUCCAACCACCUGAUUGGAAUUUGCCUUUUGAAAUCAUGUGUGAUGCUAGUGAUUUUGCUAUUGGAUAUAUGUUAGGACAAAGGGUUGAUAAGAAAUUGAAUGUUAUUCAUUAUGCUAGAAAAACCCUUGACACUGUUCAAAAGAAUUACGCUACUACUGAGAAAGAAUUUUUAGUGGUAGUGUUUGCUUGUGAUAAGUUUAGGCCUUACAUUGUUGAUUCUAAAGUCAUCAUUCAUACUGAUCAUGCUGCUAUUAAGUAUCUUAUGGAAAAGAAGGAUGCCAAACCAAGGCUUAUCAGAUGGGUCCUUCUUCUUCAAGAAUUUGAUUUGCAUAUUGUUGAUAGGAAAGGAGCAGACAACCCUCUAGCAGACAACCUUUCCAGGAUGGAGGACAUUACACACGAUCCCAUUCCAGUCAACGAUAGUUUUCCUGACGAACAGUUAGUUGUUUUACAUGUGAAAUAUAAUUCAGAUCCAUGGUUGCAGAUUAUGCUAACUUUAUUGUUGCAAAGUUUUUGCCUCCAUGUUUAACAUUCCAACAACGGAAUAAGUUCUUCCAUGACUUGAGGUAUUACUUUUGGGAUGACCCACAUCUUUUUUGAGAAGGUGCGGAUGGAAUUGUGAGGAGAUGCAUACCGGAGCAUGAGGAGAAUGAUAUCUUGAGAUGACGUCAUAGCAAUCCUGAUGGAGGACAUCAUGCCGGUGAGAAGACCGCACACAAGGUUCUCCAAUCAGGUUUUUAUUGGCCUACUCUCUCUAAAGAUGCUAGAAAUUAUGUUUUAUCAUGUGAUAUGUGCCAGAGAGUUGGUAAUAUUAGUAGGUGGAAUGAGAUGCCUAUGAAUUAUUCGCUAGUCAUUGAGCCUUUUGUUUGCUGGAGUCUUGAUUUUAUGGGUCCUUUCCCUCCUUCACACAAGUACACUCACAUCUUAGUAGAUGUACAUUAUGUGACCAAGUGGGUUGAAGCAAUCCCCACCGAAAGUGUUGAUCACAAGACAUCUUUGAAAAUGCUCAAGGAUGUAAUCUUCCCUAGGUUUGGUGUACCUAGGUACCUCAUGACCGACGGAGGAUCACAUUUUACACACGGUGCUUUUAGAAAAGCUCUAUCCAAAUAUGAUGUUAAUCAUAAAACUAAUUCACCUUACCACCCUCAAACAAGUGGGCAAGUUGAGCUCACAAAUAGAGAGAUCAAGUUGAUCUUGAAAAAGACCAUGAAAAGUUCUAGAAAGGACUGGUCCAAUAAGCUAGGAUAUGCCUUGUGGGCGUAUAGAACUGCUUACAAAAAAUCCGAUGGGGAUGUCUCCAUAUAAUAUGGUUUAUGGCAAGGCAUGCCAUCUACCAUUAGAGUUACAUCACAAAGCUUUCUCUGCUGUUAGAGAGCUUAAUGUUGAUCCAAAGCUUGCUGGUGAAAAGCAUCUCAUGAACUUGACUUCUCUAGAUGAGUGGAGAAGUGAAGCUUACGAGAGCACAAAAAUGUUCAAAGAAAAGGUAAAGAAGUUGCAUGACAAGAGAAUUUUGAAAUGUGAAUUUAAUGUUGGUGACAAAGUUUUGUUGUAUAGAUCUCGUUUCAGGUUUUCUCGAGGUCAAUUACUUUCCAAGUGGGAAGGACCAUACCAUAUCGAAGAAGUCUACCACUCCGAAGCAAUAAAGAUUAAUAAUUUUGAAGGCACAAAACCACACGUUGUGAAUGUGCAAAUACUUAAGCUUUACAUGGAUGGAGACCCCAUCAAUGUAGAGGUGGAUGUGAUACAGGUAGCCACUCACGAAGAACAUAUUGCAACACUGUAUCACACACCGACAAAAGCAGAAUAAGAAAAGGUAUGAAAUACAGUAUGGAAACUUCACGAACAUCAAUAAAAGUUCUUUAUUAUGUGUUUUUGCAAAAAUAGGAAAAUUCUGAGCCAAAGCGGAGCCGGAGAGGAGCUCCAGGUCACCCAGGCAACCUGCUAGCACAGGCUAUCUCCUGGCCGCGCCAGGAGGCCGCCUGGACCACCCGGAGUCCGUCUCCGACACCACUUUGGCUAGUUACCUUCCUUUUGGUGCAGAAAUCUUUCCUAUAUAUUUUCCAGGAUCGUCCCGGCUUUGUAUCUUGCGAUUCCGUGCAUUUUCUUUUCGAUCUGUUUGUGCCAGGAAAAUUUUCAGGAAACUUAGGUGCCAUGGCUUCCCCAAAAUCUCCCAAGGACAAGUUCCUCGUCAACGUCAUCAACCCUUACCUCGCAGAGGUAAAAAGACACCCUCAAACACUUUGAGUGGAGGAUGGUGUCCUCCACAAAGAAGAUUCGAAGGGACCAUCAAGGAGGGGAGCACGAGGGCCAGGCUGGAAGAAGUGGAGCAAAUUGUUACCAAGUACAAGUUGACGAUCGAGCGUGGGGUCGAGGCCACCUACGAUAUCACCGCCGAGCUGGAGAGGGAACAUGAGGAGGAGAUGAAGAAAGUGCGAUUAAUCAUAUACGCAUUAGAAACCAAAGUGUUCGAGCUUCAAGGGCACAUAUAUGACCUUCAAAACCAGAGUUGUGAGUAUGAACUUAAGUUUUUGCGCAUAGGCUUAUCUACCGAAAGCAGGAUCUUGGAGACUGAAGAAUCAUGUGUGGAGGGAGGACCUCUGCCAUGGAAGCGUUUCCCUAAGGAUUACCCGAGGAACAAACCAAGGAUGAAGAGUGCAUUCUUCAUGGGUAAUGGCAUUCCCUUAGCUUGUUCCAAGCAUGGGGGAGUGCCGGGUAUCUUUAGUUUUUAUCAUUUACUCUUUAUGGUCAAGUUUAGUGUCGUAUCAUGUCUAGGUAAGUGAUACGUCUCCAACGUAUCUAUAAUUUUUGAUGGUUUCAUGCUAUUAUCUUGUCAAACUUUGGAUGUUUUGCAUGUCUUUUUUUAUUUUCUGGGACUAACCUAUUAACUCAGUGCCAAAUGCCAGUUCCUGUUUUUUCCAUGUUUUUGACCCCUUUCAGAGGAGAUUUUCUAACGAAGUCCAAACGGAAGAAAAUCCCCGAAAAGUUUUUUUCUCGAACGGAAGAAGAUCGGAGAGCUUGGGGGCCAAGCCAGAAGAGCCGCAGGGGCCCCACAAGUCCCCACCCGGCGGCCAGGGGGGCGCCAUGGAAGCUUGUGGCCCCACUGGAGGUCCCCUGACCUAGAUCUUGCGCCUAUAAAUUCCCAAAUAUUCCCAAAAAAUCAGGGGAGCAUCGUAAUCACUUUUCCACCGCCGCAAGCUUCUGUCUCCGCAAGAUCUCACCAGGGGCACGUCCUGGUGCCCUGCCGGAGGGGGGAUUCGGACACAGAAGGCUUCUCCAUCAACACCAUGACCUCUCCGAUGAUGCGUGAGUAGUUCACCAUAGACCUACGGGUCCAUAGCUAGUAACUAGAUGGCUUCUUCUCUCUCUUGGAUCUUCAAUACAAAGUUCUCCAUGAUCUUCAUGUAGCUCUAUCCGAUGUAAUCUUCUUUUGCGGUGUGUUUGUCGAGAUCCGAUGAAUUAUGGAUUUAUGAUAAGAUUAUCUAUGAAUCUUAUUUGAGUUUCUUCUGAUCUCUCUUAUGCAUGAUUUCAUAUCCUUGUAAUUCUCUUCGAGUUGUGGGUUUUGUUUGGCCAACUAGAUCAAUGAUUCUUGCCAUGGGAGAAGUGCUUGGUUUUGGCUUCAUACCGUGCGGUGACCUCACCCAGUGACAGAAGGGGUAGCGAGGCACGUAUCGUGUUGUUGCCAUCAAGGGUAAAAAGAUGGGGUUUUCAUCAUUGGUUUGAGAUUAUCCCUCUACAUCAUGUCAUCUUGCUUAAAGAAUUACUCUGUUCGUCAUGAACUCAAUACACUAGAUGCAUGCUGGAUAGCGGUCGAUGUGUGGAGUAAUAGUAGUAGAUGCAGAAAGUAUCGGUCUACUUGUCUCGGACGUGAUGCCUAUAUGCUAGAUCAUUGCCUUAGAUAUCGUCAUGACUUUGCGCGGUUCUAUCAAUUGCUCGAUAGUAAUUUGUUCACCCACCGUAAUACUUUCUAUUUUGAGAGAAGCCUCUAGUGAACACCAUGGCCCCCAGGGUCUACUCCAGACCAUAUUUUCAUCCUUACACUUUUUACUUUGUUGCACUUUCCGCCUUCAGAUCUCACUUCUGCAAACAAUCUUCAAGGGAUUGACAACCCCUUUGAAGCGUUGGGUGCAAGUUUGUUUGUGUUUGCGCAGGUACUCUGGACUUGACGAGAGCCUCCUUCUGGAUCGAUACCUUGGUUCUCAAACUGAGGGAAAUAGUUACUGCUCCUGUGCUGCAUCACCCUUUCCUCUUCAAGGGAAAAACCAACGCAAGCCCAAUCUCCGUCAACGUGUCAAUUUCUAGCGCUGUUGUUUGAGAAGUAGCAGAAGGAUUUCCGGCGCCGUUGCGAGGGAGGAAGAUCAAGUCAAGAACUCAUCCAAGUAAGUGUCGCAAAAUCAUCUCUUGCAUUUACUUUGUUUGCCAGUUGCCUCUCGUUUUCCUCUCCCCCACUUCACCAAUUUGCCUUUUUUCGUUCGCCUUUUUGUUCGCCCUUUUUCUCGCCCGCUUUUUGUUUGCUCGUGUGCUUGCUUGCUUGCUGAAGUCACCAUGAAUGAAAACACCAAACUUUGUGACUUCUCGAAUACUAAUAAUAAUGAUUUUAUUAGUACUCUGAUUGCUCCCGCCACUAGUGCGGAGUCAUACGAAAUCAAUGCUGCUUUGCUGAAUCUUGUUAUGAAAGAGAAAUUCUCUGGCCUUCCUAGUGAAGAUGCCACAUCCCAUCUCAAUACCUUCAUUGAGCUUUGCGAUACGCAAAAGAAAAGAGAUGUGGAUAAUGACGUGAUUAAAUUGAAGCAUUUUCCUUUCUCGUUGCGAGAUCGCACAAAAACUUGCUUUUCUUCUUUGCCCAAAAAUAGUAUCGAUUCUUAGGAUAAGUGCAAAGAUGCUUAUAUAUCCAAGUAUUUUCCGCCGGCUAAGAUCAUCUCUCUCCGUAAUGAUAUCAUGAAUUUCAAGCAACUUGAUCAUGAGCAUGUUGCACAAGCUUGGGAGAGAAUGAAAUUAAUGAUUAGAAAUUGUCCCGCUCAUGGCUUGAGCCUUUGGAUGAUUAUUCAAAUCUUUUACGCUGGCUUGAAUUUCGCUUCUAGAAAUAUCUUGGACUCUGCCUCAGGUGGAACGUUCAUGGAAAUCACGUUAGGAGAAUCCACAAAGCUCUUAGACAACAUCAUGACGAAUUACGCUCAGUGGCACACUGAAAGGUCACCUACUAGUAAGAAGGUACACGCUAUAGAAGAAAUUAACUCGUUCAGUGCUAAGAUGGAUGAGUUAAUGAAUUUGGUUGCUAGUAGAAGUGCUCCUUUGGAUCCUAAUUAUUUGCCUUUGUCUUCUUUGAUUGAGAGUAGCAACGCUAGCUUGGACGUAAAUUUUGUUGGUAGGAAUAACUUUGGCAACAACAAUGCUUUUAGAGGAAACUAUGUUCCUAGGCCUUUUCCUAGUAACUCCUCUAAUAACUUUGGCAACUCCUACAACAAUACCCAUGGAAAUUACAAUAGAUUACCCUCUCAUCUAGAGAGUAAUAUCAAAGAGUUCAUCAACUCUCAAAAGAUUUUCAAUGCGUCCAUAGAAGAAAAACUACUCAAAAUUGACGAUUUGGCUAAGAGUGUUGAUAGGAUUUCAUGUGAUAUUGAUGCUUUGAAAGUUAGAUGUGCUCCUCCCAAAAUCGACAUGGAUGAAACUUUGAAAGCUAUGCGUGUUUCCAUGAUUGACAGCCAAGAAAGAACCGCCCAAAUUCGUGCUACACAUGAAUGGCUUAAAAAGGCGUGUUCUCGUGAUGAGAAUCACAAAGAUCUUAAAGUGCUUGGUGUGACUCCCAUUGAAUCCUUGUUUUCCUGUGUCAAACCUAAUGAUUAUGGGGCUGGAUAUGAAUCCACUUUGGUUGAAAAGUGCCCCAAUGAUUCGGAGUCCAUCUAUCUUGAUGCUAAAAGCGUUAAAAGUGGAGUAGAAGAUGUUAAAACUUUGAGUAGUAAUUAAGUUACUACCAUGGAUUUCAAGGAAUUCAAUUAUGAUAGUUGCUCCUUGAUUGAAUGCAUUUCUUUGAUGCAAUCCAUGUUAAACUCUCCGCACGCUUAUAGCCAAAACAAAGCCUUUACCGAUCAUAUCGCCGAAGCUAUGAUAAAAGCUCUUGAAGAGAAACUUGAAUUGGAAGUCUCUAUCCCUAGAAAGCUUCAUGAUGAGUGGGAACCUACCAUCAAAAUCAAAAUAAAAAAACUAUGAUUGCAAUGCUUUGUGUGAUUUGGGUGCUUGUGUUUCUACGAUUCCAAAGUCUUUAUGUGAUAUUCUGGGUUUUAAUGAGAUUGAAGAGUGUUCUCUUAAUUUGCAUCUUGCUGAUUCUACUAUCAAGAAACCCAUGGGAAGGAUCAAUGAUGUUCCUAUUAUUGCAAAUAGGAACUAUGUACCCGUGGAUUUCAUUGUGCUUGACAUUGAUUGCAAUCCUACAUGCCCUAUUAUUCUUGGUAGACCUUUCCUAAGGACUAUCGGUGCUAUCAUCGAUAUGAAGGAAGGGAAUAUUAGAUUUCAAUUUGCUUUAUGGAAAGGCAUGGAACACUUUCCUAGAAAGAAAAUAAGAUUGCCUUAUGUAUCCAUGAUGAGGGCUACUUAUGGUUUAAGCACCAAAGACGACGAUACGUGAUUCUAUCCCUUCUAUGCCUAGCUAAGGGCGUUAAACAAUAGCACUUGUUGGGAGGAAACCCAAUGAAUUUAUCUUUUUCUUUCUAUUUUGUUGCGUCCACACUUUCACAAUUCUGUUGUGAUUAUGUUUUUUAUGUUUCUUUUUGUGUUUGAGCAAGCAAAGCCUUUAUGAUUGUUCUUGGUAAUGGUUGUUUGAUCCUGCUGGAAAAAGACCUAAACUUUUCUCUCACGAGAUGAUUUUUCGUUUUUAUUCAGAAAGAGAUUUUGAGUUGAUUAUUUUUGCUGCUGAUUGAUAUGGUUUUUCCCUAGACCGUCGUAAUUUUUCAGAUUUUUUAAGGUACGAGAAGUAUACGAAGUAUACAGAUUGCUACAGACUGGUCUGUUUUUUGACAGAUUCUGUUUUUGUUGAGUUGGUUGCUUGUUUUGAUGAAACUAUGGUUAGUAUCGGGGGGUACUAGCCAUGGGAAAGUGAGAAUACAGUAUCCCAUCAUCAAUAUAGAUGUAAUUCAAAUUUACUACAGUACCAAAAGAAGUGGUAGUUUGUUUUCUUGUACUAAUGUUAUCACAAGUUUCUGUUUAAGUUUUGUGUUGUGAUGUUUUCAAGUUUUGGGUGACGUUCUCAUGGACAAAGAGAUAAGGAGUGGAAAGAGAUCAAGCUUGGGGAUGCCCUAGGCCCCCAAGCCAAAUUCGACGACACCAAAAAUCCUAAGCUUGGGGAUGCCCCGGGAAGGCAUCCCCUCUUUCGUCUUCAAUCCAUCGUUAACAUUACUUGGAGAUAUAUUUUUAUUCACCACAUGAUAUGUGUUUUUCUUGGAGCGUGUUGUACCAUAGGAGGCUUUUCUUUUUGUUGUGUCACAAUCAUCCUUGUUGCACACCUUUUUUAGAGAGAGAAACAUGCACUCAUCGUGAUUUUGCUAGAAUGCUCAUAGUGCUUCACUUAUAUCUUUUGAGCUAGAUACUUUUGCUCAUAGUGCUUCACUUAUAUCUUUUGAGCUAGUUACUUUUGCUCUAAUGCUUCACUUAUAUCUUUGGAGCUAGAUACUUUUUCUCUAGUGCUUCACUUAUAUCUUUUGAGCUAGAUACUUUUUCUCUUGUGCUUCACUUAUAUAUUUUGAGCUAGAUACUUUUGCUCUUGUGCUUCACUUAUAUCUUUAGAGCACGACGGAGUGUGAUUUGGUAGUGGGCUUAUGCUAUGAAAGUAGUCCCAUGUGCUAGACACCCAAAGAGGAUGCAAAAACCUCCAUCUUCAAGUGCAUUGAGUAGAAAGAGAAGUUUUGAUUCCUCUCAAUUAGUUUUGAGACACGGAUUCGGUAAUAUUGAGAGUUAUGUUAGUAGGGUGUUGUGAAUCUAGAAAUACUUGUGUGGAAGUUAGUGCUUCCCGUAGCAUGCACGUAUGGUGAACCGCUAUGUUAGGAAGUCGGAGCACAAUUAAUCUAUUGAUUGUCAUCCUUUGUGUUGAGGUCGGGAUCGCGCGAUGGUUUACACCUACCAACCCUUCCCCUGGGAGUAUGCGUUUAGCACUUUGUUUCGAUUACUAAUAAAAACUUUUGCAACCAGUAUGUGAGUUCUUUAUGACUAAUGUUGAGUCCAUGGUAUGGAUGCACUUUCACCUUCCACCUUUGCUAGCCACUCUAGUGCCGCGAAAUUCUCGCAGUACUCAAACCCACCAAAUUCCUUCCUCAAAACAGCCACCAUACCUACCUACUAUGGCAUUUUUCAUAGCCGUUCCGAGAUAUAUUGCCAUGCAACUACCACCGUUCCAUCUCAUGACUUGUGCCGUCACUCUCAUAUUGCCAUUGCAUGAUCAUACUAGAUCGUUGCACAUCCCGAUACACUGCCGGAGGCAUGUCCUAUGGAGUCAUCAUCAUUGUGAUCUUUGAGCUUUGAGUAACUAGAAAGUGUGAUGAUCAUCAUUAUUAGAGCAUUGUCUCAUGUGAGGAAAUAAUAUAAAAAUAGGCCAAAGAGCCCAAAAACAAAAAAAGAGAAAAAAAGAGGACUAAGAGCCCAAAUAAAAAAUGAGAGAAAAAGAGAGAAGGUACAACGCUACUCUCUUUUUCCACACUUGUGCUUCAUAAUAGGACCAUGUUCUUCAUGAUUGAGAGCUUCUUGCUUUGUCACUACCAUAUGCUAGUGGGAAUCUUCGUUUUAUAACUUGGCUUGUAUAUUCCAAUGAUGGGCUUCCUCCAAAUUGCCCUAGGUCAUCGUGAGCAAGCAAGUUGGAUGCACACCCACUAGUUUUCCUCUUGAUCUUUCACAUACUUAUAGCUCUAGUGCAUCUCUUGUAUGGCAAUCCCUACUCAUUCACAUUGAUAUCUAUUAAUGGGCAUCUCCAUAGCCUAUUGAUAUGCCGAGUCAAUGUGACCAUCUCCUCCUUCUUGUCUCACAACCACCACCACACUCUAUUCCACCUAUAGUGCUAUAUCCAUGGCUCACGCUCAUGUAUUGCGUGAUAGUUAUAAAAAGUUUGAGAAAGUAAGAAUGCGAAAACAAUUACUUGGCCAAUUCCGGGGUUGUACAUGAUUUACAUUAGUUGUGUGAGGAUGAUGGAGCAUAGCCAGACUAUAUGAUUUUGUUUUGAAUCGUACGGAUCUGAACAUUCGUGCCACGUGAAAGAAGUUGCAAAGGACAACUAAGCUAGGCAGCAUUCCACAUCAAAAAAUCAUUCUUUAUCACUUCCCUACUCGAGGACAAGCAGGAGUUAAGCUUGGGGAUGCUCGAUACGUCUCCAACGUAUCUAUAAUUUUGAUGGUUUCAUGCUAUUAUCUUGUUAAACUUUGGAUGUUUUGCAUGCCUUUUAUUUAUUUUCUGGGACUAACCUAUUAACUCAGUACCAAGUGCUAGUUCCUCUAUUUUCCAUGUUUUUGAUCCCUUUCAGAGGAGAUUUUGAAACAGAGUCCAAACGGAAGAAAAUCCGCGAAAAGAUUUUUUCUGGAACGGAAAAAGAUCAGAGAGCUUGGGGGCCAAGCCAGAAGAGCCCUAGGGGCCCCCACAAGCCCCCACCCCGCGGCCAGGGGGGCACGCCAUGCAGGCUUGUGGGCCCCCUAGAGGUCCCCUGACCUAGAUCUCUCGCCUAUAAAUUCCCAAAUAUUCCCAAAAAAAUCAGGGGAGCAUCGUAAUCACUUUUCCGCCGCCGCAAGCUUCUGUCUCCGCAAGAUCCCAUCUGGGGCACGUCCUGGUGCCCUGCUGGAGGGGGGAUUCGGACACGGAAGGCUUCUCCAUCAACACCAUGACCUCUCUGAUGAUGCGUGAGUAGUUCACCACAAACCUACGGGUCCAUAGCUAGUAACUAGAUGGCUUCUUCUCUCUCUUGGAUAUUCAAUACAAAGUUCUCCAUGAUCUUCAUGGAGAUCUAUUCGAUGUAAUCUUCUUUUGCGGUGUGUUUGUCGAGAUCUGAUGAAUUGUGGAUUUAUGAUAAGAUUAUCUAUGAAUCUUAUUUAAGUUUCUUCUGAUCUCUCUUAUGCAUGAUUUCAUAUCCUUGUAAUUCUCUUCGAGUUGUGGGUUUUGUUUGGCCAACUAGAUCUAUGAUUCUUGCCAUUGGAGAAGUGCUUGGUUUUGGGUUAAUACCGUGCGGUGACCUCACCCAGUGACAGAAGGGGUAGCGAGGCACGUAUCGUGUUGUUGCCAUCAAGGGUAAAAAGAUGGGGUUUUCUUCAUUGGUUUGAGAUUAUCCCGCUACAUCAUGUCAUCUUGCUUAAAGCGUUACUCUUUUCAUCAUGAACUCAAUACACUAGAUGCAUGCUGGAUAGAGGUCGAUGUGUGGAGUAAUAGUAGUAGAUGCAGAAAGUAUCCAUCUACUUGUCUCGGACGUGAUGCCUAUAUGCUAGAUCAUUGCCUUAGAUAUCGUCAUGACUUUGCGCGGUUCUAUCAAUUGCUCUAUAGUAAUUUGAUCACCCACCGUAAUACUUGCUAUUUUGAGAGAAUCCUCUAGUGAACACUAUGGCCCCCAGGGUCUACUCCACACCCUAUUUUCAGCCUUACACUUUUUACUUUGUUGAACUUUCCGCCUUCAGAUCUCUCUUUUGCAAACAAUCUUGAAGGGAUUGAAAACCCCUUUGAAGCGUUGGGUGCAAGUUUGUUUGUGUUUGCGCAGAUACUCUGGACUUGACGAGACCCUCCUUCUGGAUUGAUACCUUGGUUCUCAAACUGAGGGAAAUACUUACUGCUCCUGUGUUGCAUCACCCUUUCCUCUUCAAGGGAAAAACCAACGCAAGCCCGAUCUCCGUCAACGUGUCACUUUCUGGCACUGUUGUUUGAGAACUAGCAGUAAGUUAUCUUAUGAAAUAGGUGUUUGCAUUGAUGCCUAUCACUCUUUUGUGGAGAGUUUAUAUUCGUGAGCGUGCAGUGUCUAUGAUGGAAUAUUAAUGAGAAGUCUAUUCGUUUCUUUGCUGCACUUGGUAUCCUCUUCAUGCAAUCGAUCUUAUAUGUUGAUUCUUAUGGGGGUAUUGAUAUUACACAUCAGGUAUGGCUUUGAAACUUUAUUUAACCUUGGCUAACAUAGCAUUGGUCAUAGCAACAAGCAUGACUUUUUCUAGUAGCGACAUAGCCAAAACCUUUGUGUUCUUAUGCUUGAAGUGUUAUGCUGACAAGGAAGACAACUUGAUGUUUUAUGUCAAUUCUUUAUGUUAAAAUUUAUAUUGUUUUGCAUCCAAGUCAACAUUAUUUGUCUGCUUUCAAAAGUAUUUGCUAGACAACCCUUGCACUAAGCGGGAAUACUUCUUGUGCAUCUAUACCCUGAAACCUCAACCUUCCCAAGAGUCCACCAUACCUUCCCUAUACGUGGUAUUUCACCGCCACUCCUAAAGUAUAUUACUCAUGUGCUAUCUUUAAACCUUCAAAUAUUAUUCCCUGUUUUGUGCCUCUGCUUUCGCUCAUGAGGAAAUAGUAGGUAAUUCAUGAUCUUCUCAUAUUGGACAAGUUUUAUCUUGGGUUUGCAUAUCUAAUCUGCGAACCCCUAACACCAGAAGGGACUAGCAUGAGCGCGCCCAGCUCGUAAAAGAUAAUAACAACCAAAAAAACCUCCUUCACGCUUUGUUGAUGACAAAUCAGAAAACUUUGGUGGUGAUAAACAAAGGAGACUAAGGGGAUGUGAUCAUCCCCACUUUGGGAUCCGUUCCUCAAAACUUGUCCCACAUGAGAAGUAUUGGGCUAUCUACUAGCAUUCGUUGAGAAAUCAUGCACCUCUCAAAAGCUUGUUUUACAAUCUUGUUGAUCUCUAAAAACCUCUAGCACAUGAGUUUUCCUUACUUCCCUCUGCGAAGGGCCAAUCUUUUACUUUUAUGCUGAGUUAUUAAACCUACUUCUUUCUAUGCUGAAAAGAACACACACUUUAUGUUUACAAAGAUGCAUGCAUUUAUAUUGUUUCAUUGAGAGUUGUCAUAUUACACCUUUGUUGAUGGUAUCAUUAAGAUAAGUAAGUUGUUUGUUAAAGCUUAGCGAAAGCAAACAUCUUCCUUUGUGUUAGCAUUUUCACUUCCUGACUAAUAACAUGUUCUUUCAAAAAGCUUCAGUUGAUCUCAUCAAAGUAUAAGAGGAAGAGCAAUAGUUAAAAGUUAUUAGUUGUUCUUUGACUAAGGACAUGGUUGCCAUGGUUUGAUGAGUUUUCUUAGCUCUACAUUUGAUUGUAAUUGAGAUUACUCUUUCAUAAGGGCCUUAUGAGUUGAGAUUGCUCUUGAGGAUGGUUGAGUUUAGUAGAGAAAUUAUGAUGCUUCUUGUCCGUAUUCUUAUUUAUCGACACUUCACUCUUUAAACUUAUGGACAGGUUUACCGAGCUCAAUAUUCGCUUGGGGACAAGCGAAGUCUAAGCUUGGGGGAGUUGAUACGUCCAAAAUGCAUCAGUAUUUUGUAUCAUAAUUUUCCUCUACUCAUUGAUAUAUUUCACUUUAUGAUGAUGUACUUAUAGUGUUUUGGCUUAUUUUACACAGUUUAAUACUUUCCGAUGCCGAAACAGCAGAAGCAGGAUUGUGCGGAGAAAAUAGUACGAAGAGUUACACUAUCAGAACAUCUCCAACUAUGCUGAAAACCGUACGGAAGAAGUUCCGAACGGAUCCCAAAGACAGGCCAAAGAAGAGAUGGAGGGGGGGCCACCAAUCACCGAGGCGACCUGCUGGCGCGGGCCCCCUAGGCCAUGCCAAGAGGCCGCCUGGGUGGUGGGUCCCGCCUUCAGUGCUCUCCUUUGUCCUAUAUGUCCCUCUUGACCAAAAAUUACGGGGACGGAAGAGUUUUCACGAUUCCGUCGCCGCUCCGCGGCGAAAACCUACAAAGAAAAAAAUACCUUUCCGGCGGGCAGAUUCCGCUCGGGAGAACUCCUCCCAGAAGGGGAGAUCGUCCUCAACCGUCGUCACUAUCGUCACAGGCAUCAUCGAGAUCAUCAUCGCCAUGAUCUCCAACACCAACACCAUCUCCACCUUCUUCCCAUCUACUUCACCAUUGCAAUCGGAGUUGUACCUUGCUCUAUUCAUCGCCUCUACUCUAUCGGUGUUGGUUACUCUUUUGUGGUGAAUGCUAUUGAGUUUUGUUGGAGGAUUAUUGUUACGAAAAGAUUGUUAAUCAUAUUUUCAUCACCUACGAUCAUGAUGUCUUUUAGGUCUUGUGAGUGGUUCCAUUAGUUCUUGAGGACAUGGGAAAAGUCUAGAUGCUAGUAGUCAUAUGAUGUUGAAGUAAUAUGUGUUGAUUGAUAUUUAAGUUAUGAUGUCAUUCUUCUAAUACUGUUAUGUGAACAUCGACUACAUAACACUUCAUGUUUUUAAGGACCUAGGGGAAUGCAUCGUGUAGAAAGAAUGCUUAUGGUUGGUUGUCGGAGUGACAGAAACCUGAACCCUAGUUCGCAUACUUUUGCAUGAGGGGGUAUUGGAUCCUAAAGCUUAUUGCUAUGGUUAGGCUUAGCCCUAAUUUCUCUCUUGUAUUUGCGGAUGCUUGCAAGAGGGAUUAAUUAUAAGAGUGUACUUGUCUUAGCCUAUACGGUGCGCUAGUUAAGAUCCACCCACAUAACACUUAUCAAUACAAAACAUAGUACUAGACAGAGUAUGGCGAAAGCACAUGACUAUCUCUCCCGUGUGUCCUUAGGAACGCCUUAGUCUUUAUAAGUUUAGUCCCUUGGAUUAUCAUUUGUGUUUAAAAGGAUUGGGCCACUUGCUGCACCUUGGCAUGAUUUACUUUACUUGCAUUUAAUUCCUUGUUGCUUAUACUAGAAAACCCAUAGAAAGUUACCUUUCAGUGCUUGCACGUAUUCCUUGCUCAAGAUCACUUGUCAAUACCUCCUGCUCCUCAUUGGGUUCAACACUCUUACUUAUCGAAAAGGCUACGAUAGAUCCCCUACACUUGUGGGUCAUCAGUUCCCCAACUAAAACCUCUCUUUAUAAACAGAUCACAUCCGUCCUUCGGUGACAAUCACCCUUCAGGCUCCACCAAGAAACCCUAAAGCUCCAACGCCCAGAGCCAUGGCGGGUUGCUGCUCGCGACCCUUUGUCCCUCUCCCAGGAGAUUGGCCAAGCUACUCCGUUUCCCUGCUCCAGUUGCGCAACCUCGAAGUACAAGGGUAUCUUCCCACAUUGGAUCUUGCGCCCACUCGCGCUGGAUUGACCUCCGCAAAUGGCAAGGCUUUCAUAGAGAAUUUCCCUACCCCGCAAAAGGGAGAAAGGAUCUGCUUCGUCUCUUUCCUGCUGUGAGGUCGGGGCUUCCCGGUUCACCCCUUCCCGAGGGGCUUAUUGGAAUUUUAUGGGCUACACCUUCAUAACCUGACCCCAGGCUCAUUCCUUCACAUCUCACACUUCGACCUACGGAGAAAAUAUUUCUGCCUCGUUCCCCGAACUAGGGGAACAUCAAUUCGGGAAGUCGGCGAAGCCAAAGUGUGGAGUAUAGCUCGUACCAGAUACCCGGUCGAGGCUCAUCAUAAGGAAACCAAUGAGUGGUCUUCAGAAUAGUUUUAUAUUGAGGACAUUCCCUUAUUCGGCCUAGUUCGGAGGGGUUGUUACCGAAUACCCCGAGGUCCCAUUAAAGAAGCAGUUCAAGUGACAGUCGGUCAGUCCCUCCCAAGAAGAGAGCCCUGAAGUAAAACACCUAGCGGCAAAGGUGAGGUUACUUGCUCACAGCGGGCUAACCGUCGUCGAGGUGAUGGCUGCGGCAAUUACCUGGUGUGUCCAGCCACUCCAACUGCGUAUGCACCAUUUGUGGCACUAUAACAGGACAAGUGACACUACGCGUUCUAGACGACAUGGACCGGAUAAUCAAGAAGCUUUAGUGGUUAUUCUGGCCGACUUCGUUAAGGGGUAAAAGAUAAUUUUGCCCGCCUCACUAUGAGGGACGUUUACUGGGUAUAUAUUACCGUCGAAUGGGUAAGUGUGAUCAUAAUCCCAUAGUCUGGAUGCUUAUGCUUGACUUUACCGAUCAAUAACCCCUUUCUCUCCUUAAUAGACUUGGAGGUGUUGGAUUGAGACGGUCGACUGCCCCGCCCCUCAGUCCAAGAAUUACUCCCAUGACGAUGACCCGAGAUUACAUGAGGAUCCGGAGAUUUCAAUCGAAUUUGAGGGUGGAGUAUUUUACCAAGAAAGCGUCGACAAACUCAAGGUGGACCUUGAGGCAGCAAUCCUGGGCCUCUUCCGUCUUCCAGAACGAACAAAAGGGAAACCAAUACUCGAAGAGGGGAUAUACCCCCAUUGUCCCAAAAGUUCCUACAUCCAACCCCAAGGGACGUUGGUCCAUGCGCCUAACUUCAUGCCGAGCUAUACCGGCUAGGGCUGCACCGACCGAGAACAAGUUUCUCGGAUAAGGGACAACGUCGAAAAAAAUGUCGGACGCCCCUUCGACCAAGAGGUAUAUAUAUCAAUCGCUCCCUUUUUUAUGGUAAUGACUACCUUGACUAUUCAUGACCCAUAGCCGAAAUAUUCAGGAGACGUGUGCAACCUUCAUCUGAAAACGCUGCCGAAGUGUACGCCAAUCAUCAAAACCCGAGGUCUUCGGCUAACACGAGAGUUCCGAAUACGGACUUAUUCCUUGACGACCCCGAGGAGUUUUCGGCAACUAAUUCCGAAGCCUAAAGCUUGAUGAACCAUCAGCGGCAAAAGAAGUCCUUGCGCCACCCUGUUUUUUAUGAACAAGAGCUUAAUGCUUUCAACUCUGCAGAUGCAUGCCUUGCGGCCGUGAGAGCCGGAAUCGAGGAAGCGGCCAAGCUGAUGUCUUCCCAUCUACACGUAAGUCAUCGAUUUCCGUUAACCGAACAUAAGUUCGAAACCAGUAGCCCUCAAGCUUAAUUUGGUCGGGGCGGUCGAGUUAAGGGUCAAAAUAAUAAUUUGCCACCAUGCAGGCUCAAAAGAAGGAGUAUGAAAAGUUAGCCAAAGAUUUCAAGCCAAGACAAGCCGAAUUGCAAGCGAGGAAGGUCGAGCUGGAGGGGGUGAAGAAAUUCACCAGAGAAGCACACACUGAGUAAAAUUAUUUUGCAAUGUGCGGAAUUUCCAUGGGAUUUCCUUUAUAACAGAAAACUUUGUCAUAGCAGGCAAAUCUAUAGGCGAAUUAAUAAAAUACUUGGACGAAUCCCGAGAUUCUUAGAGGUAUGUCGAAUCCUAGCUUGAAGCUCGUCAUCGCAUAUUAAAGCGAUGUCGUGAGGAAAAUAACCAACUGAAGGAGGAGAAUAAGCAACAAGCCAUAGAAAUUGAGAAUUUGAAAGCUCAAUUGGUGCAAAACCAUGGAGAGAAUCAGAAACUAAAGGGUGCCAUAUUCUGUAAGUAAAAUCCCAACAUGGAAUGUGAUAAAUCACUUUUUAUUGCCUUGAUCGUAAAGACGUGCAAUUUCCCUUGAUUGGGUCUCUUGACUGGACGUCUCUAGGAAGUGGCUGGAUCUUUCGGGGGGGUUGUUUAAGGAGUUGUCCAUUGUGCAUUAGCGAGCUUGAAAAGUUAUGAGGAGUAUGGUCAAGGAGCUAUGGCCGAAUGAAAGUCCUCCACAUGGAAUGGCCGAGUUUGCCGAGCGGUUCAAAGGAGCUCGGAGUCGCUUCGAGCUAUGGAAUACUUUGGCAUGUCGCGAAGGAGUUCGGGAGGCGUGGGCUAUGGUGAAGACCCGUUUUACCCAACUUAAUCCACAGCACAUGGCCCGAGUUGGUCCGGCAAGGCCGGAUGGCGAAGAGAUUCCUCUUCAUCUAGUUCAUGACCAAGUGAUGCCCGCCACCCGCCUUUCACAAGAAGACCACACCUUAGAUGUCAUAAUAGAUCUUCUCGACCAAUCGCCUAGCACAUGAUUAUAUGUAAUUUUGUAUUCUUGUAUCAAGACACUUCCUUUUGUGUUUGAAUACUUUGUCUUUAAAUGGAUAUCGACUUCUAUCUCCCUAGUUAAUAACUAGGCAGUGUUCCAUACCGUGUAUCGCUAAUUUCCAAGAACUAGGCAAUCCGACCAUGUGGUGCGAACAGACACAAAGCGCACAGUAGGAUGAUGUUACAUUAAGAUAAGACGUAAGAAAAAUCUUCCAAAGAAAAUAGUUCUUCCAUGGGUUCCUUUCUUCGGGCUACUACAGAAAUCGUAGAUGUUAUAGCUAUGUAUCCUUGUAGUGUGGAUACCUUUUACUUCGGGAUGAAUGAUACCCUUUUGUGGUUAAGAUUGCCAAUUACAUGAACCUCAUUCGCAGCCGACCAAGUUGUAUCUUAAGGAACACUACCUUUGGGCUUCACCCAUCUAAGGUAUGUAUUCGGACGAACCGGUCGUAACAAUCGUAGAGGUGCUCCCUUUACCCCCUAGCCAAACGUGCGGGAACACAUGGGGUAAGCACAUGAGCAAGGCAACCGAGCAUUGCAAGAAUCUUCAGCCAAUUGACGCAUAUAGUGGCAUAAAUCAAUGUUCAGUCGAGGCAUAUAGUAAGUUCAUACGAACAGAGUAACGCCUUAAGCAAGAUGACAUGAUGUAGAUGGACAAUCUCAUAUCUAUCAUAAAAGCCCAUCUUGUUACCCUUGAUGGCAACAACACAAUGCGUGCCUUGCUGUCCCUUCUGUCACUAGGAAAGGUCACCACACGGUAUGAACCCAAAACCAAGCACUUCUCCCGUUGCAAGAAUCAUAGAUCUAGUUGGCCAAACAAAACCCAAGACUCGGAGAGACUUACAAGGAUAUCAAAUCAUGCAUAUAAGAAAUCAACAAAGACUCAAAUAUAAUUCAUAGAUAAUCUGAUCACAAAUCCACAAUUCAUCGGAUCUCGACAAACACACCGCCAAAGAGGACUACAUCGGAUAGAUCUCCAUAAAGAUCAUGGAGAACUUUGUAUUGAAGAUCCAAGAGAGAGAAGAAGCCAUCUAGCUACUAACUACGGACCCGUAGAUCUGAAGUCCCCUCCGGCAGGGCACCGGGAAGGGUCUCCAGAUGAGAUCUCGCGGAAACGGAAGCUUGCGGCGGCGGAAAAGUGUUUUCGUGGAUGCCCUGAUUUUUUCUAGAAUUCUAGGGAACUUAUAAGCGAAAGACCUAGGUCAGGGGGCGGCCAGGGAGGCCACAAGCCUGCCCACCGCCGCCUCCCCCCUUGGUGGAGGAGUGGGGGCUUGUGGGCUCCCUGGAGCCCACCUGGCUUGGCCCAAAAGCCCCCUGGUCUUCUUCCGUUCGGGAAAAAAUCAUUUCGGGGUUUUUCUUCCGUUUGGACUCCGUUCAAAAUCAGAUCUGAAAAGAGUCAAAAAGACCGAAAAAACAGGAACUCGCACUUGGCACUGAAUUAAUAAGUUAGUCCCAAAAAAGAUAUAAAAGGUACAUAAAACAACCAAAGAAGACAAUAUAACAGCGUGAAACCAUCAAAAAUUCUAGAUACGUUUGAGACGUAUCGGUCACAACAACGGAUAAAGGGGGCCAAGGGGGAGCAAAGCAACAGUGAGUACUCAUCCAAAGUACUCGCAAGACUUAUACGAGAACUAUGCUAAGUAUGCAACAGUAUCAAAGAAAGGGGAGGUUUAUAUGUGGACUGAAGACAGCAGUGCGAGAAUAGAGAGAAGGCCUAGUCCUAUCGAAGACUAGCAUCUUCAGGGUCUUGCAGCAAUAGACGAGAGUAGAGCAAGGUAACACAAAUAAUAGUCAUAUUGUUGCAGCAAUAUUAAGAUGAGGUCACGCCCAGAGAUCCUUCCUCGACUCCCUGCGAGGAAGCAAUCCCAAGGCAACAAUUCCAGUUAAGUAACAGUUGUAGUUGUAUAAUAUCAGGGCACAACUCCAAGUCGUCCUGUAACCAUGGACACGGCUAUUCGAAUAGAUAAGUUCUUCCCUGCAGGGGUGCACAACAUAUUCCCCGUCAUGCUCGAUAACACUCUGGCCGGACACACUUUUCUGGGUCAUGACCGGCCUCAGAAUAUCGACACGUCACAGCCCCACCUAAGCUGAACGAAGAGGCCAGCCCGGCGGUCUAACUCCUAAGCACAAAGGGGUUGUGGGCCCACUUGCCCUCUGUGCUCCUACACGAUGCAAGGGCGGCCGAUGUCAGUCCUAGCACCCCUUAAUCACAAGCGCGAUGCAUCUCGGGACCACUCGGGCGCGCAGCGCUCCAUUGCUGACGUUUGAAGAGCUUCGGCUGAUACCGCGAUGUCGACUACCCAUAAUUCUUCCCACACAGACGGUUAGGGCAUAAUAAAGCCUUCCAACCAACCAAGAUCAAAUACCCAAAUCCAUUAUCAUUUUAAUAAAGUCAUCGACCCAUCCACGCUGGAAUCACCCACCUAACAUCUAUUCAUCAAAGAUCCCGUAACAUGGUCAAGUAACUGUGAGGUUGUAACAUCGGGGGGAAUCCGAGGUGUCACCCUCGUUGGAUUCCGAACGAUGUAACCGUGAAGGUGGACCUAGAGGAAUCACCCUCGGGGGUCCCACACUUCAGGGGUUGCACGACAGAGACAUCGUCGGGAGUGGUGAAUGAGGAAUCACUCUCGGUAUCCAUGACCGACUAGUUACACUACAGAGGUAUCAUCAUGAGUACUUCGCGAGGUGUCACCCUCGGUACCCUAUAGUAGCUCUGUAGUGCCGCACAACUAAGGGGGGUGUAAGUGUUGUGUCGGAACUGGCUCGUCGAUCACGGAUCAAGACAUGAUGACAAAGCGGGGCAACUGGACUAAGGGGUCGGAGGGGAUGACUGCUCCACCUAUACUAAAUAGUUUAAAGUGCGGUACUGCAAGUAGCAGUUCAUCAAAAUUAGGCUAUGCAUCACAUAGAGGAGCUAACUAUAACAAUAGCAAAAUUCUAAUGCAAGCAGGAGGGAGAAAGAUAUAAGCGAUAUAGGGAUGAUCAAGGGGGUUUGCUUGCCUUGUUGCUCUGCAGCAAAGGGCUGGUCGUCAGGAGGGUAGAUGUACCCGGCAGCAGCGUCAGCCUCGGGGUCUACCGGUAAGAAGAGGGGGGAGAAACAAUAAAUAACAGCAACAGUUGCAACACUAAGUAGGACAUGGCAAGAUCCAGGCUAGGCAUGAGCUAACAUAGUAACAUCCGUCAUAGACGGGUCGGGAAAAUAUCAGAUGAUAUUUCCCGGGUCUUUGGCUACUACCGGUCAGACUAAAAACGAUGGAAAAGUUCCAUAUUUGCUAUCCUAGGGACGCGUGACGUACGAAUGGACCGACUAUCCAGGUUCGUCUCGUUCUGCUGAUCAACUAUCAUGUUAAAAAUAUUUUCCUCUGAGCUGUGGUUUAUUUUUUAUUAAUUUUUUAAGUUUUAUUAAUAUUUAGGAAUUAAAAACAGAUUUAAUUAAUACAAUUAAAUGCAAUUAUGACAUCAGCAUGAUGCCAUGCUCACAUCAGCAGUUGACUAGUCAAACUGACCAGUGGGUCCCAUGUGUCAUAGACUCCAUUUUAAUUAGGUUAAUUAUUAAUUAAUCAGAUUAAUUUAGUGGGGGACCCACGUGUCAUAUUCUAAUAGGUUAAUUAUUUAUCUAUUUUAACAGAUUACUAAUUUAUCUAAUAUAUCUAAUUAUUUAUUUCCCCCCCUAUGUUUUUAGGGGGGCCCCACCUGUCAUUUGGUGGGAGUGGUGGGGCCCUACUGUCAUUGGGACAGCGAGCCCACACAUACGCUACACGUAGACACAUCCAUACCACUAAUUCAUACAUACCACAUAUACACAUAUUUCAUAUACCUACACACAUAUUCCAUACAUAUCCAUACCUAUAUUUGCAUACAUACACAUAUACAUACAUUCAUUUAUUUCCUCUCUCUGUCAUCUCUCUACUCAACUCACUGACAUCUCUCUCAACAGAGAGAGAGGAGGCAACCUCCACGUCGUCAUACAGGAGAUCAACGGCGCUGGGACGAGGCGAUGAGCGCUGGAACGGAACCGGAGGGUGAAGGAGAGGGAGAGGGACGCGUUCUCACACAUGAUGUAGGGGGGUCGGCUAGGCUUGAUGGAGCCGUUGAGGAGGAGGACGGGGACGAGAUGAGGAGGAGCGGUCGGCGGUUCAGUGGAGGCGGUACGGUGAGGGAGGAUUCGAUGGAGGGGGCUAAGAGGGGUCGAUUCCGAUGGCGCGGGGCGUUGUCGGGUAGGCCGGCGGUGGCCCUGGUCGGUGGAGGAAGAGGCGGAUCCGACGAGGUGGAGGGGCCCCGAUAGCGGCCGAUGCUGGAGAAAGGUGACGGCGGGGUAGUGACGGGAGGAGGGCCCUGGCGCGGUGGCUGUGUGAGGCACAGGAAGAUGGGGUCUUCGGGGGGGGGGGGGGACGGCUGGCGCUCGAGGGGAGAGCCCGAGCGGGAUCCAGUGAGGGUGCGAUGGGAGGAGAGGCGGUGAUGCUCGCGAGAGGUGGGGAUGAGAGAAGCGGGGCGCUGGAGCGACGUGGGGAGGGGGGCUCGAUCCAGGGAGGAUUGAGGGAUGGGGAUAGCGACGGGAUCUGGGGAACGGGCGCUGGGUCAGGCGACGUAGGGAGGUGAGGUGGGGAUCGAGAGGGAGUGCACUCGCGAGGGGUGGGCAGCGAGGCGACGGGCCAGGGGGACCCUGGUGGCGCGAGUGGGAAAGGGGAGCGGGGGUUUGGGGCUAGGGUUUCCGUGGGGGUCUUAUACCCCCACGCUGAUGGGCUGUGGGUGUUGUGCCAUUUGGCCCAGUUGGCCGUGGACUUUCUGGGUUUUUUUAUUUUUUUUAUUUUGGUGGGCUUCUUUGGCCUCUUUUAUUUCCUCACAUGGGACAAUNAUAAUAAGCUCAUGAGCUUGGUCUUACUUCACCCUAAACGAAAGAAGACUUCCAUAUCCAAGUUUAGCUCAGACGUAGCUGCCUUUUUUUUGGGAGUGAAGAAGUGUCAAACCAAAAUACCCAAUAAGCAUAAGCAUUUGCUCUCCGUGAAAAGGAGGUGAUCCAGCCGCACCUUCCCGUACGGCCACCUUGUUACGGCUUCACUCCAGUCGCAAGCCUAGCCUUAGGCAUGCCGCUCCUUAUUAAGAAAUAUUUGUAACUCAUCUCACAUUUUUAUUUUAACAUUUGAAAACUUUUCUCGUCGACUUAUUUUUAAAUUUUGAAUUUUACUCGGUUUCGAUUUACAUGAGAUCAACGAUAGAAAUCACGAUGAUGUGGCAUCAUUAGCAUGGGAUCACUGUAGCUUAAUUACAUACAUUACUGUAGCAAAAGCUGAGGAUGUCACAGAGAUAUCCCGGAUCACAUACUUCGAGCUGAGUUCUAUCACAUCCAGCGUGAACUUGCCCAAAUCAUCAUGAAGGAGGUCAUCGUAAAACAGGGAUGUUCCACGAAGAAGGGAAAAUGUCGCGGGAAGACGUCUGGACAUGCAUAUCGGCUGAGCGUCUCGACCUGAAGCCUUUCACCGCGCUCGGGGACUAUCUCCCUCACUUGGAUGGAUGACACGACAUGUUGGAGUGAUUAACGAUAUAUGACAAAGUGUCCCUUUAGUCCAUACUUUCUCUAUGAAGAAACUUUGAGUUAUGCACGACGAAACUUUAUUUGUGAUCUAAUUAAACCGUCCUCCUCAACUAGCGAUACCGCUCUAGUUAUGGCAUUUUGGGUACUAUGAACUUUGUUAUUUAUGCAUAUGAGUAAAAUACAUGUAUGAUCGUUAAACUUGGUGGCAAUGUUCACAAUGGUCCUCAAACUCAAGAACUGCUUGAUUACGGACCUUGAACUUGAAAAUACCGAUUCAAUACGGUCAUUAAACUUGGCGAACUCGUACUGUAAUACGUCUCACAUACGUAUCAUGUAUGCCACGAAGUUUUGUCUCCAUGUGCAGAAAUAUGCCUCUGAUUUUAUUUACUAACAAUGAAAACCUAGAAUUAAAAAUGUGGAUUCGACGUGUGAGUAUGGAAAAGAAAAACUAACUCUAUUGUAGAGCAUCAAACAUAACUAGUAUAAUUGGGGAGUCCGUAUAACUAGUAUAAUUGGAGAAUCCGUACGUCAUUUCGUUAGGACUCCCUCGAUCCCCCACCCAUCGAUACCCUCUCCCAUCGGACGCCCCUCCCCCACUUGUUCAAUUUUUAUUUGUACGUUCUUUUUACAACCAAAAAAAGUUAGCCCGCUGGUUUUUAUUUAACCAAAGGAGAAAACCCGGAUUUUUUUCCUUCUUUACAUAUAAUCCACUAACGAGGUAUCCUUUUCCUCCCCGCAAAUCUCAAUAGCAUCAAAUCUUUCCAAAAAAAAUCACAACAGAAUCAAAACCUUUUGUGCCAAGGAUACCCCCCAUUCCUUCCCCAUCAUAUCUCAAACGAAUCAAAUUAUCUCAAUCAAUAGAGUACAUCACAUACCUAGAUAUGCAAUUUGUGCUUGUCGAAUUCUGCUCAUGUGCAUAUUUCAUAUCUCACUUGGAACUUUAGACAUAUCAAAAUCUAUCACUUUAGAUACAAGUUCUUUUCAUAAUUGCAUCUAGAUGUGCAUAUCAAUUGUUUAAUUGAAAAUCACGAAAAGUUGACUAAACAAUAAAACAAAGAAAUGUAUACAAAAAGAUUUGCAUCCAAUUGUAAUGUACAAUAUAUAUGUUAGAGCCACUCAAUACAAACCUCAAAUAUACUCACAAAGCCCGUGUUUCCACAUCCAGUAUAGACACAAGAUUCUCUUAAGGUGCUGCAAAAAAUCAACCCACGCCGUAUCCCAUCAGGAUGAGGCCGGGACUUCUAGGCUGUGUCGGCCGGCCUUAGGGCUGCUGUAGUGGCACCAUACCCCACAGGCUGCGGCCAUGACUUCGAGGAUGUGGUUCAUCUCGGUAGUCUUCGACGGUUACCCGACGGCGGCCUCCUGCAAUGCGCGGGCCGGGCACGCAUGCAAUCUCCCGGGGGCCCCCAUCCCGCAGAUUCAGCUCCGACCCCAACGUCCAUAGACCUGCGCCCCCCUUAAAUGUCCAUGGCUGGCCGGAGCAACUCCAUAUCCGACGUUUCCUGCGAACAAGCUGCGUCUACUUUCGGUUCAUCUGGCUUGUCGUGUAUCGGUAGCUCCACAACCACCUUUAUGCAGCUUUGACUCCGUCGUGCCUUGGAGCUGCGCCCCCUUCCAGCUGAUUCUUUGAAUGAAAAGAUGAAGUUUAAGUGAUGUAACGUGUUGCAAUUGUAACCAUUCAGCUGAUUCUUCGAAUGAAAAGAUGAAGUUUUCUUGAAAAAUCACACAUACUGCUCAACAUUUUCACAC
rnacentral:lncRNA from 1 species